rnacentral:lncRNA from 1 species
AUCUUCAUCGGUUAAGGAUGCUGGAUACAACAGAUUGUGAAGGACUUGAAGAAAUUCCUCAUGGUGUCUUAUCCAAGUUAAGGAGAUUAGAAGAGUUGUACAUGGCAGAAAGCUUUCUCAAUUGGGCUCCAGCAACAGGAAGCAAGGAUGAAACGAGCAUGGCAAGCCUUGAUGAGGUGACGUCUCUAUCUGAUCAUUUAAAUGUCUUAGCCAUAAAAAUCCAUGAUGUUCAGAUGUUGCGGAAUGAUGAGUUUCUUUUAAGAAGUCAGCCUAUAAGAUUUCAUGUAUCUAUCAAUAUUAGUUGGUCAUACAAAAAAGAGAGUUUCAAGAAUCGAAUGCGUGGUUAUCUGUUCGAAAAUAGUUUGAUGCUUCGUGGUGAUGUAAAGGAAUAUUUGGAGAUUGGAGCAGUUAGAUACUUCUUGAAGCAAUCUGAAGACUUAAGCCUACGCCACACAUACAAUUUAAAGUAUGUCAUCGAGAAGUUAGACGAUCAAGGGGGCUUUCAACACUUGAAAGUGUUAUCAAUCAUGUAUGACAACAACAUAGAGUAUCUUAUGAAUGGAACAGAUUGGACUCGUCGUGGUCAACCUGCCUUUCCCAUCUUAAAAUCAGCUACCUUUGAGUAUGUUGACAAACUAAAAGUUUUGUGUUGUGGCAAACUACCAGACAAGCGCUCUUUUAUGAACCUGAAAUCUAUUGUAAUUGACAAUUGUCAUGAGUUAAAAUAUGUCUUUUCACUAUCCGUAGCACAAAACUUGGUACAACUCCAGAAAUUAAUUGUUAAAAACUGUCAGAAAGUGGAAGAUAUCAUAUCAAGGGAAAGAAUGGAAGAUGAUAAUGCAUCUCACAGGAUAAGUUUCCCAAGAUUAACUGUUUUGAAGCUUUAUGAUCUACCCAAGCUCCUUGGUUUCUACACGGGAAACCAACGGGACUCCACCUAUGAGGUAUGUAUGUAUAAACUUUUGAUGCUUGAAUGGUAUAUACUUGUUACUCUUUGGAAUAUGCUACUUUUGUUGUGUUUAAUACUGUCGUUCCAGUUCUAGAAGUUGGUUUGGGUAAAACUUAAUCAUUUUUGGUAUGUUAGAGAUUUUAGAUGCAUUUCAAUUUUUUGCAACUAUUUUAUAGAUAUUUAAUAAAAAAAUAUUUCUGAAAAAAUCACUUGAAUCAUAUAUCAUUUGACCACUCAAUUAAAUUAUUGUGAUUUUAGUACUUUCUUGAAGCAUUGUAUUCAUCAAUUUUGUAGAACAUAAUUAGAUAUCGAAACGGUUUCCGAAUUGUCUAAUUUUUUGUAAGUAUAAUCUAUGAAUAUAGACUUGAGAAAUAGGCGGUUUGGAUAAUUGAAAAACAAUUUGUAGUGUGUUUAGAAUGUCCCUUAAUAGAAGGGGACUAUAUUUCUAAAUCUUCACACCUAUGAUUUUCAUUUGAAAAUUUAAGUUGAGAUGUCCUUAGAGUUAAAAAUGUUUAUUGGUAAAUAGUAAUUGACGGUAGGAAAAGGGGAGUAUUAUUAUUUCUCAAAAUUUAUGACACAGGAUGUGGGAAUAUAAUUAAGGCAAUUUGGAAAUAAGACAAAUUGUGGAAGUUCAUUACUUAUGUAUUUCUUUCUUUUUGGCUCAUGUGUAAGUUCAUUAUUUAUGUAGAAUUAAUUAAUGUACAGAUUAUAAAGCCCAAUGAUGAAAGUGUGAAUAAGACGAAAGAGACUAGGAAUGACAAUCAAGUUGCUGGGUCGACCUCAUCUAGAUCAAAAGUAGCACAAGUGGGAGCAAGUUGUAAUGCUCUAUUUCCUUCAAAUUGCAUUUCAUGGUUACCAAAUCUAGAGAAACUAGUGUUGAUAGAUUCGACAAGUGAGCAAGGCUCAGAAGAACUAGUAUUCAAUGUGGUAUUUGAUUUAGAAGGGCAUAAUUCAGCAUUUUCUCAAUUACAAACAUUCCAAGUGUUUUCUUUAUAUGGAGUUGAACAUUUGUGGAAGAACGUUCAACCUGGAUUCCAAGGUUUUCAAAAUGUAAGAUCUUUAGAUAUUCAAGAAUGUAGGAGUCUAAAAUAUCUAUGCCCUUAUGAAAUUUACAAGCUCCUUGUGAAUCUCGAAGAAGUCCAAAUAUAUGAAUGUGAGAAUAUGGAAACUAUAGUACAUGAAGAAGGGAAAGAGACAGGUGGCAGUGGCUCGAUGACUUUGUUUCCCAAACUAAUUAAUAACAUCAUACUAGACAACUUGCCAAACCUCGAGAGAUUUUGCCCUGAUGCCCAUUCUUUUGCAUGGUCCUCCUCCACGAGAGUUCUGCGUGUGGAAUUUUGCCCCAAAUUAAAGACAUUGGGUUUUGAACUAGUAAGCAAAAAUCUACCUGCAGCAGUUGCAGAGAAUUUGAGUGAUGAUCAUGUAAGAGGUAGAGAAGAAUUAGGAUCUGACUGCGCAUCAUCAACUGGAUCUGGAUUUGGAUUUGGAUGUGCGCCACUAGUCUGCUUACAAAGUCGUCCAUCUACUCGCAACUUUACUCAAAUAUUGCCCCGCCCUGUAAAUAGAGAGGUACAUAUGUCAUUAUUCUAGACUAUGCUUCUCAAUUUAGUGUCUAUAAUUGGUCUUACGUACAGAUGUCAUUGAAAAUAAAAGAAAAAUAAAACAAAAAAGUAGAGUUAAAUGGGCUUGCCCCAAGCACGGGCCAUGACAAUUGUAAACACUUGUUAAUUUUCAUUUGGGAAAUCAUCACCAUUAUUUUCGCAAACAGUCUUAUUAAUAUCUAGAAUGUCAUGGUAAACAACGUUCUUGAUUUCUAGAAUGUGAUAAUAUCCCAUAUGUUUAUGAUUGAAAUACUAACAAAUUAAUAUACAAUUACUUUUCUACCAUUUUUCCAGGUAACGCCGACAAGUGCUACCCACAAUCUAGAAGAUCUCUUUGUAGAAAAGUGCGAUUUAUUGGAAGUGAUAUUUUUGGUUCAGGAAACCCCUUCUACUCAAGCAUUUGAUAAGCUGAGGCAAUUGAAUUUGUGGAGGUUACCAAUGCUGAGCCACAUAUGGGAAAAGGGUUUACAAGUUAGCUCAGGCUUUGGAAACCUGAGAUUACUAAAAGUACAGUCCUGUCACAAUUUGAGAUACUUGUUUUCACCGCACAUAGCCAAACUUCUUACCUACCUUGAGAGAAUAGAAGUUUCCUGGUGUAGUGCGAUGGAGAAAAUUGUUGGAGAGGCAGAAGGAGGAGGAGAAAGUAUUGAGGAUGAAUUGACAUUUCCGCACGUAAAUUCCAUCUUACUUGGGCGUUUACCCGAACUUGAAUCUUUCUGCUCUGAAGCUUAUACUUUGAAGUGGCCAGCCUUGGAGAAAGUCGAAGUUCAAAAUUGUCCAAAAUUAAAAGCGUUUGCUCCUGAGUCUCUAUAUGCAUAAGCAGCCAACAUGUGUCUAUGAAGCGUCCACGUGGAAAGAAAAGAAGGUAUGUUUUCAAUUCAACCAAGCACUCUGGUCGGUCACUAUAAAAUCAGUAGAAGAUAUAUGUAUAGCUUAAUAUAUUUUCAUGAAUUGGCGUUGCUUUUUAUUUUUCUUUGCCUUAUCUUUCUCAUGUCAUUAGUCCAUCUCCACGUGUUUAAGCUAUAUAUAUAUAUAUAUGUCUCGUUAAAAUGCUUAUUUAUAUAUGGCUCGUUAAAAUGCUUCUAAGGAUGGUAUCAUUUUUUGAAGUAGUACUUAACCAUUAAUAUUUUUCCAACAGCAUGCAUUUUCUAUUUUAAUCAUAGAUAAUAAUUUUUUUAUUCUUUAUUUUGCAUAAUCUUUGAGAAGAAUAUCAUCAGAAGCCAAGAAGCUAGGGACAACACUACAUGACAUGUUACGGUGCACAUCUACAUGACAUACCAAUUUCGUUACUGUUGAUAUUUUUGAUUAAUGUUCCUCAUAUCCUGCCAUUGCAUCUCUUUGAUCAGAUAAUUUAGUUAUUAUCUUUAGUUGUAUUAUAAAACUGGAUUUAUUUGGACCUUCCUUUUCGUAUGUAAUAUUACCAUAUUGAAUCUUUGGAUGUUUGGCUCAACUGUUGGUAUCUAGUUAAUCAAAUUACAAGCAUCAUAGUUUUAAAUUAUAUAUAGUUUAAAUUAUAUAUAUGUAUAAAUUAACCAAAGUUGUUAAUAGAAAGAUCCGUGUAACUCAUACUAAACAUUAGGGGUGGGCAUCUUAAACCGAAAUACCGAAACCAUACUCUAACUGCACCGUACCAUACCGAUUUCAUACCGUUUCAUUAGUUAUGGAGAGAUAUUCGGUACCAUACCGUACCGUACCAAUAGGGUAUGGUAUGGUAGCGGUAUCAAGAUUUUGGUACCUGUAUUUUCAAUCAAUUCAAUAAGAUGAUCCAAAGGUUGUAAUUGGCUCCACAAUCAAGAUCCCGCCAAAACUAAGUCCAUAACUAAAUGAAAAAAAAACAAAACAAAACUAGUCAUAACUCAGGAAGACGACAGAGACUUGCAUAAAAUAUAUAGAACUCGUUCCCAAACUGUUCCAAAGCAAUGGGGAGUUAGUCUACUGUACCGAACAUUUGAUAGAAAAUUGUUCACACUAAACAUUUAUAUUCUUCAUUUAUUACCACUUUAAACAUUUAAUUUGAAUUAAGAGAGAAAUUCCCCCCGUAUUUAAGGCAAUUCUGGAGUUGGUCUUUGGCAAGUAGAAUAAUGUCACAAAACACAGAAUUGUAAGCAAGCAAUUAACCCUAUAAGUGAGAGUGGUUGGCAGCAGUGGCGGAUCUAGGAAUUUUCAUUUCGGGGGUCAACGUGUAAAAGGUUAAAAAAAAGUCCAUACAAAAUAGACCUAUUGAAAUGAAACGAUAAUACUCUAAUUCAUAGUUAAUAGAUAAAACCAAACAAAAUACUCGUGUUCAUUAUCAAAGAGAACUACAUCAACUUUAAAAAAUAAACACACAUUGCAAUACACUGGAAAUAUCUCUAAGAAUGUGAUAAUAAACCAAAAAUUAGCAUAAUCCUCUUCGUCUCCCAAAGCGUCUCGACCUAUUCGACAUAAGAACUGGCAUAUAUUAGCGUAAUCCUGCUGAUUUUAGGGCAUUUGCGUCAUUUUUUAGGUCUGUCGUAGGUUUGACUUUGGGCUUUAUCUGCAUUUCUUUUGGGUUCUAGCUCCCAAACUUUGGGUUCUUAUGAGUAUUGUCUUAGGGGGAGCUUACUCAAGCAAAAUAUUUCUUCAAUACGUAAGAGUUAGGUUAUUCUUAUAAAACUCUUUGUGGAUUGAACCUCUAUGGUUUUUUACCUAGAUUGACCUUAGGUCCCUUCAUGCAUUCAUAUCACACAUGAAAAAUUAUUUUAUGUAAAAAUAUUGGCUAAGUAUGAAAAAUGGUUUUUCAGAAGAAUCUUUUUCUCAAGAUAAUUUUUGGCUGCUUUUAUUCCUUACACAUCAAAUAAGAAAACUUGAUUUUAUGGGAUUUCAGUAUGAAGUAUAUAUUGACUUAAUAAGCCAUAAUUUUUAGUCUAAAUCGUAUUUUGCACUAAAAUCAAAUUUUCAUAUUUUGAUUUGGUGGGAAUAUGAUUUCUAGUAUUUUUAUUUGAAUCCAAACGGGGGGUACUUUCUUAUUUACAUUCUUUUUACUUUCAUUUAUUUUAUAUUACUCCAUUUUGAAAAUGAAAAUAAAUAAAUGAAUCACAUCAUCUACCCAUUACUUCAUAAAAAAGAAUAAAAAUAAAUAAAUGCAGAAAAAUUGCUACCUCUUCUCUUUCACGCCAGUAACUUGCCCUCUUUUCCCCUUUCACUUUAUUGUCUUGUGUUGCACAAUUUGCCUCUUUUUUUCCACACCUCUCACAUUUGUCAACAUCUACUACCCUACCUACCAAUAUUCAUCCCUUUAUCUCUCUGUCUAUUUCCUCGUAGACACUCUCUUUGUCAUUGUUUACCUUUUUUUAUCUUUAAUCCCUCUCGGUCAGCGAGUCCACUCCUCUCUUUCGGUGGUCUCCCUUACUUUUGUACUAUCUUCUCAUAGCUGUUAUAAAAUAACUGGGAUAUGUGCGAAUAUUGAGCUGCACGUAAAGUAGAUGAGACACAGUAUUUAACGAGGUUCAGCUAUGCCUACGUCCUCGGAGAGCAGUAACAGUAACUUUUCACUAUGUAAAAUAAUAGGGCUACAACUUUGUGUUUACAAUAUGUAUGGCUCACUCAAUUUUCUCUCUUGGAGAAUUUCUCUCUUGCUCUCUUUCCUCUCAACUCACUCACCCUCAUUCUUCCUUCUCUUCCUCUUCUAUAUGUGUAAACUUCUCUUGAUGGAGGUAUCUAUUUAUAGGCCUAAGACAUUGGUUGUUCACCUCACAAUAUAAUUGGUAGACAACAUCAUUAAUAUUCUUCAAUCAACAACAUCAUUAAUAUUCUUCAAUCAACAACAUCAUUAAUAUUCUUCAAUCAAUUAGGUAGUGGUUUGGUUUGGUGGGUGUGUGGUUAGGUUUAGUGGGUGUUAGUUGGCUAUGUGGGCUUCACCUAUUCUUCUUUACUUAUUCUUCUUUACAACACUCCCCCUUGGAGACCACAUGUCCCUAGAUUGGUUGCCUCAUUAAAACCAUGCUUGGAGAAAAACCCAGUGAGGUAGAAAACUGAUGGAAGGAAGAAAAAAGAGUACAGCAAUCUGUAUAGCAUACUUCUGGAUGCUCCCCCUGAUUAAUAUCUCCCCCUGAUGUCUUCAUGACUAUCUUUUGGAGUGAGAAUCUUUCGGAGUGAGUGGAGGAUAUAGCCAUUAAUAAUUCUCGUAGUUGAGUAAGUAAAUAUAUUUCCAGUGAGCUAUCUCUAUGUAAAUCAUAUAAAUUUUCAGAGUCCGCGUUUCUAACAAAACUUGGGCUAUUUGUAAGUUCACUUGAAAGAAUAUGCCCGUACAUGGUGUUAUGCGGAGAUAGCAUCAAAUAUACCUCACAUCAUCCCAAAAUGAUGGUGAUGGAGUUGAGCCAUAUCUGGAAAAUAUGAUGUCCGGUCCAAUAUACUUCCGGAAAAUCAUUAAAGUGUCCAACGGAUAAUCCUCAUAAAAAUGCUUCAAUACUUUCUUAGUAUAAGCAAGAAUCUCGUUGGCAUAAUGCUCGAUCCUUAAGUCGAGACAAAUAUUUCUUGAACUCUUCAGAAGCUUUAAUGUGUUGCAAACACAUUAUAAUCAAUGUACUCACUGAGGUAAUUUAUGCAUAUUAAUAUUGAGUACAAAUUUUGUGCUUCAAGCACAUGUCCUUUAGGGACUUGCUUUAUGCAAUGUCAAUCCUCUCAACGGAUUUUGUUUAAAAGGGAUUAAACUUUAUGACACAUUAUAUAGCUUUAACCCAGCUAUUUAUACAUCUUUAGGAAAUCGCUUCUGGCGAUAUGCUCCGUGCAUUUAAUAACCCUUAAAGAUAAUAUGUUGGUCUCCGUAAUUGUGUAAUAAGGGGGGCACAAUUGAAUCUGUAAAUAUGGAGAAAACCCAACAUUCUUUGUUUCUGCCAGAAACAGUGUGUCAUACAAAGUAGGUAUAUUCCCUUUUAUUCUGAACACCCAAGUAUAAAUUUCAGUAUUAACAUCUUUUGGGGUUCGUAUUGUGGGUUUGUUCUUUCACGUUCAUUCUCAUCUAUAAUGGAAUUACCUCAUUCCAUUUUGGCCAAGGAUAUUGUCGACAUUUAAUAACUGAACGUGGUUCCAAUCAACACAGCCCAUUGAUGAUUUGAGUAGCUACUCCAAAACUAAAAAUUGUCAUUCAUCAAUUCAUGAUCUCAUCAUUCUCAUUUGCACGUGCAUGCAUCAAUUAUAAGCAUUUCUUUGCUUUUGGGUACCCAAGCCACUUCAUGGGGCUUUUAUUAUGUGAGAAUGUGGAUUAUAACCUCCAAUGGAGCGUUAUUUUACAGUCGGGCGUGGAUAAUCUCUAUUUUAGGGAGUUGGAACAUUUAGAACCCAUAUAUCUGUCAUGCUGCAGGCAUGCCACAGAUUAAUACAUACAUGUCAAUUAAUUUCUGGGACUAACCCAUACAUACGCAUUAGGCGUGCACAAUAUCAAUAUUGACAUGUCAAAGGAUUGUCCUUUCGGGACUUCAAUCCACAUCAUUUGCUACGCAACAGGCGUGCAUCAUAUUGAUCACUGCUAUACCUAUAUCCUGUUCUUAUGGGAAUUUAAUCUGUGUAGUGUAUUAUCAAUGUAUCCAACUUGCAAUCUGUAAAAUUUGCAUUAAUAAUUCAUGGAUACAUACAAGCCAUUCUUUUGGAACAGACUUAUCUCCCCAUUUGGUUACCUUUCAAGAUAAAAUAUCAAAUAAGUAUAUAAGCACAAAUACUGCUUACAUCCUUAGGUGGGAGAAACUUUUCUCAAGUAUCAUUCAAGCUCGUAUCGGCCCAGUAAAUAUAAUGUAGCGCUUGAUGAUCUAGUUAUAUCCUGCAAGAGCAAAAUCACAACUCUUUUCUCUGUCAAAAACAAAUAACCCUCAGAGUUAGGAUCACUCCAUGGAUUCUUUCUUCAGAUGUUCAUUCUAAAGAAAUAAAAUCUCUUAUGAACAGAGAGUUAUAAAAAGAGAAAAAAUGCAAAAAUAAUGUGAUAUUGAUUGCAAGAGAAGGUAAGCAAUCAAGGAAGAAAGCUGGUGGGAGCAGACAACAAGCUCAGCAAUCAAGGAAGGAAGCUGGUGGGAGCAAACAACAAGCUCUCAUUUCUUCUAGUCUAGAAGAACUUCCGGAGAUUAGAGCAUAAGGUUGCCUUCACAGUUCCCUGAUGUGGCGGAAACGUGAUCAGGGAUAGUCUCUCUUCCUGAAUGGAUGAUUAGAGAUAGUCUUGCUUCUCGGGCAUAUUAAGUGCUCACUGAUAAGAAAAACAAGUAGAUAUCGCAUCACUAGGUAUGGAGAAAAACUGGAUGUCUUCUGCAAAGAAAAUUUCGUUAGUAACACAUUUAUACACAAAUAAGAGGAAUAGGUAGAACCGGUGAAUUUCAAAUUAACCAUAGGAAAAUUGCGAGAUUCUCGGGGUGCUUUUGAAAAAAUAGCUCCGUGAAAUCCGCAAAGCAAGAUCGGCUUUUGACGAAAAUAAUACUUUGAAAACGCCGAAAGUGCCGACAAACAUUAAUGGAGGCCACGUGAAGUUUUGGAAUCUGGAAAGAAAAAGAGAAUAUGGGGAUCCGAAAAGAUAUUGGGAUCCUGAAAAACUGUAGCCAUAUUUCCUCCUAUAGAUAUUGCCUUUGCAAAACUUGAUUGGAGCAACUGCGUUUCAACUUAACUUCCUUCAUUUUCUGAAACUUUAGUUUUCUUAAGACUUUCUUCGAAACCUUCUUAAAAAUGGCUUCCUCUUCUUCCUGCCCAAAUUAUUUCAAUUUAAAUGAUACUCCCACAACAACCAGUGACGCCAAAGUUUGGCGUCCAUCCUUUGUAUCCCAAAAUCGUCAUCUCACAGUUAAUGAUUCUGUGAUGAUGAAUGAUGCUACUGCUGUCAUAGUAGCUAGGAAUUUCAUUACUCCAAUGGAUGAAAUGCUGUUAACAGGGAGGUCUGAGGAAGAGGCUAUUGAUGACUCAAUGGCUUUUAGCAUUCAGUGUGCUGCUUCUGUUUCUAACAUGGCUGAUCGUUUGCGUGCUAGAGCAGACGAGGUUGAGAGGCUAACAACUGAAAAUUCGUCUCUCCAAAGAAUGCUUCAUGAGUCUCAACAGGAGGUUGAGAAACUUAAAGGAGAGAAUAAUGCCUUGUUGAAACUGGUGAGUUCGUACUCUGUUGAUACACUGAGAAGGCUAGACAUGCUGCAGGUCUCCAAUGAAAGAAUUUUGGGAGACCACGAGAGGCUCAUGGCUAAGCUUAAGAGGCGUCGUCCUCUUCCUUCAGAAGCUUCCAGAACAUAAUGUAAUUUUAUAGAUUUUACAGGGCCUGCACCUUCAUUGCAGGUGGAAAAAUCUAUCUGUUGUAUGUUCCUUUCAUGUUAUAAUAAUUGCGCACAUUCUUAAACUUGCACUUGUGGUUUUUUUUAUUUUUUUUUUAUACGUCUUUUCAAAAUGACGGUUUGGAACCUUGUGCCUUAUAGGUUCAAAUAACCACAUCGACUCUCCCAAAUUUCAUAUUUCAAUGUAUGGAACUUUUGGCCUGGGCUAAACACAAACUCAGAAUUUAUUCGCCCUUUUCAAAUGGACAUGAAAUAUGAAUAGAGUAAAAGCCAUGCUAAUAUCUCAUAUAUUUGGGUUCAUGAGCUUCCGGCCCAGAUAUAACAAAAUGUGAGGGGAGCCUCAAUUCAUCAUUCUCUUAUGCCAAAGAAAUAUGUGGCGUACCACAAUUUGCAAUAAUACCUCAAGGGUUGUCCAUUUAAUUGUUGGAACUUCAGGUUCUCAACACUGUUAGAUUUUGAACCUCAAGCUAAAAUCACAUGUUCUCAUGGUAUGGACAUUUUUAAAAUUUUCUGUACAUAUUUCUGGACUUCAAGCCCUUACAUAAUUGUCCAUAUCUUGAGGAACUUCUGGCAUCUCAUUUAAUUGCUCAUUCAUGAGUUUAAGGAACUGCAGGUUCCCUUUUUGAAUAGUGAUGGUUUACCCAAAAUGGUUAAUAUUUAUGUAUACGUUACUAUUCAUAUAUCCGGUACUAUUCAUCAAGUCAUGAAUACGUAUCUAUUCAUGUGUACAGUACAUUUGCCAGUACAGUUAUCAUCCAUGUGUACGGCAUUAUGAACCAAUACGGUACUGUUACAUCAUUAAGGAACCCCAGGUCCUUAUUUACAUGUCAGGGAUCAAGGACCCUCAAGUCCAAUCACAUGUUUACAAAUAUAGUACCGGAGAGACUGCCAGCUCUCAUAUCAACGUCAUCAUCAAGGAUCUUCAAGUCCUGAUGUAAUUGUAUGAUGAAGAUCAAGGAACUUCUGGUCCUGAUCUGCAUACUGUAAAAACUCAUCAUACAGCACAAUUAAUCCAUAAAAUAAAUUACAGGUAAAUAAAUUACUGGUAUGGACGAUAAACCCGCACCAUACUUUAAAUAAAUAUAAAUGUGCGGUAAAAUAAAUUUAUAAAUUAAAUUGCUUGCUGUAUGGACGUUAAUCCCGCACCAUACUUUAAAUAAAUGUAAAUGUGCGGUAAAAUAAAUUUAUAAAUUAAAAUAAAUGUAAAUGUGCGGUAAAAUAAAUUUAUAAAUUAAAUUGCUUGCUGUAUGGACGUUAAUCCCGCACCAUACCUUAAAUAAAAUUAAAUGUGCGGUAAAGUAAAUUCAUAAAUUAAAUUGCUUGUUGUAUGGACGUUAAUCCCGCACAAUACCUUAAAUAAAUGUUAAAUGUGCGGUAAAGUAAAUGUGCUUGUAUGGGUAUUAAUUCUGCUCCAUACAUUUAAAUAAAAGUAAAGGCGUGGACGAUAAACCCGCACCACCCUUUUAAAUAGAUAAUGUUGUAUGGGUAAUAAACCUACACCAUACAGUAAAUAAAAUAAAUGUGGGGAUAAAAACCACCACAAAAAAAUAUAGAAGGUGAAACUGUCCAUAUAAUUACCAUAUAUAAGGAUAAAGUAAAGACAAUUAUUUGUGCAUUCAUAUCAACACCACAAUCAAAUAAUAUGAUAUUAUUAUACUAAUAUAUUAGUGGAAAGCAAGACAUAUCAUGUUGGCUUUUCUUCUUUUCACUUGCAAUUAAGUUGAACUUGUUGUGUAGAGAAAUAAUAAAAUAAUAAAAAAAAGUAAGAGGCAUAGAGCUUAUCCUUACAGUUGGUUUGCUCGUAUAUCUCUCUUGCAGACCACAGCUCCUCCACUACUUUUCUUCCUUACAUCGACAUAAGGGUUAGUAGUAUAGAUAAUAGUGCAACACAAAAAUUAUACCUGAGAGCUUCUCGUGUUGAUAACGUGUUAUAAAAUAACUGGGAUAUGUGCGAAUAUUGAGCUGCACGUAAAGUAGAUGAGACACAGUAUUUAACGAGGUUCGGUUAUGCCUACGUCCUCGGAGAGCAGUAACAGUAACUUUUCACUAUGUAAAAUAAUAGGGCUACAACUUUGUGUUUACAAUAUGUAUGGCUCACUCAAUUUUCUCUCUUGGAGAAUUUCUCUCUUGCUCUCUUUCCUCUCAACUCACUCACCCUCAUUCUUCCUUCUCUUCCUCUUCUAUAUGUGUAAACUUCUCUUGAUGGAGGUAUCUAUUUAUAGGCCUAAGACAUUGGUUGUUCACCUCACAAUAUAAUUGGUAGACAACAUCAUUAAUAUUCUUCAAUCAACAACAUCAUUAAUAUUCUUCAAUCAAUUGGGUAGUGGUUUGGUUUGGUGGGUGUGUGGUUAGGUUUGGUGGGUGUUAGUUGGCUAUGUGGGCUUCACCUAUUCUUCUUUACUUAUUCUUCUUUACAACAAUAGCAUUAUUUUCUUUCCUUUUUCGGUUCGCACCUCCUUUUGUUCCGCUAAUCUCAUUUUAAAAUGAGUGCUGUUAUUUCCACCCACAUGUCAUAUUUUUUCACUCACUUUAUCUUCCCACCCACCAUAUAAAUUUGCAAAAGGUAAUCCUAUUUUUCCGCCCACCAUAAAAUAUCCUUUACGGUGCAUCCAGCCAUUGUUUUUGUAAAUCAUCCAUAAUCAAUGUAUGAAUUUAAAUACUGAACACGAGUUUGGGAGUUGUCUGUGUAGAUAGAAACUGAAGAAUUGAAACUAACUUCAAAUUUGGGAAGAGUUGAAAACCAUAAACAUUGCAUCACAAAUCCAAUGGCGGGUAACAAAUUUGUUUUCUUGUAUUUCAGUUUCUUUGUACUUUAGUUUUACAUUUUUUUUUGGGUGUUAGUGCUCAUGUGGUUUUCCUUUCUGGAAACCUAACUUUGUAUGAUCUAUCUGUCCUCUUCGUUAAUAAAGCCUACUUUGAUCAAAACAGAAAAUCCAAUAGCGGGUAACAAGAACUUGCAGAGAGAGAGAGAGAGGCUGAGGUCGGGUCAGUAAGGAGAUGGUGGGGGUGGGUGGCAGUGAGAUGGUGGGGUGCUAGGGUUUGGAGAGGGCUGUUAGGGAUGAGUGGGUUCAUUCAAAGAGAGAGAUGGGAGAAGAGAGAGCGAAAGAGGGAGACGGAUUAGGGAAGAAUGUGAAGUCUGGGGAUGAUUUUUUAUUUUUAUGAAAAGCUAGAGAUGAAUUUUCAAUUUUAAAGCUUUUCCCUUAGUUAAAGUUUUUUUUUUAAAAAAAAAAUAUUUACAUUUUACAUUUUAUAAAGGGGUAAAUUUGUCUUUAAAAUUUUGAAGAUAAGGUGAGUGGGGAAAUAAGAUAAGGGAGUGGAAAUAUCAGCACUCUUUAAAAUUGACCACAUGCCUUUCCUAUGCUUUACCUUUUUUUCUUAUUAUAAAAAAAGUGGCAGGAGUGUCACCUCUCCAAGCCGAGCACGGAUUAAGAGAAAGCUCUACUCAAGAGAUUCGUUACCACCCAUAAUUAAACUUAAUCUGCACAUAUCACCCUUAGCCACACAUUUUGCAAAUACAAUCUAUAAAUCAUACAUGAAAAACAAUAAAACAGAAAUUAAACUAAACUAAAUGACUAUGAAUAUACCGAUAGCGAGUGUAAUCGUCGUGGUGCAACAAACCAUGCUGCAUCUGAGCAGAUCAAGAGAUCCAAUACUGUAAAAAUCAAAUUAAAAAAGAAAGAAGACGACGAAGAUGUAGUGAUUUGAAAAACAAACGGAUCAGAGUGCAAACCGUUAAUGGAGAAUUUAGGGGAAAUCUGAUCGGCACUGUUUGACUAAGGGUAAAAGAAUCAUUUCACAAAGGGAUUAGGUCUUGAAAAUCACUUGAAAAAUAGUCACCGUUGCCAUAAUUGCAACAGCAGCAGUGGAUUUCUGGCCCAGUUUCUUUAUUGAGCUCCUUGAUAAUUCUUAUUGAAUUUACAGUUUCCAACACCUAAUAUGAGAAACAAGCUUCAAAAUCUCCUCAUCACGCUCAUCAAAACCCUCGCACUCCCUCACAUCCAGAAGCACAAGCUCUCUGCACUCCUUCAGCAACAUCACAAGAUCGUUCUUCUCCAGGCAUGAGAGCCUGAAGCACAGGUACUUCAAAUUAAAUUAUUUACAAUCAGAAAUAAAUUAUUAAAAACAAAUGCACAUACAAUUAAAGAUAAGAAUUCCCAUCGUUUAACCCAAAAAAAAAAAAAACAAAACAAGAAGCACCCAAACAAAUAACAUACUAGUUAGUCACAAUAAAAGUGACUUUUUGCCUUUUUUUCGUUUUUGGGUCCAUUCUGCCGACACCUACUUUUUAUUCUUCUUCUGCUCCUUUUCUCUUUCAUUUUCCUAUCACCACCAACGUUCAUCUUUUUCUUCUUCUUCUUCUUCAUAAAACCCAAACUCGAGGGUACUAUUCAUCACUCUAGAAGUCCAAUUUCGAAAGCUCAAAUAAAAAAACUUCAUUCAUCAAAGUUGUUCAUCUGUUCGAAUACUACAACAUACCCAAACAUGAGCAUCAUCAGACCGGUCUAGCUACCUCGAACCGGCUAUGACAUUUUUAUGUUUAUCCAUGGCUGGUGAGUUUUCUGCAGCUCGGUUUUCAACAGUUUUCUUUAAUCUCCAUUGCUUGUUUGACAAAACGUCCUUCUCUAAGGUUGUUCCUCAGUUGGAGAACUUUGACAUCCAAAAAUCAGAGCAAUCCAACUACUCUAACUAUGUCUGUGGUAAGCAUGUUCGUCACUUCCUCGGAUUCUGCUGUUAUCACUGUAAAGUACCUUAUUCACUCUUGUAUGUCACUUUUCCCUUGCUCAGAUGACAAUACUUCCUUCAUGAAGCUUGUUCAGAAUUCUUUUCUCUACAAUAUAUCCAAAAAUAGCGGCAGUCCAACAAGUGUAGCUUUCUCGGCAGUGGUACACCUGAAACAAGCUUUUGGUAGUUUUCAAGUGUUGUUUGAAUUGGUUAUUUCUCUUUGGGAGCUUCACGUAGGAUUUCGCACCAAUAUUAAGGUAAAGUUUUAAGAUGCUUUGAUUCUGGAAAUUUGUGUCUGAGUUGUUGGCCGAAGCCGAAUUUGAAAGUGGAAGUACCAAAAGAUAAUUUAAAAUAAGUAUAUGUAAAGUGAAAAUAAAGGAAAAUGUAAGGACCAAAGUGAAAUUAUGGAUAAGUCUGAAGACUGAAAUGUAUUGGAAAAAGUAUAGGGGCCAAAGUGAAAAUAAAGGAAAGUAUAAGGACAAAAGUGAAAUUAUUGACAAGUGUGAGGACUAAAGUGCAAUUAAAGCUAGUUAUAAUGACUGAAUUGCAAAUGAGGGUUUUUAGUAACAUUUUUAAAAUGUUGGCCUAGGAAUCAGUUACCCAAGCAAGAACAAUUUGAGUUCAAAGGUGUAGAAUUCAAGUGAGGCAUUAGCUUUGGAUUCCAGGUAGGGGGACUCACUCCUGAACUUGUAUUUUUGUGUAUGUAUGACAUUGUAUAUAUUGUUGUGUGCGAAAACGAAAACUGUAAUGUUUGUGAUUGCCUAAAUUAACACUUUAGUUUUUUUUAUUUUCUUUACUUUUUUUUUUGUUGGGUGAGCAAAAUACAAGUGGUUCCUUUACACUUUAGUAGGAAAACUCUUGUUCAUAACUUUGGUAAUAAUCUUUCUUUAUUUUGGGGAUUAAGGUCCUAUUUGUUUACUUUCUCCGGUUCGUUGCUUUUCUUCCUUUGCUUGUUCUAUUUCUCUCAUCUUACAACACAAAUAUAUAUAUAUAUAUUUCAAAAAUAAAGAAAGCUCUAUUUCAAAAAUAGAAGUUCAUUCUUUAUUUUGUUUCUCUUCUAUCUCUGGUGUGUUUAUCCCUCUUCUUGGUAUCAGAGCCAUAAGAGUUACGGUCUUUGUCUAAGUCUGCUACUCAUCCCCGCCCAAGUGGCUGGUUUAAGCUUCUGAGUAGAAGUUCUUCAAUUUCUUCCUUUCCUUCCCUUUUAUUCUUUGAGUUAUUUGUUAAUCUUUCUUUAAGGUCUGACCCGUGAGUCCUUUUUCCAAACAGUAAGUCCCCAGUGUAGAGGACCUGAGCGGUGGGCAGGAGACAAAAUUAAGAGAGGUUAAUAGGUUCCUUGUUGAGUAAACGGUCAGUUUAGGAAGUCUCUGUUUAUCUUCUUCCUCAGAUAGCCAAAUCCAAUCAUUUGAGUAGUCACGAGUCGUUUAUUUAGAACGAAUUCCUGUAGUUCAAACAGUUCUAAAACCAAUAUAAGCCGACUCCCAGAGAUAGUUAAUGAAGAACAAUUUGAAUAUGAUUCUAGUAGUAAAGAACAACUAGACUUUAGAGAUUGGAAUAUACCUAAAGUCCCGAAUCAAAAAAUAUAUAAGAAACAUUGGUUGCCUUCUAGUUUUAAUAGCACAACUCAUGUGAAAACAGUUGAACAAGUGUAUGCUUUAAGUAAAGAACAUGAAACCUGCCAAUUGCUUAAUCUUGAUUCAAUUAAGAAACAUAAGAAUGAUGGUAAUAACUUUCUGCUUAUUGGAUUAGUUCAAGUUGAUGUAAAACCCCUAACAAGAUUAGGUUUGAAAGCCUCAAUUCUUCUUUGUUUGCGUGAUGCUAGAUUUACUGAAUUUAGUGACAGCACCUUAUGAGUCAUUGAGUCCAGUUUAUGUAAUGGCCCAGUACAUUUUAAUUGUUAUCCUGAUUUCACUGUAAGUCUCAGUGAUCCUCAUAUACUAAGAACAUUAACUCUAAACAUUAAGACUGAAGGUUACAAUGUCCUCCCAGGAACCCAACCUUUAGCCUUGGUUUACAGAAUUUAUUACAAAGUCACAAGUACUAAUAUGAAUUUUCAAGCUCUUAAUAAAAGCCCAAAAGACCAAACUGUUUUAAUCCAGAGUCAUACUUCAGAUGCCCAUAUCCAAGUCCCUCAAACCAUUAAGUGGUCAGAAGUUGCCCUUCCAAAAGAUUAGAGUCUAAACAAUUUAGAUUACAUCCAACAAUAUUUAGAUGGCACAGUAAAAAUUAGAUUUGAAAAUCAACCCUUGAAGAAAUCUAAUGUCUAGUUGCAACAGCUACCGAUCCCUGGUCAAUCCCAGAGGCAUGCCCCUGCCAGGCAUUCCUUUGCAGCUUCGUCCUCCACUCUGGAGCGCGAUUUAGAAUUAGAAAAAGCCAUGAUUGAUUUCAAACUUGAGUCCCUGAGAAAAACCUCUCAGGUAAACCAACCUUGCUAUGGCAAGAUACCAGUCCAAGAUGAUAAGUCCGAUUCGCCUAAAUCACCCACACAAUCUGACUUCUUAGUUGAAAACUUUGCAAUAGUCGAUAAUCAACUUAGAACCCUUAAUAAAAAAUUUGAGAUUAAUUGGAAGCGUUUAAAUUACCACCUCAAAGCCCCGGAAAAUCAACCCAGGAGAGACAGUUAUCAUCAAGCCUACCCUGAUAGUGAAAGCCGCCAAAAAAUCUUUAAUGAAUGGAAAUAUUAUAUGCGGUCAGCCAAAGUUGAAAUUUUUUACCUUGAUUUUAUUGAAAGCCGCUAUAUGUCUAAUGAUGAGUUAAAAACUUUAACUAAAGAAAAAUGGAAAAUGAUCGACAGGUCAGAAGUUGAAGCUAGUCAUCCUCCAGUUGAUACCAUAAUCAUCAACCAUAAGAAUACACAUACCUAUACCUGCCACUCCCUUCAAAACCUUUGAAAACGAUGAUGAUAAUAGAAGACUUAUUGAGCAGAAUAAUUAUACCAAUCAGAGUUUAAUCGUCAUAGGAAAAUAAUUAGAUACAAUUGAAACCAAGAUAGACAAAAUAAGUUCCCCUGAGAUUAAGUCCAAAACAAAAGUUGAAAAACCAAUAGUUCAGUUUCAGGAUCUUAAGUCAAGCCCUGCGCUUAAGAUAAAACCCACAAUGAAAAAAAUUGAAGAAAUGUUAGAACAGUUGACCCCAAGUAAAAAUCUGGUCUUAAAACACUAGAUUCUUUUGCAGUCAUAAACUCCUCUGAGUCUGAGACAACAGAAUCUGAAACUAGUAAUAUUUCAAAAAUAGAAGAUGCUUUAAAAAAUUUAGAAGUCCAAGUUGAACCCAAAAUCAAAAGAUUAGAUAGACACAUAAGCCCCACUAGCUUAACCAAAAAUUGGUACCCUAGACCAACACCUCCAGAUAUCCAAUUUGAAGAAAGAAACUUCCAAACCCAGUUUUCAGUUUCUUCUGAAAAAUUGUAUGAAUGGAAUAUUGAUGGUCUAUCUGAGCAAGAAAUCUUGAAUAAGUUACAACAUAUGUCAAUGGUUGCCAACAGUUACAUCACCAAUCACAGUUUCAGACAGUCUGAAAUCGUUCCCCUGUUAGUUACUGGAUUCACUGGUACUCUCAGGUAUUGGUGGGACAAACACUUAACCUCUGAGUCCAAAAAUCUGAUCAUUCAUGCUGUAAAACUUAAUGAAGAUGGUCUCCCUAUAUUUGACGAACAAAUAGGUCAAGGUAUAGAAGACGGAGUCAACACUUUGUUUUACACAAUAAUUGAGCAUUUCAUUGGAACCCCUAGUAACACCAUUGCUAGGAUCCAUGACCAACUACGUAACCUCAAAUGCCCUAAGUUGUCUGAUUUCAGAUGGUACAAAGAUGUCUUUAUCUCUAGAGUUAUGCUUAGGGAUGAUAGUAAUCAACCUUUCUGGAAAGAAAAAUUUGUUAAUGGUCUUCCAAACCUGUUUGCCCAUAAAAUACACACAACUCUGAGUAAUGAACAAGGUCACAUAGAUUGGGAUAGUUUGACGUAUGGAAAUAUCAUAAGUACAAUCAACCAAGUUGGAAUGAAAAUGUGUAUUGACUUUAAAAUUAGUAAACAAAUACAGUCCGAUAGAAAAUCAGCCAAAUACGAAUUAGGUAAUUUCUGUGAACAGUAUGGUCUUACCAGCAUCCCUCCUUCCAGGAAAAAUAAGCCUAGUCACCUUCGAAAAAAUUGUUAUUCUUUCCGAAGAAAACAAUUUUCUCGACAUAAUGAUGAUAAUCAUGAGUUCUAUAAGAAAAGGAAAUUUUUCCCCAAGAAAAAUUGGUCGAAAGCCCCAACAGGUCAAAAGAGUCGUCAUUCCAAGAGAAAUACUGAUAAAACUAAGGUCAAAUGUUUCAAAUGCCAAAAGUCUGGUCAUUAUGCCUCUGAAUGCAAAGUAAAAGAUACUAUUAAACAGUUGAAAAUUGCAGAUGAAGAAAAAGAAAAAUUGCUAAAAGUCUUGGAGUUGCGAGACUUUGAAACAAGCAAUGAUGACACUUUAGUGGCCAACUCUGAGUCUAAUUCUGACCAGUCUUCAAAAUCACAGUUAAGUUCACCCAACAUCCAAAUUGGUUGCACAGAUAAGUGUUGUAACAUAUUAAAAUCUAUUUCUUUUCUUACCAAACAAGAAGAACAAGAGGAAUUACUAAUAGACCUAAUAAGCAAAGUUAAGAAUCCCGAAUUAAAAUCAGAAUAUUUAAAGAAAUUAAGAAAGGUCAUUAGCCAAGAAAGCCCAACUCAUUCUACUCCCCAGUCGAUUAGUAUAAAUACUACUUUAGAGAAAUUUGCUCAAAAGAAAGAAAUUACCUUACAAGACCCCCAAUUAGAAGUAAAAUUGAUUAAAAAAGAGAUCGUUGAAUUAAAACAAAUAAGUCAUAAGUUACAAAGUGAGAAUUACACGAUCAAACAAGAUUUAGCCAAUCUUUUGAAAAAAGAGUCUUUUGAGUCCAAAAGCCAGUCAGAAAGUCCAAAUAACUCUGAUGAUGAACCUUCACCUUCUAAUAGCCAACAAGUUGUAAAUUUAAUUAAACAAGUUAACCUUAGAAAAUGGUACUCGAAAGUGACGAUUUUCGUCCAAGACUUUGAAUUUACCACAGUUGCCCUAUUUGACUCAGGAGCUGAUCUUAACUGUAUUCAGGAAGGUCUAAUUCCUACUAAGUUUUACCAGAAGUCUAGAGAAUCCCUAAGCACUGCUUCGGGAAAAACACUCCAGUUAAAUUUUGAACUGCCUAAAGCCCAUAUCUGCCAGAUUAAAGUCUGUUUCAAAACCUCAUUUGUCUUAGUCAAAAACAUCACUGACGAAGUCAUUUUGGGAUUACCUUUUAUUGCCUUAUUGUAUCCCUUCUAGGUAGACUAUGAUCGUGUCAUCUCUACCCAUUUAGGCGAAAAGGUCAAAUUUGAAUUUCUGUCUAAACCAGAGUUGCAUAAUUUAAAAACCUUGCAAAAACAGUCAGUGUCCAAGUCAAUACAAAUCAUUCGGAAAAAUAACCAGUUGAAUUUUCUUAAAGAAGAAAUUAGAUUUAAAAGAAUUGAACAAUAGAUUGCUGAUAAAUCUCUGCAAUUGCAAAUUCAGCAUUUUGAAAAUAAAUUGAAAAAUGAGAUUUGCUCUGAGUUGCCUAAUGCCUUUUGGUAUAGAAAACAACAUGUUGUUUGUCUUCCUUAUAUCAAAACCUUUAAUGAGAAACACAUUCCUACCAAAGCCAGACCAAUUCAGAUGAGUCAAGACAUAAUGGAGUUUUGUAAAAAAGAAAUUCACGAGUUGCUUCAAAAGAAAAUAAUCUGCAAAAGCAAGUCCCCUUGGUCAUGUCCUGCUUUUUAUGUCCAGAAAAAUGCUGAGCUAGAAAGAGGAGUCCCGAGAUUAGUUAUCAACUACAAGCCACUUAAUUCAGUUUUAGAAUGGAUUAGGUACCCCAUACCUAACAAAAGAGACCACAUUAAUAGAUUAGAAAAGGCAGUUGUUUAUUCUAAAUUUGAUAUGAAGAGUGGUUUCUGGCAAAUCCAAAUCGAAGAGUCAGAUAGAUAUAAGACUGCAUUUGUUACUCCCUUUGGUCAUUAUGAAUGGAAUGUAAUGCCAUUUGGUCUAAAAAAUGCCCCUAGUGAAUUCCAAAAUAUUAUGAAUGAAAUUCUUAAUCCUUACAGCCAUUUCUCAAUUGUUUAUACUGAUGAUGUUCUUAUCUUCUCUGAGUCUAUAGAACAGCAUUGGAAACAUUUGCAUAAAUUCUUCCAAAUAGUCAAACAGAAUGGUCUAGUUGUUUCCACCAAGAAAAUCAAGUUAUUCCAAACCAAUGUCAGGUUUCUUGGUUUCAACAUCUCCCAGUCACAAAUCUCCCCAAUUGAUUGAGUCAUUCAAUUUGCUGACAAAUUUCCUGAUCAAAUCCUUGAUAAAAGUCAACUCCAGAGGUUCCUAAGAUCUUUGAAUUACAUUUCUGACUUUUACCAAAAUCUGAGAAGACAAUGGUAAGCCCUUGUUUGAUAGAUUACAGAGUAAUCCUCCUCCAUGGUCAACCAUCCAUACUGAAGUUGUCAAACAAAUCAAAGCCCAUGUCAAGACACUUCCCUGUCUUGGUAUUCCUUCAGUUGAUUCCUUUAAAAUAGUUGAAAUUGAUGCCUCUGACAUUGGUUAUAGUGGUAUCCUCAAACAAAGAAUUUGUUCAAAAUCUCCAGAACAGAUUGUUCGUUUUCAUUCUGGAACUUGGACUCAGUCGCAAAAUAAUUAUAGUACUAUUAAAAAAGAAAUAUUAGCUAUUGUACUGUGUAUUAGUAAAUUCCAAGAUGAUUUGCUCAAUCAAAAGUUUUUAAUACGAGUUGAUUGUAAAUCUGCAAAACAUGUUUUAGAAAAAGAUGUUCAAAACAUUGCAUCUAAACAGAUUUUUGCACGUUGGCAAAGCAUUUUAAGUAUAUUUGAUUUUGAUAUUGAAUAUUUGAGAGGAAGUGAGAAUUCAGUUCCUGAUUUUCUUACUCGAGAAUUCUUGCAGGAUACACAAUGGAACCCAAAAAAGACAAGCAAAAAGAAUCAGCCAAUCAACCUAAGCCACCCCAGUCGCUUCGAACCCUUCGUCCAUCCAUGAGUCAAAAUAAGCCAGAAAUGCCAGAAAUGCCCAAACAGUUGAUUCCUUUUCCUGGUUGCACUCCCAUUUCAGUUGCCACGCCAAUAUCAGUUGCUAAUAGGUUUUCUACCCUAGGAUCCACAGUUGGCCAAAUCCGCCCCAGUUAUCAGUCAACCCUAGUCUCUAGUUAUGAUCCUUUUUCAGUAGAUACCCCAGCUGGCCCCUCAGUUGCCUUCAAAAAAUCAUCCCCUUAUUUGCCCAAAAGCAAUUCUCACUUAUUUGUUAUUGAGCCUGUUUAUGAUAUUCAUUCUGAUCCCAUUGAAAUAGCCAAACACUAUUUCCCCCCAGGAUUUCAUUAUAUGCCACCCAGUCCAUACAAGUCUCUCAAGUAUUAUAGGGAUAUUACUUGAAACCCAGUCAGUUGAAAUCAAACCAAUAAAGGAUCGAGAUCACCUUGAGAUCAUCCUUUAUCAUUCCCUUUAUAUUCACAAAAUCCUGAGCCAAGAAUCUUUUAGUAGCCGCCCUUAUGAAUUAAAGCUCCUUAAGUCAAAAUUACAAUAUAAAUAUUCUGAUUAUAUUGAAGCCUGGUACUCUAUUUUCCUCCACCAGUCUGAGGAUUUUAGCCAUUCCUGGUUUAUCAAUUUCGACAAUAAGUUCAAAUGCUCUUUUCCCUAUUGGUUCCUCCAUUGGUGGGAAAAACAUGGUCCAGUUGAUGAAAUUUUGCCUGUUUCAGUUCAUGAGUUAAUUCGCCAUUAUACCAAAAAAGCCAAAUUCUCCAAAGUUGAUUUAUUCUUCCCAAAACAGUUGCUCUUUAUUACCAGAUAUAAAGUCCCUUGGAUCCUCAAAUGGUCCUAUAGAAUAACCAAAGAUGCCAGAAUAUUUGCCCGUCAAUUCUCUGUUAAAUGGUGGGACAAAUUUGAAGUUGAAAGAAUUGCCAAGUAUGUCUACAAUGAUCUUCCCCAUGAGCCUAUUCCGCACCCAGUUUCUCCUACUGGUUCAGUUCGAUCUUCUCUCUCAGUCGAAGGGAAAUCAAAGUCUGAACUCCACGAAAUUGCUCGCCAGUUGAUCAUUCAAGCCUCUCAAAUGGAUGAUGAUGAAGAUAAUGAUUCUCCUUCGUCAUUUAGUUGUCAGCCAAUGCAGAGCCCUGCCAAGCAUAAGUCCUGGUAUGAAGAUAGUCAAGACCCCUAUGAUGCCUAUGACUUGCACUCUGAUUAGGCUCCUAGUUGCAGACACAAUAAUUGCCCCAAGUUGCAGACAAAAUAAUUGCCUCGGUUUGAAGCAUCCAUCCGCUUUCUCAUCACUUCACCGAAAGUGGCCUGAGCAAAAGAAUAGUAAAAGUUAUUCCUUUAGAAAAAGACAAGAGUGAAAGUUGAAUCAGUUCUUUCCCGUGCCUCUACAGUAGCAUUAACCAUAGUUGCUUUUUACUAAAUUACUCAAAAUAGAGAUAAUUGAAAAUAACAACUUUUAUUUAUACUCACAAAAUAGCAACUGCAACUUCAAGCUUCACACUCAGUAUUUACAAGGAUGAUUUCUCCAAAAGUGUUUCAGAGAGAAUCUAUAAAACUGAAUUCUGAAAUUUUUUAGUUCUGCUUACAACUGAGGCCAAGGCCAUCUUAAAUAGGUAGAGGCAACUACAGUUUAAGCAACUAUAGUAAAAAGCAACUACGGUUAAUGCUACUGUAGAGGCACGGGAAGGAACUGAUUCAACUUUCACUCUUGUCUUUUUAUGAAGGAAUAACUUUUACUAUUCUUUUGCUCAUGCCACUUUUGGUAAAGUGAUGAGAAAGCGGAUGGAUGCUUCAAACCGAGGCAAUUAUUUUGUCUGCAACUUGGGGCAAUUAUUGUGUCUGCAACUAGGAGCCUAAUCAGAGUGCAAGUCAUAGGCAUCAUAGGGGUCUUGACUAUCUUCAUACCAGGACUUAGGCUUGGUAGGGCUCUGCAUUGGCUGGCAACUAGAUGACGAAGGAGAAUCAUUGUCUUCAUCAUCAUCCAUUUGAGAGGCUUGAAUGAUCAACUGGCGAGCAAUUUCUUGAAGUUCAGACUUUGAUUUCCCUUCGACUGAGAGAGAAGAUCGAACUGAACUAGUGGGAGAAACUGGGUGCCGAAUAGGCUCAUGGGGAAGAUCAUUGUAGACAUACUUGGCAAUUCUUUUAACUUCAAAUUUGUCCCACCAUUUAACAGAGAAUUGAUGGGCAAAUAUUCUGGCAACUUUGGUUAUUCUGUAGGACCAUUUGAGGAUCCAAGGGACUUUAUAUUUGGCAAUAAAGAGCAACUGUUUUGGGAAGAAUAAAUCAACUUUGGAGAAUUUGGCUUUUUUGGUGUAAUGGGGAAUUAACUCAUGAACUGAACAGGCAAAAUUUCAUCAAUUGGACCAUGUUCUUCCCACCAAUGGAGGAACCAGUAGGAAAAAGAGCAUUUGAACUUAUUGUCGAAAUUGAUAAACCAUGAAUGGCUAAAAUCCUCAGAUUGGUGGAGGAAAAUAGAGUACCAGGCUUCAAUAUAAUCAGAAUAAUUAUAUUGUAAUUUUGACUUAAGGAGCUUUAAUUCAUAAGGGCGGCUACUAAAAGAUUCUUGGCUCAGGAUUUUGUGAAUAUAAAGGGAAUGAUAAAGGAUGAUCUCAGGGUGAUCUCGAUCCUUUAUUGGUUUGACUUCAACUGACUAGGUUUCAAGUAAUAUAUCCCUAUAAUACUUGAGAGACUUGUAUGGACUGCGUGGCAUAUAAUGAAAUCCUGGGGGGAAAUAGUGUUUGGCUAUUUCAAUGGGAUCAGUACGGAUAUCAUAAACAGGCUCAAUAACAAACAAGUGAGAAUUGCUUUUGGGCAAAUAAGGGGAUGAUUUUUUGAAGGCAACUGAGGGGCCAACUGGGGUAUCUACUGAAAAAGGAUCAUAACUAGAGACUAGGGUUGACUGAUAACUGGGGCGGAUUUGGCCAACUGUGGAUCCUAGGGUAGAAAACCUAUUAGCAACUGAUAUUGGCGUGGCAACUGAAAUGGGAGUGCAACCAGGAAAAGGAAUCAACUGUUUGGGCAUUUCUGGCAUUUCUGGCUUAUUUUGACUCAUGGAUGGAGGAAGGGUUCGGAGCGACUGGGGUGGCUUAGGUUGAUUGGCUGAUUCUUUUUGCUUGUCUUUUUUGGGUGCCAUUGUGUAUCCUGCAAGAAUUCUCGAGUAAGAAAAUCAGGAAUUGAAUUCUCACUUCCUCUCAAAUAUUCAAUAUCAAAAUCAAAUAUACUUAAAAUGCUUUGCCAACGUGCAAAAAUCUGUUUAGAUGCAAUGUUUUGAACAUCUUUUUCUAAAACAUGUUUUUCUAAGUCACCCUUCCCUUAGAUUGGACCUUAACAAAUGAUAGUCCACCAGUCCCAACUCAACAUAGUCUAAACAAUUUAGAUUAUAUCCAACAAUAUCUAAAUGGCACAGUCAAAAUUAAUUUCGGAAACCAACCACAACAAAAGUCCUCAGUCCAGUUACGACAACUUCCCACACCUGGUCAAUCCCAGAGACACGUCCCUGCUAGACACUCCUUUGCAGCCGCCUCCUCUACUCAAGAACAAGACCUCAUGUUAGAGAAAGCUUUCAUUGAUUUAAAAUUAGAAUCGUUGAGAAAAUCAUCCCAAGUUAGUCAACCCUGUUAUGGUAAAACACUAGUCAAAGAAGAUACUAAAUCUGAGUCCCCUGAGUCACCUACACAAACAGACUUUGAAGCCGGUUUUCAAAUUGAUAACCAAUUAAGAACCCUUAAUAGAAAAUUUGAGAUCAAUUGGAAAAGAUUAGAUAGUCAUACGUGCCCCAGAAAACCAGUCUAGAAAAGAAAAAUACCAUACAGCCUAUCCUGACAAAAUCAAAAGAUAACAAAUUUUUAAUGAAUGGAAACAAUAUAUAAGAACAGCCAAAGUUGAAAUUUAUUAUCUUGAUUUUGUAGAAAGCCGUUACAUGACAAAAGAGUUAAAAACUUUAACCCAAGAAAAAUGGGAAAAAGAAGACAAAACAGAAGUCUUAGCCAGUCGUCCUCCAGUUGAGACAAUAGUUAUUCACCAUAAAAAGUCAAAAAUAGUGGCUAGACCUUACAAAAUCCCUGACGAAGACAAUAAAAUGAUUGUAGAACAAAACAAUUACACCAACCAAAGUCUAGUUGUCAUAGGAAAACAGUUAGACAAAAUAGAAACAAAAGUCGACAAAUUACUACCUAAUAAAGUUGAACCCAAAUUACAAAAAGAAAAACUUUUAGUUAAAUUCCAAGACUUAAAGUCAAGCCAAACCUUUAAGACAAAACCUAUAAUGAGAAAAAUAGAAGAAAUGCUUGAAAAAUUAACCCCUGAGAAAGCCAAGAAAUCCGGUGUUAAAGUCUUAGGAUCCUCUGAGCUACACUUUGCUGUAGUUAAUUCCUCUGAUUCUGAGUUAGUCAUUAGUAUGGAAACAUAAACUAGUAACAUUUCAAAAAUUGAAAAUGCGUUUAAAAAUUUGGAAUUAGAAAAUGAUUUAAAAGUUAAAAGGCUAGCUAAUAGAGUCAACCCCACAAGCUUAACCAAAAAUUGGUAUCCCAGACCAACCCCCCCAGAUAUCCAGUUUGAAAAACGAAACUCCCAGGGCCAGUUUUCCGUUUCUUCAGAUAAAUUAUAUGAAUGGAAUAUUGAUGGUAUAUUUGAGCAAGAAAUCCUUAAUAAACUUCAACAUAUGUCUAUAGUCGCCAAUAGUUACAAUACCAAUCACAGUUUUAGACAGUUUGAAAUUAUGCCUUUGUUAGAGACUAGUUUCACCGGAACCUUACGUUCUUGGUGGGAUAAACAUUUAACUGAUGAGUCUAAGCAACAAAUAAUCCAUGUAGUCAAACUUAAUGAAGAAGGUCUUCCUAUUUUCGACGAACAAGUAGGUUGAGGUAUAGAAGAUGGAGUCAAUACCUUAUUAUACACAAUAAUUGAGCAUUUCAUUGGAACACCUAGUAACACCACUGCUAGAAUUCAUGAUUAGCUUCGUAACCUUAGAUGCCCUAAGUUAUCUGAUUUUCGUUGGUAUAAAGAUGUCUUCAUCUCCAGAGUCAUGAUUAGAGAUGAUAGUAAUCAACCAUUUUGGAAAGAAAAAUUCAUUAAUGGUCUCCCUAAUUUGUUUGCACACAAAAUACGCACAGUCCUUAGUAAUGAUCAAGGUCAUAUAGAUUGGGAUAAUUUAACCUAUGGUAAUAUAAUUAGCACAAUUAAUCAAGUCAGUAUGAAAAUGUGUGUAGAUAUGAAAAUUGGAAAAUAAAUUCAGUCAGAAAAGAAUUCAGCUAAGUAUGAGUUAGGUAAUUUCUGCGAACAGUAUGGUCUAAUAUCUGUUCCCCCAUCUAGAAAAGCCAAGUCUAGUCACCAUGACCGACAGUUUAGUAAGCAUCGUCAUUAUUCAUGAAGAAAUCAAUCUUUCCGAAGAAUAAUGAGAAUAAUGAGUUUUACAGUAAAAAGAGAUUUUACCCGCGUAAAAAUUGAAAAAGAGUCACGAAAAAGAUAUGAAAAGUCACUUUAAGAAAACUACCGACAAAAGAAAAGUUAAAUGUUAUAAAUGUCAAAAGUUUGGUCACUAUGCUAAUGAUUGUAAAGUAAAAGACACAAUCAAACAAUUGAAAAUCAUGGAUGAAGAUAAAGAAAAGUUAGUCAAAGUCUUAGAGUUAAGAAACUCAAAGUCUAGUGAAAAUGAGACCAUGGUUAGUAACAUUGAGUCAAAAGAGUUUAAUUCCUCAGAUUCCCAGAUAAGUUCACCUAGAAUUCAAUUUGGUUGUCAAGAUAAUUGUUGUAAGUCUAAGUCAAUUAAUGUCCUUACUAAACAAGAAGAACAAGAAGAAUUAUUAAUUGAUUUAAUAAAGUAAAGUUAAAAACCCAGAGUUGAAAUCUGAGUACUUAAGAAAUUAAGGAAACACAUCAGUCAGGAAGAACCAAGUCCGUCUACCCCUCAAAGGAUAAGUUUGAACACUACUUUAGAAAGAUUCAACAAAAGAAAAGAAGUUACUUUACAAGAUUUACACCCAGAAGUAAAAUUAGUCAAAAAAGAAAUAGUGGAACUAAAACAGAUAAGUCAAAAGUUACAGGUAGAAAACUAUGAGAUUAAACAAGAUUUAAUUAAUCUAAUCGGAAAAUCUGAGUCUAUGCCAGUAAGCCCUACAAAUUCAUAUGGUGAACCCUCCAAUCAGGAUCAAGUUGAAUUAUGAGAUUCCUAAAGCCCAUAUAUGUCAAGAUAAAAUUUGCUUUAAAACCUCAUUCGUCUUAGUCAAAAAUAUUACUGAUGAAGUCAUCUUAGGAUUACCCUUUAUUGCCCUACUGUAUCUUUUCCAGGUAGAAUACGAUGGAGUCAUUUCUACCCAUUUAAGAGAAAAGGUUAAGUUUGAAUUCCUAAGUAAACCAGAGUUACAUAAUUUAAAAGCCUUGCAAAAGAACGCAGUCACCAAAACAGUUAAAAUAAUUGAAAAUAAAGAUAAGCAAUUAAGAUUCCUCCAGGAAGAAGUCAAAUUCAAAAGAAUUGAGCAACAACUUAGUCUUGAGUCUUUGCAGACACAAAUUCGCCAAUUCGAAGAAAAUUUUAAACAAGAAGUUUAUUCUGAGAUACCCAAUGCUUUCUGGCAUAGGAAACAACAUGUUGUUAGUCUUCCUUAUGUCAAAUCCUUUAGUGAAAAGAAUAUCCCCACUAAAGCCAGACCAAUUCAAAUGAGUCAAGAAUUAAUAUAAUUUUGUAAAAUUGAAAUUUCAGAAUUACUUGAGAAAGGAAUAAUUCGUAAGAGUAAGUCACCCUAGUCCUGCCCUGUUUUCUAUGUCCAAAAAAAUGCUGAGUUAGAACGCGGUGCCCCAAGAUUAAUUAUUAAUUAUAAGCCUCUUAAUACGGUAUUAGAAUGGAUCAGGUACCCAAUACCCAAUAAGAGAGAUCUAAUUAACAUGUUAGAAAAAUCAGUCAUCUUUUCUAAAUUUGAUAUGAAGAGUGGUUUUUGGCAAAUCCAAAUUCAUGAGUCUAAUAGAUAUAAAACUGCUUUUGUCACGCCAUUUGGUCAUUAUGAGUGGAAUGUCAUGCCUUUCGGUCUUAAGAAUGCGCCCAGUGAAUUUCAAAAUAUAAUGAAUGAGAUAUUUAAUCCCUUAAGUCAUUUCUCUAUAGUUUAUAUUGAUGAUGUUCUUAUCUUUUCUCAGUCGAUAGAACAACAUUGGAAACAUUUGCAUAAGUUUCUGCAGAUAGUCAAACAAAAUGGUCUAGUUCUUUCUGCUAAGAAAAUUAAGUUGUUUCAAACUAAUAUCUGAUUCCUUGGUUUUAAUAUCUACCAGUCACAGAUUAGUCUAAUUGAUCGAGUUAUCCAGUUUGCUGAUAAAUUCCCUGAUCAAAUCCUAGACAAAAGUAAACUCUAGAGAUUUCUAGGAUAUCUAAAUUAUGUUUAUGAUUUUUACAAAAAUUUGAGAAAACAAUGUAAGCCUUUAUUUGAUCACCUCCAGAGUAAUCCUCCUCCUUUGUCACCCAUUCAUACAGAAAUAGUCAAACAAAUCAAGGUCCAUGUCAAAACACUCCAUUGUCUUGGCAUUCCUUCAGUUGAUUCCUUCAAAAUAGUUGAAACUGAUGCCUCUAAUAUUGGUUAUGGAGGUAUUCUCAAGCAAAGAGUUUAUUCUAGUCAAAUUGAGCAAAUCAUCCGAUUCCGUUCCGGUAUUUGGACACAGUCACAAAGUAAUUAUAGUACUAUUAAGAAAGAGAUAUUAUCUAUAGUAUUAUGUAUUACUAAAUUUCGAGAUGAUUUAUUAAAUCAAAAUUUUUUAGUCCGAGUUGAUUGUAAGUCUACUAAGCAUGUAUUAGAAAAAGAUGUUCAAAAUAUUGCAUUCAAACAAAUUUUGCACGAUGGCAAGCUAUUUUGAGAAUAUUUGAUUUUAAUAUUGAAUAUUUGAGAGGAAGUGAGAAUUUUGUUCCUGAUUUCCUUACUAGAGAAUUUCUACAGGAAAAACAAUGGCAGACAGAAGAAAACAUAAAUAGAAAGAACAAGCCAGUCAAUCCAGAUCCAUUCAAUUCAGUCAACCCCAAUCACUCAGAGUACUCCCUCCAUCCAUGAAUCCACCUAAAAUAGAGUUACCAUCCCAGAUCAUCCCUUAUCCGGGAUGUUCUCCAAUCCAAAUAAGCAACAGAUUCGCCACUUUAGGAGCCACAAUAGGCCAAAUCCGUCCCAGUUUCCAAUCUGCCCUAGUCUCUAGUCAUGAUCCUUUCCAAGACACCACCGAGUUUACUCCUCCAAUUGCCUCAUACCAAAAGUCAUCCCCCUACAUGCUCAAGAGUAAUAGUCAUCUCUUUAUCAUUGAGUCAAGAGUAAUAAUCACUCCACCGCAUUUUGGGGAUUGGAGUCUUCUGACUGGAUGACAUUCUUGGUUGACAAGUGGAUGACUAGGAUUUUGAGGAAGAAUCACUAUCAUCUUCUUCAUUCAUUUGGGAGGCUUGUAACAUUAAUUGGCGACCAGUUUCCUGCAAUUCAGACUUAGAUUUUCCCUCGAUUGGGAGAGAAGAAUGGGAAGUACCAGGAGAUGACUUUUUGUCUGACUGGGGAUUCCUGACUGGAGGAAUGUCUGAAUAAACAUAAUCUGCAAUUCUCUCAAUUUUGAAUUUAUCCCACUAUUGAAUUGAAAAUUGGCGAGACAGGACUCUCGAUUCCCAAUUGACUUGGUAGGACCAUUUUAAGAUCCAGGGGACUUUAUAUUUAGCAAUGAAAUGGAGUAGAUUAGGGAAGAAUAACUCAGACUCAUUAAACUUGUGUUUAUUGGUGAAAUAAUUGACUAGAUCUUGCAUUUGUGGAGGAAGGAGAUCAAUAACUGAACCAUGUUUUUCCCACCAGUGAAGAAACCAAAAGGGAAAAGGACUCUUGAAUUUAUUGUCAAAAUUAAGGAAUCAGGAGUGACUAAAAUCGACUGUUUGAUGAAGCGAGAUGGAAUACCAAGCUUCAAUGUAAUCAUAGUAACUGUAUUGGAGUUCUGACUGAAGAACUUUUAUAUCACAAGGGUGAUUGCUCCAUUCAUUUUCACUGAGGAUUCGGUGGAUGUAUAAGGAAUGGUAGAGGAUUAUGUGUGGAUUCUCACGGUCUCUGAUUGGUUUGAUUGUGAUGGACUGGGUCUCAUGAAGGAUGUCUUUGUAGAAUUUCAAAUUCUUAAAAGGCGCUUCGGGAAUAAAAUGGCUAUUAUGAGGGAAGUAUGACGUGGCGAUGGUGACUGGAUUGGCAAUAGCAUUGUAUUUUGACUCAAAGAUAAAGAGAUGACUAUUACUCUUGAGCACGUAGGGGGUGACUUUUGGUAUGAGGCAACUAGAGGAAUAAACUGGGUGGUGUCUUAGAAAGAAUCAUGACUAGAGACUACGGCAGACUAGAAACUGGGACGAAUUUGGCCUAUUGUGGCUCCUAAAGUGGCGAAUUUGUUGCUUAUUUAGAUUGGGGAACAUCCCGUGUAAGGGACGAUCUGGGAUGGUGACCCUGUUUUGGGUGGAUUCAUGGAUGGGGGGAGUACUUUGAGUGACUGGGGUUGACUGCAUUGACUGGAUCUGGAUUGACUGGCUUGUUCUUUCUAUUUAUCUUUUCUUCUAUCUGCCAUUGUUUUUCUUGUAGAAAUUCUCUAGUAAGGAAAUCAGGAACAAAAUUCUCACUUCCUCUCAAAUAUUCAAUAUUAAAAUUAAAUAUACUUAUAAUAGCUUGCCAUCGUGCAAAUAUUUGUUUGGAUGCAAUAUUUUGAACAUUUUUUUCUAAUACAUGCUCAGCAGACUUACAAUCAACUCGGACUAAAAAAAUUUGAUUUAAUAAAUCAUCUUGAAAUUUAGUAAUGCAUAAUACUAUAGAUAAUAUCUCUUUCUUAAUAGUACUAUAAUUACUUUGUGACUGUGUCCAAAUACCGGAAUGGAAUCGGAUGAUUUGCUCAAUUUGACUAGAAUCAACUCUUUGCUUGAGAAUACCUCCAUAACCAAUAUUAGAGGCAUCAGUUUCAACUAUUUUGAAGGAAUGCCAAGACAAGGGAGUGUUUUGAUAUGGACCUUGAUUUGUUUGACUAUUUCUGUAUGAAUGGGUGACCAAGGAGGAGGAUUACUCUGGAGGCGAUCAAAUAAAGGCUUACAUUGUUUUCUCAAAUUUUUGUAAAAAUCAUAAACAUAAUUUAGAUAUCCUAGAAAUCUCUAGAGUUUACUUUUGUCUAGGAUUUGAUCUAGGAAUUUAUCAGCAAAUUGGAUAACUCGAUCAAUUAGACUAAUCUGUGACUAGCAGAUAUUAAAACCAAGGAAUCGGAUAUUAGUUUGAAACAACUUAAUUUUAUUAGCAGAAAGAACUACACCAUUUUGUUUGACUAUCUGCAUAAACUUAUGCAAAUGUUUCCAAUGUUGUUCUAUCGACUGAGAAAAGAUAAGAACAUCAUCAAUAUAAUCUAUAGUGAAAUGACUUAAGGGAUUAAAUAUCUCAUUCAUUAUAUUUUGAAACUCACUGGGCGCAUUCUUAAGACCGAAAGGCAUGACAUUCCACUCAUAAUGACCAAAUGGGGUGACAAAAGCAGUUUUAUAUCUAUCAGACUCAUGAAUUUGGAUUUGCCAAAAACCACUCUUCAUAUCAAAUUUAGAAAAAUGACUGAUUUUUCUAACCUGUUAAUUAGAUCUCUCUUAUUGGGUAUUGGGUACUUGAUCCAUUCUAAUACUGUAUUAAGAGGCUUAUAAUUAAUAACUAAUCUUGGGGCUGUUCUAACUCAGUACUUUUCUGGACAUAGAAAGCAGGGCAGGACCAAGGUGACUUACUCUUACGAAUUAUUCCUUUCUCAAGUAAUUCUGAUAUUUUAAUUUUACAAAAUUCCAUUAAUUCUUGACUCAUUUGAAUUGGUCUAGCUUUAGUGAGGAUAUUCUUUUCACUAAAGGAUUUGACAUAAGGAAGACUAACAACGUGUUGUUUCCUAUGCCAUAAAGCAUUGGGUAUCUUAGAACAAACUUCUUGUUUUAAUUUUUCUUUGAAUUGGCGAAUUUGUGUUUGCAAAGACUCAAGACUAAGUUGUUCCUCAAUUCUUUUGAAUUUGACUUCUUCUUGGAGGAAUCUUAAUUGCUUAUCUUUAUUUUCAAUUAUUUUAACUGUUUUGGUGACUGCGUUCUUUUGCAAGGCUUUUAAAUUAUGUAUCUCUGGUUUACUUAGGAAUUCAAACUUAACCUUUUCUCCUAAAUAGGUAGAAAUGACUCCAUUGUAUUCUACCUGGAAAGGAUACAGUAGGGCAAUAAAGGGUAAUCCUAAGAUGACUUCAUCAGUAAUAUUUUUGACUAAGACGAAUAAGGUUUUAAAGCAAAUUUUAUCUUGACAGAUAUGGGCUUUAGGAAUCUCAUAAUUCAACUGGAGUGACUUUCUUGAGGCUGUGCUUAAUGACUCUUUUGAUAUUUUGUAAUACUUAGUAGGAAUUAGACCUUCUUGGAUACAAUUGAGGUCGGCUCCUGAAUAAAAAAGGGCAAUUGUGUUUAACUCAAAAAUUUGGAUAAAUAUGUUGACUUUAGAAUACCAUUUUCUAAAAUUUACUUGUUUGAUUAAAUUGACGGCUUGAUCCUAAUUGGAGGGUUCACCAUCUGAAUUUGUAGGGCUAACUGGCAUAGACUCAGAUUUUUCCAUUAGAUUAAUUAAAUCCUGUUUAAUCUCAUAGUUUUCUACCUGUAACUUUUGACUUAUCUGUUUUAGUUCCACUAUUUCUUUUUUGAGUAAUUUUACUUCUAGGUGUAAAUCUUGUCAAGUAACUUCUUUUCUUUUGUUGAAUCUUUCUAAAGUAGUGUUCAAACUUAUCUUUUGAGGGGUAGACGGACUCGGUUCUUCCUGACUGAUGACUUUUCUUAAUUUCUUUAAGUACUCAGAUUUCAACUCUGGGUUUUCAACUUUACUUAUUAAAUCAAUUAAUAAUUCUUCUUGUUCUUCUUGUUUAGUAAGGACAUUAAUUGACUUAGACUUACAACAAUUAUCUUGACAACCAAAUUGAAUUCUAGGUGAACUUAUCUGGGAAUCUGAGGAAUUAAACUCUGUGACUCAGUGUUCUAACCAUGGUCUCGUUUUCACUAGACUCUGAGUUUCUUAACUCAAAGACUUUGAUUAACUUUUCUUUAUCUUCAUCCGUGAUUUUCAAUUGUUUGAUUGUGUUAUUUACUUUACACUCAUUAGCAUAGUGACCAAACUUUGACAUUUAUAACAUUUAACUUUUCUUUUGUUGGUAGUUUUCUUAAGGUGACUUUUCUUAUAUUUUCCGUGACUCUUUUUCCAAUUUUUAUGGGGGUGAAAUCUCUUUUUACUGUAAAACUCAUUAUUCUGUGAGAAAGAUUGAUUUCUUCAUGAAUAAUGACGACGCUUACUAAACUGUCAGUCAUGGUGACUAGACUUGGCUUUUCUAGAUGGGGGAAUGGACAUUAGACCAUAAUGUUCGCAGAAAUAACCUAACUCAUACUUAGCUGAAUUCUUUUCUGAUUGAAUUUGUUUUUCGAUUUUCAUAUAUACACACAUUUUCAUACUGACUUGAUUAAUUGUGCUAAUUAUAUUACCAUAGGUUAAAUUAUCCCAAUCUAUAUGACCUUGACCAUUACUAAGGACUGUGCGUAUUUUGUGUGCAAACAAAUUAGGGAGACCAUUAAUGAAUUUUUCUUUCCAAAAUGGUUGAUUACUAUCAUCUCUAAUCAUGACUCUGGAGAUGAAGACAUCUUUAUACCAACGGAAAUCAGAUAACUUAGGGCAUCUAAGGUUACUAAGCUGAUCAUGAAUUCUAGCAGUGGUGUUACUAGGUGUUCCAAUGAAAUGCUCAAUUAUUAUGUAUAAUAAGGUAUUGACUCCAUCUUCUAUACCUCGACCUACUUGUUCGUCGAAAAUAGGAAGACCUUCUUCAUUAAGUUUGACUGCAUGGAUUAUUUGUUGCUUAGACUCAUCCGUUAAAUGUUUAUCCCACCAAAAACGUAAGGUUCCGGUGAAACCAAUUUCUAACAAAGGCACAAUUUCAGACUGUCUAAAACUGUGAUUGGUAUUGUAACUAUUGGCAACCAUAGACAUAUGUUGAAGUUUAUUAAGAAUUUCUUGCUCAGAUAGACCAUCUAUAUUCCACUCAUAUAACUUACCUGAAGAAAUGGAAAACUGACUCUGGGAGUUUUGUUCUUCAAAUUGGAUAUCUAGAGGGGUUGGUCUGGGAUACCAAUUUUUGGUUAAACUUGUUGGACUGAUUCUAUUAGUUAAUAUUUUAACCUUCAAAUCAUUUUCUAAUUCCAAAUUCUUAAACGCAUUUUCAAUUUUUGAAAUGUUACUAGUUUCUGUUUCCAUACUAGUGACUGACUCAGAAUCAGAGGAGUUGACUAAAGCGAAGGGUAGCUCAGAGGAUCCUAAGACUUUAACACCGGAUUUCUUGGCUUUCUCAGGGGGUUAAUCGUUCAAGCAUUUCUUCUAUUUUUCUCAUUGUAGGUUUUGUCUUAAAGGUUGGGCUUGACUUUAAGUCUUGAAAUUUGACUAAAGGUUUUUCUUUUUGUAAUUUGGGUUUGACUUCAUUAGGGAGUAAUUUGUCGACUUUUGUUUCUAUUUUAUCUAACUGUUUUCCUAUGACAACUAGACUUUGGUUGGUGUAAUUGUUUUGUUCUACAAUCAUCUUAUUGUCUUCGUCAUGAAUUUUGUAAGGACUGGCCACAAUUUUUGACUUUUUAUGGUGAAAAACUAUUGUCUCAACUGGGGGAUGAUUGGCUAAGACUUCUGUUUUGUCUUCUUUUUCCGAUUUUUCUUGAUUUAAAGUUUUUAACUCUUUUGUCAUGUAACGGCUUUCUACAAAAUCAAGAUAAUAAAUUUCAACUUUAGCUGUUCUCAUAAAUUGUUUCCAUUCAUUAAAAAUUUGUUGUCUUUUGAUUUUGUCAGGAUAGGUUGUAUGGUAUUUUUCUUUUCAAUUAAUCUCAAAUUUUCUAUUAAGGGUUCUUAAUUGUUUAUCAAUUUGAAAACCGCCUUCGAAGUCAGUUUGUGUGGGUGACUCAAUGGACUCGGAUUUAGUAUCUUCUUUGACUAGUGUUUUACCAUAAUAGGGUUGACUAACUUGGGAUGAUUUUCUCAACGAUUCUAAUUUUACAUUAAUUAAAGCUUUCUCUAACUCAAGGUCUCAUUCUUGAGUAAAGGAGGAGGCUGCAAAGGAGUGUCUAGCAGGGACGUGUCUCUGGGAUUGACCAGGUGUGGGAAGUUGUUAUAACUGGACUGAGGACUUUUGUUGUGGUUGGUUUCCGAAAUUAAUUUUGAUUGUGCCAUCUAGAUAUUGUUGGAUAUAAUCUAAAUUGUUUAGACUAUGUUGAAUUGGGACUGGUGGACUUUCAUUUGUUAAGGUCCAAUCUAAGGGAAGGGUGACUUCUGACCAUUUUACCAUUUGAGGGAUAUUCAAAUCUCUAAAAUGUAACUCAUUGCUAGUAUUCUAUUCUAAUUGUUCUUCAUUAACUAUCUCAGGAGGAUGACUGAUACUAGUUCUAGAGCUACUAGAGUUAUAAGAGUUGGUUCUAAAUAAGCGACUCAUUUUUACUCAAGGUACUGAGUUCAGACUUCUAAAGAAGGAAGAUAAACAGAAACUUCUAAUACUAACUCACAACGUAACAGGGAACCUAGUGAUUCUCUCUCUCUCUCUCUCCGCUCAGGCUGCAACCGCUCGUGCCUCUACCUAGGACAUAUCGUUUGGACUCUAGGACUUACUGUUUGGACCAAAGUGAAAAGGACAGGAAACCUGAAAAACAAUGAAUUAAUAGAAAAAGAAACUGAAGACUUCAACUCAAAAAUCUUAAACUAGCCACUUGGGUUGGAUGAAUUGCAGACUUAGACUGACUCUUCAACACUUACGGCUUAAGCAUAGAUAAGUAUAAAGACUCAGAUAAUAAAACAGGUAGAGCUUAUGCAUGAAUGAAAUUAAUGAAUAAAUGAAGAUACUCAAAAUCCUCUAUAUAUAUAUAUAUCGUGAUUCCAAGCAUCCAAUGCUACCAACAGUCUGGUAGCCUUAGUUUUUUUAAGGAGGCUUCGACCUCAUUUGUAAUCAGAAGUAAAUUUUACUUUUCUCAGUUUCAAAGUUCUCUCAGGACUACUACCCUGAUGAACUCUUGUAUAGUUUGAGUGAUCCAUAAAAUCUUUCAAUCUUAUCUAAUUGUUUUUCAAUGACUAUUAAACUCUGGUUUGUAUAUUUAUUUUGCUCAAUUAAUUUUCUAUCAUUUUGGUCGGGGGACUGGCUGCUAUUUUGGGCUUUUUGUGAUUAAUAAUUAUUGUUUCUACAGGGGGUGACAAGCUAAGACUUCAGUAUUAUCUUCUUUUUCCCAUUUUUCUUGUGUUAGGGUUUUCAAAUCUUUGGACAUGUAGCGACUUUCAAUAAAAUCAAGAUAAAAAAUUUCUGACUUAGCGGCUCGCAUAUAAUCUUUCCAUUCAUUAAAGAUUUGUAGUCACUGUUCUUUACUAGGGUACGUUGUAUGAUACUUGUUUCGUCUUUCCAAAUUUUCUGGGGCAUGGAGAUGACUAUCUAAAUUUUUCCAAUUGAUUUUGAAUUUUCUAUUAAGGGUUCGUAAUUGAUUAUCUAUAUUGAAAGAACCGACUUCGAAAUCAGUUUGUGUGGGAGAAUUUUGGGAACCUAAUUUUUCUUCUUCUUUGACUGGUUGUUUACCACAACAAGGUUGGUUGACUUGGGAAGUUUUCCUUAGAGAUUCUAACUUUAGAUCAAUUAGGGUUUUUUCUAGCUCUAGGUCUCGUUUUAGAGUAGAAGAGGAUGCUGUAAAGGAAUGCCUAGUAGGGGCAUGUCUCUGGGAUUUACUAGGUGUAGGAAGUUGAUGUAACUGAACUGGGGAUUUUUGAGGAGGUUGAUUUUCAAAAUUAAUUUUGACUAUGCCAUCUAAGUAUUGCUGGAUAUAAUCUAAAUUAUUUAAACUAUGUUGAAUAGGAGCAGGUUGAUUCUCAGUUGUUAGCGUCCAAUCUAAAGGAAGGGUGACUUCUGACCAUUUAAUUGUGUGGGGAACUCUUAUGUUGGCAUUUGCUUUACUACUUUGAAUUAGCAAAGUUUGAUCUUUGGGACUUUUAUUAAGGGCAUGGAAAUUCAUAUUGGUUCCUGUGACUUUAUAGUAGAUUCUAUCAACUAAGGCAAGAGGCUGGGUUCCUGGUAAGGCUUUGUACCUGGAAGUUUUAAUAUUUAAAGUCAGAGUUUUUAAUAUGUGGGGAUCACUGAGACUUACUGUUAUAUCUAGAUAACAAUCAAAAUGAAUUGGACCAUUAAACAAACUGGACUCAAUUAUUCCUAAUGUAUUGUCACUAAAAUAGGUGAAUCUGGCAUCUCUUAAACAGAGUUAGAUAGAAGCAUUUAAUCCUAAUCUGGUAAGAGGUUUGACUGCAACUUGGACUAGACCAAUGUCAAGGAAAUUGUUUCCGUCAUUUUUAUGUUUCUUUAUUGACUCAAGAUUUAACAAUUGGCAUGUUUCAUGUUCUUUACUUAAGGCAUAGACUUGUUCGACUAUUUUCACAUGGGUGGUUGACUUGAAAGUUGAGUCAAUAAAGAAACAUCACAUGGGUGUUUCAUAUAUAUAUAUAUAUACUCCAUCUUCUAUACCGUCUUCUAGAUCCCUUCUAGUAUCAGAGCCGUCAGUGUUGAGGAGUUAGUCUAAAUUUGCUUCUCUACGUCCAAAGUCACUGGUCAUCUUCUCUGUGUUUGAAGUUUGUUUUCUAUUCUUUAACUUUUUCAGAGUCUUCCUUUUGUCUGAGUCUUCUCUCCCAGUCCAAACAAUAAGUCCUAGACUCCAAACAGUAAGUCCCACGGUGAGGCCUGAGCGGAUGCAGCAUGAGCGGAGAAAGAGAGAACCCUUUGGUCCUUAGGAGGCCUUUGAGUCUAUUCUAGGAUAGUUAGCCUUCUUCUUACCCUUUGUAAGAAAACCCAGUAGCUUUGUCCAGAUGAGUUGCCUAUUUAGAACCAACUCUUGUAACUCCAGUAGCUUUAGAGCCAGUAUUAGUAAACUCCCAGAAAUAGUUAAUGAAGAACAAAUAGAAUAUGAUUCUAGUAAUAAAAUAGAUUGUAAAGAUUGGAAUAUUCCUAGAAUUCCUAGUCAAUCACCCAUGUGAAAACAGUCGAACAAGUUUAUGCCUUAAGUAAAGAACAUGAAACAUGCCAGUUAUUAAAUCUUGAGUCAAUUAAGAAACAUAAAAAUGAUGGAAACAAUUUCCUUCAUAUUGGUUUUAGUCCAAGUAGCAGUCAAACCACUUACCAGAUUAGGAUUAAAUGCUUCUAUUCUACUCUGUCUUCGCGACGCCAGAUUCACCGAAUUUAGAGACAAUACUUUAGGUAUAAUUGAGUCAAACUUGUUUAAUGGUCCGAUCCAUUUUGAUUGUUACCCAGAUUUCACAGUAAGUUUUAGUGAUCCCCAUAUCCUGAAAACUUUAACUUUAAAUAUUAAAACUUCAGGGUAUAAAGUCUUACCAGGUACCCAGCCUUUAGCCCUAGUCUAUCGAAUCUAUUAUAAAGUCACAGGAACUAAAAUGAAUUUCCAAGCCCUUAAUAAAAGUCCAAAAGAUCAGACCUUGUUAAUCUAGAGUAAUAAAGUUGAAGCCAACAUAAAAGUUCCCUCCACAAUUAAAUGGUCAGACGUCACCCUGCCUUUAGAUUGGACAAUAACCACUGAGAACCAACCAGCUCCCAUUCAACAUAGUCUAAAUAAUUUAGAUUAUAUUUAACAAUAUUUAGAUGGCACAGUUAAAAUUAACUUUGGAAGUUAGCCACCUCAGAAAUCUUCAGUUCAGUUACACCAUUUACCCACACCUAGCCAAUCCCAGAGACAUGCUCCUGCAAGACAUUCCUUCAUUGCAUCCUCCUCCACUCUAAAACGAGACCUAGAGUUAGAAAAAACUUUAAUUGAUUUAAAAUUAGAAUCCUUAAGAAAAACUUCCCAAGUCAACCAACCUUGUUAUGGUAAAAAACCAGUUAAAGAAGAAACAAAGUCCGAAUCUCUAGAGUCACCCACACAAACUGAUUUCAAAGCAGGAUUUCACAUUGAUAAUCAAUCGCAAACCCUUAAUAAAAAAUUUAAGAUCAAUUGGAGACAGUUAGAUAGCCAUUUACAUGCCCCGGAGAACCAAUCUAGAAGAGAUAGUUACCAUGCAGCUUAUAGUAAGGAACAAAGACAACGAAUCUUUAAUGAAUGGAAAGAUUACAUGCGCACCGCUAAGUUAGAAAUUUUCUACCUUGAUUAUAUGGAAAGCCGCUAUCUACCCAAAGAGUUAAAAACUUUAACCCAAGAAAAAUAGGAAAAAGAAGAUAAUACUGAAGUCUUAGCUAGUCAUCCUCCUAUAGAGACCAUAAUUAUUAAUCAUAAAAAGUCUAAAGUAGUAGCCAAUCCAUUCAAAAUCCCAGAUCACAAUAAUAAAAAAAUUGUUGAGCAAAAUAAUUACACUAACCAGAGUCUAAUAGUCAUAGGAAAACAGUUAGAUAAAAUAGAAACAAAAUUGACAAAAUAGCUCCUUUAGAAAUAUCCUUAAGUCACAAAAAGAGAAACCUUUAGUCAAAUUCCAAGACCUAGAGUCAGGCCCAACCUAUAAGACAAAACCAACAAUGCAGAAAAUCGAGAAAAUGUUAGAAGAAUUAACCACGAAGAAAGAUAAAGAAAAAAUUGAAACGUCUGGUCUUAAAGUCUUAGGAUCCUCUGCUUUAGUCAAUACCUCUUAUUCUGAGUUUGUUGCUAGUAUGGAUACAGAAACCAAUAAUAUAUCAAAAAUUGAAAAUGCUUUUAAAAAUUUAGAAAUUAAUAAUGAUCUCAAGCUUAAAAGAAUAACAAACAGAGUCAGCCCUACUAGUUUAACCAAAAAUUGGUAUCCUAGACCCACUCCUCCAAACAUCCAAUUGGAGGAAAGAAAUUCACAAAGUCAAUUUUCAGUCUCCUCUGAUAAGUUAUAUGAAUGGAAUAUCGAUGGCCUGUCAGAACAAGAAAUUUUAAACAUAUUACAACACAUGUCCAUGGUUGUCAAUAGUUACAUCACUAAUCACAGUUUUAGACAGUGUAAAAUUGUGCCCUUAUUAGAAACAGGAUUCACCGGAACCUUACGUUCUCGGUGGAAUAAGCAUCUAAGUUCUCUCAGGACUACUACCAUGAUGAACUAUUGUAUAGUCUGAGUGAUCAAUAAAAUCUUUCAGAAUGGAAUUGAACGAUUUGCUCAGACUGACUCGGAUUGAUUCUUUGUUUAAGGAUACCUCCAUAACCAAUUUCAGAAGCAUCAGUUUCAACAAUUUUAAAGGAAUUAACUGCAGGGAUGCCAAGACCAAUAAAAGAAGAAAUUCUUGAGCAACUCACACCAAUAAAAGAGAAAAUCGAGUCCUCCGGUAUCAAAGUUCUUGAGUCAUCUAUUUUAGUCAAUUCUUCUGAUAAUGAGUCUAUUGCCAGUAUGGAAACAAAAUCUAGUAACAUAUCAGAAAUUGAAAAUGCUUUUAAAAAUUUAGAAAUAGAUAAUGAUUUGAAACUUAAAAGAUUAAGAAACAAAGCCAAUCCUACAAGUUUAACUAAAAAUUGGUAUCCCAAACUAACUCCUCCAGAUAUCCAGUUUGAGGAAAGAAAUGCCCAAAGUCAAUUCUCAGUCUCCACUGAUAAACUAACUCAUAUGUCCAUAGUUGCCAAUAGUUACAUAACUAAUCAUAGUUUUAGACAGUCAGAAAUUGUGUCCUUAUUAGAAACAGGAUUCACCGGAACCUUACGUUCUUGGUGGGAUAAACAUUUAACUGAAGAGUCAAAACGAAAAAUUAUUCAUGCAGUCAAACUUAAUGAAGGUCUCCCUAUUUUUUAUGAACAAUUAGGAAGAGGUAUAGAAGACGGAGUCAACACUUUAUUAUAUACAAUAAUUGAACAUUUCAUAGGAACACCCAGUAACACGACAACCAGAAUUCAUGAUCAACUUAGUAAUCUCAGAUGCCCCAAAUUAUCAGAUUUUCAUUGGUAUAAAGAUGUUUUUAUUUUCAGAGUUAUGCUUAGAGAUGAUAGUAAUCAACCCUUUUGGAAAGAAAAAUUCAUUAAUGAUCUCCCCAAUUUAUUUGCUCAUAAAAUAAGAACAGUCCUUAGUAAUGAUCAAGGUCAUAGAUUUCGAUAAUUUAACUUACGGAAAUAUUACAAUUAAUCAAGUCGGAAUGAAAAUGUGUGUCGAUAUGAAAAUUGGUAGACAAAUUCAAUCAGAAAGAAACUCAGCCAAAUAUGAAUUAAGAGAUUUCUAUGAACAAUACAGUUUAGCACCCAUUCCCCCAUCCAGAAAAGCCAAGUCUAGUUAUCAUGACCAACAAACUAGUAAACGUUAUCAUUAUUCACGAAGAAGAUAGUCCUUCAUACAUAAUAAUGAUAAUAAUGAAUUUUACAGUAAAAAGAAAUUUAACCCGCGUAAAAAUUGGUCAAAAGAUCGCAGAAAAGAUAAGAAAAGCAACUUUAAGAAAAGUACCGACAUAAGAAAAGUUAAAUGCUAGAAAUGUCAAAAGAAUGGUCACUAUGCUAAUGAGUGUAAAGCAAAAGACACGAUAAAGCAAUUGAAAAUCACAGAUGAAGAAAAAGACAAAUUGAUUAAAAUUUUAGAGUUAACAAAUUCUGAGUCUAGUGAAACCAAUAUCACCGUAGUAAGCUCAAGCUCAGUAAAUUACAAUUCUUCAUAUUACCAGUCAAGUUCUCCACAAAUCCAAUUUGGUUGCAAAGACAAUUGCUGUAAUGUCCUAACCAAGUCCAUUAGUGUCCUUACAAAACAAGAAGAACAAGAAGAGUUAUUAAAAGAAAUUAAGAAAAGUCAUUAGUCAGGAAGAAACGAGUCAGCAUAUUCCCCAGAAGAUAAGUUCAAACACUACUUUAGAAAAAUCUAAUAAAAAAUAAAAAGAGGUCACCUUACAAGAUUUACAAAUGGAAGUAAAAUUAGUCAAAAAAGAAAUAGUAGAGUUAAGACAAAUAAGUCACAAAUUACAAGCCGAGAAUUUUGAAAUUAAACAAGAUUUGAUUAAUUUGAUGGAAAAAGAAACCUCUGAGUCUAAGAGUCAACCAGAAAGCCCAGCCAAUUCAGAUUGUGAACCCUCUAAUAAUGAUCAGGUUAUUAACUUAAUAAAACAAGUAAAUUUUAGAAAAUGGUAUUCCAAAGUUGUAAAAAAAUUUGAGUUAAACACAGUCGCCCUUUUUGAUUCAGGAGCCGACCUUAAUUGUAUCCAAGAAGGAUUAAUUCCAACUAAAUAUUACAAAAUAUCAAAAGAAUCUUUAAGCACUGCCUCAGGAAAAUCACUCCAGUUAAACUAUGAAAUACCAAAAACCCAUAUCUGUCAAAAUAAGAUUUGUUUUAAAACCUCAUUUGUCUCAGUAAAAAAUAUUACAGAUCAAGUUAUCCUUCAUAGCCCUAUUAUACCCUUUCCAGGGAGAAUACGAUGGAGUCAAAUUCGAAUUCUUAACUAAACUUGAGUUACACAAUUUGAAAGCUUUACAGAAAAAUGAAAUAACAAAAACAAUCCAAGUAAUUCAGAAUAAAAAUAAACAGUUAGAUUUCCUUAAGGAAGAAGUCAAAUUCAAAAGAAUUGAGCAUCAACUUAAUGAUGAGUCUUUACAGUGAAAGAAAUAUCCCCACUAAAGCCAGACUAAUUCAAAUGAGUCAAGAAAUUAUGGAAUUCUGCAAACAAGAAAUAACCGAGUUACUUCACAAGGGAAUAAUUCGUAAGAGUAAUUCACCUUGGUCUUGUCCUGCUUUCUAUAUUCAGAAAAACGCAGAAUUAGAAAGAGGAGCCCCGAGAUUUGUCAUCAAUUAUAAGCCUCUUAAUACAGUCUUAGAAUGGAUUAGAUAUCCAAUUCCUAUUUAAUAAACAGGUUAGAUAAAGCAGUCAUCUUCUCAAAAUUCGAUAUGAAAAGUGGUUUUCGGCAAAUUCAAAUCCAAGAGUCAGAUACGUAUAAAACCGCCUUUGUAACCCCAUUCGGUCACUAUGAGUGGAAUGUAAUGCCUAGGGGUGGGCACUCAAACCGGCGAACAGGAAAUCCGAGCCGAACCACACAGAACCAAACCGGAAAAAACCGAGUUGACCAAAAAGUCAAAAAGCGGUCAAAAACCGAAUCGGACCGGUUUGGACCGGUUCCGAAUCCGGUUCCAUGUCUUCAAAAACCGAACCGGGCCGAACCGAACCGGUGAAACUAAAAAAAUAUAUAAUUUCAAUAUAUUUUUAUAUUUAAUGCUAUAUUUUUAUUUCCACUAAAAAAAACCUAAUACUUAUCCAAGUUCAAUGUCAAAAUAUCUCUCUUUUCUCACUUUAAUAUUUAUUUUUUAUAUGAAAUUGAAUAAUUUGUUAAUUUUUAAAUAAAAAAAUAAUAUUUCAGUUGAGAAUUGUAUUAAAAAAUAAUUUUAAAAAAUAAUUUUUAUAAUCCGGUUCAAAACCAAACCAGAUUGAAACCGGUUCAAACCAAACCGAACAAUUUUUGAAAUUUUGUUAUUAAAACCAAACCAAACCAAACCGAAUAAAUAGUACCGGAUCGGUUCUAAUUUGAGGCAAAAAUCGGUCCAAACCGAACCGUGCCCACCCCUAGUAAUGCCCUUCGAUCUUAAGAAUGCGCCUAGUGAAUUUCAGAAUAUAAUGAAUGAGAUAUUUAAUCCUUUCAGUCAUUUCUCCAUAGUUUAUAUUGAUGAUGUUCUUAUUUUUUUCUCAGUCAAUAGAACAACACUGGAAGCAUUUGCAAAAGUUCCUUCAGAUAGUCAAACAAAAUGGUUUAGUUGUCGCAGCCAAAAAGAUUACGUUAUUCCAAACCAAUAUCCGAUUUCUUGGUUUUAAUAUUUGUCAGUCACAAAUCAGUCCAAUUGAUCGAGUCAUCCAAUUUGCUGAUAAAUUUUCAGACCAAAUUCUUGAUAAGAGUCAACUCCAAAGAUUUUUAGGAUCUCUUAAUUAUGUUUCUGAUUUCUAACAAAAUCUGUGAAAACAAUGUAAGCCCUUAUUUGAUCGACUUCAGAGUAAUCCUCCUCCUUGGUCAUCCAUUCAUACAGAUAUAGUCAAACAAAUCAAAAUCCAUGUCAAAACACUUCCCUGUCUUGGCAUCUCUACAGUUAAUUCUUUCAAAAUAGUUGAAACUAAUGCCUCCGAAAUAGGUUAUGGAGGUAUUCUUAAACAAAGAGUCAAUCCAAGUGAAACAGAGCAAAUCGUUCGAUUUCAUUUUGGAAUCUGGACACAGUCACAACGUAAUUAUAGUACUAUUAAAAAAGAAAUAUUAUCUAUAGUAUUAUGUAUUACAAAAUUCCAAGAUAAUUUAUUAAAUCAAAAAUUUAGUCAGAGUUGAUUGCAAGAGUGCAAAACAUGUUUUAGAAAGAAAAAAAAUGUUCAAAACAUUGCAUCAAAAUAGAUUUUUGCACAAUGGCAAGCUAUUUUAAAUAUAUUUGAUUUUAAUAUUGAAUAUUUGAGAGGCAGUGAGAAUUAUGUUCCUGAUUUUCUUACUAGAGAAUUCUUAUAGGAAAAGCAAUGGCCGGCAAGAUGACCCAAUAAAGGAAAAGAGCAAGCUAGUCAACCUCNNNNNNNNNNNNNNNNNNNNNNNNNNNNNNNNNNNNNNNNNNNNNNNNNNNNNNNNNNNNNNNNNNNNNNNNNNNNNNNNNNNNNNNNNNNNNNNNNNNNCCCCCCGCCUUUCCAUUUUGUUCCUCAAGCUCCCUACAAAUCCCUUAAUACUAUAGAGACAUCGUUCAUAAGACCCAGUCAAUUGAAAUUAAGCCUAUCAAAGAUCGUAAUAAUCCCCACAUUAUUCUCUAUCAUUCCAUGUAUAUUCAUCACAUCCUUAGUGAAGAAGAGUGGAAUAAACACCCUAUGAUCUAAAAGUUCUCUAGUCAUAUGUACAAUAUUGCUAUUAUGAUUACAUCGAAGCCUAGUAUACAAUUUUUCUUGACCAAACAACUGAUUUCAAUCAUUCAUGGUUCAUCAAUUUUGAUAGUAAAUUCAAAAGUCAUUUUCCCUUCUGGUUCCUCCACUGGUGGGAAAAACAUGGCCCAGUCAUUGAUUUUCUUCCUCCUCAAAUGCAAGAAUUAGUCAAUUAUUAAUCCAAUAAAAACAAAUUCAAAGAGUCAGAAUUAUUCUUUCCCAAUCUGCUUAUUUUCAUUGCUAAAUACAAAGUUCCUUGGAUCCUGAAAUGGUCUUACAAUGUCAAUUGGGAUUCUAGAGUCCUGUCCCGUCAAUUUUCAGUCAAAUGGUGGGAUAAGUUCAAAAUAGAAAGAAUUGCCGAUUAUGUCAAUACAGAUUUUCCUCCAGUCAAAAUUCCACAAAAGUCUUCCCAAAUGCCAUCCUCCUCCGGAACGUCUCAUUCUUCCCUCCCAAUUGAAGGAAGAUCAAAGGCAGAGUUACAAGAAAUUGCCCAGCAGUUAAUUCUUCAAGCUUCUCAAAUGGAAGAUGAAGAUGAUGAUGCCUCCCCAAAGUCCCAGACAUCUACCAGUCAGCCUCAACAGUCACCCAGUCAAAAGGAUUCCGCCCAGAAAUUGCGGUGGGCAGAUUAUCAAGAUAGUCAAGAUCCAUAUGAUCUCAAUUCAGACUAGUCAAAAGCAACUUUCCUUAAUAGUCAUCAUGGGCUAGUUAAAGCAAUAGUAAAAGUAAAUUCUCUGACAAAGUUAAAGCACAUAGUAAAAGCAAAAGUUUUCGCGUGCUUCUACAGUCACCCUCUUGAGCAUCCAAUGUUGCCGACACUCCCUUAGUUCGCUCUUUAAAUAGAGGCAUUCGCCUCAGUUGUAAUCAAAAUGUAACUUAGUCUUAAUUUUCAGUUUUCAAAGUUUUCUCUGAUACUUCCUCAAAGAAACUACCACUGUAAACCAUGAGAAGUGAGACUUCCUUAUUGAUUGGCACUCAAAGAGACUACCACUAAAUCACCUCUAAGUAAGACACUAUAUAUAUACACUUUCUUUCAUACACACAUACAUGUAUACACAUGUGCAAAGUGGUGAUUUAGUGAAUAGUUAAGUAAGACACUACAACAAAAUGUUGCUUUAGCGAUGAUUUUGUCAGCGAGGAAUUAUAUUUUCUUGUAUAAGUAGCCUUUCGGCGAGGAAAAUGUUAAAUUCUUGCAAAAUGUGACUUGAAUUUCGUUUUCAAAUUGGACCAAGCUAUAGCGACGACAAGUUAGAUGCAACGACAAACAAUAUGGACGUUGUAGAUUUUCACAGCGACAGACUAUUGUUUUCCUCGCGGAAAGUGUGGCGGAAUUUUUGACAAUUCCCUCCAAACCUAUAGCGACAAACCUUAUAUAAUCCUUGCAAUAGAAGACUUUUAACGAGGAAUUAAUUUCCUCGCAGUAUGUCUCCCACAUUAUUUUCACAAUCCAUUAACGAGGAAAUAGUUGUUUCCUCGCGGAUAGUGUAGUAGGAAUUUUGGACAAUUCCCUUCAAACCUAUAGCAACAAACAAUAUAUAAUCCUCACAAUAGAAGCCUUUUCAAGAGGAAUUAAUUUCUUCGCAAUAUGUAUCCCAAAUUAUUUUCACCAUUUAUGUAUGAGGAAAUAGUGUUUUCCUCGUGGAAAGUGUAGCGGAAAUUUUUGACAAUUCCCUCCAAACCUAUAGUGACAAACAUUAUAUAUUCCUUGCAAUAGAAGACUUUUGAUGAUGAAUUAAUUUCCUUGCAAUAUGUCUCCCACAUUAUUUUCACCAUCCAUUAACGAGGAAAUAGUUUUUUCCUCGCAAAUAGUGUAGUAGAAAUUUUUGAGAAUUCCCUUCAAACCUAUAGCAACAAACAAUAUAUAAUCCUUGCAAUAGAAGCCUUUUAGUGAGGAAUUAAUUGCCUCGCAAUAUGUCUCCCACAUUAUUUUCAUAAUUUAUUAAGGAGGAAAUAAUUUUUUCCUCACUGAAAGUGUUGGCGGGAAUUUUUGACAUUUCCCUCCUAAGCUAUAGCGACAAACAAUAUAUAAUCCUCUCAAUAGAAGCUUUUUAACGAGGAAUUAAUUUCCUCACAGUUUGUCUCCCACAUUAUUUUUCACAUUUUUUAAAGUACCACAAUUUUUCAGCAAAAUUAAAAUAGGAUUGUUAUUUAAAAAAAUAAUAAUAAGUAAAAAAAAAGGUUUAAAUUUUGUUACUACUUUAUUUUUUAAUUCAAAAUUAGAUUUUGUAGAGUUUCAUGGUGAAAAUAAUGUUACAGUGAGUUUAUAGGAUUUUAGCUUGUAUUUUCUUAUUUUUAAUUUAUUUAUUGUCGAUUUUAGAAGUUAAAUCAUAGGGAACUAAUAUGAAAUAGAUGAGAUUGACACAUGUCAGCUUCUUACGGUAUCUCCAUCAGCUUUCAGAAAUUUGGCCCUAUCAUAUUAUGACACGUGUCCCUGUCUGAUUAUCUUUUGUUUUUAUCUUAAAUAAUGCAUAAAAAAUUAAAUAAAAAUUACAAAAAAUACACUGAAAAAUGCUACAAACUCCUUACAAAAUAGUCAUCAUUACGGAGAUCUAAAAUCAUAAUUCCAUGUAUUUUAAUUAAUGGGUGAAAAUUGAAUCAAAGAAACAAUAGUGCAUUGGAUAGAAUGUAUUGAUUUGUCUAUGAAGAAAGUUAAGUUUUUAUUAUUGCUUUGUAUUUUUAUAAUUUAUCAUUAUAUUUUUGGUGCUUUAAAGAGAAGAGAAUAUCACAAGGAGUUUAUAGGAAUUAUCGGUGUAUUUUUGGAAUUAUUUAUUUAUUCAUUAUGUCAUUUUCUUGUAAUUUAUUGUGUUAUAGAAGUAAACAAUUCAUAAGAAAUUAAAUUAAAACCAGAAAAAUACACCAAAAUUGCUACAUACUCCUUACAACAUAGCCUUCGGUAACAGAGAUCUAAAUUCAUGAUUCAAUAUCUGAGUUAAUGGUAAUCAAUGGAUGAAAGAAACAAGAUUAUAAGGUGGUAUAAUGUUUUGAUUUGUCUAUGAAUAAAAUUGAGUUUUUGUUAUUACUUUAUAAGAAAUAUUUGACAUGUGUUAGCUUUUUAAAGGCUCUCUGUCAGUAUAUAUGACAUGUGGCCAUAUAUCAUGGUGACAUGUGUCCUUUUCUUGUUAUUUAUUAUUUUCAUCUUAAACAACUCAUAAAAAUGAUAUUCUAAAAAAAAAUUGUUAUUUAUUAUUUUUAUCUUAAAGAAUUCAUAAAAUUAUUUUCGCGUGAGUGCCUUCUUUUUCACAAAAUUUUCAUUUCGCAGUUUUAUUCCUUUGAAAUUGCCCUCUCUUGUCCCUAACCUAACCACAAACCCGCUCUCUCUCUUCCGCUCUCUCUAGCCCCAAUUCUCUCCCUCUCUCUCCAGCCCAAACCCUCCAUCCUUCUCUUCCAUUUAGCAACCUUUCAGGAUCACAAGACACUCACACUUCUAAGCUCUCAAGGUAAGCCUCUCUCUCCUUGGCCACUUUUAUUCUGGGAGGAAAAAAAACACAAUCUCAAAUUCGUUAAAAACCUAAGGGUCCGUUUGUUAUCCUAUUCAAAAAAGUGAACUUAAAAACUAUGAGUCUUUUCAAAACAUGAGUUUUCAAAUACAAAUUUUAGGGAAAGUCUAGUAAUGUUUUCAGAGAGCAUUUUCAUAGAAUGUUUUCAUAGAAGGAAAACGAAAAAAUGAAAACGCAUUUUCAGAGAACAAAAACGUGUCUGGUAGCUUAGUUGAAAACUGUUUUCAGAGGACAAAAACAGUGAAAACGCGUUUGGCAGUAAUAUAUGAAAAUGACAAAAACAGUGAAUAUGUAUGUAACUUUAAUUAAAAGGAAAUAUGUUUUUUUAAUACAACAUUAUGUAAUCAAUAUGUGAGUUUCAAAAAAAAAAAAAAUAGUAGGUAUAUUAUUUUUAAAAAGUAUUUUUUAAUCAUCUAAAAGAAUAUCAUUUAAAAAAUAGAAUAUCUGUAUUUUCUUAGUUUUUACCCAAAUUGAAUUGGGUUUCUUCAAUUUUUUAGAAUUUCCAUACACAAUUACCGAACUCCAGUUUCAAUUCUAAGUAAGCACGUAUGAACUCGCUUGGUAUUGUAAUAUUUUUUAUUGUCAAAUAAAAGGAAAUAACAGAGUUUUUGGAGUAGGGUUUUUCGUUUAUGUUUGAUUAGAGUUAAAUGUGGUGAGUAGGUUGUACUUAUUAAAAUUACAUUUGUUUCACAAUUCAAAAUAUUCUUUUUGGUCAUUUUAUAUUAGGAUACAUUAGUAAUUCAAUAAAUAGUUUGAUAGUAUGGUGUACUCAGUUAAUUCUAGGGUUCGUUUAGCAGUACUAAAAAAAGAAGAGGAAAAUCUCACUUUUUUUUGUUUUCAAUAAUUUGGGUGUUUUUGAGUUUUUUUGGGUUUAGGUUUUUCAAAAUGGGCCUACCAAACGGGUUUUUGGGGUUUUGGACUUAAAAUCUGUUUUUGAGUUUAUAAAAUUGGAUCCAAGUAGGAUACCAAACAGCCCCUAAGGCCAUCUCCAGUCAUAGGACUAAAUGUAGUCCAGGGCUAAAAAUUUAGCCCCCCAAAAUAUUAAUUUUUUUAAAAAUAGUGCAUGACUAAAUUUUUCCAUCUCCAGCCAUGCAGGGCUAUAUUUUAGGAUCCUUCAUAUUUUAUUAUUUUAAAAAAAACUAUGGUACAACACUCAUACAUUCCACAACUAUAUAUUGUUUAAUUUAAUUAAACUACUAUUUGGAGAUAGUAUUCCAUAUAUGACAUGUAUUAAGAACAAGAUUUCUGAAAUGUGGAAUGAAAUGAGUGGGAGACGUAUUUAUAGACAAAUUUUAGGUUUUUAAAUUUUUAAAAGAAAUAAUAAUAAAGCCAACAAACGCAAUUAAAAAAAAAAUAAAAAACUGGAAGGGUUCAAGGGUCUAACCUCCAACGGUCAUGACCCAGAAUUUUUUAUAAUUUUUUUAAACAACACCAAACAUUUAAAAACGUGAAGACAUAAAAAAAAAACAUUAUAAUUAAAAAUAAAAAUAAAAAGAACAGGAUGGGUUUCAAUGUUUGAGCUCAACGGUUAUGAACAAGAUUUUUUAAUUAUUUUUUUUAAAACAACACUUGAAAAGAUGGCAAAAGCUGACCACAUUUAUUAUUUAUAAAAAAAAUAUAUAAAAACAAAGGGGAAUGGGUAGGUGUGGAUUCCAACAGUCAUUGCCAACAAGAAAUAUUCAAAAACUUUUUAAAAAUAUAUAUAUAUAUAUAUAUCCAGCUUUUAAAAAGAGGAGUGGGGAGUGCUUUAAUGAUUGAUUAUUGAAAAGCACAUGGAUGGGGCCCAUUAUAAAUUUGGCCUAGGCCAAAAUUGGGCUACAUUUGACCCAGUUGGAGGGCUAAGGCCAUCUCCAGUCAUGGGCUAUAUCCCAAAUAUAGCCCUAAAUUAAUGCAAAACUCAUCUCCAGCCAUGGGUUAAAUAAAAUUUUGGUAAAAUUUGAAGGGCCACAUUUGGCCCUUUAGCCCUCCAACCAGGCCAAAUGUAACCCAGCUUUGGCCUAGGCCAAAUUUAUAAUGGGCCCCAUCCAUGUGCUUUUCAACAACCAAUCAUUAAAGCAUUCCUCACUCCCCUUUCAAAAAGCUGGAUAUAUAUAUAUAUAUAUAUAUUUUUAAGAAUAAUGCUACUCUUAUCACAUUUGUAUACCACAUCUUUAUACCAUCUUAUGUGGCAGCUGAGGUGGACAGCCACAUCAAUUAAAAUUAUUUAAUAUUUUCUUUUCUUUUAUGAUUUAUUCCAAUAUUUAUUUUUCUAAUUGUCUUAAUUAAAAUACACUUUAUUGAUUUAAUUGAUGUGGCAUAUAAUAUGGACAUGCCACAUCAUGUGGUAUAGAAAUGUGGGAUAAAAAUGUGGUAAGUGUAGCAUUACUCUUUUUUUAAAGCUUUUUGAAUGUUUCUUGUUGGCAAUGACUGUUGGAAUCCAUACCUACGCACUCCCCCUUCUUCUUCUUUUUCCUUUUUUUUAAAUAAUAACUGUGGUCAACAUUUUUACCAUCUUUUCAAGUGUUGUUUUAAAAAAAAAAAAAUUAAAAAAUCUUGUUCAUAACCGUUGAGCUCAAACAUUGAAACCCAUCCUGUUCUUUUUUAUUUUUUAUUUUUUUAUUUUUAUGUCUUCACGUUUUUAAAUGUUUGGUGUUGUUUAAAAAAAUUAUAAAAAAUUCUGGGUCAUGACCGUUGGAGGUCAGACCCUUGAACCCUUCCAGUUUUUUAUUUUUUUUAAUUGCCUUUGUUGGCUUUAUUAUUAUUUCUUUUAAAAAUUUAAAAACCUAAAAUUUGUCUAUAAAUACCUCUCCCACUCAUUUCAUUCCACAUUUCAGAAAUCUUGUUCUUAAUACGUGUCAUAUAUAGAAUAUUGUCUCUAAAUAGUAGUUUAAUUAAAUUAAACAAUAUAUAGUUGUGCAAUGUAUGAGUGUUGUACCAUAGUUUUUCUCAAAAUAAUAAAACAUGAAGGAUCCUAAAAUAUAGCCCUGCAUGGCUUGAGAUGGAAAAAUUUAGCCAUGCACUAUUCUUUAAAAAAUUAAUAUUUUGGAGGGCUAAAUUUUUAGCCCUAUGACUGGAGAUGGCCUAAAGGGCCAAAUGAGGCACUCCAAAUUUGGCCAAAAUUUUAUUUAGCCCAUGACUUUUGCAUUAAUUUAGGGCUAUAUUUGGGAUAUAGCUCAUGGCUGGAGAUGGCCUAAUGUCCCUCUACUUUCAAUUUCAUAAUGGGUGAUUUUAUUGGCACCCCAUUAUUUGCUCUUUACCCCAUACUAAUUUUAAAUAUGAAUAACAUAUUUUACCCUUGUACACAAUUACCGUUAAGGAUAAAAAAAAAUUUAAAAUUAAAAUUAAAAUUGCUCACUACACCCCACAUAUGUUCCUGCAACCCUAGUUUGACUUGACUUUUUUCUCAAACUAUCAUGUUCCUAAACCCUAAGCCCUAGAUUUAUACGUUUAUAUUGGUGAAAAAAUAUCUUGUAUUUAUUCAUGAAGGGUGAGAUUGAAGUUAGAAAGGCUUCGAAUGAGGUACGAGUUUAUUUUUUGGCGUUUUGCAAGUUUAGUAUUUUAUAAUAGUCGCUGGUUCACAUCAGUACCAAACGCGACAGGUAAAUUCGGUGGGAUGCCACCGAAAUGUUGCACCGUUUUCGAUUGGGUUUGACCGAUCAUGAACUUAAUAUUCGAUGGAGAUCUACCAUAACAUGGAACGUAGUUCAGUGGUUCACUACCGAACUUUUACCUGCGUUUCAGUGGCAUCCAACCGAAAUGUAUUUAUUUUUUCAGUAACUUAUUGCCGACCACAAAUUUAAUGCAAGCUAUUUUGAUCUUACUCUCAUUGAAGGAACAAAAACAAGGUGACGCCCCUGCUGAAGGCAACAAUGUGGGAACAGAAUGUGUAAUUGACUAUAGUGAUCAAUUCACAACUUAUUCGGUAAUUAUUUGUCUGAAAUCCUUUUUAGUAUCAUUAACGUGGCAUUAAUGUUUCAAAUUUUAUGUUUAAAUAAUAUGAGUUUUAUGUAUAGAUAUUCAAUGGUAGAGAUGUAUUACUUAGAUAGGCUCGUGCACAAGAAAAAAUAAAUAAUAUUGUCAUUGUAAUUAAAAGGUCUGAUUAUGGAGGUGAGGGCAAGAGGAGACCUCGUGCAAUACUUGCUUAUGAGAGGAAUAGUAACUAUAAGUCUUGCAAGUCUAGUGAGACAACUGAUAUAAGGUCGAAUGCAAAUAGUGAUACGAAAAAAUGUGGUAGGGACACUGGUACCAAGAAAUGUGGAUGCCCAUUCUUGUUAAAAGGUGUCAAUAUUGGUGAUGAGGAUGAUUGGAAGUUGGAGGUGGUUUGUGGAGUACACAACCAUCCUAUUUCAGAGUAUCUUCAAGAUCAUUCAUUUGUGGGGCGACUUUCUGAAGAGGAGAAUGCCUUGUUGGUGGACAUGUCUAAGAGUUUGGUGAAACCCAAAGAUAUUUUGGUCACCAUUAAAGAUAGAGAUGCAAUGAAUGUUUCAACUAUGAAGAUAAUAUACAAUGCUAGGAUUCGAAAUAGAACCAAAGAAUUUGCUGGGAGAACCCAAAUGCAACAAUUGCUUACUAAGCUAUCCGAACACAAUUAUAUUGAGUGGCAUAGGACAUCUGAUGAUAUUGUAACUGACCUGUUUUGGACACACCACAUUAGUAUUGAUAUUUUGCGUGCAUUUUCACAUGUACUUAUCAUGGAUUGCACCUAUAAGACUAAUAGGUAUCGUUUCCCACUAUUGCAAAAUGUGCAGGUGAUAUCUACUAAUAUGACAUUUUCUGUUGCGUAUGUAUAUAUGAAUGCUGAGAAGGAAAACAAUUACACAUGGGCAUUGACUGCAUUGAGGAGUUUGUUGGAUGAUAAUUGUCUUCCUGGUGUUAUUGUCACCGAUCGAGAGUUAGCACUCAUGAAUUCUAUUACGUCUAUAUUUCCGAAAGUACGACAUUUAUUAUGUAGAUGGCAUAUUAACAAAGGCGUGUUGGCAAACUGCAAAAAGUUAUUUGGGACCCUCAAAUAAUGGAAGCAAUUUAAUGAGGAUUGGAAUACUUUGGUUGGUUCAGAAACGGAGGAGGAAUAUUGGUGUUGUUUGCCACAGAUUGAGUCUAAGUUCAGUGAAUUUCAAAAAGCUCUUGAAUACAUACAUGAAAAUUGGUUAAAUCCAUUUAAGGAUAGGUUUGCGGCUACAUGGACAGACACUUGUAUGCAUCUUGGAUCGACGACCUCAAAUAGAUAAGUAUUAUAGUCAACUUUUGAUAUGUAAAUUUGAACAUUUAUUUUCCUUCAGGAAAAUUUAUUAUUGUUAUCAACAGAACGAAAAGUGCACAUGCAAAGUUGAAGCGACAACUCCGCUCAAGCCAACUUAACUUUGAGAGAUCAUGGGUAACUAUACACUCAUUGUUAGAGCUAGAGCACACAGAGAUUAAGGCAUCUUUUGAAAAUAGUCUAUGUUUUAUUCAACAUAGGUUCAGGCAUCCGGAGUUGAGAGAGUUAGUAGGUUUUGUUUCUAUAAAGGCUUUGAGUGUCAUUGUGUGCGAGUCAGAAAGGUAAAUUCAGUUUACUUAUUACAUGUACAUAUAUGGUUUACAGAGUUAACAUUGUAAUUGUUUUUUGCAAUCAGGUUAGAGACAAAUAGGGUAGAUGCUUUAUCAUGUGGUUGUGCUAUUCGUCGAACCCACCAAUUACCAUGUGCACAUGAAAUUGCGGAGUAUAGAGAGCGUGGUGUACCAAUACCUUUUGAUGUCGUGCAUUCACAUUGAAGAAAAUUAUAUCUCAUCAAUAUAGGAAACAGUAGUCAUGGCAUGAAAUGACUGCUUAUGAUCUUCCUGCUGCAUUCCAGUAUGUGAACAAUCAAACAGGACAGAAAUUACACUAUGUUGGUCAUUCCUUGGUAAAUAUUUGCUGGAUCCAGGUUUUAUUCUUUUCUUUUUUCCUUUUUGUAACACAUAUAAUUAACAAAUAAAUAUGACUGAGACUUGGAAAGUAUUGAAAUUACAGGGAACUUUGACUGCCCUUGCCGCCUUCUCCCAAGAAAAGCUGUUAAACCUGCUAAGAUCAGCUGCUUUGCUUAGUCCAAUUGCUUAUCUUGGUCAGAUAUCGCCGUUUGGAAGAACUGCUGCCGACAUAUUUUUAGCUCAAGUAACAUAACUCUAUGAACUUAUAUUUUAUUUUGAAAUUAUGGGAUUCUUAGUUCAUUCAUGUUAGAAUUCAUUGUACUUUGCAGUUUUGUAAGGUGGUUUUGAGAGGAAAAGAGAAAACACAGAGAAAAUGUGAGAGAGAACGUUGCUGCUUUUGUAACUUUUCUAAUUGAUUCCAAUUGUAUUGCACUCUACAUGUAUGUAAGUGUGUGUGAGAGAGAAUCUAAUUCUCUAACAGAUUUACAAAGCAUAUUCAAUCCUAGCCUUUGAUUCUAGCAUCCUAUGAGAUGAAUCCAUUUGUCAUAAUCCAAUGCUUAGAUCCUAGACUAGCUAAGAGAUCACUUGGACUAUGAUCCAAGGGCUCAAAUUACAUUAAGACAGAAAAGAAAAAAAAUUUAAAAGAAACUAAAGUUCAUAGACUGUAACAUAAAACGACUGAGUAACUUCUGCUCCAAAGGCAUUCAGCUCCAAUGCAUUCAGCCCAAAUGCUUUCAUCUCAAAUGCUUCCAGCUCAAAGGGUUUAGACAUCAACACUCCCUUCUAACCCUUUAGCUGAUUUCACACCAAGUAAGUCUCUUAGAUACACAAAGCGAUCCUUGGACAAAGCUUUGGUUAGAAUGUCAGCAAUCUGAUCUUCUGUUUUGCAGUAGAUUAGUUCAAUCUCCUUUGCUUGAAUAGCUUCACGAAUGAAGUGAAACUUUCUACUGAUAUGUCUGGUUUUCUGGUGGAAAACUGGAUUCUUAGCCAUUGCUAUGGCAGAGGUGUUAUCACACAAGAUUGGUGUACCUUCCACUUGCUCUUCACCAAAGUCUUCAAGAACAAACCUUAGCCACUUAGCCUGUGAUGUUGCUUCAGCAGCACUGACGUAUUCUGCCUCUGCAGUAGACAAAGCUACUGUAUUUUGCUUAAUGGAUGCCCAUGAGAACAUACCAGAUCCUAGUGUAAAUGCAUAGCCUGAGGUGCUUCUUCUAUCAUCUUCACUUCCUGCCCAGUCACUGUCACAAUACCCUAUCAAAGUGGCUGACUUCCCCUUUAUGAACUCAAUUCCAAAAUCCAGUGUGCCUUGGAUGUAUCUCAAUACCCUCUUGGCUGUUCCCAUGUGUUUUUUAGUAGGAUUAUGCAUGAACCUAGCAAGCAAGCUAGAAGCAAACAUUAUGUCUGGUCUUGUAGCUGUCAAGUAGAGCAGACUACCAACAAUCUGUCUAUACUCAUUCUCAUUUGCUGCCUCACUCCCAUCUUCCUUGCACAGCCUCUCACUUGCAACUAGUGGAGUCACCACAGAUUUGCAGUCCUUUAGACCAAACUUCUCAAUUACUUUCAUUGCAUAUUUCUUCUGAUGAAGAAAUGUGUGCUUAUUGGUCUGCACAACUCCCAUGCCAAGGAAAUGAUAGAGCAGGCCGAGAUCAGUCAUCUCAUAGUGCUUCAUCAUGUCAUUUUUGAAUUCUUCAAGCAAUUUCACACAACUUCCAGUAUAAACAAUAUCAUCCACAUAAAGUGAAACAAUAAGAAUACCUGAAGUGUCACUUGUUUUGACAUACAGUGUUGCCUCACUAGGACUUUUCUUGAAUCCUGCCCUGUUGAAAUACGAAUCUAUCUCAUCAUACCAGGCUCUUGGAGCCUGUUUUAGUCCAUACAGAGCUUUGUUCAGCUUGUACACCCUGAUUUCUUCAUUUUCUUUAACAAACCCUUGUGGCUGCUCCACAUAAACUUCUUCUUUUAACACUCCAUUUAGAAAUGCAGACUUGACAUCCAAUUGGUACAAAUUCCAUUCCUUCUGUGCAGCAAGAGCAAUCAAGGUCCUAAUGGUGUCCAACCUUGCUACAGGAGCAAAUGUUUCAUUGUAGUCUAUUCCAGGUUUCUGUGAGUAGCCCUUUGCCACUAAUCUGGCCUUGUUCUUUUUGCACAGAUCCAUCAAGAUUAAGUUUCGUCUUGUAGACCCAUUUGACACCAAUGAUUGGUUUACCAAAUAGUCUGUCCACUAGUGUCCAUGUGUUAUUUUUUUCAAUCAUCUCCAGUUCAGCCUUCAUUGCAUUUCUCCAUGACUCAUCAAGGUUUGCAUCUUCAAAGCUCUCAGGUUCAACAAUGCAAAUGUUGCACUGAGCCAUGAUUUCAUUUACACUUCUCCAUUUCUUUGGUGUGUGGUCAAUGGCUUGUGAGCUUCCACUUAUUCUCUCCUCUUGCAGGAUAGUGUUUUCACUCAUUUGAGUUGAUGCAUCCAAGUCUUGACUUGGUUCAUCUUGCACUGUGGUUCCUGCAUCCAUUUGCAGUGGUGUGUCCAAGUCUAGACUUGGUUCACAGUUCUGAUUUUCUGCAGGCAUAGAAACUGUUAUUUCUCCCUUUUGUUCAUUUUCCCACUUCCAUAAACCAUCCUCAUCAAAGUGCACAUCUCUGGACAGAAUUAUUCCUAGAGCUUGGAUCAAAUAUCCUGUAACCUUUUUCACACAGGCCAUAGCCUACAAGAAUACAUUUGUGACUGUUCUCCUCAAGUUUGUGCCUUAGUGCUGAAGGAAUUAGCACAUGACAGGGUGAUCCAAAGAUCUUUAAGUGAGCAAUUCCUGGUUUUCUCCCAGUGUAGGCUUCAAAAGGUGUUACUUUGGUUAGAGCCUUAGUAGGACAUCUAUUUAAUAGAUAAACUGCAGUGUUUACAGCCUCUGCCCAAAAUUCAUAGGGAAUACUCUUUUAAUGCAGCAUGGACUUUGCCAUUUCAACUACUGUCCUAUUCUUUCUCUCUGCUACUCCAUUCUGCUGAGGAGAGUAUGCCACUGUUAAUUGCUUUUGAAUGCCAACCUCUGCACAGAAACUGUUGAAUUCAUUUGACAGAAACUCCCCACCCCUGUCACUUCUCAAGCCUUUUAUCUUAUAACCACUCUGCAGCUCUGUCAUGGCUUUGAAUUUUCUAAAACACUCCAAUGCACUUGACUUGUUUCUAAUAAAAUACACCCAUGACAUUCUAGUGCAGUCAUCAGUGAAUAGCAGGAAGUAUUUAUUUCCUGAUAUUGAGUCUGUUUUCAUUGGUCCACAGAUAUCUGUGUGGACCAAUUCCAAAGGAUGUGAUGCUCUCCAAGUAGAUUCCAAAGGGAAAGAAUCUCUGUGCUGCUUUCCUAACAUGCAGCCUUCACAAACCACAGAGACUUGCUCCAAAUGAGGCAGGCCAUGAACCAUGCCCUGAUUUUCAAGCAGUUUCAAACUUCUCUCAUUUAAGUGUCCUAGCCUUUUAUGCCAUGUCUGCAGGCAGUGAGAAACACUUGCUUUUAAAACCAACUCACUUGCAGGCAUCAUUGUAAGUGGAAAACAUCUGUUAUUGGUCAUUUGAACCCUCACAAUCAGAUUUCCUAGUGACUGAUCAUCAUAUACAUUCACCAUAUUCUCUCCAAACACAAGAUAAUAACCAUGCUCCAUCAUUUGCCCAACACUAAGUAGAUUUUCUUCCAUACCAGGUACAAGCAUUACUUCUUGUAUGUGCUUCUUUCCCAGUUUGGUUUUGAUCACCAGAGUUCCUUUUCCUGCCACUGGAACUACCUCUCCAGUUCCCAUCUUGACUUUAGAAUUCAAAUUCCUUUGAAUAUCCACUAAGAGCCCCUCAUUUCCUGUCAUGUGGUUACUACAGCCACUAUCAAUAUACCAUGAGUGAUUCUUUUUCACAUCUGUUGCAGCAUUGCACAUGUAGAACAAGGCACCUGUUUCCUCCAUCUGAUUUGCAUAGUUCACCUUAUGUGCAUUUUUAUUUCCAUUGCACUCUCAGAUCAUAUGCCCAAAUUUUCCACAUCCAUGGCAUUUAGGCUUGCCUUCAAACCAGCACUUGCCGUAAUGCAGCUUAUCGCAAUGUUUACAGGCUAUUUUGUUACCAUCACUAGUUUUCCAGUUUUUCUAAGAUUUUUGGUCUCCAGAAAAACUGCCACUCUUCGGAUUCUUCUCCUCAAUAUUCAGGCUAGCAAAUGCCCUUUCUGUAGAAUUUUCAGUAUGGCGAUCCAAUCUGAGCUCAAAGCUCUUCAAGGAGGCAACCACCUCUUGCACUUCCAAAAUUUCUAGAUCCUUAGAAUGUUCAAUAACAGAACAAAUGGGAUCAUAGGAUUUAGGCAGACUAAACAGCAGUUUCUGCACAACCCUCUCCCUGGAUAAUUCCUCUCCAUAACUUUUCAUGUGAUUCAAGAUAUCAAACAAUCUAGCAAGAUACACAGAUAGAGAUUCACUGUCUUUCAUGCGAGUAUAUUCAAACUCCCUACGCAAUCCUUGCAGUUUUACAUUUCGUACCUGCUUAUCUCCUCCAAAUUCCAGCUUCAGAAUGUCCCAAGCUCCCUUUGAGGUCUCCUCAUUCACUAUUCUGGGGAAGAGUUGAUCUGAGACAGCACUUUGGAUUAAUCCAAGUGCUCGAGCAUCCUUCAUCAGAAGCUGAGCCAUAGUAGACUUCUCAGCAUCCUUAGUCUCUUCUAUCUCUCUUUCUUUCUUUGAAUCUGGAUCAUUGCAGCCAUGUUCAACCAGAUCCCAUAGUCCAUGAGAUUUCAGUAUUGUUUUCAUCCGAAUGCUCCAGAAUUCAUAGUUUUCUCCAUUGAACACUGGUGUGCGAAGCUCAGAGGUGCUAGAUCCUGCCAUGUGAGACAUUGGAUUCAAGAAAAACUCAGCUGCACAAUCGAAGGAAGCUCAGAAACAGCUCAAAAAUCAAUUCCUUUUCCUUGUUCACAGAUUUACUCCCAGCUCAAAUGAUCAAACCUGGCUCUGAGGCCAUGUUAGAAUUCAUUGUACUUUGCAGUUUUGUAAGGUGGUUUUGAGAAGAAAAGAGAAAACACAGAGAAAAUGUGAGAGAGAACGUUGCUGCUUUUGUAACUUUUCUAAUUGAUUCCAAUUGUAUUGCACUCUACAUGUAUGUAAGUGUGUGUGAGAGAGAAUCUAAUUCUCUAACAGAUUUACAAAGCAUAUUCAAUCCUAGCCUUUGAUUCUAGCAUCCUAUGAGAUGAAUCCAUUUGUCAUAAUCCAAUGCUUAGAUCCUAGACUAGCUAAGAGAUCACUUGGACUAUGAUCCAAGGGCUCAAAUUACAUUAAGACAGAAAAGAAAAAAAAUUUAAAAGAAACUAAAGUUCAUAGACUGUAACAUAAAACGACUGAGUAACUUCUGCUCCAAAGGCAUUCAGCUCCAAUGCAUUCAGCCCAAAUGCUUUCAGCUCAAAUGCUUCCAGCUCAAAGGGUUUAGACAUCAACAAUUCAUUAUGAAGUAGAUUAACUGACCAACACAGAGAGCAUACUAGGCGCAGCCAUAGCCACCGCACCAGCAAGGUCCCCAUCAGAAUCCCGAACAAUGAUACCAACUCCGUGGGAUCCAUCAUUCAAAUCCACCGCAACAUCAACAUUUAAUUUAAAAUACCUAGUCUGCGGCUGUUGGCACCGGACCACAUUAGACGGCAAAGAAGCCUUCCUAUGACGAUCCAAAAUAUCAGCUUUGUAUUCGACAUCAUAGUUCUUUACCCGACAAAGAAUCUCCUAUACUUGUAGAGCACCAACACCAAAACAGCACAUUAACUAUACAUUGUGAGAAUGUGAAGGUAAAAAGUCCCACAUUAGAAAGUUGAGAAAUCUAGCAAGGGCUUAUAAGGAGUUGUAUUACUCUCCUCAUUGCCAAUUGGUUUUGGGAUGGAACCUCAACUUCCUUCAUGAUAUCAGAGCCUAGUUACCCCACGUGUGAAAGCCCAACGAUUACACGUGCUCCACGUCACCAAUUGAUUUUAAAUUAGUAAUAAAUUCAUUUAAAAUAGUAUUAAAUUAUUAAUCAUUAAUGAUAGAGAGUUAUUAGGAGUUCAUUUCUCUCUUCUCCGAGCUCCUAGAGGUAUCCUUAAUUUAGAUUUUCUGACAUUCCCUAUAAAUUUUAACUUAGGAGCACAUUCAAUUAACUCAUUCGAAUUUAUCAUUCCAAGUGUUAGUUUCAAGUUUGAAGAUGUCAUUUUCUUAACUCUCCCUCCUUUCAUCUUAUUCCCUCAGAAUUCAAAAACCAUAUUUACUUCAUCAAACAAAAUCCAAAGGUUUAUUUUUCAGUUAAGAAAAUUACUUAAAAGGUGAAAACGUUCGAUCCUUUCAACUUAAAUGACGUUGGAAACAAAUAAAAUAAAAUAAAAAUUACAAGAGAUCUUACCACAUAAAGCGACCACCAUUAGAUUUCAUUUAAAUUAGCUUGAGUGGAUGAGAUUCAAUGAAAAUAAGAGAGAAGGAGACAGUAAAAAAAAGAAGAGUAACUUAUUAAAAUUGAAAAUGGUUAGUUGGUUACAUGUAAAGAUGGUUUAAAUUAGUUGGUUAUGUAGAGCUGGUGUAUAACUGAAAAUGAAAAGCUGUACAAAACAGAGAGAAACGUUUAGGGCAGGGCCUUUCACCUAUAUAUAUAUAUAUAUAUAUAUAUAUACAUUUCUCUCUGGUGAAUUUACUUUUCUUUGUAGCUGGGGAAACAAGGGAGGCAUAUGUAAAGGGAAGAAGAAGAAGACGACGUCGUCGUACGAAGGAGGAAUCAAAGAAGUAAAUAGAUAAGAGUAUAUCAAUGAGUCCACCAGGAUCAGGAGAUGCGACAGCGCGGGUAUGUUAUAAUAUGACAGUUUUCAUGAGAGGAGAUUUUUGGCAUGCCGAAACCCCCACCGACAGAUCUCUCCCAUCGCUCAACAGCCAAUUGGUCAUCGUCAUGCUCGUCACUCGCAUUCUCAUGGUUGCCUUCAAGCCCCUGCACCAGCCUCGUAUUGUCGCUGAUAUUCUUGUAAGUAGUCUUAGCUCUUAUGAAUAUUGAAAUGUCAUAUCUUCUUAUAUAAAUGCGAAAAAAAAAAAAACUUAAAUCUACUUUCGUACAAAGUGAGUUCAAUAGGAUUUUCAUCUUAAAAUUGUGUUAUUCAUCCAUAUUCGGAAAGAUAUGCUAACGCAACUGUUCGUUUGUUAUUAUUAUCUGUGUAAGCGUGUUAUAUGUGUUGAUUCUUAUAAAAUAAGAAUAGAGUAUAAUUUGUUGAGUGCAUUUUCAACCGUGACAUGGAAGUUCUAGCCGCAAUAUGCAUCCAUUAAUGAACACCAUUUGAAAUACCAUUUGUUGAGUGAAUUGCACCAUUGUAGUUUGAUUAUCCCAACCAACUUUUUUCUUAAUCUCCAUUAGGAAUUAUUCUUGUAAAAAGAAAAGAAAAAACAUAUCAACCAAAUUGGUCGACAAUCAAAUAACCUCUAUUUGUGAGGAAUUGCUCAAUUAAAGGGGACUGUAUGUUUUUUUUAAUUUUGUGAGGGUGGCGUGCUAGUGGGUCCAUCUGUUAUCGGCGGUAUGAGCUUUGCUCGCGCUUACAUAGCUCCUUUCCACAACUUCUUGACAAUAGAAACAAUUGCAAGCUUGGGCCUCCUUUACUACAUGUUCAUGGUGGGUUUAGAGCUUGAUUUCAAACCAGUAAAACGUGCUGGGAAGAAGGCUCUGAGCAUUGCCCUCGCGGGCCUCAUAGUCACUGUCCCCCUCGGCGCGGCUCUUCAUUACUUUCUUCUUGGCGACGACUCUCGCUGGAAGUACAAGGGCAAAAGGCCCACCAGGUACGGGCCCUUGGUCUGGGGCAUUACCCUCGCCACCACCAGCUUCCUCGACCUAGCUCGAAUCCUCGCCGACCUCAAACUCCUCCAUUCUGAGGUCGGUCGGCUUGCCCUAUCCGCCGCCGUCAUUGCCGAGUUAUGCUCAUGGUUUCUUCUUGUCGUGACCAUGUCGGUAAUGACUGCGGCCGGGUGGCGCGGGUUUGCGACCACCGUGGCCUUUGUAGUUGUCUGUGUUUUUGUUCUUCGGCCUGCUCUCUUGUGGGCAAUCCGCUGCAAAUUUACCGAGAACAAAAAGAAUAAUAAUAACGAUAUGGACCUCAACGUGUGCUUUGUCCUGUUCGGUGUCGUGGUAUUCGGGUUCAUAACGCAAACAUGUGGGUCCCACUUCAUCGUCGGGCCUUUCGUGUUGGGAGCCAUCAUGCCCAAGAAGGGAGAGAUGAAGAAGAUGGUGAUGCAGAGGAUCCAAAACUAUGUGUAUCUGCUCAUGAUGCCCCUUUUCUUCUUGUUCGUCGGGCUAAGGACCGAUUUCAGACAUGUUGUUUAUGAGGACGUUGAGAACCAAGUGCCCUACGGUGCAGCUCACGCGUGCCGUGUCAUGGUGGUUAUCGUUCUGUCUUCCGCUUCUAAGAUUUUCACAACCUUUCUCGUCGCCUUAAUCCACAAAAUUCAACCUUGGGACAGUUUUACUCUUGGGAUACUCAUGAACACUAAAGGAUUAUUGGGACUCAUCAUUCUCAACUCUGCUAAGGACCUACAAGUAAGUACUAUAUUCUAUCUCACUCGUCAUUUCAUAAACUAGUUAAUAAGUUAAUACGACAUCAAACGUUAUUUUUUCAACUGAUGAUAUAUAUGAUUCUAAACAACACAUAUUCAGACAAGAAUUGACUUGAUCAAUCAAUUGUUCGAAUUCAUAAUCUGAUAACAUCCUAGUGUUAAUUAAUUACAUAUCUGUAUGGUGCAUCAUGUCUAUAGGUCUUGGACCACCGAACGUUUGCAGUAAUGAUGAGUGCAAUUUGGCUAAUGACGGUUCCGGUUGGACCCUUCCUAGCCCUGGGUUACAAGACCACGAGGGCUUCCGCACAAUACAAAAUCAGGAACAUACAAAGCUUAGAACCUGAUACCGAGCUUCGAAUCCUCACGUAUACCCACACCUCCAUUAACGUCUCCGGCAUUGUAGACCUCCUCGAGGCUUCAAAUCCAUCCCGACAAUCCUGGAUCUACGUCUUCGCCGUCCAACUCGUGGAGCUCACCGGUCAAGCUUCGGCCAUGCUCAUCGUGCAUGACGCUUGUAAAGCUAACACAAAUCACACCUGGGCCAACACCGAGGCACAACCUGAGCCAUUCACCUCUAGAAAUGCCUUUGAAAGCUACGCCAAGGGAAGAGCAAACGUUUAUGUUCAAGCACUCACGACCGUUUCAGCUUACAACACCAUGCACGAGGACAUAUGCAAUCUGGCCGAGGAGAAGUGCAUCAACCUCAUAAUCAUCCCGUUCCACAUGCAAGCUAAUAUAGAUGGCGCCAUGGAGGAUGCCAACCCUAGUUUGAAGGGCAUCAACAGUAACGUGAUCGAAAAGGCCCCGUGCUCCGUGGCGGUUUUUGUCGACCGCGGGCUUAGUAUGUCCCAUAUGACCGAAUCCUACAAGGACGCCUCCCAGGCCUACCGCCACUUCGCCAUGUUCUUCAUCGGAGGGGCAGAUGACCGCGAGUCGUUAACGUAUGCAUGGAGGAUGGCAGGAAAUCCGAGGGUUAACUUAAAGGUUGUACGGUUUAUCGUUACCCCAAAUAACAACGAAGGCAACAACAAUAAGGAAACUGAUCCAAAGGUAAUGGAAGACAGUGGGAGGGAGAAGCAAAUAGACGAGUUGUACGUGGACGAGUUUAGGCUGAAGUCCAAGCACAACCCCAACAUACAAUUCUUGGAGGAGUCUGUGAAUAGCUGGGAACAAAUUCUGAAUCUCAUAAGGGAGUUGGAGGGUGAAUAUGACUUGUACAUAGUGGGAAGACGGCAUGGAAGCACAUCACCAGCGAAGGCAUUUUCGGAUCAUUAUUUGAGCCAGACUGACGAUCAGCUGGGACCUCUCGGGGAAGCAUUAUUGACUACAAGUUUUGCAAUUAACGCAUCCAUUCUUGUAGUGCAGCAGGGGGCCGCUGUGGAUGAACCAGAGGAUGAAAACGUUUCGGUUAUAUGAAAUUAGCAAAAACCCUUCAAAAUUCUUUGUGAACAUAGAAUAGGAUAACUCGACUUAGAUCCUUUUCCUUUCUUUUUCGCUUCUUGUUUGUUUUGCUAAAUCAGGAAAAGUUACAAAGAAAUUAUUCACCCUUUUCAUUGCAUCUAGUUUUGAACCGUGUCAGUUUUAUAUUCAAGAUAUAUUAGAAUGAUACUGAGAGGAAAGAGCUUGUAACUAAAGUGAUUGCGAGCAGGUGCACUUGAAGUUUUACCACUAAGAAGCGAUGUUAGACCAACAAGUAAAUGGUCGGAGCUUGGAUGAAACAUUGGACAUGCAGCUUUUCUUGCAUAAGUUUGAGCUAUAAAAAAAAAUUCCUGUUUCUUAAUCACAUUUAUGUUAAUACAUAAUUUUAUAAAGAAUGAAGAUGGUACUAAUAAUGCAACUUAAUUUGUUUAUGCAUUGAAUUGUGAACAAAAUCUUCAUAUAGAGUUUCAACGUCUAUAAUGAAAUAUCUGUAGAAUUUCAAUGUAUAUAACAUUUGCCAAAAAGCUAGACUUGUCACAUGAGAAUCUUCUGUCUGACUAAUAAAAAAUUAAACAAGAAUAAUUACAGCUAUAUUUGAAACUUACCUAUUAACCUGUCCAUUCACACUAUGAAGAAGAAGAAGAAGAAGAAGCAAUCACACUAAGAGACCUUAUUACACUCGUACACUGAGAUGGUUGUCAUCCAUUCCGGGUGGCGACAAUGGUGGAACAGCAGCUUCUUCAAAUUCAGCUGCGUCAACUUCCAAGGCCUUCCUGAUAGUAGCCUUACUCUCUCCAAUUCUGCCAAUCUUCCUCGAUGGGAGAGAUUGGGAGGCAGUAGCUCUAGAAGAGUUACUACUAUCAAUUGUCAACAAAAACUUUUCUUUUGAGAGGGCUGUUGGGGCAGAUGCAAUAACAGAGCUGAACACUCCCGACUCCCGUAGUCCUUGUAUUAUGGCCUGAGAUGUACAACAAGGGAUAUCUUUUAAAAUGAUUCAGAUAUAUAUCUACACUAAUAAAUAAAACCAACUCAAUUGUGUUCGUGGACCUUAAGUUUUGAAGCUUUGUCAAAUAUUUUCAUCAGAAUUUAAUUACACUAUUAACAUGAGUUGAUCAUUUUCAAUUAUAAAUAAGCAGCUAAAAAUUAAUAUGAAUUAUUUGAAGCUCAUAGAUAAAGAUAACCCACUUCCCACUAUCAAAUUAACUUCCUCCUUUACUUUCGUUCCUCUCUUUCCCUCUGAUUAUUAACCACUUACGCCCUAUCUAUUGUAAUAUACAUUAUUUUCAGCAAAUUAAAUUAUAAAAGGUCUAGUACAACUGCAUGAUAUAAACACUUGAUAUGACAGUCUUUCAUUACUAGCCAAAAGAAAAGUUAAAUAUAUGUCUACUUAUACCUUUUCCAGACUUCAUCCAUCACAUUAAAUAAAAAUACAACUACAAUGUAUCACAUUAUGCAAAAAUACAAUUACAGUAAAUUUUUCAUUACUAGUCAACUUCAAAUGUGUCUUCUGCACUAGAUAUAUCAGCUAUGAAAAAAAAAUUGUGACCACUAGUUAGAUUCUUUUGUAUCUCUUUUGAAUUAAAUUUUUUGUGGCGAAGAAUAUUGGUAAACAUGCUUACCAUGGGAGCAUAUAUUCGAGUCAAAAUGCCUUUUCUCAAAAGUUUCAAUUUUAUGUCUUUGUCAUCCCAUACAAUGUGUUCAUGGUACCUAGAAUAGAAGCCAAGCUCAAACAUUAAUUCACAAUAAAGGAUUAUCAAUAAUGAAGAGUAAGCUAAUUCCAACAGUUCUCUCCAAAAUAUAAAGCAUUUGAAUUAAUACAACUCAAAUUUUAAAAGAGGAUGAAAAUAAGCAAAAUAACUUGCGCAGAAGAUUUUACCAUUUCAGCAUUUCGUCCUUGGUUGCAGUCGAAGCAACUAUGAAUGCCUGAAAUGCUAAUUGUUAGUUAGUAUAUGAAAGAGUUAGCAUAAUGAAAUGCAACGAAAAAGCACUCAAGAGCUGGCAGCUAUUUUAAUUGUUACCAAAAGAAAGGGGAAAUAGAAGGGAAAAGACAAGUCCAAAUUCUAUUUACAAAUUCGUAGAAUAUUAGCCAAAUCUGCUAAAUGAUUUCAGUAGAAAGUCACUAUGCCAUAUAUGCCUCGCUGUAAGAUUACGCUUGAAGUCAGAAAAUAACAAAACUAUAUUGCUUUUUAAUUAUCCAAAAAACAGCUCAAUCAAUAAGAAUGUGCUUCAAAUUUUCAAGAAUUCUAUUUCUAUAAACAACUAAACUUGACAGUCACCACUAGAUCCCAAGUUAAUCCAAAUAGCCUCCUUGACUGCUUUGAAUGAAAACGACCACAUACAAGAAGUAAAUUGCCAUGACUGACAAACUUUUUCCGAACUUAUCAGAUUAAUAACAGCAACUCAUCUUAUUGCCACAUUACCCUCUCCUAGGCCUCAAAUUUCUUCCAACCAGUUGUAUAAGUAUCCCUUGUGAACUUUCCCUUUCUAUAUUGGACCCUUUAUAGUUAGUGCCUAUCAUGGUCACAUUAUACAACUCUUCCGUAUGGAACAACUAGUUAGUUUUAUAAACUUAACCAGUUAUAUCAUGUGCUUGAUGAUACUGUAAUGCAAGUGGAAGAGUUUAACAAGAUCUAAACAAAGCAUUGAACUCACAGAUCUGUCAAAUUCCAACAUAAAGCAUCUUUUCACAUCUUCCUUUGUUGGCUUGCAGCCACACCGAUCACGUCUAGAAGUCAAGUCUGAAAAUCGGGCAUAUGUGUAGUGUAGAACAGCAGCCUCUUCAAAUUUGACCUCACUAAAAGGAAUUACAAGAAAUAUGAUUACUGGGAUGAAUAAGUUCAAUAAAAAAAACACUACUCUUUCCAUAUAAAAUUACAGUACUUCGGGGUUUUCAUAUAAUUGUGCCAUCUGUGUGCACCAUUAGGACGGAGAUGGUCUUGGAUUCGAGCAGCUGACUUCCCAUUUCCAUAAGUCAAAAAAUAGUUUGGGUUGCCACGAGUUGAUUCUUUGUACAUGCCAAAGUAUGUAUCUUUUGGUACAUGGUCAUAAUUCCUCUUAAACAUGGAUACCUGCUUGUGUAGAUACAAGAGCAAGACAUAGAUCAAAGACCAUAUAUGAAUGCUAAUUGAAAAGUAAAAUAGAGAUGAUGUGCAGCAUUUUCAAAAAUCAACCAGGAUAGAUUUAUUUGUAGUAAGGUUCGUGACUACCGCUUCAUUAUGCAGCACACUCCAUAUCCUAUAUAUUACUUCUCCUAAUCCCACAGUUGCCUACUUCUCUACAAACACUAUGCCAUUAUUGAACUAAUAACAAGUUAACUUCAAAGCUUUCUGUCUAGAUUUGAAAACAAGGCAGAUCAAGGUAAUAGCAAGUUUACUAAAAAGUUGGAAUCAUUUCACGUUCUUGGGUAAACAUUUAAAACAACAUAGCUGAUAUCAGAUCCAUUAAUUCGGAUUAUAUAAAGGCCUAAUUUGGUUUUGGUAAAAAAGUAUUUUCGAUAUUAGGAAAUGAUCAGAAAUGGUUUUUUGCAUUUAGUUUUAGAUCAAAGUUGAAAAGUCAAACUAAAGUUAAACUAAAACACCAAAAAGGAUUAUAAAAUAAUACAAAAUGCCACAAUUUUGACUUUCCAAAAGUCAAAAUUUGGUUGACUUGUGAUCUAAAACUAAAAUAACAUAAACCACUAUUGGUUAGACUCAGAAAAGAAAAUAGGAUCCUUGCAUUUCCAAAUUUAAAAACUAUUUGUGACCUAAACCAAAUUUCCUAUUAUAUAAAUUGGCACCAAGUGUGCAUGUGUGUGUUUAACAACUUUGUCCUUGCAAAGUUUAACUGGGCAACAAUAUACUGUUUCCCAGCAUGGUAAGUCUAAGAGUAAGGAUAAGGUUAGGAACUCAUCACAAAUUCAAAGUUAUGGUACGCAUGAUGAAGGAACAGGCAGCAACAUAUGCUAUAUACCAUAUUUUACUAUCUAAAGACCCAUAUAGAAUAACAAAUAUCACUCUAUUGAUUGUUGAACUCUAGAGAUAUAGUGAAGUCUAUUUAACCAAAUAAAAAAGGCAAGAAUGAUGGACGAUAGAGGAAAUUCACCUCAGUAAAAGGUUCCUUAAUAUCAUCGCGUUCAACACUGCUCUCCUACUCAAUAAAAAUAAGCACAGUUAGUUAAAUCACUGAGUAAAAGCACCAGGGCUGAAACAGGAGCCAAUACAAGAAAUUAACAAGAGUAGCAUGCUUGAUCAUCUUUACAUGUCCCAAAGUAUCUAAACAAUUUCACAUACAUAGUUCGGGAAAAUAACCAUAUCCACAUUCCUAGGCACAUCAAGCAGCAACUGCCUCAAAGAAUACUCCUUGGCACCAGCUGGGUGCAGUAACUCAUCCGUGUCAAGAUGAAUUAUCCAGUCUAUUCCAGCAUCCUGAUAUUUUUGUAUGCACGAGAAAGUUCCAAGCAGAUAAAAAAGAAAUAAAUCAACAAAACCUAUUAUCAUAAGAUAAAACUAACAACAUAGGAACCAGUAAUAUGAGAAAAAUCUUUCAUACCCUUGCCAUGACAAUAGCCAUCUCCAUAUUGAGAGAUUGCUUCACAAAUAGCUCAUAAUUGCAAGGUUUGUAAAAGAAACUGGACAGCCAAGUCUCAUUCCAAAUUCGGCUGAUGGUACCAAAAACAAGAAGCAUAAAAUACAAGUGAUUUCAGCGAAAAUGAAAAUAGAAUUCUUCUUAGAAGCAGAUAACCACACUGCUGAUAUGACCUCCACUUGGACAGCUGUGCUUGCUGUUCAAAAAGCACCGCAAUGUUUCACUUAUCUAUUUUUUAGUUUUUUAUCCAUUUCCCGCCAAGGUUUAUUGGUGUAGAAUCAAUUUUCAGGUUAGGUUUUAAAUUUUAACUCUCAACUUUAAGGACUCUUUAGUAGCCCAAAACUCGGGAGUCAAAACUUAAAAGCUAAGCCCUAAACAGGCAUGUUUUGCUCUUUUUUUCAGUGCAAUUUGAACGGCCAGAGGGGCCAUCUGAAUUAUGUGGGUCUCCACAGAGCGGUUAUCCAUCCCAAAGGCGGAUUGUGUGUGUGUGUGUGUGUGUGUGUGCGUGCAUCUACCAAACAACAAAAGAGAUAGAUAUACAGAAGAUUAAUCACAACCGACAGGAAUCGUAAUAAUAACAGAAGAUUACAUUAACAGUAAGCAUAAAGUCCAAGAAGAAUGGCGGCAAAAUCAACUAACCUGUUAGCUUGUUGCUCCUCAAGCUGUUUUGUUCUGUAUAUCACUUUUACUCCCUGAAAGUACCACAAAAUUUAUCCUCGACAAAUUUCACAACAUUAAGCACAGUAGAACUAACAGUAGAAAUGCAUUUGAAGAAGAUAAGCAGUCAGAGUGAAGUAUAUUUUAACUCACAGGAAUGGACUCCAGAAUUUUAGCUACUUCGGGAGAUGCAGCCUUUCCUUCCACAAAAAGGAAAAAGGUAGUAGCUCCAAUGACCUUGUGAUAAAACAUCCAUGGUAAAAUCUGAUCUAAGCCAGCUGAAGUACUCGUAGUAAUACAUAUCUGCACACAAAACUAACUUGUUAAGAGAGGAAAACUUCAUUCCACCAAAAUGUUUGCUUUCCUGAUAUUAAUAAUAAGUACUCAUAAAUAACUAGAACAGGAAAGUCCUAAUGAUACCUGAUUCAUAAAAUCAAAUUCUACUACCCAACCAUUCACCCUAUAUACUGGUACCAUAUAAAGUCUAAUAUGUAAACGGCAACGUUAUCAUAUGUUCUCACUGCAAGUCUGCAGAACAGGUUGUCAAUGAAACAAAGAAUCGCAUUACCUUUAUCUAUUUGAAUACCCAAGUUGCUCAUGAUUAUACAUCGAACGACAUUUAACACUCAUUAAAUGGCUGUAGCUAAUUCUUCAUUACAUUCCAUGAUUUGAAGAACUAUGAUAUUUCCUAUAUUCUUAGGCUGUGCAGAAUCACUUGACAUGCCAUUGUCAAUGUUUGAUCUCUAGAGCAGGGCCUGCACAGUGGGUUCAAUUUGGGGGAAAAAAAGAAGAAAAGGAAAACCCAUCUUUGCAAGUCUUAAGCAUAUAUAAUAGUGUCUUCUAUUAACAAGUCAGGCAAGUCUAUUUGGAAAGCAAGGUUAAGUUGAGGUUUCCAGAAUACGGAUGAAGUUGGUUCACAUUGCACGGCAUUUGAACAGAAAGUGCUUCACGAUUGAGAUGAUGAUAUGGAAACUCAAGCACCAUAUAUAAUCUCCAGUGAAGAGCAGCUACUACGCUGCAACAAUAUUCACUUCUAUUGUAAGCUUUUGGUUUUUUAUUUAUUUUCGGUUACCUCUGUUCUAGCUUUAGCUGAUCUGUGUUUGCUUCGCCUCAAAUUAUUGAAGCAACUUACUGCAUUAACUAGCUCUGAAAAACAAUUUAACAAUCCAAGGGUCCAUGGUUCAAGUGAAAAAUCAAAAGCUCUGGUCUGACAAGAGAGAAUUCAAAAUCCAUAACAAAAACUUGCUAGUUCCUAGAUUCUCCGCAACAAAACUAUUGCUUGACCAAUGCACCACCAACAAAUCACAUCUAGUGUUGGGAUAGCGGCUCAAAUUAGUUGUCAAAGGCAUGGAGGAUAACCGACGACUGGUCGGAGACAAAAGGCGACCAGUCGGUAUUAAAGUUAGGUAACUUUCGGUGCAAACCAACUGGCGACAGGUCGGCUCUGCACAUGAUUAUGUUUCCUUUUUCGAUUUUGAGUCCUAUUAGGGUAUGUUUUUGGAUUCCUAGUUCUAUUGAGCUAGGGUAACUUGCUCUAGUGAAACUAGGGUUUUGAAAGGGAGACUAUAAGUAUAUCCUUAUGGUGUUAGUCUCCGUGGUGUGUGAUCAAAGGGCGUGAUCAAUAUAUGUCUAGUGGCUUUGAAGAUUUCACCUAUAGGGUUGUGGCAUACCGAGUGAGAGAAAAAACUUUGAGAGUGUGAGAGUCAGUUUCUUGGGUGUACUGGGGUUGAGAUGAGUGAAAUUACUUGUGAGUGUGAGGGAAGAGGCUAUCUCCCCUACAUUGUAAUUUUACCAUCUUUCUGCUGGAUCGUCUUCAUUAGCCCAAACCAGGGUGAACCUCGUAAUUUGUGUGUUGUGUGAUUGAUUGCUUUCUUCAUUUUAUUCUCUUGGUUGUUUUUGCGAUCUUUGGGCUAGGAAUUGUGUGUGAAUUCUCAACACCUAGUACACACCAAAAACUGUUCAACCAAUCAAUGAAAAAAAACACAAAAAACAAAAAAAGAAACAAAAAACUAUAAAGAAAACAUCUAUGACCCAUGAACUGAGAACAUUAGCACCAAUUGGGCAGACGAUCCAUUUUCAAACAUGAGCAUACCAGCAUGAGAAAAAGGAUCUAUUAGCCAAACAGCAUUGCACCAAAAAAUAUCUAAAAGAGCUAAACUUAUAGCAAAAAGUGAAAUGCAAGAUUGGCACAACUCCUUUAUCCUUUCUUAAAAAAAAGGCUCACUACAUAUAAACAGCCUCAAAACAAAUCUAGAACCCGUAAUCUUAAACCCAGAUACAGAUCAGACGUCGCCAAUUUCACAAAGUAACAAAGCUUUUGGCAUCAAACUGUACGACCACUCAGAAUUUUCGAAUACAGCAGCAAAAACCCACUAAACCCAAAUCUAUAGCAAGCAAAACCCAUUACCAGAUCAACCUCAAAUCCAAAAAGAAAGAAGAAGAAAGAACACACCUUUGGUCUCAAAUUGGACACAGAAUCAAACUUCCAAUUCUGAUAGUAGGGAAACGAAGGCGAGGCUGAACGGCCAAGGCUGAGGCAAUCGGACGGCGUGGAGUGAACGACGGCGGAGGAGAGAGGAGAGGCGUCCAUGCCGGGGAAGAGGUGAUGGGAACCAGGUGGGGACCACCGAGUGGUGGGAUCGGGGAUGCCACCGCGCCAUUGGAGAAUGAAGGCUAAGGCUGCGAGCGAAAGAGGGAGGAGAGUGAGGAGAAGGAGGAGCUUCGAUGUGAAAGUCUGAGAUGACGAGGAGGAAGAAGACUGCGGAGUUGAGCGGAGCGGGGCGUGGAGGUGGUGGUGGUGGUGGUGGUGGUUAGUCAUGAUGGUCGUUUUACUUUUACGUCAUGUGAGACUUUACAGCUUCACUGGGAUUUUAGCAAACAAGUUCUUCUUUUCUUUUAAAUAAAGUUUGAAAAACAGCUCCUGUUACAGUCUCAUCACGCUGCCUUUUCAAGAAUUGAAAAAUAAAUAAAUAAAAAUAACACAAAAUUAGAAAAAGGGUAAACUGUUGAAAUGCCCCUUGAACUUUUACCUAAUUAUCAAUUUAUCCCCUGACUUUUUUUUUAAGAAAAUUAAGGAUUCGAACUAAAUUUUAUUCUCAAUUUCCCUCCUGUCGUCUAAAUUCUCAACAUUUCAUCUAAUUUGUCGUUAAAUAAGAGAGUAAUUAGGCAUUUCAUAUGUUAAAAAUAAUUCACUACUAUAAAAUAAAAUAGUAUGACAUAUAAAAUGAAAAAAAAAAAAUCAUUUUAAUAAACAGAGGGGUGGGACCCAUCCAUCAUUUCUUCUCUCUCUCAGCGACUAAAACCCCUUCUUCCCUCUCUCUCUCUCUCUCUCUCUGCGACCAAAACCAUCGGGCCCCACCCUCCAAACAACCCCAUUUAUUCAGAUCUUGAAUCCAUUGAUAUGUUGUGCGAUUUGGGGUCGAGAUUUUGGGUGAAGGGGCAAUGAACUUGUAAGGUGAAGAGGUAUGGACCUUUAAGACUAAGGGGGAAAAAAUCAUAGGGGAAAGGGCGCGAAUGGGUUGGGUUUGUGGGUAGGGAUAGGUUUUUCUUUUAUAUUUUUUGGAUGUAGGGUGGGUUGCAGGUGGGGAAGAGGCUAGGUCACUGGUUGCUGUAAUUUCAAUCGAGGAUUGGAUUGGCAUUGGAGUGGCUAAGCUGGGGGAUGGGGAGGAGUUGUUUUGGGUUGGUGAGAUGAGGGGCUAGCUGUGGUGAUGAGGAGAGGUUUGAUGGCGAUGGUGGAGAAGAAAGGUGAUGGUUGUGGGGAGGGCUUUUUUUUGUUUUUUUCCUCUUUUCUUUAAUUUUUACAAAAAAAAUUUAAUCAUUUAACUGAAAUUGGAUGAAAUGUUGAAAAUUUGGACGGUAGGGGGAAAAUUGAGAAUAAAAUUUAGUUCAAGUCCUUAAUUUUGUAACAAAAAUGUCAGGGGGUAAAUUGAUAAUUAGGUACAAGUUCAGGGGUGGGGGGGCAUUUUGGCAAUUUACCCUAGAAAAAAGCGAAAUUAAAAUACAAGGUUUUUUUUUGUUCAGUUCCUCAAGGAAUACAAAUCCAUCCCGGAUUACAUUAUAUAAUCACGGCCGUUCACGUAGAUUAUGAAGCCUAUAAUGAAUUUGGGUUUUUGAUCCAAAUGAUUACUUUAAUCCAAGGUAUACUCUCACCACUAUUCUAAACACUUAAUACGUGUACAUGAACAUAAUCAUAGUUCCAUAAAUAUGAAGCAAAUAGUUAAUUAUGAUUAUGUCAAUAGACAAGUGUCAAGUGGUGAGAAGGAUUAUGAGGGUACACCUUAGGUUAAAGUGGUGAACAAAAAAAUUUCCAUGAACCUAUGCCCGAAUUCUCUUUUAGUCCUCCAACCAAAUUUUUCACUCUAAUGGUCCUCAAACUCUUUCUUUCAUGUCAUAUAACUUUGGGGUAAAUUAAACUUUGAACCAAAAAAAUAAAAAUAAAACACCACUUUGAGAUGCCCUAAUAACCCUAGACCCCAGCACCCACCGCAAUCUAGACCAAACAAUAUUGUAUAUGAUCCAUUAACAUGACAUGAAUUCGCAAUCCUAAAUCAAUAUUCAGGUCGGGGCUUAUCGGGCUGUGUUGAAAAUGGUGGACCCAUUAGCCACCAAUCAAGUUAACGGGUUGUGUCAUGUGAAUUCUCGAAUAUUUGUUAUCACCCAUUAAGAGUAUAGUUAUUUUGUAGUUUUAUAUGUCUUUCUUUUUUUCUUCCCUUCCUUCUCCCCUCCCCAACUCUUCUUUGGUUGAAUUUUUAUUUCUUAUUUUUCAGCUCUCUUUUUAUUUUUUAAUAUUUUUUUAGUUUCUUUUUAUUAUUAAUGGGUGAAACGAGUCGUGUCAUGUCGUUCGUUAUUUUAAAGGGUCGUGUUCGUGUUUGGUAUUUUCUACCCAUUUACUUAAUGAAUUGUGUUGUGUCAGCUCGUUAAAAAAAGUGGGUUGACACGAACACAAUAAACACAACUUGUUUGCCAUGUCUAUCGGAGUUGCACCUCCACUUGCAUCUGCCCUAUGACCACACAUCUACCUCCCUCUCGCUCCAUGGCACCCACCUCCCCUAAAAAUAAAGGGGCAUAAGAAAACUUGCAACAACUAUGCAAACUCAAAAAAUACGGGAGAACCCAGUUAAUCAAUUUGAGAAUAAGAUUAAUUCAACAAAGGAAAGUGGGGAAUACAAUUAUAGAUGCUCUAAGUUGUGUUUGAUGUCUAGUUUUAUGUUGUUUAUAAUUUAAGUCAUGCGGUACUCACUUUUAAUUUCAGUAUUGUUGUACUUGUUUUUAUUUUCUAUGUUGUUAUACUCGUUUUUUUUUUUUAGACAAUAUUUGUUUUAGCAAUUUUAAUUUUUGAGGUUAAAAUAUUUGUACAUAAUUUAAGAUAAUAUAAAUAAAAUUAACUAAAAGAAGUUAUGAAAAAAGAGGUUUAAAUAAUGGUUAAACAACAACUAUUAAAGCUUGGGUCUCAUAUUUUGAUAGUGUAAGAUGUAUGAAAAGAAAACUAUUUGAGGCUUUGCAUGUCAAUUUUUUGGAGCUGAUUUUUCCACUUUCCUCUUUUCUACUUACACUCUUUUUUACUUUUUAAUCCUUUUUAAUUAAUUUUUUCCUUUCGCUUUCCUACUCUACUCUUAUUCUACGUUAAUUUCUUUUUACUUCACUUUUUUCUUUUUCUUUAUACUUAAAUUUCCAACUUGCACUCCAUUUUAUUUUUCUUUAUAUAUUUAUAUUUUUUCUUUUUCUUUAUGCCGUUAGAUGAACAUGAUAAUAUAUAUAUAUAUUUUUAGAAAACCGAUAAUGCUUUAUGAAGUUAAUAAAAAAAUUGAAUUAAACAUUAGAAAAAAGAAAAGAAUAGUGUAAUCGGGGAGGGGAGGAUCUGCAUAGCGAUUGUAGAAUUGGGAACAACUCAGCAACCUUGUCAAUCUCUACCCCUAGCUACUUUCCCCACCGACACCCAAAGGCCCAAACCCUCCAAGCCACGCUUACCUCCCUAACUCCAAUCCACCCACUUUUAAUAUAUAUAUAUAUAUACUAAAAGCCCUUGCAGCCUUACCACUCCGCAAUUGUCCUUCCCACUUCUCCACUAGUUGAGCAGCUCCUUCUUUUCCUAACUAGACUACGCCCUUAUUUUCUUUUUCUUUCCAAGUUUUUUUUUCUUUUUUUAAUGAUAUAUUUUAGUUUAAUUCAAUUUUUAAUGUAUUUUUAAACUAAUUCAACUUUUUAUUAACUUUAAAAAGCUUUAUAGGUUUUCAAACUAAAAUGAAAAAAAUAUUAUGAUAUUUGGGGAAGCAAAUGUUUUGCAAACCCUAGGUCGAAUAAUUAAUUCUAUCUAUUUGGGGAUUGUUUGAUUGAAUUAGGGAUUCUUGCCAUAAUUGGAGAUUUGAUUCUAAAUUAAAUCCCUAAUUUGAUUCGAUCUCUCCAAGUUAUGGAAAAUAACUCAUUUCCAUGUGAGGAAUUAUUCUUCCAAAACCCUAGCCACCAAGGCUCCUAUUAAUACAUAGCCCCGCACAAGGCAUGAGGUAUGUUCUAAACUUUGCAAAAUUCUCCUCUCACAAACCCUAGCCGCCACUUUCUCCCUCUCUCACACAAGGCUCCGCCCACCACACACGACUCGGACCACUCGGUUCUCCCAAUGAGAAAAAGACCUCCUACCUUUCAUUAGUUUCUAUAUUCUUCUCAAAAUCAUUUAAUUGACUUAGGCAUCAGAAGACCUUUAGCCAAUACUCCUUCCUCCCUCUUUCCCCCCCCCCCAAAACCCGGGUGUGGUCUUUUCACUCCAUGUUGUUUUGUAGGGAGAAAGAGAAGCAAAAAGGAAGAAGGAAUCCCAAGAUGAAUAUUCUCUAGGGAGGAAAAUCACUCUCACAAAUUGGUGCUUUUAUUAAGAGUGCGAGUUAAUACUCAAUGCGUGCUCCAAAACCAUUUCUACACUUUGUUCUAGUCAAUCAUGGUUGAAAAUAGACUUACGAGGAGUAUGGCCGCCACAAUGACACAAUCCGAAACGGAUCCGUGCCUCCCACAUCACGACUACCUAGCCGAGUGCCUAGUGGCUCACGCCAUUGCACCAUAGCAAGGUUUCAUGGCUGAAACCUCCUCACAGCCACCAAGCCGAGUGGUUGAAACUGAAGCCCUCCUCUCCCCCUGGGUUUUGUUUUCCUCCUCAUGGAAAAGUUUAGAACAAUGAGCCAAACAUUAAAUGCACAUUUUUCAUGACCAUUUUGUCCUCAUGAAUAAUUUAAAAUUACAAUAUAGUAUUAAAUGCAUUCUUUUUUUAUUUGAUUUCAUAUUAGUAUAAUUGGAAAAUAAAACAAACUUUGUUUUACAAUCCUAUACAAAUCAAACACGUGAAAGAAAAUAAAGUGGUAUUUCCUGGUUACUUUCCAAGGAUUACCGAAUAUGGAAAAUGAAUCUUCAGUUUCCUAUCCCUUGGGAAAGACAUGAGAAAUUAUUUCCCAUCAAAUCUUUUUCGCAAACUAAACUGGGCUACAAGUCCACAAAGAGGAAUGAGUUUUCUCACACAUUCACUAUCAAGGUGUCAUGAGGGUUCGAACUAGGGAUGACAACAGGUCGGUUAGGGGCUGGGUAUGGCAAUACAAUCCCCAUCCUUGCUUUCUAUCCCCUCCCCUGUCCCUGUCCUCGUCUCCGUCCCCGUCGGGGGACUCUCUCCCAAACCCGCCUCAAAUCCCCUAUUUAUUUGUUGAACAACUAAUCCAUAUAUACAACACUAAAUAUUUUCUUAAUGUUGGUUGAAUAAUUAGAAACCUGCAUCUAUGCAAAUAAAAUGUAGCCUAAUUAAAAAUAGUUUAAAAAAAGCCGGUUAUAUCCCAUACAACUUGCAAACCUGUACAUUUUUAUUUGGAAAAUCGAGAGAUAGACAUGCAAUUGAAAUGAAUGCCAUAUGCAAAAACGACUCCAUAAUAGUUAAUUGAAAUGAAUGCAUUAAUUUUCUAAACUUAUUUGAAAAGAAGUUAAUUAUUGUUUUAGAGUGUUGCAUUAAUUUUAAUUAUUGUUUUAAAAUUAAUUGAGUACACCCUACUGUUGUAGGGGUCUUUUUAUUCCAGUAGCCUGACGAAUGGGCUUGGGCUGUCGAAAAGAAAAACAUGUAUGAAAUUGCCCCUUGAGUCUGAGUUCAAGGAUCAGACCCCAAGAGUGUUUCAAAAAAGUAGCUGAGCCUUAAGAAACACCUUGGUCUUCUUCACUAAUGAAACCAACAAUCGCUUACAGAUAAAUUCUUGGCUUGACAUGAGAAGCUUGGGGCAUGUGAGCUGAGCAUUCAUGAGUUUAGCAUGAGAGAGAGAAGGCUUGGGUUUCCUAUGAGGAAUAGAGGCUUGAAGUAAUGAUUUCGUGAGGAUUUGCUAAGGAGAGAGAGAGAGAGAGAGAGAGAGAGAGAGAGAGAGAGAGAGAGAGACAUAGAUUAUGGGAGAUGAACAGGUGCUUUGGGUAAUUUUUCAGCAGCUUGAGAAGGGCUCUGUCAAACUCUGGAAUGGCAUGCCAGAGGAGAAAAUGGGAAGUAAUAGAAGAACAAGGCUUGAAAUUGAAGGGUUCCAGAGAUGAGAGGUGAUGCUUGCUCUCUCUGGAUAUGGUUGCUUGCCUUCGAUUGGAAAGAGAGGAAGAAGAUAGAACCAUGGGUAACUUUGGCAUAUUUCCAGUAGCUUGACGAAAAGGUUCGCCAGGCUCCUGGGUUACUCAACAGAAGAGAACAUGGGAAGAGAUGGAAGAACAAGGCUUGAAAUCAAAGGGUUCCAAAGAUGAGAGAUGAUGCUUGCUCUCUCAAAUGUGGGUUUUGAGAGAGAGACAGGAAGAAGAUGGAAGAACAAAGCAUGAAAUUGAAGGAUUCCAGAGGGGAUGCUUGCCUUCGAUCAGUUUGUUGUGUGUUGUUUUGCUGGGUAGAAAGUGUCUCCUUUUAUAGGCUCUGAAAACCUUAAUUUGUCAAGCCACCCUGUCCUAUUUUCCUCACUUUCUUCCAUUUCCUCUUAUUUAGUGAAAUUUCCCUAACCUGAACCCAUAGGCACGGGGUUCCAAGGUCAUCAGGCAGCUGGACUUCUCCAUGUGGGUGAGGAGCCACCCACUUUUGUUUCUUGUUUUCUCACCAAAACUUGAAGAGGAAAGAAUGGGUAAGGGUGCUUAGUCAAAAAGGUGAUCAGUACAUGAGUUUGCUUGGUUUUGGUGGUUUGGUUGCGAUCUGGUUUGAACAGAGAUGCACAAUGUUGGAUAUUUUAUAAGGUGCUAGGCUGGGCUGGGCUAUUUUGUUUUUCCAGCGACUUGUGAGUUUACUUCAAGCUGCUGGAGGUUUUAGCUGAUAUGGGCCUUUUCCUAAGGUGAUGGGCUAUUGUGUUUUCUCUCAUGCUUACCCAUAUGUUUGGACUCAAGGAAUGGACUUGAGUUUUGGUGCUCCCAAGUAGCCCAAAACUUCCACUCCUUGGACUAUCAAUGGGCCUCGUGAACGCUCGUAACCAUCCAUAUCACAACUCACUCAGCAAGCCUCAGGUAUUCGCGUGGCUUGGGCCCACUUAAACUUGUAGCGUGGCAUGUUGUUUAAAUAAGGAUUUUCCGCUUGGUGUUGUAUUGGGCCGAAAAUAUAUUUGGGCCUAACCUUGGACUUUUUGGGCCUCAACAACUGUCAAACUAUUUAUUAAAUUACUAAUUUAUCCUAUUAUAAAAUGACCAAAAAAGAUAUAUUGAAUUGUGAAACAAAUAUGAUUUUAAUAAGUACACCCUAUUUAAAGAUUCCGAGCAUCUGCAUUUAGCAUAAGUGCAUUUAUACGCAUUUAAGCCAAUACUAACCAUUAGAUUAAUCUAAUCAAUUCUAAUAAGUCCACAUAGCAAAUUGUACUAACAUAAAACUCAAAAUUUGCAUUGUAUCCAAUACUUUUGAAAUAUAAAAAAAUAAAAAAAUAAAAAAUAUCUCAUCAAACAUAAACACCUUCCCUACCUAGCCCACUUACCCCACUUCUAGCCAGCCAUGUGGUUCUAUCUUUCUCUCUCUUUGAAUUUUGGAUGAUGGACUCUCAACAAGGCUUACGAAUUGAAGUCCUCCAUCGUUAGGAAUCUCUCCUAACUCCAAAACCACCCUCUAGUGAUAAUCCAAUUUCGAUUUCUAUGGGAUAAAGCUUAUCAUUUCUGCAAUAGGGAAUAAUUUAAUCAAAUUCUAAUCACUAAUAAUUUGCCACAAGUACUGUAAUUAGUUAUCAACUGUAGGUACAUAAGGAGGAAGGUCUGUGUGAGAGAAGAAAAGAGUGAGAGGUGGGGACCAUGGUUGAUAGUGGAGAGAGUGAGCGGUGUCAGCCAUGGUUGGCAGUGAGGAGGCUAGGUUGGGAAGGAGGUAGUUAUUGCUGGAACAUUUUAUUUUAUUUAUUUUUUAUUUCAUAAGUAUUGGCUAAGAAUGUGCAAAUGGUGUCGUGAACUUAUUAGAAUUCAUUAGAUUAAUUUAAUGGUUAAUAUUUGUUUAAAAAGGUAUAUGUGAUAGUAUAUUAGGGUGUACCGGAGGUAUUUUUGGUAGUUAAAUAUGGUGUUCUUCGUUAAUUUUACAUUUGAAUUAAAAUAUUAGGGUGUACUUAGAUCAAGGAGUGUACUCAGUUAAUUUUAGGGUUCGUUUAGCAGCACUCUUGUUUUAUAAUACAUAUUUAUUAAUAAAAAAUAAAUAUCCCUUGUCGGGCCGGAUUCGGAGAUGGGGAUAACAAUACCAUCCCCGACCCAUCUUUGAUCGAGAAUUUAAAAUUCGGGGAUCCCCGUAUCCGUCCCCAAAUUUCCCCUAAAUCUCCCCCCGUUAGGGUUGGGGACCUGCUCCCACCGGAAUUUCUGUCAUCCCUAGUUCGAACAGGAGACCGGUCUACAAGUCAAGGUCCUUUUUCACUAGGCUAGACUUCGUUGGCAUGAAUAAUUGUAUUUAGAAAAAGAAAAUUUUGGUCUAAAUAUGCUCAAUUUUUUUUUGAUUCAAACGACAUUCUACUUUAUUUUAAUUUAACUAUAAAGAGAGAGAUUCGAACUUAAAAAUGAAAGAGUUGUUUAUGUUUUUGUAUUUUUUUUUUUCCUGAAAACAGUUCUGUUUUUAGCUUUUUAUUAAAAGCCUCUACAAAAUUUCCUUUAAAAAUAUCCAUCCUAAAUCUAAAGAACCAUAACAAAGAAACCUAUUCCUGUACCGACCCAUAAACCUAAGCAGCACUCUCUCUCUCUCUCUCUCUCUCUCUCUGCAGUCGAUGUUAGGGUUUGUUGAGGGGGUUCUUGAAGGUGAAAGAGAGGGUUUCUUCGUUAAAUGCUCUCUCCCUUCAACAAUCUCUCAGUUCCCUCUCUUUUCAUGUCUUCAAUCGACGUCUUUCUCUUCUCCUCUGCUCCUUCAGGGCCUUACAAAACCCUAAUUCUUGGUUUCGGUUCCGACGUUUUUCACAUACUUCUUCCUCAUUCUCAAUCCUCUCACAGGCAAAAUUCGUGCUUUUCGUUAGGUGUUUCUGGGAUUUCCAAUUCUGUUCUGUGCGCAAAAUGAGUGAUUCUAAGGUGGGUUUUGUAUUUGUUAUUGACUAGUUUGUCUUUUUGUAUGGUUUUCAUUUGAGGAGGAUAAUUUCACUAAUCUGUGACUGGUUUUGUGAAGUUUAGUAAUUAGAGAUAUUGGAAAUUUCGGUAUUGUAACUUUGAAUUACUUCAUGCUUGGAUGAAACUUCUGUUGGUCUGAUUGAUUUUGCUCUAUGGAUGACGAAGUGCCUCAAUUUGCUAUUUGUCAUCGUGGAUUGGUUCGUUUGUGCUGCGUGUUUUCAGUUCCAUUUUAUGAUGGAUAUUUGGUGUGGGAAUUUAUUGUGGUGGCAAUGGCUAUUCGAUUAUAACACUGCUUUACCUCACUAGGCCCUAAAUUAGCUGUUGAGUAAUAAUGCAGAAGUAGAUUUGUUGUUAUCAUUGCUGUUUCAGCAUCUAGUAGGAUAUUUUGCACCGUUCUAGUCUUAUGGUUUAUUAUGUGAUUUACUAAUGUUAAUUGGCGUGGGAUUUUUCUCUUCCUUGUGCUAUAAAACCUGCUAAAUUUUGUUGUUAUUCCUUGUUUGCAGCUAUUCGUUUUUGGGUCAUUCUCUGAAGACGAGACCAGGUCAUUGCUGCAAAAACAAUCACCUGGGAAGGCUGAAAAGCCUGUGGAAAAGAAUGUAUUGCAGUUUGGGUCUAUAAAUUUUGUUACUAAAAUAUCUUCGGGUGAAUGUAAUGGUGAAUCAAGCAGACCACAAAAUUCUGUGAAAGGGCUCAGCAAAGUUCAGCCUUUAAGUUCACUUAAUAAGCAGAAUGAAGUGGAGGCUGUAAAAGCAGCAAAUGAUAGUUUACCAGCAUCUUUAACUACUCCUACAGAGAAUGGAUGUACUGAUAAUUAUAAAAAUGGUUCUGCCCAUAGUAAUGGUGUGAAAGAGGCGACAAAGGAUAAUAUUGAUGUAGCUUCAUUACCUUUAUCCAAUAACGAAGGUGGUCUCUCCAAUAAAUUUUCAAGUCUGGAAUUGCAGAACAGAGAGCAGAAUGGUUGGGUUGAUGAUUUAUCAGCUUCUAAGGUAAAGGGGGAACUACAGAAGUGUUUGAAUGGGCCUGUUACAGUUUCUACAGUCUUGUUGCCUCGUGGUUUAAUUAAUUCAGGGAAUCUGUGCUUUCUCAAUGCAACGCUACAGGCUCUUCUAUCCUGUUCUCCUUUUGUUCAGCUUCUGCAGGAAUUGAGAACUCGCAAAGUGCCUAAGGUUUCUUUUGUUUGUUCGAUUACUUUGCAUUUACGUGGUUUUAGUAGAAUUGCUAUUUGCAAAUAACAAAAUUUAUAUGGACUGCUGAUCUCAGAAAAUGGGAAGCUACCUUGCCUAAUGCUUGUUCUUUUUCUGGCUAAUCACUUAACUAAUAUGUUGUCCAUUUGAAUUUGAAUUUAUUAGGUUGGCUAUCCAACAUUGGGUGCAUUUGCAGAGUUCGUCUCUGAAUUUGACAUGCCUAGUGGUUCAAGUUCAAAGAACAAAGAUGCAAGUGUUCUUGAGACUGGUAGGCCUUUUAGCCCUGCCAUGUUUGAAGGUGUUCUUAAAAUUUUUACUCCAGAUGUACCAACUAGCAUCUCGGGCAGGCCAAGGUUUGUAUCUGAUCUGGGUCAAUAAUUUUCUGUUCUAGUUUGUCUUUUUUUUUUUUAUUUCUAUGUUGAGCCUUCUUAUUGCAAGUUUAAUCCUUGAUGGUAUUGCUGGCUGAAAUUUUAAGGCACAAUCAUUGCAAAAAGAUUUAGACACAUGCAUCUAUUUGUAGUCACAAAAGUUGCCCUUUUCUGCCACUUUUUUUCUUUUAAAUCCCUAUUGCACUGUUUCCUUUCUUUCCUUAUAUUAAUAUCUUUUCACUAUUUCCAAAUAAACAAGAAAGGUCAGACAUGUAGUGCAAUUUUGUUACUUUGUGAUUCUCAUAAAUCUUGUAUUGAUCGGUAAUGGUUUUCCGUCAGUAUUAUUAGGCUUGAUUGAUAAUUCUCAUGCUUUACAAUUUGUCUGAUGGCUUGAAAAAGUGCCACUGCCUGACAUAGCUCAUGUCUAAAAUCCCUGCAGUUACAGUGUCUCCACUUAAAUUGUUUAGUUUCUGAAAACACGUUACACUUUUUUCCUAUUUAUCUGUUUGUGGUUUAUUACACCGGUUGCAACCCAUUUAAUGUGAAAUAAUGGGUUAGACUGGGAUAUUUUAGAAGUUAACUAGUGAUUGGUAAAAUGUUGUAACAAAUAGGUUAACAAUCUUCUGUAUUAUUCUGAGUUCGCCAAUAUUUUCAUGGACCAAGGAAAGAAGAAACCUAGAACACCUCAAGAGUAAUUACCAAAGGGUUAAAUUUGCAUUAGAAAUAAGUAGCUUGUUUAGUUUCUUCUCUGUCUAGUGUAAAUAUCUAUGUCAGUGUGUCUAUAUUCUACUUUCUAUUUUAAUUUGUCUAGUGAAACUAUUUUUGUUUUUCAGACAAGAAGAUGCUCAGGAGUUCCUUAGCUUCAUUAUGGAUCAGAUGCAUGAUGAAUUACUUAAGCUUGAAGGACAGCCCUCGAGUAUUAAUGGGCGCAAAUCAUCUCUAGUAUCUUCUGCAGAAGAAGAUGAAUGGGAGACGGUUGGCCCUAAGAAUACAUCUGCAGUAACCAGGACACAGAGUUUUGUUCCUUCAGAAUUAAGCGAUAUUUUUGGAGGACAAUUGAGAAGUGUGGUGAAGGCAAGAGGUGUGGGGAUUGCAUUAUUCUUAUGGCUGUUUAAGUUUUUAAAAUUUCUAACAGUUUUGUUAGAUAUAUCUUUGUACUUCCAAAUUCUUGCUGUUCACACUUGCAUUUUGAGGCUGUGAGGUUCUUCAUUUUUUUCUUCAUAAUUCAAAGAGGUAGACAAUUUUACAGUUGAUUCACAUUUUAUUUUUUGAAAAUUUGAAAUUUAGAUACAGUUUGACCAUAUGAUGUUCCCUUAUUGUCAGCUUCUUAAUGUCAUAUGGACUUUUAGCUCCUUUUCCUGUGUGCAUGUGAAUUGAUAAAAAGAUUUAAUUAUAUACGAUUCUUGAGUUUUAGCAAGAAUUCAUGGUUCUUGUGUUGUCGUAAGUUAGAUGCAGUAUUUGGCAUUCUAGAGGAUGUGCUUAAGCGUAAAGGAAUUCCACAUCAGAAAAUUUUAAUUAUAUUUGUAGACAAAUAUAAUCUUAAUCUACUCGAGGGACUUGACCUUUGCUCGUUAAUAAAUAUAUUUGGAUGAAUAACCAGAACUUCUGUUUGCUAGUGCAUUCGGAGAAACUGCUGGGAUCAUUUGUCAGCAUAUGGUUAUUAGAAGAUAUUUAAAAAAUAAGUAAUUGCAGAUUAGUUUGCUAGUAUAGUUGAGCUACUUUUAUUUUGGUGCAGUCUGCUUUUUUUUUUUUUCUUUUUUUUGGCCUCAGUAGUGAUUCUAUCAUGAGUUUUAUGUGUUAGUUUGGUUUUUGUUAAGCAGGAAAUAAAGCUUCUGCUACUGUUCAACCAUUUUUAUUGCUUCACCUUGAUAUUUACCCUGAAGCUGUUCGUACUAUCGAGGAUGCACUCAAGUUGUUUUCUGCACCAGAAACUCUUGAGGGGUAUCGAACAUCAGCAGCUGGGAAGGUAUACUCUCUCUCUCUCUCUCUCUCUCUCUCUCUCUCUCUCUCUUGGUGACUUAUUGUUGUCGCCUAGUUUUGGGUGUAGUUGUAAUGUCUCACCCUUUCUGUCCUUGUAUUCUGUUUAACCAAAUUUGAACAGAUUGCUUGGUCAUGGUUAUUUUUUAAUUUUUGAUGCAUACUUCUACCCAGAAUAAAAUUGUUUGAAUUUAAAGGUAGUACGUCCGAAAUACUUAUGUGCCACAGCUUAGGUUUUAUAAUAGUUUUAUUUUUUUUUAAAUUAAUAUCAACCUCAAGCAUAGUUUGUUUUCUCACAAAUAAUGUUAACUGUUGUUUGACUUUUAUGUAUAUCAUCGCUUUUCAGGCUGGUGUUGUAAGUGCUAGUAAAUCAAUAAAGAUACAGACACUUUCGAAGAUAAUGAUCUUGCACUUGAUGCGUUUUGGUUAUGGAAGCCAAGGAAGCACUAAGUUGCAUAAGCCCGUGCAUUUUCCACUUGAGUUGGUGUUGGGUCGUGAAUUGCUUGUUUCUCCAACUACUGAGGUGAUGCUCUUUUAUAUCUAAUUUAUUAUUUUAAACUUUUAUCUAGUGACCCAUAUUUCUUCUAUUAUGUGGAAAUAAUGACACGCCUUUCCUACUCCUUUCUGUUACCAAUUCCAUGUUUAUGUGUUUGUUCUUUAUUAUUUUUUUCUUUCCGGUUUACACGUUUGUUCUUGAGCUGUAUUUGGCUGUUAGACAACUUAUAAUUUUUGCUUUCAGAAAUUGCAGGUGUGUUAUCAAUCAGUUGCUUUACUGGGAAAAAAAAUUCUAAUGUAUAAAUCAAGUUAUAUAAGAUUUAUAUGUGAGUGCAGCAAAGACUUUAAUGAGUGAAGGAUAUAAGGAACUGAGAAUGGCACGUAACUACUCUCAAAAUGAAACACGUUCCAUUUUAAAAAAAAAAACUAGAUUAUUAUGAAAGUAUAAGAACUCUAGAUAUAAUUUAAAACUACUAGUACAAACUAUAAUAUUUUUGAAAUGACUAGGUUCAGUGAGUCAUUUGAAAUUAAGAGCAUUCUAAUGAAUAGUUUGAAACUGUAUGAUAUGAGCUGAAAGUUCCUAGAUUUGAAAUCUUUUAUCUAGAUGGAUCUUUAAUUAUAUUUGAAAUCAUAAGUUCAUAUUAUAUAGUAGUUUAACCUUGUACUGUGGGUUUUGAUUGAUAAUUUCUUGGAUUUGUCUGUUGUCAUAGUGUGUUUAUACAUUAUUUCACCUCUUGACAUCUUGUGAUCGGAGUUGGUACAAAAAAUCUGUGUUACAUCUCUAUGUAGUAUCACUGUGGAACUUGGCCAUUUUGUUAAAACUGGUAUGGAUCUAUAAACAUUAGUGAUUGUGCAGACCCAGAAAUACUCAACUCUUUACCAAAAAAGAAGAAAAUAAAGAUAUUCUUUAUUGUCUUCGUGUAACUCAUAAGUCUUGAAGUUAACAAUUAUGGUUUGACUACGUUGUGGUAGUCAGAGCCAGAUUUUCAAGAUUACUUUUGCCUUUUAUAUAAUUUCUCUUUUUCUUGUUUAUUUUCUUCACUUUGCCUCUGCAGGGUCGAAAAUACAAACUUGUUGCUACAAUAACUCAUCACGGGAGAGAGCCCUCAAAGGGGCAUUAUACAACUGAUGCUCUUUAUACCAAUGGUCAGUGGCUACGCUUUGAUGAUGCAUCUGUCACUGCAAUCGGAACCGGCAAAGUAUUGCAUGACCAGGCAUAUGUCCUCAUCUACAAACAAUUGUAAAAGGGCAGUUCGGGACAAGUAAUGUGUUGCAUUACCAGGCUUUUGUCUACAAGCAAUUGUGGAAUAUAACCGAGCAGUACGGACUUCCCAUUGAGAGAGACCUAUUCCGUUCAUGUAAUGUGUUGCCCUCACUUGGAAUCAUAUCUCGUUCCGUGGGUCGAUGCUAUAAACUUGCCUACGGUUCCCAUACGAGGGUGGUGGCUAGAGAAAAUGGCUGUAACAAUUCUUUUUAACUUAUGCCUAGUGCAACGGUUUUCAGUUGUUUUAUGAUGUAAUAUAUAUGGAAGAUGCUGAUAUGUUAUAUUUAGUGAAUGCUUUCAUAUUAUACUUAUUUGGGUCGCGUUCAUAUUAUCCAGUAACAUCCUAUGCUGCCACAAGUAAUAUCGCACAAAUGAGUUUUACAAGUUUUGUUUGGAUACUUUACUGCCACAAGUAAUAUCUGAAGAAAUUUCCAAUUCAAAAUCACAAAUUGCAGUCUUCAGUGGCACAUUUGAGUUUAUAACAAAACAAAAUACUUAUGCAUAUGCGCUAGCACAAUGUUCGAAGCCUAUUUGGGAGGACAGGCGCCAUGAAUCAUGCAAAAAUGUCCGAGUAAAGCAGGUUUGCAGCUUCGUAAGCGUUGCCCUCUCAAUCAAGAAGCUAAAAUUUGGACGACAGAUUGCCUCUUGAAAUACCCAAAUGAAAAUUUCUUUGGUAAAAUAGACAUGGAUAACAGAGUUUAUUUGAUAAAUCCUGAUUUCUAUGAAAAUACCCAGUUUCUUUCUUAUGCUCGUGACUUGUUCACCCAAUUAUGUUUAAAAGCUUCUAGUGGACCGUUGUAUGCUCAAGGGAAGCAAAAAAAUUUAAACGGGCAGACAUUUUUUGGUUCUGUUGAAGGCACCAAAGACCUUUCUGGCACACAUUGUAAGAGUUGUCUCGAUGUUGCAACAAAUGAAUUUCUAAGUCGUGUUCAUGAAAUAAGAGGUGGACGUGCUAUUUUUGGAAAUUGUUACAUUAGACUCAAACUUUACAGAUAUUUUUAGGCAAUCAUUCUUGUUUUGUUGAGAAUGGAUUGUUUGAGGAAUCUGAAUCCCAAGGUUAAACUUUUCCAAUCGUAGUAUUUGGAUUUGAUCGUGUAAUUUGAGGAAUAAUUAUUGUGAAAUGUAAUGGCAAGAUCUUUCCUUUAUUUUUGUAGCUUGACUUAUGUAAAUUCAUCUUUAAUCAGCUUUGGUUUUUGUUUUGGAUCCGAUAUAUUAUUAUUGCACUCUUGCAAACUACACUAAAAUAUUUUAAUCCCUAAGCAUACCUAUUUCCCUUCCAUAAUGAGGAUAGGUAAAGUCCGUUCGCAUUUUCAACCGAGCACGCCCCUAAGGUAUUUUUUUUGGUUUGCAAUAUUUCUUUUUUUUUUCUUUUUUUUUUUCCCCUGUAUUUUGAUGCUAAGAUGGUUAGACAGAGAUUUUAUGGUAAAGUUGAAUUUUUUUUUUUCUUGGGUCUGAUUAUGGUAAAGUUGAUUAGUCAUAGAAUUUCAUGAAAGCCCACUCAUUCUUCAUAUCUGAAGAGAAAACAACACAACAAAAUCUAAUUAUCUUUUCUCCUAUUUUUAUAUAUAUUCUCUACAUACAAGGUGCAGGUUACAUGUACCCUUGGAGAACUCACCUAAGUGAGAGACGUCGGGAGGUCACGACUAUGAGACUUGGGCUAUUCUCUAGUAACUCUAAUGAGAAUCAGGAGUAGUGCAUGACCAUAAUUAACAUUACCUCGCAUCCAAGUAUCAACCAAUAUUAUGCAUGAGAUAUGUUGAAGUUUGGUCAAAUGUGCUGAGUUCAAUACUUUGUACACUAAGGUUCCUUAAAUGGAGACUAUCAUUAAGUGAAGGUUCACCAUAUAUAUAUAUAUAUAUAUAUAUAUAUAUACAGAGAACUUCAGUUGAGGGAUCUCUCAAAUAAGCUUAUUUGAGGGACACCCUUGUAGGGGCCAAUCCGUAUUGUUUUUUACUAAUUCAAACCACCUAUUUUGUAGAAAAUCAUUCAAAGAUCAUCUCUAUAAAAAAAUCACUUGAAUCCGAUAUCAUUUGACCACUCAAUUGAAUUAUUGAAAUUUUAGUGCUUUCUUGAAGCACCUUGUUCAUUGAUUUUGUAGGACACAAUUGGAUGUCGAAAUGGUUUUCGAUUUAUCUAAUUUUUUGUAAGGAUGAUCUAUGAACAUAGACUUAAAAAAUAGAUAGUUUGAAUCAUUGAAAAAAAUUUCGUAAGGGACCCUAAAGGGUAUCCCUCAAAUAAAAUUAUUUGGGGGAUCCCUCAAUAGAAGGGGACUGUGUAUAUAUCCGUCUGUGAAUGCUGCUUUAAGAGAACGUCUUUGACGUGCUUCACCAUACCAAGCUCGCCUUCUUAUUUAUAAUUUAUUUUGCUUUUACUUACCUAUUAGUUUGUUUUUCUUUUGUUUCAUUGUAACUUAAAAGCUUUCCAGUUUGUUUAUAUAUUAUUUAUAUUAUAAAAAGUUUUGCUUUUGGCUUAUACGGAAAAAGAAAAACUAUAAUUUCGAUAACGCAACCCUCAUCCUUUAGCACGUGCAAAAUGCGUUCAGCUACAAACCCUAAAAUUUAUCGGCCAUAGCUUAAAGCACCAUGAACCCAGCUAAAACUAAGCAAAUCAGACCAAGUUUAGCAUUGGCUUGAGUAUUGGGAAUUUGAGAUGUUAUGGCGUUUGCUUUUGAAUAUAAUGCUAUUUCUAAAACACUUAAAGAUUGUUUCUUUGGUUGGGUUUGAGGGAGAUUGGAAUGAGGUUAAGGGGUUUAAACAUAGAGAGGAAUGGGUGGCUUAGUUUGAUGUGGAAGGAUGAGCAUUUCUCCCCGCCCCUCUAUCUCUCUGAUCCUCUAGAUUAAUGGUUGGGUUUGAUUGAUUUUUGAGGUUUGGGAAGAUGAUGACCUUGUUAGCUAUGGAAGAUGGUGGUUGGCCGACGAUGAGGAUGGGCGUUGAUGAGAAUGGAUGAUUUUACCCCUACUUUUGACGACAACAUUGUCAGAAUGUAACUGUGGGACUAAUAGUAAAGAGUAUGUGGACCAUUUGAAAGAAUAAUUUAGUUGAGGGACCAAAAUACAAAUUGUGUAUAAAUUUGGGGACCAUUUGAGUUAAAAACCCUGAAUUCUUAUAUAAAGAAUUUGUCAGAAGAAGUUAAGUUUAUUGAAAAUUUAUAAUUUUAGCCAAUAUAUGAUAUUCCAAAAAAUAUCAAUGUUAUUCCUAUCACUUUUUUUUUUAGUGAUUAUUGGUAUUAGCUGAGGUUUUUUUAAAAUUUUUUUUAAAUAUAUAUAUUUUUAAAUAAUUUUAAUUAAAAAAAUCAAAAUAGUCCUUGAAGUUAUGCUCGAGUUUUAUUUUAGUUCUUCAACUAAUUUUUUUCAUUUUCAUGGUCUUCAAACUUUCCAUUUAGUGUCAAAUUGGUCCCAUCGUCAAAGUUAGUCAAUUUUACGGUUAAAUUGAAAGGUUAAACCGUCCAUAUGACAAUCCCAAUCCACAUAGUGACAUACAACCUCUCUCUCUCUCUCUCUCUCUCUCUCUGCGACUCCCACCUCCUCUCCGACGGUAAGCUUCUCAAGGCACCCACUGCCUAUCUCUCCUCCCUCAGCCCCCGUCUUCUCCACCACCUCCACCUGCCCUUAGUCCUAGAAAAAUAAUAUAAUUUUUUAAAAUAUAAAAAUGGUAUCAACAACAAACAUAUACAAGAACCACAAAAGUAAUUGACUAAUUAAAAUUUAGGAUAAUAUGCAGUUUUGCCCUUGAAUUAUAGCAUAAUUGUUAAUUUACCACCUAAGCAUUUUCUUUUGGGUCAGUUAAGGAAAUUUUUUUUUUUUUUUGGAGUUUUUCUAUUUAAACCCCGCACUUCUCUUUAUUCACCUUAUUUUCUAAGUUCACUCCAAUCUCUAUUUCAAAAUUUCAAAAUUUCUAUGAAAACCCCACUAUCUUCCCAACCUACCCUCAAAUACACACCUAGUAGAAAAAAAAAUAAUUUAAAAACUCAUCAACCACACACCUCACACUACGCUAUCUUGCCCCUCGCCACUCUAAAUUCACCUCAACCUCACAUUACUUAAAGAGAUAAAAACAUUGAAAUUCUUUUUUUUUUUUUUUUAAUAGAAGAAAUGAAAUUCCAUUGCAAUCACUCAAUCAAUUAUAUAACUGAUAUGCGAGAAGUUGCCACAUUGAAAUUCAUUUAUUAAUUUGAUGCUAGAUUUCAUGAUUUAGAUUUGAUUUCAAACGAAACUAAAGUACUAGACUAAAAUUGUCAAAAUUAAAAGGAAAGAGAACAAACUAGGUCAAAUUAUAGGGACUAAAAAUCCAAUUCAACCUUAUAUUCUCCCAUUUUCUUUUCUUUUUCAGAUCCAACAGUGAAAACGAAUUCAUGCCCCGAAAAAAAUUCUUUCUUUUUCCUUUUAAAAUUUGGUACCGUACAACGGUGGGGAAAAACGCCCACAAGCAAACAUUCAAUUAUGGACAUGGCCCUAGAAACGCCUACAGUAUUCUCAGUAACUAUACUUUAUAUAUAUUUUUUUCUUUUUAAUUUUUAAUUUUGAGCGAAAACUAUCAGUCAUGAUCUUUUGGAUUACAGGAGUCUAAGAGAUUUGUGGUCACUCAUCGUUGGAUGUAAAUUCAACGGUUCACUCACUCUUGCACUCCUUUUAAAAAACUUUUUUGAACCAUUGAAUUUACAUCCAACAGUGGGUGACCACAAAUCUNNNNNNNNNNNNNNNNNNNNNNNNNNNNNNNNNNNNNNNNNNNNNNNNNNNNNNNNNNNNNNNNNNNNNNNNNNNNNNNNNNNNNNNNNNNNNNNNNNNNAGCUAUGCCCAGGAUUCUUAUUCUAUCUCCGGUCUCACAGGGCAACUAGCUAGGUUGAGGCACUUUUAAAGAAUUAUUAGAAAACUUUCAGAAAUUAUUACUGCUUUUGGAAUUGCUAUUGGCUGAUGGCUAGUGCUAUAUUUUUAUUUUAUUUGGCAUGAUAAAUAAGGGAGAAAGUGAGAAUACAAAGCAAACAGCAGCAUGCACAAACACUUUGACUGCUUUUUUCGAGCAAGAAAUAUUAUUCCAAGUACCAACCAACCAACCAAAUGCCCUAUUGCUUCCCUUCAAGUUUAACCUAGAAAGUGUAUAUAGUUUUUGUAGUCCCGAUCUCUUAGACUCCUGUGGUCUAAGAGAUCGGGACUACAAAAACUAUAUACACUUUCUAGGUUAAACUUGAAGGGAAGCAAUAGGGCAUUUGGUUGGUUGGUUGGUACUUGGAAUAAUAUUUCUUGCUCGAAAAAAGCAGUCAAAGUGUUUGUGCAUGCUGCUGUUUGCUUUGUAUUCUCACUUUCUCCCUUAUUUAUCAUGCCAAAUAAAAUAAAAAUAUAGCACUAGCCAUCAGCCAAUAGCAAUUCCAAAAGCAGUAAUAAUUUCUGAAAGUUUUCUAAUAAUUCUUUCCCAAAAGUGCUCAACCUAGCUAGUUGCUCUGGUUUGCUAAAAAAGGUGCUUCUGCUAUGAAAUAUAGGUUGGCUGAAAGGAAAUAAAUAGCCUACAUUUGCUUUCAACUUUUGUUGUCUUCCUGAUUUACACUAUGCUUUCUAGGUUGGAAAUAUUUUUGCUCGCAACUUGUACUCAAAGUAUAUUUUUAUCAUCUUCUCAAUAUUUGACACGUGUUUAUUGACAUAACUAUAAUUAAAUUUUUACUUUAUAUUUAUAGAACUAUGAUUAUGUCAAUAAACACGUGUCAAAUAUUGAGAAAUAUGAUAAGAAUACACGUUAGGUUAAAGUGGCGAACAAACUCCAUUCUAGGAUGGUCCAAAUUAAAAGGACAAAAUCAAAAGUGACGAAAACAACACCUUGAUUAAUAAAUAGUUAAUACAAAAUCGAGCUAUACAACUACUUGAUCCCACCAUAAUCAUAGUGUUUGGGGGAACAUAAUCAAAGCUCUAAUUUUUUAAUUUUUGUUAUUUUAUGUUUGUAGCUUUAGCUGGUACCUUCCUUUCACCUGAAUAAAUUAAACAACUUAUUUAUAUAUUUCAAUAUGUAAUUUUAAUUAAUUAAUUAUUUAUUUAUUUAUAAAGGUGUCCAUUGUGCUCUUGGUACUGUAGCAACGGAGGCAGAAUAUAAAAUUAUGGAGUGGCGUUACGAAGCCCCGACUGGUGGUCGUUGAACCAAUAAAUUUGGUGGUUCGUGCUUGCGGCUUCGACAAGUGGAGUAGCUGCUAUUAGAUGAGCCAAAAUAAUUCGUUUAUUUAUUUUAUUUGUAGGGUUGAACUUGUAAACCAAUAAUUUAAAACAAAAUUUCUGACAAAAAUUUUUUUUUUAAAAUUUUUUAUAAAAAGUUUUUAAUUCCCAUUUUAUUUUUAAAGUAUGAAAACGUGAAAUGAAAAAAUAAAAAAAUUUCCUCCACCCUUCACCCUCCCAUUUUGAUCAUUCUCAACCCUUGAUCGUGAGGCAGAAUCAUAUAAGUAGGGGUUAUGGAGUUUUGUGUCACUCACUCUCCUGAACUCCUUUUUGUCCACCUUCAACAACAUUCACUUCUUUGUGUUGGACAAUAAUUGCUAUACAUUCAUGUUAGUUUUAGAAUAAUUGAUUAGAUUAAGACUAGCAGAUGUGAUUAACAAAGAAAUAAUAAUCAAGUGGGAGACAAAAAGAAUCUAUAUAAUGCAAAUCUAGAAAACACGAGCUUGAGAAAUGCUUAAAUACAUAUUUUCUCUCGCCAUAUAAUCUGACACCACUAAAAAAAAAAUAAAUAAAUAAAAAAAGUGGCAAUAAUUAUUAUUAUUUGGUGAUAUUUGGUGACUAAGGCGGGGUGAUUAAAAACUUUAUAUUCUCAGCCUUUAGUCAUCCACGCAUUAGUCACCAAAUAAUAAUAACUGUUGCCACGUAUUUUUUGAAUUGCACGUUAUGUUCUCAGCACAUUCUAUCCGUUCCUUCAAGUGACUUCUUUUUCUUGUAAAUGAGAGACAAAUAGCUGGAGAGCUUUGACUUAAACUACUGUCCUGUAGACAGGGCAUGUGCUUUUCUCCACUAAUUAAGAGAAGAAUAUGUGUAAGGUUGGAAAAUACCCAAAAAGGGAAAUUUAACUAAAGAAAAGAUUCUUUAGCUCUUAUACUAAGCAAACUGUUUGUUUAUUCUGUUUAUUUGGUGGGGUUUGGGAAUUAAGGAACAUCUUUAAUUUUCUGUCUUAAAAUGCUGGUGAGCCACUUCUGCCUGCCAUAUUCAGACUGUCCAUGUCUCCAGAUUCAUCUGAUUAGCUUUAAGUCUGUCUUUAGCAAAGACAAGAUUGUGAUGAGAAAUGACUUUUUAUUCAGAAACACAAUCAUGCAACUACAAGAAAAUAUUAUUGACUCUUUAAUUUGUUGAAUCCAUCAAAACCCUAAAUACAAUUGACAAUUUGACAGCAAAUGUAAUGACUAUACUGACAAACAAAAAACCACACCACUUUCCCUAGUAUUCCUAGAAAUUUACACCCAAUUCUUUGAAAUGAAGUUAAGAAAGAAAGAUAUAUGUUACAAGUUACAACAAAAACCAAAUUUGAGGCUUCAAAAAUUGCCCCUUUCUCUGUCCUUGAACCUCAGUGAACUCUUCAAUCUUUCUGCAACAGCUACAAACAAGACCCUGUAUUGUAAGGCACUGCAAACACCAUUUGAAAAAAGAAGGGUGCUUCAAUGGAUCAAUACUCACCAACUUGAAACAUUUCCUAGCAUAAGAUGAUGGACUUUUCCUCUGUGGUUUCCUCUGCUCUAUUAUUAGAGGGCUUGGGAACCCACCAAACCCUUAAGCUCUUGUCAAGGCCUCCACUAUACAACAUGAAACCUCCACCAACAUUAUUUGGUGAUGCCUGCAAGCACUUAACUGGCCCCUCAUGGCCACUAAUGAUCCCAACUUUACAAAGCUUGCCAAAAGCCUCUCUCUUCCAUAUGCCAAUGCUCUUAUCAGCUGAGCCACUGCACAACAUCUCCCCCAUCAAACACAUAGACAAAACAGCCAUUUGAUGUGCUUUUGUUUCACAAACCAACUUCCAGCUCUCAAUUUGAUUUUGAACAUCACCACAACUCCCUUGCCAUCCCAUCACAAACCCAUCCGAACAGCCUCCAUAAACCCAUCUACCAUCCUCAGAAACGAUCACAGAAUUAAGUGAAACAUCCUUAUGACCCUCCAAAAUACCCUUCAAACAAUGUGAGCUCUUCCCCUCUUUUCCCCAAGCUUUAAUUUUUCCAUCUGCAGAAGCAGAAUACACAAUCCCAUUACAUGCCACCAGCCCAUUAAUAGCAUCAUCAUGAGCCUUGAUGGAUUCUAUGCACUUCAAAUCCGAGAUCCUCCACACCUUAAGAGUCUUAUCCCAUGAUCCAGAGUAAAUCAAGCCGUUAUAGAAGGCCAAACAAGAUAUACUAUCGGCGUGUUCGAUCCACAAUCGCUUGUGAUGUCUCCGAAUUUGGACAUAAUUGCUCUGCUUCAUGAACUUCCCCAAAUAAUCUUUAGUUGUGGGAAGUGUAUCAACAAGCCUAAACACAUUCUCCGAUCGCCGUGAAACCUUCCAAACUCUAAUCCUGCUAUCCUGGUGAGCUGUAAAGACCUUGUUCCCAACGGUGACAAGUGCCUUGACAGAGCCAUCACCUUGUCCAAACUUGGUGAAAGGCCUCAAAUCAGGCUGUUGCCACACUAUGAUGUCUUUGCCUUGUGAAGCACUGAGAAUGAAUUCCCCACAUAAGGCCAAGCAUGAAACUGAGCCUACAUGGCCAGAGAGCACCGCCAAUGAUCGAUACGAGAAAGACCCCGAAAAGGGUACACAUGGAGAUUGACACUUGACAUGAUCUUGGAGCUCGAAAUGGCCUGAAUCCCGCGGGCUUUCAUCUACCUCGCUGCUUGUGCUUCUGCUGUUGCUGCUAAUGCUGCUAGUAGGGCUUCUUGCUGAGGCAGAGAGCAAAGGAAUUGAGAGGCGUUUGUUUUCCAAUAGAGUGGAGCUGAUUUGAUGAAACAUGUUUUAUUGUCUGACCUUGAUUUGAUGAGAGAAGGGUCAGAGUGAGUGAGCGAGGAGAGAGAGAUGGUGAUCAGAAAUAGAGAGAGAGAGAGAGAGAGAGAGAGAGAGAGAGAGAGAGGAGCGGAAAUGGAGACACGGAUUUCUUGGUUGAAAAGAGAAUUGGUAAUUAGGGACAUAUUUAAAUGGGAAGACAGGGAGAGGUGCAACGGCUACUUUGACAUGGGGAAGAAUUAGUCGUGCAAUUAAAAGUAGGUUGCCAUAGAGAGAGAAGGGGACCACUUAAAACGCAUACUAGCCAGCCCCGUCCCUUUUAUUUGUUAAUGGGGAUUGAGCUGUAGAGCUUUUAUUUCUGUUUUAUUUAUACAAUUUAUUCUGUUUUAUUUAUAUAUUUUAUUCUGUUUAGAGGGUUGUCCGUUGAACAAUUAUAGCAUUCCAAAAAAAAAAAAAAAGAGACGAAGGGGAAGAUUUGUCAUGAAAGCUAUUGUGAAAUAACAUUCCCAAAAUCCAUUAUGUUUUAAGAAAGGAACGAACUGGAAUAUGUUCCUCAUAGUUGUAUUUUUUUUUCUUUCGAAAAUGUUCCUCCUUAUAGUUUAUACAUGCUUUAAAGUUAAACUGACAGUAAUCGCCACAAGUUCUCAGAUUUUUCUUUUGAAACUCAGAAAAUUACUUUUCAAUUCUUUGUUGUGAUAUAAUGUUUUUGGGAUAUCUUUUCCACAAUAUUGUAUGAUUAAUAUUUAAUUAAAGGCAAAUUUGAUGUCAAUAAACCUAUAGAGGAAGGCCUAAUAGAUGAAUCUUCUUCUAUAGAAAAAACUCCACUCCGGAGAAGAUAAUCACCUAUAUAUAGUAAUUUUAUCCGUUGAGUAAAAGUGGCAUUUUUUUGAGUUGAAGGCUUAAAGAAAUAUUUAUUUCUUUGUUGGGGUUUUUUUUUUCUCGCAAAUGGUCUCUUAACUUUUUCAACUCAUUUUAGUCCGUAGAACUUUCAUUAAAACUAGGGUGGACAUCAACCCAGCCAAACUAUCUAAAUCGGCGGAUCCAAACCGUGGUCAGUUUGGUUUGAAUUUGACAAAGAAAAAAGUUAAAUGAUUUAAAACUGCAGCAGACCGUAAUAGUUUGGUUCGAUUGCACAAAUCGGCUUAAAUAAAUCAUACAAUAUAUUAGUUGCGUUCAUAACGUAACAAGCUUUAAAGAAGUAUUUUCAACAAAAUAUAGCUCAGGAGCCCAAGUGACAAAAUAUAACUCACGUCCUUUGCUCAACAAGGCCAUCUACUCUCUAUUUACGAUUUCACUGGAGUUCCAUCACGGAUGGCAAAUGACCUUGUUGACUAAAAGACGUUAUCUGUUGUUGAAUUUAGUGUUUAUAUAGUUUUGAUGAAUUUAGUGUACAAAAUACAACGUUGGAUUGGACCAAUAUCCUCUGAUUUUUGUGGUAGCUUUACCACCAACAACAAAUAUAUUUGAUAUUUGACACGUUCCCCCUUAAAAUUGGUUUAAUAUCUUUGUUUCUACCAUAAGCCACUAUUUUAUUAGUUUAAUUUGCUAGAAAAUUAAAUUGAUCCUGCUUCGCAAGCUUUGACAAUGUGACAAAAAGAAGAAAAACACAAGGCGUGCGGUGCAUCAUAGUUGAAAGUGAUUUGGUUAAGCUCUAAACAAAUACUAAUUAUCAUUAUUAGCUCACAUGAAUCACAAUCACACGCCAAUUAACAACUUAAUUAAUUCAAUUACUUAAUUGUAUUAUUCUCUGACUAAGUGGAAAUUACACAAAAGAGGAAGAGAGAGAGAGAAAGAUUAGGAGCAUGCAUUUCAACCUAAACCUUAAGGUCUAAGUAUAUCAUAUGGUCUACCAGCUCAAUAAUAAUAGCCAGAAUAUUACUACUUUUUCAUAGGCCAAAUAUUAAACGCAUUGCAGGCCAAAUGGUCGGUUCAAGCUCUUAACUUUUGAGUUAUAAUAACAUGAAAAUUGACAUAUGUAAGCUCCCUCUCUUUUGGCUUUCAUUUUAAUUCAUGGGUCAUGCUAGGGAGACCAACUUUAGAUACCAACUUGUGUACCAACUCUCUAAUAGAGGUGGAGCCCACCAAUACAAUGGGUCCCACACUCUAUUAGAGAGUUGGUACACAAGUUGAUAUUUAAAGUUGGUCUCCCUAGCAUUUUCCUUAAUUCAUUCCAAAACUUUUUCACGUGUGGAACAAUGUGUUCCCCAAGAAACUGGGGGCCAAGCCACCAGGAAAACAUACAUUAAAAACAAAAUAAAAAAAGAUAAAGGAAAAAAGUGCAUUCAAUAACAAAUAAAAAUAAUCGAUUAAUUAUGUUGGGCAGGUUGUUUUGUUUAAAGUUAAACGCGUACUCAUAAACUAUUCAAAAGUUACGUGCUCUUAAAUUAUUUUAGUAAAGAUAAAGAAGGAUCAGCGAACCUACCAUGUAUUGAGGUGCAAUACAAAGCAAAGAUUAAUAGAAACAUUGGGGCAUAUAGUUUUAUAUUGGGGGCUUUAUCUAACGCCCUUAGAUGAGAUUUUAUCUUUUAACCGUUGAAUCAAAUUGGUUAGUCGUUAGAUGAAAUUGUUUAGUUUAAUUUAACGAUUAAGAUAUAGGACCUCAUCUAAGGACAGUAAAUAAUGCACUCACAAACUCUAUGCCCCAAUGUUUCUAUUAUUCUUUGCUUUGUAUUGCACCUCAAUACAUGGUAGGUAACAACCUAAUGUCUUCAACCAGCAGCUUGAUACUCCAAGGAACAUAGACUCAAGGAAAUCCAUUGCAAUCCAUGUCAUGUGCCACAUCAUUCAUUUUAAUUUUGUAUAAACCAUUUUAAUUGAUUUAACUAAUACGUUCACUAGCAGAUCCAGGAAUUUUUUAACGGAGGUACAAUUUUGAAAGGCUAAAUUUUUUUAAAAAAAUUGACGAUCAAAUAUCCUUAUAAUUUAAAUCAUACCAAUGUCAUUCAUAAGUCAUAGAAAAAAAAAGCAUUACAAUUUUCUUUUUUUAAUCUGCUUUAAAAAAUCUCCCCAGAGCCCAAGAUUGAGAGUGAAACCUAAAUCGUAAAGCCCUGGGUUGAGUUAUGUGAUUAUCCAACCCUAAUCGAGUCCGAAGUACCCUACAAUAGGUUUACAGUUAGGGUUCCAAGCUCGCGAACGAUUUUGGACCAAGUUCGGAUAAGUUCGAAAGUUAUGAUUUUUGUUUCGAGACUUGGAUUUUUGGUUUGGAGACUAAAAUAAUUUUCUAGAAUUUUUGAAGAAUUGAAACUAUUUUAAAAAUAAUUUUACAUUCCACAAAAUUCUUUAAGAUCAUUAAAUAUAAUUUAUUAAUUUUUAUUAAGUAAUUUUUAUGAAAUUACUUCAAAUAUUUAAAUACUAAUUCUUCACUAAAUAAAUAAAAGUAAUUAAACCAUAAUAUAUUCAACGGAUAUACCUUUAAAAUAUUCUAUUUACUAUUCUAUACCUUUAAAUAGUAUAGCCGCGCGGCUAUACACCUUAAACAGUAUAGCCGCCCGGCUAUACUCCAAAAUAUUAUAUUUAGAAUAUUUUUAAGCACAGCCCGUCGGCUAUACUCUAAAAAUAUAAGUCUAGCCGGUCAGCUAUAUACCAAUAUUUUAAAGUAUAGCCGCCCGGCUAUAUACCAAAAAAAGAAUAUUUUAAAGUAUAGCCGCCUGGCUAUACCCUGUAAACAGCAAACUACAAAAACACCUCCCCCGACGAAUUUCCGUUGGCACAGGUCUAUGCCGACAAAUGUUUGUCGGAUUAGACUUCUGUCGACACCUCUACCGACGAAAUUUAGUCGACAGAGGUUUUUUUUUUAUUUUAAAAUUUUAAAAAUAUUAAAAAUAUUAAAUUAGUUUCUUUACUUUUGUUUUUUGGCCAACUGCUUUAAUUUAAUAUAUGUGAUUAAGUAAUAUUUUAGCCUUUUUGAAUCAUUUUAAUUAGUAAUUACAUAUUAAUUAUUAUUUUUUUAAUGAAUAUUUAAAUAUGUUACUGAUUUAAUUUUACUGUGCAAAAACGAAAAAAUAAAUUACUCAUUUUCAUUUGGUGUUUUAACUAUAAAAAAAAAAUGAAAAAAAGCCUUAUCAGCCCACGAAUUGCAACCCUUUUUAAUAUGUUUAUAAUACAAUCAUGUUUAAAGCCUUUGCAUUGCAGCCCACGAAUUGCAGCCCACGUUUCCUUUAUUUAUUUGUUUCUCUCCUGGUCAUAUGAACAAAAUAUAAUGCCUAAUAUUAAAUAUUUACAAAUGCUAUAUAAAACAGGCAGAGGGUAUGCUGUUAUAAAUAAAUGAUGUUCAAAGUAAGACUAAAUAUUUAUUAAUUUUUUUAAAAUGCAAUAUUCAAACAUUAUUAUUAAUCGCCAAAUAAUAUAUCAUCGAUUAUUUAUAAUACCUGAGACGCUAUUAUGCUAAAAUGUUUUUCGAAAUUUGAGAGGGGAUGAAAUGGUGGCAUGUUAGUCUUUGCAUUAAGUGAUAAUUACAAAGAAAUUAUACACUGUCAUAUGAUAAUCACAAAGAAUGAAAAGUUUUUCAAAUUUUAGUUUUUACAAAAUAAUUAGUAAUGUGAAAGAUGAUAGCUUCAUAAAUGACUUGACAUGACAAUAUGUUAGUUGUUAAAAAUAAAUGAUGUUUAAAAUGAGACCACAUAUAAAGAAAGAAUUAUUUACAUUGACACUAUGAGGAUUUUUGUGCUUUCGUAAAACUCGAGGUUACACCCCUAAGGUUUCAAAUUGUUGUUACAAAACCCCUCGUAUUAAUUUUCUUUUCUUCAAUUGUUGAUGCCAUAAAAGAAUUUCUCCAAAUGACAACGUUAACUUCAAAUAUUAGAUUGCAAGUACACCCAUUAUGUCUAAGGGAACGAGAAAAUAAUAUAAAAUUUUCUUCUACGAUAUUAGUUUUAACACUCUUUAUCCUUAAUAAGCAUCUCCAAAACUCAAAACAAGAUAUUCCUUAAAACAAGGAUUUUCCUUACAAGCAAUGUAAAGUUAGAAACAGAUUGCUGGCUUUGUCCUUUGAAUACCAAUAUAAACAUGUUGAAAGGGAAGUGUUUGAGGGCAAUACUUUAUUGGGGUGAAUUAAAUUAGCUAGCAUAUAUAAUAUAUGGUUGUUGGGUUUGGUACAUGCUGAUUUACCAGCAUCCAACAAGAACAAGGCAUGCAAAUUAAAACUUAGGUUUUAAGUUUAACUGAAGUCCUAGCUUAUGCUAAGGUCAAACAUGCAUAACUAAAGUAACGUGUAACUGAGAAACCUACCAUUUUCAGGUAUUGUGUCUUGAAGCGAGCUCCACUUGCUUGGGCUACCCUCACAACCAACCAAUAGUUUGUGUAAAUUUGAAAAGUCUGAAAAGUUGUGACAGAAAAGAAACUUAAAAGAAGUUGUGAUAUGAAGUUUUUGAUUUUCAGUGUGUCUAUCGGGAAGCAAACUUUAUAGCAGGUGCUUAGGCGACGCUAGGCCAUGAUCAGACCUAACCUUUCAUUUGGUUCUCUAAUUUUUGGAGUUUAAGAAUUCGACGAUGAUUGUCGUCGUAAUUUCUUUUGACUUUAAAAAAAAAAUUAAAAAAAUUUGGUGGACUGAGGAGAGGGUUGAAGGCCUAAAUCAAGAAACCACCCACUACAAUUUGGGCGCAUAAAGGACACUCCAAGCCCCUUUUUCUAGUUGCCAUCAUCAAAGCUCUUUCAACAUAUCUCUACAUAAAAACCAAACUCUAGCUUGGAUGCUAGGAGCAAUAAAAAUUGGUUCAAGGUUCUUUAUACAAACAAACUACCGAAAAGUAGUGAAACAUAAACGAACCUAAUGCAACGUAAAAUGCUUCAGAAUAACCAAAGUCCCCAAUGAUGGGAGGUCACUCUCAAUCUGGCAUGUCGAUCGAGCAGGGUAGCAUGGCCUUCAUCAACAAGACUUAGCUGAUGAAGGAUGAAGCUAAUCGACCUCCAUACCAAUCUUACUGGAAGUGCCUGCAUAUAUAAUCAUCUGAAGCUCCCUCACUGUUUUCCUAGUCCUGCAACCACAAAGAGUCCCCUCAUAAGCAUCUGGAUCGCAGACUGAUCACUAGAUAAAUCAAAUUAAGAAGAAAACACUUACAAACAUAAACCACAAUUAACCAUAUAGUCUCUACUUUAUCACUUAAUAAAAUAAAAUAAAAGAAAAAAAAUCAUGCAUGGGUUAGGCCAAUUGACCAAGGUAGCGUGCACGCCCCUUUUGAUCCCCCUCCCCCGUAAACUAGACCACCUUUAGAGUAGUUUAGACUAUUUCUUGUAAUUUUUUUUUUUAUAAAAAAAAGGACAAUAUACAAACCAAAAUUAACCAAAGCUAAAAGGAAAAGAAAUAAAACCAAACAAAAUAUGAUCGAUUAUAUAACCAGAUACCAAAAUAAUAAUAAUAAAUUAAAAAAAACAACUUCAAACCAAUAUACAAAGUAAAGGAUUUUUUUAAAAUAAUUUAGAUUCAAUUUUGCAGACAUAACCUCAAACAAAUUAACUAAGAAAACAUAAAGAAUUUAGAGUACACAACCAAAAAUUAUAAAGUAGAAAUGCACAUAAAGGAAAUGAGAAAACAAAUAGAGUCACAGAGUACAAACCCAAAAAAUUGUAGAGUAGAAACUUUGACAGCAUCAAAAUUGCAUAGAGAUGUAAAUCAAAACAGAAUCAACUGAAGUUAAAUUUAUCAUUCAAUAAGAUGUUGAAUAAUACACCGCAGAACAAAACAAAAAACAAGUAGCAGAGCAUCUCAUAGAUAAUUGAGGAAGCUUACUAUUAGUGUCAGGCUUAAGUUCAUGGUUGACAAGGUGCUGCAUCAUAUUGUCCCUUGGCUUUCUUCAUCUCUCAUAAACUAAGAGCAUAAGACACAAUUAGUUCACACAACGGUAUUAAAUAGAUAUGCAGUUAAAGCAAAUGACAUUAUUUAUGUUGUCUCAAAAUGGAAAUACCUUGAGAGGGGGCACGAGAAUGCGAGGCAUGUGUUCUCAGCUUCCAACUGCUCUCUUGUAUUACUUAAUCAGGGUGUUGUUACCUUCCGGCCUCCAAUCCAUACGUAAGGGAUGUGGCUUAUGGAGGGCCAGUACUGCCCUUUACCUGGUUUGCAUUUCUCUUCUAGCACAGGACACUCACGGAUACUAAGCUGUGUAAGCGAAAGAGCCAGACCUUCCUCUGGAAUGGAUGUCAGCUUUGGACAGCUCCAGAUUUUAAGAGAUUCAAGAGAGUUGAGGAACUGCAAGCCUAGGUACUUCAGAUUGGGGAAGCCUAUAAUGUCAAGUUGAACUAGCGAUUCAGGGAGCAGCAUCUCCUUCUCCGGUGGAAAGGACACCAAAUCUGGAUCUUCACCACUGAUCCAUAACACUCUAAGAGAUGUGAGUCUGUGCAAACCCCACUCCAACAGUGGCCUACAAAUCUUGAGAUUCAUUAUGCUAAGUGAUGUUAGAUAGGGAGGGAAUCCCCCUUCUGGAAAGUGAGGAAUCCUCAAUAUCUGAAGAGAGUUGAGGAAGUUAAUGCCUUCUGGUAGAGCCUCCAGUUUAUCACAAUUGAUAAUGCUGAUCUCUGUCAGGUUGGAGGCGCUUCUUGGCAACCCUCCGAUUGGGAAGGAAACGAGAUUUCCACAGCCAUAAAUCAAUAACGACUGAAUUUUGGAGAGGUUACAUAGGCCUUCUGGUAAGAAUUUAAGAUUUUGACACAAAUAGAUGCAAAGAUAUUCAAGACAUGUGUUUUCCUCGAACCUCUCUGUUAUUGACUCCAGCUGUUUACAAGUAUCUAUGAGAAGGUGUUUAAGCGUCUUGGGUAGAUGGCCUCUGGAUGAUAAGGACGUCAGAGAUGGACAGAUAUCAAUGCUCAAGUACUCAAGACAAGAUGUCUCCUCUUGCAUCAGAGAAGGAAAAGAAGACAAAGAACCCUCCAUCACAACCUCCACUAAGGAUUUCAAAUUUUGGCAUCUUCGUAUAAUUAUUCUUCUUAGACUUGGGGGUAUCUGGUCUCUGGCAAGAUACAUCAAAGAAGGGCACGACUCAAUUGUUAGAACUUUAAGAGAAUGUGGCAAACUAGCCUCUGUAAAAGAAACCAGAUUUGAGCAUUCAUCUAUGUGAAGUUCUUGAAGUGAUGUCAAGUGAUGCAAUUGAACAAGGUUGGAGUUGCCUUUAAUGAGCAAACGACGAAGAGAAACUAGGUGUUGCAGUAAUCUAUCCUCAUUUUGCCAUGAAGACGUCAGCUCCUCACAACCGGUGAUCUUUAAAUCUUUAACCAUUGAUAAUCCUCUCAUGAAUCUCUCUGCUCGGAGUGUCAACUUCAAAAUAUCUGAAAGAUGCAUGGACUCUAGUAACCGAAAUUCAACUGCACUUGAAUGCACCAUCCCUUUGCAACCGUGGAUGUCUAUAUUACGAAGUUGUUUGUAGUUGGCAAUUGAAACCAUCAAAUUUUCACACUCAUCAAUUUCAAGCUUUUCUAAUGAAUCAAGGUCCUCGGGUAGCCUACCCUCCAAUGCCGGGCAUCGUUUAAUAGUCAGCUUUGUCAUACAAGGGAAAACUCCAAUUCCUUGAUAUGAUUCACAAGGAGACCACUCCUUCCAAUGUUGCAUGUCUUGAAACAAAAGGGUAUGUAACAGUGGAAAAGGCAAGCAUCCCUCUCCAUAAAACUCAAGACCCACGCUUUCCACUCCAGGCAUUCCUAUUAUAUGAAGUUCUUUGAGACAAGGCAAUUUCCCAAGUGGUGGCAAGAACUGACAAUUAUUACAAUUGUAUAAUCUUAUGAGCACCAUAUUAGAGAAUAAAGGAUCUCCCAGCCAUGUUGCAAAUUCUAAACCGCCAUAACCUAUGAUCGUAAGUUGUUUGAGCUUUCUAGAAGGUCGUAACAUGUCAAGCACAUCUGAUUUCGGUUCUCGCAUGUAUUUCCAUUUAAGUGCCAAAACAUCAAGCCCGUCCUUGCUAAUUAAGUCAGCCCUCCUUGCAUCCUCAGCAUCAAUCACAUUCUCCAAUCCUGAGAGGUGCAAUGUCCAUUUGAGAUGCCGAAGUGGCCCUAUCUCUCUGAUUUUUGACUCAUGACUUUCGCCCACAACAAAAUUAGUCAAGGUUUGCAGAUUAGCCAAUUGACCUAAUUGCGGUGGCAUGCCUUCUAACAAGGGUACAUCAGAAAUGUUGAGAUGCCGCAGAUUAAUUAGAUUACUCAAGUUUGUCGGUAGCGCCUUCAAACGAGAACAAUUUUCUAGUAUCAACGUCUGUAGGUUGUAAAGAGUGCUUAAUGAUUCAGGCAAACUCAGUAUUAGAGUGUGAGAAAGAUCAAGGUAUCGUAGAAACUUCAAUUCACCAAUUGAAUUUGAGAGCUCAGUUAUUGUAUAGCCAUUCAAAGAGAGCACUCUCAAGUAUUGCAAUUUUGGCAAUAAAUCAUGAUUAACCUUGCUAGUCAGGCUAUUCCUCCGAGCAUCUGAAAGUUGAAGUGGUAGGAAAGUUCGCAGAUGAGUGGCCUCAAAAAAGGCCUUCAAUUUUUUAACUCCAUCAAACUCACCGGAGAUGUAUGACAUAUGACGAACCUUUGGAGAAAAUCUGCGUUGCAUGCUAUCAUCCAAUCUAAAACAUGUUUCUCCUGCAGCCCACCGUGCCAAUUCACUAACGAGGUCAUGCAUUACAUAUUGUGAAUUGUUUUUACUUGACUUUUGAAAUAAUGACCUAGAUAUUAGCUCACGAAAAUACUCACCGCCUAUAUCUUCCAUUUGUUUAUUUUCUUCAGAUUGCUGAAUCAAACCCUCUGCCAUCCAGAGAAGAAUCAACUGCUUCUCUCCAAACUCAUAGUCAUUUGGAAGUAUUGAGCAAUAGGCAAAACACCUUUUCAAACUUGAUGCGAGAUAAUGGUAGCUCACGUUUAAUACUGGCAGAAUGUUUAUUUUAUCUGAUAGCUUCCACAAAUUGCUAUUCAGUAUUUCUUCCCAUUCAUCUAUUUCUUUACAACCCAAAAGGCCACCAAGAGUCCUUGCGGCCAAAGGCAAUCCACCACAUUUUAUAGCAAUUUUCUCCCUAUAUAACUCAAUAUUUGGUGGCUGUACAUUCAAGAAUGCAUGCUGCUCAAACACUCUCCAACAAUCGUCAUUUGAUAUGCACUCCAAAUUAUGAACUUCAAUGGCUCUCAUCAUUUUUGCAACUUCUCCAUCACGUGUUGUCACAAUUACCUUACUUCCUAAUGCUCCAACACGAAAAGGCGACUGAAGUUUGAUCCAUAGAUCAUAGUCACAUGUAUUCCAAACAUCAUCUAAAACAAUUAAAAACUUUUUACCUGCUAAUUCCUUGCUCAGAUUAUCCUGAAUGUUGCUGAAUUCCUCCAAAUCACAGUGCCGGGACGUGAUUGAUUCAAGAAUUGCCCUUGUUACUCUAACAAUGUUAAAAUCAUCAGACACGGACACCCAUGCCUUAGGACUGAAUUUCAUGGAAACAUCGUUGUCGUUGAAUACAAGCUGAGCAAGCGUUGUCUUCCCAACUCCAGCCAUGCCAACAAUAGAAACUACAUGAAAAUUGGCAGAACUAGGCUCAUCUCUUGACAGCAAUUCCAGAAUCUUCGCUUUAUCACCAUCUCUUCCAACAACUGGUCCAUCUAACACACUUGAACUUGGUGACCUCUGGCGUGCCUUACUAGAAGUUGUGCCAAUAUAAUUUAAACCUAGCUUGUCUUUUCGUUCAGAUAUCUCAUGUAAUCGAUCAGUAAUCACCUUUAUUUCUGAGUUCAUACUACUGUUAAAUUUAACUCUUGGAAUUAAGCUUCGUACCUUACUUGUGGUAGCCCCAUGUAGCUUAUGUGCCUUGCGCCGAAACAUCUCAGUGGAAAACUUGUCUAACAUGUCUUCCACAUCAUAAGCCAAAUCUUUGAGAUCAUCCAGCCACAGUUUCACAGCCUCGCUCAUUAGUUGCUUUUCCUCCGCAUCAUGCAGCACCGCUCCAAUUGCAGAUAACAUUGUAGUCCAUUUCUUCAUCUUCUUGCCAACACCCUCUUUCUGUGCAAAGUUGAGAAAGUUGCGAGGAGUCAACCGGUCGAGCAGCAGUUGAAGGAAUGCAGCAAGAAAGAUCUCUCCAAGUGCCAUAGUUUCUUUUUGCAUAAGCGAAGCAAUGUCACAGUGAAAAUGAAUAGAACUAAGCAAUCAAAUAAGUAACAACAAUAUAUAAGAUUCAAGACUUUGUGAUGCAGAAAGUCAAACUAGGAAGAGGUACAUCUGGCCAUUUGCAAAUUAUCCUUAGUUUGGCGGGGUCGAUAUGUCCAACAGCUGGCACACAAGAAAAUGCUAGGAAAUUGAAUAGAAGUGUAAAAUCUAAAUCAAUCAUUUCCAGGAAUGUCAAACUAAUUUGGUCAUUAUCUACAAUUGCUCAAGCAUUCCUUUUCUGUAUGUCAUCCAAACUUGUUAGUUUCUGCAUUUAACAAAAUCAUGACCACCCAAUUAAUCUAAUGUCUUUAAAGUUGAGGAACUGGGUUUUUUUUCUUUAAAUGUGUAACAAAAAAAAUAAACAAAAAAAAGGUUUACUGAAUGCUUUGUAGUUUCUGAAGAAGAACAUCCUACCAAUCAACCAAUCGAUGUGCAAGACAUUCCCCACAAGCCACGGCAAUCACUUUCAAAUACUCUAGCUAUUUCUCUACAGUUUCUAGUAUAAAAAAUAAAAAUAACAAGGGCCUAUGAAUUGCUCUAUAAUUUUCAUCACUUAUUCACGAUGCUCUGAACAAAAAGUUAAAAUUCAGAAGAAACUACCUGGUCUUGUGUGCUUUCCUGGCCUUUUAUACCAUUUGCUUUGCAGUCGCCUUUUGCAAUUUUAAUUUCCGAGCUUUUCCUCUUCUCUUCUUCCACUUUCUUCAUGUUCUCUUCAUGUUCACAGGUACCAAUGAACCUAUAUAGAAAAGAAAAUUCUUCAAUAUUCUUAGGCAUUGCUUAUUUGGAGUGAUAAGUGAUUUUUUAAAAAUUUUGAGAAGCCCAACCCGUUUGGUAAACUGUGAGAAAAUCACUUAUUGUUAAAAAUUGGUGUGAGAGAAAACUAUAAGGGAAAGCAAUUAAUGAGGUGCUUUCAUUUUCUGAUUAUGCAGGAAUCAGUUUUGAAGAGGCGCUAAGUUUAAUGAUUAUGCGGCAAUCAUUUUUUGAUUAUACAUAAAAUCAAUACCAACAACACUUUUAACAAAAAUUUUACCAAACGCCAAAUUGCUUUCUCUCACAGCAAAUCUGACAGCGAUUAUUUUCACAGCACAUCAAUGCCAAACUGACCCUUAGUCUGACAAGUUUGCAACUUUUUUUUUUUUUUUUUUCAUUUUUGUGAUUGGUUAGCUGAUCGAAUUUAUGUUAAUCUAAUUAGACCAUUAUUUAUUUAUUUAUGGCAAAACCACACUUGUAGUCCCAAUGAUUUCCAACUUUUACCACUAAAGUUUCUAUGGUUUCAAUUUCAUCACUUUUGCCACAAUGGUUUAGAAUUCCAAGCAAUUUGAGGACACUUCUCAAUUUUCGUAAGAUUCUUUUUAGUUCCGUUAAGGCCUCAGCUCCUGCCAGUUAUUGAAUAAGUGGAGGGGCAUUAAGGUAAAAUUCCUCGCAAUUCAUAGCACAUGUGCCCCUAAAAUAACCCAGCAUAUUCAUUGUUCUUACUCCAGAGAAAGAGAACACAAAGGCUCGAAUCCACAAACACAAAUUAAGGAUUUCUUUUGGGUCUUUUAGGGUUUAAUUGAAAAUUCUCAUAUGUGCGUAAAAGUUAAUCGAUUGAAGGAGCUGGUUACACAACCAAAAUGACGAAGAGCACAAGAGAAGGCAGUGGAAGCUUGAACAAACUAGGUUUGAAAGAGCUUGAUUAUUUAACUUAGUUUCGGUUUGAUAUAGGGGCUUUCAAUGGUUAAAAGUGUUUGCUGCUUGCAAUGCUUUUUUUUUUUUUUCCGAUUGUCUGCAUGUGUUAUUUCUGGAGAAUUACAUGAUUUGUAGACUUUUAUAUUGGAUUGAGUUUAUCUCUUCGCUUAGUGGGAUAGUUGGUGGGAAAUUAAAGGCUUUUUUUUGGUUGGAAUAUGAAGUAAAGGCAGUGGUCCCGUGCAUGUUUUGACUACUAAAAGCUAAAGUGUAGUGUCCCUAUUUAUUUGCAUAAAGUAUUCAAUAUGCAUGCUUUCCAUUUUUGUUCUUAUUUGGUUAUGCCAAAAUUUUCCAAAUGUUGGGCCACCCCAAUAAAUUAUAAUGCAGCAUUGGAUGACGUUUUAGAUGCCUUUUUAAAUUAGGGUUUUAAUUAUUAGUCACAAUUGAACCAAGAAUAUGUAGAACAAGUGCCUAAUAUAGGAACAUAAUUUAUAUUCAACAUAAAUAACCCCUUCUGUUUAAGAAAAUAAUGUCAUGCAAUAAAAUCCUUUGUUUACGUACAUAUAUACCAACCGAUACUCAUAAACAUUUCAAUUCAGUAAAAUUCAUAUCAUAACAUACGAUAAGGAAAACUAUGUAAUUAAUACUUCUCAAAUUCUAGGAAAACAAUGUAAAUUUGUUCAUGUAAUCCUUAUUGUAAAACCGUAUAUUCAAACACCAAAGUAAACCCGUUAAUAUAAAAUUUAAUCAUCAAAACCCAAAAUCCUUUUUCCCAUAACUAUACCCUUGCAAAAAUAUAACAUGCCCAGUAAUUUUCAAAUAUCCAAUCUCAAUCCCAAACUUCAUUUCAAAUGUUCAUACAUAUACAGAGUACUCUCAAUGCACAUACUCAAGAAACCUCAACCUGGAAAGUAAAUCCACAUAUAUACCCGUAUACAUAUACAUAUACACACACAUUCACCACACCAUAUGCCAAUAAAGUAGAAUUAUUUUGAUGAUCUUGAGGGCGACCCUUCAAAGCAUGUGACAGUGAUUCCCCAGAUAUGAAUACUCCGCUCCAUUUGGUUAACCCGAGAAUUGAACUCUUGAUUUGAUACAUUGGCCACCUCAACAACUUCAUGGCACUAUGAAAUCUGCAAUAGAUCCAUAAACGGUAGAGUGAGAUAAAGGCACUGUGAAUCUUUCACAAUACCAAAAAGUGCAUCUUGGAUAAAAACUUGUACUAUAUAGUACAGAGACUGCCUCUUGGAUAAAAACUGCUUACCACGUUUUUUCUUUGUAAUUUCUGGUUGAACGACAUGCUGUGAUGAAGUAGCUGGGAAUUGUGAUAAUUCAUGAGAUAUUGCUUCAACUCCCAACUACUAACCCUCUUUUCUUUUUUCUUUUUUUUUUCUUUUUUUUAGAGGAAGAUCAAAAUAUCAUUUCCACCAAACAAACAGUUACAUCAAGCACAGCAUAUUUUGAGUGGUUCGUUAAAACCUUCCCAAGAAAAUCCAAUAAGAUAAAACUUCGUAGUAAAAAAGACUACCACACGUACCAAAACACAACUCAAAGAAUACAAAGACAAGGAGGCUAAUCUCUAAGACAGUCAUCCCAACCCAACUACUAACCUUAAAUGCAAUUACAUGUGCUUGCUUUUCCGAAUGAUAUUUAUUCUAUGUAAAAUUUUCAACUAUUUCUAUGAAGUAGUUGUCUAGUAUACCUGCUGGGUUAGUAAAGUUAGUAGCUAGAAAAAAAAAAAAAGGAAAUUGUAUUUUUUUAAUAAUAAAAAUAUGUGGAAGCCAAUAUACCUCUUUUUUUUUUCUUUUUUUUAAUUUUUAAGAAAGCAACAGUGCCUUUGUUGGGGAGAGUAGAUAUUCUUUGUCUACUCCUUUGCCUAUUCUCUUGCAGGACGAAAAAGCUUAUGUGGCACAUCAACAUGAUUUGUCUACUCUUUUGCCUAUAUGCUCUGCAUAUGCUCUUAGUUAUCACUACAAAAUCUGGAGUCAAAGUACCCUUUACUCAUACCCUUGUCAUUAUAUGUAGGUGUUAAAAGGCACAUGUGCCAAUAGGCUAGUAAAUAAAUAAUUUAAAAUAUCCUUAUUAUUCUUGUUUUAUUAACCAUUUUUAUUACAUGUAGGUGUUAAAAGGUUCGAUUAAGUAAGGCCUGCCAUGACAUGACCUGUAUCUUUGGGUGGGUCAGAAUAAGGUAAUUCAGUUCAAUGAUCGGGCAGACUCAAGGCCUGUCAUGGACCAUGCCGGCCUGAAUCCCAAUGGGCCGGAACGUUUAAAGCCCAUUUAAUAAAUUAUAUUUGUUUCAAAGAAAAAUAAUAUAUAAUAUUAUUAUACUUAUAUCUUAAAUAAAAGUCUUAUGUCUUUUCUCUAAUAAUAUAUACUAAAAUUUAAUGUUUUCUUUAUAAAUAAAAUAAUGAUUUUAUUUUUAAAGUUUCAAUUUUUAAAACCCGAUCAAUAAUCUAGCCAUUUUCAUUUUUAAUGUACUUCAAAUAAAGUUAUUAGCCGCUUUAUAAAUAAUUGUUAAAAAAAAUAAAAUAAAAACCGAAAUGAAGUUGUAAAAAAAUGUAAUACAUAAAACAAACUUGGCAUGGCCCAUAUUGGCCCAGCCCAACCCUAUUUGGGUUAGGGCCGGACUUGAUGAUUUUUAUAAAUGGACUAGUCCAUAUGGCCUAGCGCCAUUUGACACCUCGUAACUACAAAGUUUUUGCCUCAACAAAUCUAAUUAUAUUAUAAAUAUGUACUUGCCAAAUAUAUGACCUUAAGUUUGUUUUCUAUAAAUUGCAUAUUUCAAUAAGAAAUUCAAAUUGUUAAUGUAAAGUCUCUGAAGAGACAGAGAAAUGAGAGAGAGUAUCAUAUAUUGUGCAGAGGUUUUAGUAGGGUUUUCUUACUCCCACAUUGUGUCCCAUGUGCAAGAGGCUUGCCGCAGGACUCUGCAACAGAAACAAUCUUGGCCGUGUCGAUGAUCGUCUGCUCAAGCUGACCAGAAAUGCCAUGGCACGGGCAUGGAAUGUCAGCUGUGUUCAAAGCAUUGCAACAUGCCUUGGAUGCAUUCAUGUUUGGCAAUGGCAAGACCUUCUGGACAUACAUCAUGCAGUUUGUGACCAAGCCCAUCAUGUCUCCUUGGCAGCCCUGCAGCUCCAUCAAGUUAUUGCUCAUGGAACAUAGAAGUCCAAUGACUGCAAAGAUGGUUGAAACCAUGGCGGUCACGUUGUAUGUUGUCAUAUCUUUCAUUUAAUUGCCUGCGUCUCUCUCUUUACAAUGUGUUGGGAGAUUGAAUUUAUAGAGUUUUGAAGAUGCGGGUUAGAUAAGUUGGCCAAGGCAGUGUAUUUCCCUUUGAAUACGUACAAAAAUUAAACAAGAGGGAUCUCAAAAGCUUGACAGCCAAAAGCCAAUCUCCGUGCCCAUGGCAGCAAGUCCAUGAGCAACACAAUUCGUUUCUCUUUUGGCUAACAAAUAAAAUUGUUCACUGAUGCAAGUCAUGCAGUCUUGAAAGUCAAUAGAUGAAUUCAAUAAACGAAACUGGUUCCCAAACAGCCACAAUUUCUACUCGUCUGAAAUUUGUGGAAAUGGGAUUUUGGUUUAAUUGAUUGCAAUACUUUUAUGGGAAUGUAAAUUUAUUGGACGUAUGUUUGUUCAUCCGGCAAGAGAAGACACAUAUAUGAAGAAAAUGAACGCAUACCAUCUAGAUUCCAAGCCAACAAUUUUUCCUUCUUCCCUGUUCAACCAAAUUGUGUACUAUGCCUAUGUGUAUAUGACCCUUUUUGUUUUAAUACAAACGAACUAUAUGUAUAUGACCCUCUUUGUCCUCCAUGUAGUUCCUUUAUAUAUCUGUAAAUGGUUGAUCCACAACCAUUUAACAUUAAUAUACUGUAUCAAACUUUAUUCUGUAAUAUUCUAGAAUUGUGUACAGAAUGAAUCAGCCACAAAAUGCAGUUAUAUAUCAUUUUAAUGGUGUUGAAACAAGGAUAUUCAUUGUGGAGGAGGAAUAAGAAGACUUGGGUUCAGGCUACUAUUUGUACAAUAUUCUGCAUACCAAUAUUGAACGACAUUUGCUCUGCUACAUAAAUUGGAAUACUUUUUCGGUGUAAGCAGUAAAUAACAUAGGUUUGAUCAAUAUGCAAAUGAGUUCAUCAUACCAAGAUCAAAUACAUAUUAAUUGUUUGAAGUCAUAUUUCUAAACUUAAAUGAUACUGGAAGUGUAAUUCGUCCAUCCGAAUGCUACUGGUUUGUUUACAACUAAAAGCAAGAUUGCCUUAACAACUUCCUGGAACUGUAAAUUCUGCAGUAGAUUGUAAACUUAUUAGAACAAUUAUCUAAAAUAGACCAAACUCGGCAGAAAAACAUAUUUAUCAUCAGUGAUACUAUCUAUAACACAUUGAGCAAGGAGAAUUACAAUCUUCAAAGACGACAUCCAGAAUAAAAUCUGGAGGAACCUCAUUCCAAGACAAGAACCUAUCAAUACAAAGCAAACCGAGCUACACAAUGGGCAGCCCCAUUAGUUCUACGCUGAAUAUGAAAGACGCGAACACCAUGAAGGUGAGUCAAAAGAGUUGAAAGUCAAAAGAAAGAAAAAACCAUCUUUAAGCUAAAAAUAUUAAAGCACAAUAAGGACGGAGCCAGAAAACUUUUCACAGAGGAGGCACUGCAUGUAUUGAUAUAUAUUUUUAUUUAGGGUGACAACCGAAUAAUUUUUUACUUUAUACAAAAUCCCUAAUUUUAAUUUCUAUACUUUAUUAUUUUAUAUGUUACAUUAACUAUCUACUCAUCAUCAAUAUUAACAAAAAAUCAAUUGAAAUGUUCUUUACUAAAGAUAGACACCAAUAAAAUUGGGACAAUAAUUUAUCACUACAAAAUCUAGAGUCAAAGUACGACAAUGAGAAUUUUGAAAGGGCUAACAAUGAUAGUGAGAAAGGAAAAGAAGAAAAACAUAAGGAAAGGAAUGGACACUUUAAAAUUUAAUUUAAAAAAUAUGAUUGUAUUAAUAAGACCACUGCCUCAAAGAAAAUUUGAGAGGGGGCACAUGCCAGUGGAUGUGUAAAACACUAUUGUUUGUAGAAAGAAGUACAAACCCUUUUUUUUUUUUUUUUUGGUGACAAGAACCCAGCACAAAGUUCAAGUUCCUUCAGAAUUAAUAAAAUUAGCAUGAACGUAAGCUCGAUUGAUAUAUGACCUACGAGUUCUAAUCAUGAAAAGAAAAUAACCUUUUUGGAUAUAAGACAUACAGAACUUUAUUUUCUCCCUAGACAGAACUAGGCUAAAAUUAAGCCCAAAUGGUAUGAGUUAUAAGUUCCAAUCAUGAAAAAAGAACCCCUCUGGAUAUGCAUGCAAAAUAUACACAGAGGAUUAUACUUCUCACAAAGAAAAAAGUGUUAGGAAUAAAAAAAUAUAUAUAUUUUUAGGCAAAGAAUUAGGUAAUCAAACUCUCGUAUAGCAAAAUCAAACAUAUUCUCAAAUUGAGUAAACAUAUUCUCAGAGAGAGCUCAGUUGGGGAUCUUACUUCCACAUUUCGUUCCAUGAGGAAGAGGUCUACUGCAGUAGGAAACAACAUGAACCACCUUUCUCAUGUCAAUCGGCUGCUGCACCUCCUUGUGCUCACACGUACAUGGAAUGCCCACCUUAAUCAUCACAUCACAGCAUUCUUGAGAUGGAUGUCAUGGAGAAACCCCUUUGCACAUAACUGAACAUUACGUUAUAAGACCCUAGAGGUCACCUAAUUGGCAACCAUGCCCAACAACCACAUUGAUUUCACCAGAGAACAAAACUUCUAUGACGGCAAAGAUGGCCAAAACCAUGAAACUAAGAUUAAGCAUUUCCAUCUCUCUUUUCAAUUCUAUUGAUCUCUUUUGGAUAUGAAUGUUGUGGGGGGUGAGUUGCAUGGUUUAUGUAGUUUGAGUAAGGCAUUUCAUGACACUUUGCCUUGUGGACCUGGUUUGUGUACCUCUGUAUUUUUGGAUGCAGGAUCAGCAAAAGUGUGCCCUCUUAAUGGGGGCAACAGAGUAUGCAAUCUCUGUAUCAUCUGCUUGAGCUUCCUCAGCUUGUCCAUCUCACCUGCCCGAACCAGAAAGCUCUCUAAUAUCCGCAACGCAGGUUCACUCAUAUCUCUCCCUCUCUCCAACAUUUGUUUGGAGCACUCAAAAGCUUCUAUUACCCUACUGCGGGAGCACAAUCCCGUUAACAGAAGGUCCAAAGCAUGACCAUGAGGACAACAUCCUUUCUCCACCAGGUAUCGCCAUAAAUGCAAUCCCAAAUCAAGCUGCUGGUUUACACAGAAAUAUUUCAUUAACAUCACCACUGUUCGUGUUUUGGGCACAAAACUUCUGUCAACCAUUUUGUGAUAUAGUCCAGAAACACCGUCAAUAUCAGAUGUCCUCAUCAAGCAAGAGAACAUUGUGUGAUAAGUCAUAUUAUCAUGUUCAAUAUGCUUCACUUCCAUCUCAUCCAUCAAUGCGACUGCCGACUUCACAUCCCUUGAUCUAAUAAGUGAGCUCAUCAAAGCAUUAUACACCCCAGUAUCAGGAAGCAAAUUUCUCAAACGAAUCUCAUCAAAUAAUUGCUGUGCCUUAAUUGGAUUUCGAGCAACCCCUGCUCCGUGGAUCAAUGUAGUGAUUGUUUCCAAAGUGGGCGACAAAUUUUCCCGUUCCAUUCCUUCAAAAAGUCUCAAACCAUCAGCAAAGCAACCUUUCUUACAGUAAGCAUCGAUUCUAAUAUUGUAAGUUAUAAUAUUUGGCUCAAAGCCUCUUUUAACCAGUUCAUGGUAAAAGAGUUCUACUGCAGUAAUAUCUCCAGAUUCCUUGAAUCCCAAGAGCAAGAUAUUCAUGGUCUUGGUGUUGGGUGAAAACCGAAAAUGCAUCUUUAGGAACACCGAACGUGCCUCCUUCAUCUGCCUCUCUGUGCAAAAUGCUCUAAGGAGUACAUUAAACUCUUCAGUACCAAACUUCCUCCCAACAAAAAUAUCAUUCUCCAUCUUGCCAAAUGCUUCAAGGACAUCUUCAUAUGACUGAAAUUUUGCAAUUUUUGACAGCAUGAUGCUCAUUGACUUAAGGGUCAGCAAGGAAGGGUGCAUGCUGCUUAUUUUUUCCAUCAAGUCCCAAGCUUUAUCAAAAUACCGCAUCCUGGCAAGGAUGUGCAGUGUCUUUUCAAAAGCAUCUGAGCUUGGACAUAACUGGGAAUGAUGGAGGGAAUAAUUGAAGAAUUCAAGGGCUUUAAGACCAUUGGAAUGGGCUGCGAAAAGGUAACCCAAAACAUUCUCCACAAAGCUGGUGGAAAGAGCAUGGGGUGGGAUGUGCUGGAGAAGAGUUGGUAGAAGUGGUUGAUCAGGAUACGGAUGGUUAUUAAUUAUUCUGGUGAUCCUGUCAACUUCAAUAUUAGUUUCUGAAGACGGUAGAAAUUGGCUGGAUAUUUUAAGAGCGUGAAUGACAGAAAAAUUUAGCUUCGGAGGAAUUUGAGUAAGUUGAUUGGAUCUCUUUAAUCUUGUCAUAAGGAGCAUUCUCUCCUUGGUUGCACUUAGCAACAAGUGAAACUCUGUACACAAUUUGGAAUUUCCAUUUUGCAAUGCCUAACUGAUGUCAACACCCUGGAUAUCCAAGCAAACAAAAGUUAAUAGUCCAUUAAUUCAAAAAACAAAACAGUAAUUAGAUUCAUGAUUCGUCACAAAUAAACCCAGUCCACAUUAAUGUACAUGUAACACAUUGUGAGAAAAACCAGACAGACCGAACCCACCCAAGCACCCACCUCAAUCACUGGCAAGCUGCUAUCAUACUUCACAUAUUGUCAAAAGAAAACAAAGAAAGCAACUCAGACUGAACCCAGGCUCAGAAAAGUUAUAAACAUUUCUACUUCUUUCCUAAAAUACAUAUCUACUCUUCUCUUUAGGACAAAUGUAAAUAAUCACCACGGUCACAAUACAUCAUGCAUAUGCAGGCACAACAAAUAUUUUAUGCAAAAGUGUUGGUUCUUGAACAUAGUUGCCUAAUUCGCUCACCCCCUACGAAUUUCAAUCUGGAUUGAGCGUACCCAAUCGCGGUACGGUAUCGAUCUGGAACGAAAGAUUUAACGACUCAGUUCCAGAGGCGAGAACAGUACCUGAUAGACGACGUCGCUGCUACAGAACAGUAACUGACCGCCGACGGCAGAAGAGCAAUCGAGGACACAUGAGGGACUAGGGAGAGUGCUAUGGCUGAUGAGCUCACGUUUGACUCCUGGUCUCUAGACAUAAGGGGAAGGAAGAUUUGGGUUUGGAGAGGAUUUUUUUAGAAGAAUGGAUUACAAGAGCCCAGCCCAGGCAAAAGCCCCCUUGCUCUCCCAAAAUCAGCUGCAGCAGUAACAUCCAGCACGGGCAAGAGCUGGCAAGGCCCAAGGCAAGAUAGCCCCAGCUGUUGUCUGAAAUCGCUGAUGUAAACAAAGAAAAAAAUUAAAAACAAUUUUAAAAAUUACCAAAAAAUUCAUAUUUCUUUUAACAUACAUACCUAGCAAAUUUUUAUUUAUUAAUGUCAUAUAUAUAAUCUUAUGUGAACAGUAAUUUCUCUUGAGUUGCGAUGAUAAUUGAUGAAAAAGUACAAAAACAAUUGCUAGAGCAUAUAUUAUUCAUGUGAACAGUAACUGCCCUUACUUUUCCUUAGAGCAUCUCCACCCAUAAGGGCUAAGGCAAAGGCAAGGACAAGUAAGGGCUGCCACUAUUCAUGUGAAUAGUAGCAGCCUUGCCUUUUUUAGUUCCACCCCAAAAGGCUAGGGCAAGGGCAAGGAAAAAAAAAGAAUAUGCAACAAAAUAUAAAUUUGUUAUGUAUUUAUAGGGAAAGUGAAUAAAAUUGUUAUGUAUUUAUAGGGAAAACAUUCAUAAUUUUUUGGUAUUUUUUUAAAAAAAAAUUUUGAUUUUUUUUCCCUUUUUUUCAAUUUUUUUGACUCGCUGACGUCAGCGUGACAUCACCACUGACAUCAGCGCCCUAGGACUGAAGCUCAGGCAAAAUCUGCCCCUGGGCUUGCCCAGGCUGGUGGGACCCAGGGCUUGCCCGGGCUGCAGGUGCUGCGCUGGAGAUCCAAAAUUGAGGGAAUGGGCCUCUUGCCCUGGCUAAAGUCCCUGCGGUGGACAUGCUCUUACCAUUUGCCAUGACAAAUGGGUGGAAGUGCUAUAAAGAGGAAACGUACUAAAGGUUGGGGUGGGUGGGUGUGUCAAUAUAAUAAAAGUACUGUUUCUGGUUUCAAAAAUUUAGUCAUGUUCUCCUGGACCCUAUGAUCCAAGAAAGCUGUGGUUACUUACUCUUUGAUCAAAUCUAAGGGUUGAGAAAAAACUGGUUUAAAUAUCAAUAUGUCAUUUUUUUAUUUUACUUUUACUACACUGAAAUACUAUUUUGGUUAUUAAAAACUAAUAUUUUUUUAAAAAAUAAGUUUAAUAUCAAAGAUGAUACAAUAUAAUUGUAGAAACACAAGUCUAUGUUCAUGAACUGGAAGGAAAACAAAAAAGAGCCCAAAAUUUGUUUAUAAAAAAUUGUAGUUUUCCCAAACUUGGUAAUGAAUCAUUCAAAUCUAAAUUUUAUAAACAUAAAAUUGAACACAAAGGUAGAGAACAAUAGGAAAAUGACUUGGUUGUGGGUCCUUUAAAUUCAAUCACGUUAAAGUAUAAAGGGAUAGCUUGAUGGCUCCGAAUUUGGAUCAAUAAAUUUUCUUUUGUUUAUGAAAAAAUUGAAUAUUUGAAUCUAAAUCAAGAGAUGAAAUAGAUAACCAAUAAUAAUUAGAGUGAAUCUUAAACGACACAUGUUCUUGAUUUUCGUAUGCAACGUCGAAGUUGAAGGUAGUUGUGAACGACAAUGGAUGAAGAACAUGCUCUUGGUUUUCUGAGAGAGAGCGUCCUUUGGUUGCAAUGAUUUUUUCUUUUUAAAAGUUUUUGUUUUUGUUUAAGUUAAAUUAAUAUUUUGUACAGUAAAAGUAAUAAAAUAAUGACAUAUUAAUAUUUAAAUCAAUUUUUUUUCUCAAUCCUUAGAUUAGAUCCAAAGUGAGUGAUCAAAACUUCCUUGGACUUCUAGGGUCCAGGAGAAUGGGACUAUUCAAGAAUUGCUAAGGAAGAAGAAAAGUCACGAUUCUUUCAAUACAUUGAACAAAUAAAAUACAUAACUUAUUGAAUAAAUAAAAAAACCACUUAUUCAUAAAAUAAACAAAUUCAUAAUUAAAAUUUACAUGCAAAAACAAAAAUUAAAGUUUAUUGUUGAAACUUCAAAACAAACAAAACAGAAAUUGAAAAGACUUAAAAUUAAAAAUAGCAAAUUUAGCCAACUGGUUGUUUUCCCUUCGCUUUUGCACUAGUCCUUGUUCUUGAGCUCCCUCAAGAAAAAAAAUUGACUAGGCAUAGGGUACGGUAUGCUUAGCCGUGAACACCUGCAUAAUCACCCUCCAACCCUUUCCAUCUCAUUUCCUCCAAUUUCUGAGCAAAAUCAUCUAAAAAGAGGAUUCCGAAUUAAUAUUGGUCAUACAGUUUUGAGCACAAACACAUCUAAUCAUUGUCCACUAGCCCAUAAAUGGUAUAUGUUCCAAUAUAAUGAUUAGAUGUAUAUGAUGAUUCAUCUAAUCAUUAUCCACUAGUCCAUCCAUAUAUGGUACAUAUUUCGAUAUAAUGAUACCAUGUAAUCAUUAUUGUACUACAUAUGUGCAAUAUAAGAUGCAUUAAUAUAUGAAUUUUUGUGAAGUUAUACAUCGAUACAUGAUACAUUAAUACAUGUAUCAUUAACAUAUGUGCAAUAUAUGAUACAUUAAUAAAUGAAUUGUUGUUAAUUGUACUAAUAUAUCGUUCCGAGUUAAUACAAUACGUCAUUCCGAAUUAAUACAAUAUAUUGUUCCAAAUAUGAUACCAUUAAUCAUAUUUAUGAUCUGUACAUAUGUUUGGAUUAAACGAUUCAUUUGACUUUGAGAUUGAAAUUUAAGAUUUUAUAUUUUAAAAGGUAUUAAAUGAAAAUAUAAACCAUUUUCUUUUAUAAAAAAUUUAACUUUAGCCAAAAUUACUUGAACCCAAUUUGAGUCUUGCUGAAAAAUGCUAUUUAUUCUUGGUAUCAGUAUUGAAGAAUAAAAUAUGAAAUUAUUUUUUGGUUUAAAUAGUAAAUACCAAAGGUUUGGUCAUUCAAAUAAGUUCAAUAAACCAAUCAUCAAGUACAUAUAAUAUAAUUGUCUAAUGUCAUAUUUCAAUAGUUCACAUCAUACGGUUUUAGUUUUUAUUAAUUCUUCCAUCUGAAUCGCAUACGACUACAAGCAGGCAAGAUCGCUUCAACCACUCCCUGGAACUGUAAAACCUGUAAUAUAUAUAAUAUAGAUGGUUAAACAACAUUGGGCAGAAAAAAUAUAUUUAUUGUACGUGUAGUUUGCCAGAAUUUCCACUUUUGAUUUCAAUUUUGGUCAUUUGAUUCUUAUAGUUUGAUAUCCAAUGCAAUGCAAAGAUACGUCCAAAUUUCCAUCUAAUUCCGUCUGAAAUACCUCUAUGUGUGAAGGACACACGUGCUUAUUCCAUCACGAAAUUGAAUAUCAACUAAUUACAUGGGUCAAAUUGCCAAAAUUGAAACCAUGUAAAUCAAUGUGGAAGAUCCGACAAACUAUAAGGAUCAAUCUUUAGUUAAAACAAUAAAAACAAAAAUAAAGAGAAAAGGGAAAGUAAGCCUAAAUUAUAUUUUUGAAUUACAACCAUGAAUAGGAACAUGUUUGGAUAAAUUAAUAAGCACACAAAUAUAAGUAGAGAAAUUUAGAUUAAAAAAUAUGAACAAUUGUGAUAAUAAUUGAAGUACAUAUUAGUUCAAUUCUAUGAGAGAGAGAGAGAGAGAGAGAGAGAGCAUAGGGUUAGGGAUAUCUUACUUCCACACUUCAUUCCAUGAGGAACAGGUAUGCCACAGUAGGAGACGACAUGAACCACCUUGUUCAUGUCAACCAACUCCUCUAGCUCCUUGGUCACGUGCUUGCAGGCACAUAGAAUGUCCACCUUCUUUAUCAAAUCACAGCAUGCUUGAGAUGGAUUUGUCAUCGGCUUACCCUUUUCCACAUAAGUUGAGCAUUGCCUUAUAAGAGCUCCAACGUCACCGCCACAUAGCUGCCCUACGGCCACAUGGAUUUCACCGGAGAAUACAACUCCUAUGAUGGCAAAGACGGCGAAAACCGGGAAGCAAAGACGAAGCAUUUGCUUCUCUCUUUCUGUUACUUUUAUUUUUCUCUGACAGUCUCUUUUGGAUGUGGAUGUUGUGGGGAGGGGUGGUGAGUUACAUGGUUUAUAUAAGGACUUUGAGGGAGGCAUUUCAUGACACCUUGCAUUUUGAAGCUGGAGUUGGCUCCAUCUGUGAACAACUUACGUUACAAAUUUUGUUUGAUUUUGAAGGGGGAUUGUAUCUUGCAUGUGAAGACUUUGGUUUUCACAUUGUACAAAAUGGAAGAUGAUCCUCUCUCUUCUUUUCCGCCUCACUUUCUCCAUAAAAUCCUAUCCAAUCAUUCAUUACACAAUUAAUAACUCAAUCAAGAAAAAUUGACUAUCGGAUUCUAUUUAAAUGUGAAAGAAAUUUAAGAAAAAAAGAAGUACAAAGAUUCUCGUAAGCAUAAUGCAAGCAUCAAAUUAUAAGGGGAGAGAAAUGAUUAGUAAUGACUAUUAUAUUGCAUGAAUGGAGCAGACCUAUAAGUUAUAGACUCAACUCUCCAUAAAUGGAGAUAAGUUGAAAACUCAAGUCGUAUUCAAACUCACUCUCCAUAGGAGGUUAUGAUCCAUAUCCAAUGAUUAUUUUGGUUUUAUAAUAGCCACUAAAAUUAUUAAGGGCUAUGAUAAUAUUAACCACACUUCAUAAAUAUCGACAAGUUAAGUGAUUGGCCAAAAUAAAAAGACAAUUUCUUUUAACAUUACCCUCUGACAAAGGAAUUGAAAAGUGCAUAGAAUUCUUAAAUGACCCGAUUUAAAUUUUCAUAGUUUAAAUUUUUGGUAAUUCGUAGUUUCAGUGUUUGGUUUUAUGUAUGUUGAAUUUCGUAAAUGACAUAAAUUAUGGGGAAAACGAAUUCAUGCUCACUAGAAAUUGCGAAAUGACACAUCUUUUAGCAUAAAUUAAUCUUGGAAAUCUCGAUCCCCAAUUUCCAUGAUUUUUUCCUUGCAUCAUUUAAUGGGUUCCCUGUUUAAGUUGCCAAACAAUGGAAACAUCAAUUUCUCCUCUUUAAUUCUUGACUUUUAGCUAAAUUCCGAGUUAUUUCCUCCACCCAAAUGGAGGGUUAAGCAUUUUAAUCAUUAUUGGGUUGUGCGUAGUUCUCUCUAGUUUAAUUCAACAUGUUGUUGCAUUUGGUCACUAGAUAAGAUUUAUCCAUAUUCAGCAUAUAGUUACUUUUGUACUUUGUUUUAUUUAUCAAUAAAAAUUAUUGCUUAUUCUUAAAGAGAGAGAGAGAGAGAGAGAACUGUGAGAUAUUGAACCUUUAUCUCAAAUAUCAUAUUAUAAGGGCUCGUUUGGUUCAAUGUUUAGGAGCUUAGGAAUGGGUUUCAAAUUGCAUACCCAUAUUUGGCACUCUUGGGAAUGCACUUUUGGACUCAUGGGUAUAUGGACUUCCCAUGUAGGGGGAAUUUCAUACCCUUGGCUUACCUUGAGCAACGUUUUCUCCUCACUUGGGAAAGCAUUUAAUGCAAUUUUUUGGAUUAACUAACCCAUGUUAUUAUUUUUAAAUACCACUUUUGACCCUUAAAAACUCUUCAUAUUAAUAACUUUUAAUAAUAAAAAAAAAAUCAAGAGUGUUGUUGGAAGACUGGACAACUUUUCAUUCCUAAUACUACACAAACAAUAUAUGGGAAUGGGAGAAAAUGACAUUUUCUAAUCCUCAUUUCCUAGUGUUCCCAAACGAGGAAAUGAAUUUCCUACAUUCUCAUCUUGUGGGACUAGACAUAUGAAGUUUAUUCCUAAGAAGUUCAAUUUAUGAAUCAAACAGGCCCUAAAUGUUAACAUAAAGUAUUGAUAUACCCUAGUCAUGUAGUUCCUAGCUUGAAUUCCUAUUGUUUAUGUUUAUAUAUACAAGAAUCAACGACCAAUAAUAGCCGGACACGUGGACAAAACAUGGCUUCGGCGGGAAGCCCUCGGCACCCAGACCUGCCGACCAUGUUCUUGAAACGUAAAUCACCUACUAGAUACAUAGGGCAUCCACAGUGAUUGUCAACAGUCCCACAUCGAAAUUCUACACAACUUGCACACCUCCUCAGGUUUAUAAAAAUGGGCAGAAGUCCCAAAAUGGAGGUAAUCUGAACUUUCGGCAUACAGCCUCUAGAUCUAUUCAAUUCACUUACUAAAUCUGUACUUACUUAAGCAUCGGAGAGCCUUCGGCCGGUACCACACUGGUGCCCUAGGGCUUACCUAGUAGACCCUUGUUUUGCAGAAUCACACUCGGUCGAGGCCCAGGACGUCCCGAAAGCCCAGACAUUACUAAGUUGAGCCCAAAAAGUGCCGAACCACUUUUUCGCAUCAACAGUUUGGUGUCGUCUGUGGGAAGCGAUCUAAAUCGAUCCAUUAUCCCUAAACAUAUGGGGACCACUUCAGUGCCCGUAUUUUUGCUAGAAGAAGGAUUGCCGUUUGGAAGGCAGAGUGGAGCUAGCCCAGCGAUACCCCCAUGCACCCCCCUUCGGCAAUUUGCCCGUGAUGCAAACCACAGCUGAAGCUGAGCUUCUGACCCAAAUCACUUCUCUUCAGCAGGAUAUGGCUAAGCUACAAGAACACAACAACCUCUUUUCAUCCAAAGUAGAUGAAACCCAACAACUGCUGAAUCAGCAGCAAACGCAAAAUAUCCAGACCACUCAGUCAUCCCAGAGCCUGCAGAUGCUGAGUCGGCAAAAGAAAGGUAAGAAGGGGGCAAAGGCAACGCCUGUGCCCUCCAAGCAACUAGUAGUUCCGGCUCCCCAAAACAAGCCCUACCUACCGAAGAAGGUUUACUCUGAUUGUCUCCAUCGGAUUAAUGAUAGGGAAGCCGAAAGGCGGAGAUCUCCGAUCAGGAUCAAUGCGCACCUCAGAGAUUCCCGAAUAAGGGUUCUAGGAAAUAAAUCCCCUAUUCGGAAAGUGCAAGGUUUGGAAUCCACGGCAGAAUCCAAUCACGAGUAUGUCCCAUCAAAAACUCGAGAGUCAACCUACCGUUCGACAACGCCGACAUGGUAUUCCGAAGUCAACCCAAGGAGGUCACAAAGGCAUUUGGAGGAUUUCGAAUCCGAAGAGGUCCCUAGUUAGGACCCAGUCAUCCGACUCCUUUUCCAUAAAGUUCAGAAGUUGGAAGAUAACCGAACUCGCUCUCAGGAGCCCGACUGAGGAAGCUUCAACCGGGACCAUUCACCAAGCAUAUCAGAUAUUCCAGGCAAGACAGGGAUGUGCAGCCACUGCGCAUACCGUUCUACACCAGGGUAGAAGACCCCUUGACACAUCUCCAUUCUUUCCAGUCUGUCGUGGGAUGUAAAGGUCUCAGCGACGAAGGGCAGUGCCUGCUAUUCUCAUCUGCACUUACCGGAGCGGCUUUAAAUUGGUUCUACCGAUUGGAACCGAAAACGGUGGACUCCUUCGACGACUUAAAAUAGAUUUUUCUCAAUCACUUCAUGAUCCAGAUAGACCGUCUGUAUUCUGCCAAUGAUCUGUACACGAUUCGACAGAGGGAAGAUGAGCCCUUGAGAGAAUACACUGCGCGCUUCAGUCAUGAGUACUCUAGGUGUCUCGAAACAGAUGAUAGGGCAGCUUACGACACCUUCAAGAGUGGUCUUCAGUCCUCACACUUUCGGUACCUGGUGCACAUCAGCAACUGGUGUACCUAUGAUGAAUUGAUAAAGCAAGCAGCAAUCCACGUAAAGGCCAAAUACUUCAACUUGAAAUCUGGGCCUUCGGCUCGACAAGAUGAGUUGGUGCUGAAGAAUUAUUCGGCGCUGGGAUCACCAUACGCCUCUGAUAAUGGAGCUGAUGAGUAUCCGGCAGGCCAAAAAUGGAAAGACAAUCCUGACGCUCGGCAAGGGCACUCGAAGAAAGGAAAGGGGAAAUACAGUUGCAACGACUACCGGGAGCCACUACAGAACUGUGACCGCGGUUAGGAAGUCUUCACCUCACUAAACACCACUUACGAGGCCGUUCUCAUAAACGAGCACGAAAUAAUACCAAAGAGGUCAAUCGAAAACCCAAUCAGCAGGACAAUCGAGAUACUGGCAAGUUCUGCCGGUACCAUCAGCACAAUAGCCAUAAUACCGAAAAGUGCAUAAGUCUGAGGAAAAUCGUCGAACGUUAGCUAGAUCAGUACAUUGCUAGACCACCACAAGCGCCAGUUCCCAACGCAAAUUGGCAUAUUAACAUAAUCAGCACCAUUAGUGGAGGCCCCACUCUGGCUGGUGUCUCCAACCGUUUGAGGAAGCAAUACGUCCGAGCCGCACAAUACCCACAAGUUUUCGUAAUAAAAGUCAACUGGCACCGUAAGAUGCCGAAGGAUUGGUGGGAACCCAUCACAUUCAGCAAAGAGGACGAAGAGGGAAUCCUCUACCCCCAUGACGAUCCAAUGAUCAUCUGAGCAGAAGUUGUCGACUUUGACGUAGGCCAGGUGCUGAUCGACACUAGGAGUUCGGUAAAUGUAAUCUUCGCCAAUGCAUUUGGGGAGUUGGGGAUAGACGGUAGCCACGUCAACCGGUAGCUAACGCCCCUACUCAGCUUUUCUGGGGACUUGGUUCAACCGGUCGGCAGCGUCAAUCUACCCAUCGCCCCACGAAAAAAGAUGAUAUAUGACCAAUUCCUCAUUGUCGACUGCCUAACGACAUACAACGUCAUAAUAGGACGAACAACACUCACCGGAAUCAAGGGGCACCUAUCCCCCCACAUGUUGCUGAUGAAAUUCCCAACCAGCUACAGCACGGGAACAAUCCGAGGGAAUCAGCUCAGUGCACGAACUUGCUAUGCUACUGCUCUCAAAUCGGUAGCCUUUAAAUCUCAAAGUGUGACUUUGUCUGUUCAAGAGGCGCCGAAUGGUAUAUGGCCAAUCGACGACCCAAGGGAUGAAAUGCCAACGCCUCAAGCACAACCCGCCGAAGACUUAGAAACGGUAGUCUUGAACGAAGAGCAGUUCGAUCGGUGUGUCAAAAUCGGCACCAUGCUCACCCCGUCCCUCUGAGCAGAAUUUAUCGAGUUCUUACGGCAUUACUCGGAAGUGUUUGCCAGGUAUUAUGACGAUAUGCCAGGCAUUUCCCCCAAUGUCAUCAGCCAUAGGCUCAGCAUCUUCCCCUCUUAUAAACCUGUGCGUCAAAAGCGCCGCUAGUAUGAUGCCGAACGAUACAAGGCCAUGAGAACCGAAGUUGACAAGCUCCAAGAUAUCGGCUUUAUCAGAGAAGCUACGUACCUUGUAUGGCUGGCGAACUCUGUCAUGGUUCGGAAAACGAAAUGUGGGUGACGAAUGUGCCAAGACUAUACCAAUUUGAAUAAGGCUUGUCCGAAAGAUAGCUUUCUGUUGCCCCGAAUCGACCAGCUUCUAGAAGCCACUACCAGCCAUGAUCUUCUCAGCUUCAUGGAUGCUUAUUCGGGGUACAACCAGAUUUUCAUGCACCCUGCCGACAGUGAGCAUACAGCAUUUAUCACAGACAGGGGACUAUAUUGCUAUAAUGUCAUGUCGUUCGGCUUAAAGAAUGCAGGGGCAACGUAUCAGAGGCUAGUCAACCGAAUCUUCGCCAGACACAUCGGUAGCACCAUGAAAGUGUAUGUCGACGACAUGUUGGUAAAGAGUAAGACUGCAAAAGAGCAUAUGUACAACUUGUCCCUCAUGUUCGAAAUACUAAAAGACUAUCGAAUGAGACUAAACCCAACAAAGUGCGUCUUCGGUGUAUCUUCGAGUAAAUUUCUCGAUUUUAUGAUCAGUCAGAGAGGGAUCGAGGCAAACCCUGAGAAAAUCAAGGUCAUAAUCUCCAUGGAGAGACCGAAGACACAGAAGGACAUUAACAGCCUUAUCAGACGUGCCGCUUCUUUAACCCGCUUCAUCUCUAAGGCCACCGAUAAGUGUGUACCAUUUUUUAAAGCCUUGAAAGGGGGCAAACAACACAUCACAUGGAUUGCCGAAUGCGACAAGGCAUUUCAAGACUUAAAGAACUACAUGAGCAAAACACCUUUGUUGUCAAAGCCACUCCCAGGGGAGGUUAUGUUCCUCUACCUUUCAGUAUCCAGCAAUGCCGUAAGCACGGUGCUAAUACGCAAACCAGAGAAGGCAGAGCUACCGACCUUUUACGUCAGUAAAGUACUACAAAGUGCAGAACUCCAGUAUCCUCCCUUAGAACAGUUAGCCCUAGCCCUCGUCAUCUCAGCCCGAAGGCUCCAUCCGUACUUACAGGGGCACGAAAUCACAAUCUUAACCAAUCAACCGCUUCGGCAGAUGUUCCAGAAACCUGAAACAUCCGACCGAUUGGUCAAGUGGGCAAUUGAACUGGGAGAGUUUGACAUACAAUUCAGGCCAAGACCUGCGAAGAAAGGCCAGGCCGUCGCCGACUUCAUCUCCGAGCUAACAUAUUCGAUAAACCCCGAGCCAACAAAUCCAUGUACUAAUGCCGAAGAAUAUGGCGCACCGAAUCCCAAGUGUUUCAAUCCAUCAAUCCCUGUAUGGAUCCUGCACGUCGACGGCUCGGCAAAUCAACAGGGAUGUGGAGCUGCCUUUGUGUUAACUACGCCAGGUGGAGUCAAAAUUGAGUACGCCCUCCAUUUCAGUUUCAGAACAUCCAACAACGAGGUCGAAUACGAAGCUCUUUUGGCCGGCCUUCGACUAGCCAAAAGCAUGAGUGCAAAACAGAUCAGCAUUUACAAAGACUCUCAGCUCAUUGUAAAUCAGAUAACGGCAGACUUUGCAGCUAAAGACGCCUCCAUGUCAGCCUGCCUGUCAACCACGCACCAAUUGCUUCAAAAAUUCCAGGCUUACGAGAUUCGGCAGAUACCCAGGAUAGAAAACAGUCACACCAAUGCACUUGCCAGAUUAGUUAGGCCAUCAAUGAUAAGGUUGGCAAAAAGGUGUCGGUAUAGAUUCUAGCUCACCUAAGGACGGCGACUUCCGAAAUAUGCACCGUACAGUAUGAAAACACAUGGAUGUCUCUAAUUUACGCUUACCUAACAAAUGGUACGUUGCCUAAUGACAAGUCCCAGGCACGAAAGCUAUGAUACCGAUCGGCAAGAUAUACAAUCAUCAAUGAUAUCCUCUACAAACGUGGUUAUACCACGCCUUAUCUCAAAUGCAUCACUACCGAACAGGGGGCACUAUGUCCUUCGGGAGAUCCACGGCGGAGUGUGUAGUGACCAUUCUGGAUCCCGAUCGCUGGCACACAAGGCCUUUCGACAGGGGUAUUAUUGGCCGACCAUGCAUCAAGAUGCAAUCACACUCGCAAAGAAGUGCGACAAAUGCCAACGAUUCGGUAACUUUACCCACUUCCCUACCGAACCGUUAACACCAAUCGUAAGCCCAUGACUGUUUGCCUAGUGAGGACUGGAUCUAAUUGGCCCAAUGUCGCAGGAAAAAGGCCAGGUUAAGUACGCCGUAGUGGUUGUGGACUACUUCACCAAAUGGGUAGAAGCCGAAGCUCUGGCAACCAUUACUUCGUCUGGACUCACAUUAGCUGCUGAUUCGAUAUCCCCUACGCAAUUAUCACUGAUAACAGCAGGUAGUUUGAUUCGGAUAUCUUUAGGCAGUUCUGCACUCACCUGAAAAUCAAUAUGUUUUUUCUCUUCGCCAGCUCACCCCCAAUCAAAUGGCCAAGUCGAAGCGAUAAAUAAGAUUAUCAAGAAACUGCUGAAAUGGCAGCUCAACAAUGCCAAGAGUGCUUGGCUGGAGAAGCUUCCCGAAGCACUAUGGGUCAUCCAGACAUCCUUCCGAACUUCUACUGGUGAAACCUCUUUUUUCUCUAGCUUUUGGAUCGGAAGUCGUCGUCCCCGUCGAGAUCGGCGAGCCUUCUUAUAGAAUGAAGAGCUUUGCACCAAAGGCAAAUGAGGAAGCCCUUGCAUUAAACCUCGACCUGAUCGAAGAACGCCAAGCGCAAGCCAACAAUCAGAACAAGGCCUACAAGCAGUGCGUCUCUCGGUACUAUGACUCGAGGGUCAGAUCGUGUUCUUUCCGAAUCGGGGACUGGGUCAUGCGCAAGGUCUCUUUGGCUACCAAAAAUCCCAUAGAAGGAACCUUUGGGCCUUCCUGGGAGGGACCCUAUGAAGUCAUCGACAUCCUUUGAUCUGGAACAUAUCGAUUGAGAGAUUCCAAUGGUAAGACCCUCGGUCAUCCAUGGAACGUCGAACAUCUAAAGUAUUACUUCAAGUGAAGUUCCCUAGUCAACGGUAGGUUAAAAUUGUAACACAAAGAGCUGUAUGUAUUCUUGCCUUCGGUAGUAUUUAAUGAAAAAGCCUUCGGCACUAUUGCGCCUCAAAACCUUCCGACUAAUUCUUAUUCAGCCUUCGGCGAAGAUACGGUAGGGACCAUCACAAAGAUAUUGCCGAUGAUCCUUAUACUUGUGUAAAAAAAAUGAAGCACUUCCAAAGUUUUUAUUUAACCCUUGGUAGAUAAAGGAACGUUUGGGAUCUAAUGCUUAUUACCGUUGGGAAACUCCUACCGAUUAAAUGAUCACAUCAAGUCUUAUCUUUAUAUUAGCUUUCGGCAGUAUAGUUUUUAUCAGCCCUUGGCGAUAAAAUGGUUAAAAAUUAAAUCAUGCCGAUCGCAUCUUCACUUGUAACCUUUUCCUUAAAAGACUAUCCCGAUUAUUUAUUUUCAUUAGACAUGUUAGCCAUCGGCAACAGUUAUCAAAUCGGUAGUACACUCCCUAUUAGCCUUCGGCAAUAACAAAAAGGGAUUCAGAAACAUGAAAUAAAUAGCAAGAAGCAUACAUAUGCGGAAUACCGAAUAAAUUAGAAAGAUGCCCUCGACAUCAAGGUGUUCAAAAUCAAGUCACCUUAGGGCGAGUACCAAACAAUAGUAAAAGUACAUAGAUACAAAAGGAUGAAGCCUAGGCAGUAGCCCUAUCAUCAGCAGCGGCACCAUCGGCAGGAGCAGCAUUCUCUGUUGAGUCGGCACCCUCGGCAGUAGCAAAGGCAUCAUCACCUUCAUAGUCCUCGAUUAUCUCCUUCGUAACGCCUUCCAGCAGAGGAGGGGGAUCGACCGCAAAAUUAAGGUUGAGCUUCGCCGAGGGGUUGAACCGUUUGAAACGGUAGAUGAGAUCCGCCAUCUCCAAGCCCACCUCCUGCUGGACAGCUGCCUCAAUCUUGGCAGCCUUUAACCACUCCGACUCCUCUAGGGCCACCUAUACUGCUCAUUUGGCAGCCUCGGCAUCUCUGGUAGCCUGUAUCACCGCCUCCAAGGUUGCCCUCAUCACAGACAAUUUGCCCUUGGCAGCCUUUACUUGUCAUUCGAGAGCUUCCUUGUCCUUGACUAAGUUGGCAUAGUUCAGAAGAGCCUUGCCAGCUUGGGCAAUCUUGGAAUGGCCAUCCUUGUAGGCUUUCUUGGCAUGCUCGGCAGCCGUGAUGACGUGCUUCAUGCACAGCCACAUGUCCAUAGAAGCCUGCAAAAGAGAAAAGAAUAAUCAUCGUCAGCCGAAGCAAAUUAACAAGUAAACUAACGCAAAGAAAAAAAGGUACACCAGCUUACUGAGGCUUGGAGUCAGAAAGCACGACCAGCCUCCUCCCGAAUGAGCCUCUUAAGGAGCUCUUCAAUCUCUGACAGCUCCAUCUGCGAACUCAGAAUCUUGUGGUUCACAAAUUGAAUCGUCUUCGACAGGCAUGCGAUAGUGAUAGGCUCGGCAGGGCCAUCUUCGUCCUCAAUAGAAGAAACAGCCCUCGGCUGUUCGGAAGUCUGGCAACGCUUGGGUACUGGUUCGACUCCCAGAUCUACAAGCAGCGACUGUUUCCCAGCGGACUUGGAAGCAACCCCAGUAUCCAACCCUGGCUUGGAUACUGAUUCGGCACCCAACCCGCGCUCGGGUAUUGGUUCGGCUUCGAGCUGCUUCAAAUGGUCGGCCAACGUCUAGUUAUCCAAAUCAGCCUCUGUCAUUUGGGGGGAGGCCAACAGUAGUGGUUGCCGUUGCUUCUUCCCCUUCAUCCCCAACAAGAGGUGUCUCUUUGAAGAUUCCGACAUUUUCUUAGCAUCGAUAGAUGACCUGGCGUCCGUCACUAAAUAAUAAAAAAGAGAAAAAGAGGUCAGUAAGGCAACAAAUUCUUACCGAACAAAAUCGCAUCGUCGAUAAGGAACUUACUUUUGGCAGGAUCGGCGAGGUGCACUUUAACCAGAUUCUUCGUGAAAAGGAAGCUGGGAUAAAUCCUGUCAAUGGCAAGAACCUUCAGCUUCACCCGCUCGACCUUCCAAACGUCGGACUUAUAAGAGGUCGGUUGCUUCAACUUACCUACAAGAAAGACAGAAAAGAAUAUUAGGCGAAUGUAAAGACAAAACACUUACCGAAUGGCUCACUAGCGACUUACCGGCUAUUUGAAAUGUCGUGGGGAUGUGAUGCCAAACGGGCCUGUCCGAAGGCGACACCCAGUCACUGGAGAGUAGGACCUGCCGAUUCCUCGAUGACUUUUUAGAGGUCGACAUGGCCCUGAUGAAGUGACCAGGCUCGGAAGCUCGAAGGCAAUUAGCCUGAACCCAACCGCAGUGCCCAACGCACUUAGACUUGGUGACGCUGUAUAGAUAUGAGAACUGCUCGUUGGUUGGCUCCCCCUCCUCGGCAAGGCCGAAGACAAUAAUUACCCCCAUCAAGAACACCCAAAAGUUGAGGUUGUACUGGUCUGGGGCAUAACCCAACUGGGCUAGAAUCCUUUGAACAGGAGGCAGCAGCAGCAGCCGAACCCCGUGUUAAAGCAUGUCGGUAAAAAAGACGACUUCUCCGUCCUCGGGAUUGCUCAACGAUUCGGUAGCCCAGGAAUUCUUCAUUUCACCAAAUCUGGUAUCAAAUAUUCGGCACGGUACUUAGCCAGCUCUUGUUCGGUUACUUUGUUUGGCUCAAUGUAGUCAACACCAAACAAAUGCUCCUUCGGCUGCCCUAAAGGAAUCCGAGGGUUACCCCGGUGAACUAUGGUGACAACCGGCUGACUUGAGGAUUAGGCAGCAGCAUACCCACGGCCAGACGUGGACGUCUCCGAUUGAUAACUAGCAUGGUGUUCCGGUGCCCGAGUAUCACUCAUCAGGAACUCACAGUACUGGCUGGCACUGGCACUUUAGGCGUUGUACGACACCAUGGCCAACGGCACCGGUUGCCCUGUUAUAAGCCUUUUCCCUCUGGCAUGGGUGGGAACAGGGCCCACUCUCUCACCGACAACCUCGAUUUCGGUAUCUUCACUAUCGGCACUAUCAAAACUCAGCCUCAUUAUUGGUACGCUGCUAAUCGUCCGAUGACUCUCCAUUGAACGCGUUGGGUUCACUACGGUAUCUGGACUCGUUAUCGAACAUCUACAAGUAAAAGGAAAAGAAACUAAAUGUCAUGCGCGAAAUUAAACUACUGAUGCCUACAGUCGACACUACCUACGGCAACUAGACUACUGAACGCAAUUCAUGACAUGCAAAUAGUCUAGUGCUUGCCAAAGGAGUACGAUAAAUCGAAAAGGGAGAUAUAAGGACUGAAGUACCUUGUUUUCUAUACCGAACGUGAUCAUCGGAAAUCUCCUAAAUUGUCGAAUGUGAUCGCUGAAAAUCGCCUAUCAUAGAGCUCUCAAAAUCUCUUUCACAACACAAGUGACUCUUUUCUUCGGAGUCACCUCUAUUUAUAGGUGAAGGAACUCAACGGUACACCUCGAAAAACCAAACGGCGCCAUUAAUACCCUGUUCUGCUUGCACGUUUCGACACGUGGCAUCAACCAGGAGGACGACCUCUUGCACGCAAGGCAUAGAAAACUAGACACUGCCCGCGCCAGACGAUCUCGCUUCCCCAUGAAGCAUGCUACCCGCAAACUCCCGAAGGGUUACCACACGGGAAAUUGCCGAAAGAAUCGAGCUGGUGCCGAAAGGCUUGGUGAGACCAGGUGACCUUUGGGCUACCCACAUCUCAUAGAAUCCAAGGAUUGUGCCUCUCCAAAAAACGCACUUAGCUCCACUACUCCACAAAGCAUACAGAAUAGUAACAUUCCCCCAGCGGCAGCCCACUAUCAUCGAGGGAUUAAGCAAGUCCUAAUUGAGAAGCUCUCUCACUUAGAGACUUGGGGGACUCCUGUUUGUAAAAGAAUCAGCGACCAAUAAUAGCCAGACACGUGGAUAAAACAUGGCUUCGGCGGGAAGCCCUCGGCACCCAGACCUGCCGACCACGUUCUUGAAGCGCAAAUCACCUACUAGAUACGUGGAGCAUCCACAGUGAUUGUCAACAGUCCCACAUCGAAAUUCUACACAACUUGCACACCUUCCCAGGUUUACAAAAAGGGGCACAAGUCCCAAAAUAGAGGUAAUCUGAACUUUCUACAUACAACCUCUAGAUCUGUUCAAUUCUCUUACUAAAUCCGUACUUACUUAAGUAUCGGAGAGCCUUCGGCCGAUAUCACACUGGUGCCCUAAGACUUACCAAGCGGACCCUUGUUUUGCAAAUUCACACUCGGUCGAGGCCCAGGACGUCUCAAAGGCCCAAACAUCACUAAAUUGAACCCAAAAAGUAUUGAACCAUUUUUUCGCAUCAACAGUUUAAUUUCAACAAUUAGUUGUCAUUGUAAACUUUAGCGACUUAAGUGGAUUAUGAUCCAUAUAAAACAAAUGACCAUCCAUAUUGCCUAUUGCCUUUGAUCUACUAUUGGCUGGCGCGGGUAACCUUUUGCAUCACAUUUGCUUAAUUUAUGUGCAUAAUUUGGCUAUUUAGAAUUGUUUGGCUGGAUAUGUGUGAUUAUGUUGUGGACCUGUGGAUUGAGAAAAAAACUGAUUUAAAUAUCAGUAUGUCAUUGUUUUAUUAUUUUUACUGUAAAAAAUAUUAAUUACAAAAACAAAAAACUUUAAAAAAGAAAAAAUCAAUCCAACCAAAAGACGCUUUUGGAAUCCAUUCGUCUAAAAAUAUCCUCUCCGAACCCAAAAUCUUCCUUCCCCUUAUGCCAAGAGACCAAGAAUCAAACGUGGGCUCAUCAGCUAUAGCACUCUUCCUAGUCCCUCAUGUGCCCUCGAUUGCUCGUCUGCUGUCGGCGGUCAGUUACUGUUCUGUAGCAGCGACGUCGUCUAUCAGGUACUGUUCUCGCCCCUGGAACUGAGUCGUUAAAUCUUUCGUUCCAGAUCGAUACCGUACCGCGAUUGGGUACGCUCAAUCCUGAUCGAAAUUCGUAGGGGGUGAGCGAAUUAGGCAACUAUGAUUUGAAAUCUAUCUUGGAUUCUUCUGCAGAAUAAUUGUUUUGCAUUUUCUCAUGUUUCCUUCUCUAAUGGGUUUUGGGUGUUAAAAGAGUAGCAUAUUCUCCUUUUGCAGAGUGAAAUGUGCAAAAGAAUAGGAAGUUGAUGGCAGCAGCAGAAGCAAGGGCUGUGUGGCAGAGAACAGCUAAUCGUUGUUUUGUUCAAUAAGAUGCCAAAAGAGCUCCCAAAUUAGCUUGCUGCCAAUCCUCAUCUUCAACAACUAAGCAGGUUGAUGCAGGGCCUGCACUGUAGCAAAAGGGCCAGAUCAUCCUGCUGCUGGCUUCAUGCCUCUUAAUAGGAAUCCUUCAUUGUUGCGCUUCAUCUCUUUGGCGCUCAGAGAAUGCAGGCUUCUGGCGUAGUGCAAGAUCACAGAGUGACAGUGAUCAAUAUUGGAUCACCAUGAGUAUAAGAUGGCCGAGGCUUCUAACACCCACGCACCUCUCUCAGAUUAUACGAAAGCAGAAAAACCCAUUAACAGCUCUCCAAAUUUUCAGUGAAGCUAAAUGCAAAUACCCCAAUUACCGUCACAACGGUCCAGUUUAUGCCAACAUGAUCAGCAUACUCGGAAACUCAGGCCGAAUCAAUGAGAUGAAGGAAGUAAUUAAUGAGAUGAAAAACGACUCCUGUGAAUGCAAAGAUUCAGUUUUUGUUUCUGUAAUUAAGACCUAUGCAAGAGCUGGGUUGCUGGACGAGGCAGUGUCUCUUUUCAAGAACAUUUCACAGUUCAACUGUGUGAAUUGGACGCAGUCUUUCAAUACCCUUUUGGAGAUUAUGGUAAAAGAGUCCAAGCUUGAAGCAGCUCAUCGUAUUUUCAUGGAGCAUUGUUGUGGAUGGGAAGUGAGCUCUCGGGUUCCGUCCUUGAAUUUGCUUAUGCUUGCUUUGUGCCAAAAGGGUCGUUCAGAUAUUGCACUGCAAGUUUUCCAAGAGAUGGAUUAUCAAAGUUGCAAUCCGGAUAGGGAAAGUUACCGGAUACUAAUGAGAGGGUUGUGUGAAGAUAAGAGGCUGAACGAGGCAACCCAUUUGUUGUAUUCAAUGUUUUGGAGGAUUUCUCAGAAGGGUUGUGGUGAAGAUGUUGUGAUUUACAGAACCUUGUUAGAUGCCUUGUGUGAUAAUGGGCAGGUUGAAGAUGCUGUGGAGAUUCUUGGUAAGAUAUUAAGGAAGGGGCUCAAGGCCCCUAAGCGGUUUCGCCACAAUCUUGAUCUCAGCCAUUAUGGUAAUGGCGAAGACACGGAAGGCAUUAAGCGUUUGAUCAAUGAAGCUCUGGUCAGAGGUGGGAUACCCAGUUUGGCUAGUUACAGUGCUAUGGCAAUCGAUCUCUAUGAUGAAAAUAAGGUUGGUGAGGCUGACAGAGUACUGAAAGAAAUGCAAGACAGAGGCUUUAGGCCAACAGCUUUGGUCUUUGAAGCAAAGGCAGCCGCAUUGUGUAGGGAAAGGAAAGUUGUUGAAGCAGUGGAGGUGAUUGAAAAGGAGAUGGUGGAGGCAAACUGUGUUCCAACUGUAAGAGUGUAUAGUGUUGUGGUAAGAGGCCUUUGUAGCGAAGGGCAGUCUGUUUUGGCCAUUUUGUAUCUGAAGAAGAUGGAAAAGCAGGUGGGUUGUGUUGCAGACAAGAAAACGUAUGGCAUUUUGGUCGAUGGGCUUUGUGGGGAGAGUAGAUUUCUUGAAGCAAGCAGAGUAUUGCAGGAGAUGUUGAUCAAGUCACAUUGGCCUUGUGCUGAGACUUACAAUAGAGUUAUUACUGGCCUUUGCUCAGUGGGAAAGCAAUAUGAAGCUGUUAUGUGGUUGGAGGAGAUGACAAGUCGGGCUAUGCUACCGGAAUAUUCUGUAUGGAGCUCAUUGGUGGCAUCUGUGUGUUGUAACAUGGCCAACAUUGAGGUUUGCUCCGACGCCUAUAAGAGGCUAAAGAGUUCUUGAUUUCUGUGCAGUUAGACCAGUUGAAAAUGGUUAACAUGCUUUGUACACUUUUUGCCCCCUCUUAUUUAUGCAUUUUUCAUCAUUUGGGUAUAAAAAAUUUCAUAUUUAAAUAGUUGAGUACACCAAAAUUUAUAACGAAAACCAUGUCACUUUUUCAAUUGAAGUGUCCAUAUUUUUGGGUAGCAUUGUAAGGGUUCAUUUCAUUUCAUUCAAUUAGCUUUCCUACUAUCCUCCCCAAAUUUGUUAGGUGUCUUUCUAUCUUUUUCUUCUUCUUUUUUUAAUGUAAAUUUAUCCCUCCAUUUCAUUGAAGCCAAACGUACAAGCAAAAGCCCAAAAGUAAAUAAAGCAGAAUAUCAGGUUUGUUCACACUUGAGCCUUUCUAAAGAAAACCAAAUGAGAUCAGUAUACAGUAUACUGUUGCCUUUUUUUCUUUUCGGAUGAGGUUAUACUGUUGCCUUUCUUUUUUCCAUUUGGCUUAUUUAUGUACAUGCCCUCUGUGCUUUCAAAGUUGUCUCAGAUUACUACAUGCUCUUUGAAACAUCUCAAAAUACCACAUACACUUUUAAUAAUUGUCUCAUGUUACUUAUUCCAUCAGUAUUAGAGACAUUCCGUUACGUGAUGCGGCCCCCACUUCUUGGGGCAUGCGUUUGCUUCUAGUCUUCUUUCCAGAAGACAACGGCACAUCCAUUGUUGACAAAAGUAACAAGCUUUUCUCUUCUUCAUCCUCCUCUUCCCCAUCUCCUUCCUCUUCUUCUUCUUCUUCAUAAAAAACAUGCACAAUUUUCAGACGAACCAAUUCUAAUAAUCUCCUUCUGUCCAAAGCCCAAUCCACAAUUUCCAUCUGUGCCCUUUUGGUCUUCAUCACCCUCCUCCUCUUCACCCUCUCAACCUUUGAACCCACAACCAAGCCUCACCCACUCAUCACAACAGCCUCCAAAAGAUUUGUCUCUCAAAAAUCUCCACCCACCACCAACAUAGGCCCCAAAUUACUCACUAAACCCAUCAUGUAACGGAACGUCUUUUAAUACUGACGGAAUAGGUAACGCGAGACAGUUAUUGAAAGUAUAUGUGGUAUUUUGAGACAUUUCAAAAAACAUGUGGUAAUCUGAGACAACUUUGAAAGCACAAAGGACAUAUACAUAAAUAAGCCUUUUCAUUUUAGUAACUUUACAAAAAAGAUAAAAUUAUAAUAAUUAUUUUUCUUUUACCAAACAAACGCAUUUUAUUAGAUCAAUUGAAAAAGUACAUAGAGAGCCAUAGCUUCCCAGUGACUAGAGUCAGCUCUAGAGCUGAAACAAUCUUGAGAGAAUAAAUCGCAAAGAACUUGUCUAAAAACUCCUAUGUACCAUCUAAGUUGUCCUAGAUCAAGUCAGUUACAUCAAGGACAAAAAAAAUAGAUGAAUCGGAAACCGUUUCGACAUCUAAUUGUGUCCUACAAAAUCAAUAAAUACGGUACUUCAAUAAAGUACUAAAAUUUCAAUAAUUCAAUUGAAUGGUCAAAUGAUAUCGGAUUCAAAUGAAUUUUUGUAGAGAUGAUCUUUGAAUGAAUAUCUACAAAAUAGAAGGUUUAGAUUAGUGAAAUACAAUACAUAGUGGGCCCAAUAGGGGUGUCCCUCAAAUAACUUAUUUGAGGGAUCUCUUAACUGAAGCUCUCUGUAUAUAUAGAAUUUAUAUAUAUAAAUUCUUCUAUGCAGACGUUCGGACAUUAUUAUCAUGCGAAGGACAUGAAUUUUCUACUACCCACUCUGCUUUCCUCCCUAUUUAAAAUGACGUACACGAUAAUAACGAACGAACAUUUGAAUGAGAGAAUAACUAUAUAUAUAUAUAUAUACUCAAAGAGUAUAGUUGCGCAGCUAUACUAUUUAAUUAAAAAAAUUAAUAAAAAAAACAACCCUUCUAUUUGCAUUAGUUUAUACUUUAUAGAUAUUAAUUUGCUAGUUUCAAUAUUUAUACUUUAUAGAUUUAAAUUUGUUUUUAAAACUAAGUGUAUUAAAUAUGAAAAAUACAUAUGUACGUGUACAAUACAAGUAUUAAAUGUGAAAUGCUAAAUUCUUUAUACGGGUAAUAACUCUGGAAAAGUAAAAACUCAAAAGUAAUGGAUAAUGCUCUAAAACUAUCGAUAAACAAAAAUUGAGAAAAAAUAAUUUUUUUUUAAAAGAUCACAAUAUCUAAUGUAAAGAGUAUAGCCACGCGGCUAUACUAGUAAAAAAACAAAAUUUUAAAACGACCCCAAUACAGCCAAGCAGCUAUACUCUUUUUUUUAAAUAAUAAAAAAUCCUAAAUAUAGCCGCGAGUCUAUAAUAUUUGUAUUUAAAAAAAUAAAAAAGGGACCCGCCUAGCGCCUAGCACACAACUAGCGAUUCAGAGCCACGUUUCAGAAACGUAUAGUCAAGGGGCUAUACUUUUUUAUAAUAAAAAAAACUAUAGUAUAGCUGCGCGGCUAUACCCGUUAAACAUAUUAUAUUUAAAAGGCGUAUAGCUACGCGAAUAUACUAUUUAUUCAAAAAAUUUAUAAAAAUAAAAAGGACCCUUCUAUUUGCAUGAGUUUAUACUUUAUAGAUAUUAAUUUGCUAGUUUCUAUAUAUAUAUAUAAUUUAUAGAUUUAAAUUUUUAAUAUAUAUUAUUUUUAUUCAAUACUAUGCAAAAAUUAUGUGUAUAAUACGUGAAUUUUGUGUGUAUUAUUGAAAAUUUUGUAAAAAAUCAAGUGUAUUAAAUGUGAAAAAUACAUAUGUACAUGUACAAUACGAGUAUUAAACAUGAAAAUUCUAAAUUCUUGAUACAGGUAAUAACUUUGAAAAAGUAAAAACUUAAAAGGGGACAAUAGAGACUCGGAAAAUGGCCUAAUAGUAAUGAAUAAUGCUCUAAACUAUCUAUAAACAAAAAUCAGGAAAAAACAAUUUUAAAAAAAAAUCACAAUAUCUAUAGCAGCACGGCUAUUUUAUUUGUUAAAAAAAUUAAAAAAAAAACCGACCCUAGUAAAGCCGCUCAGCUAUACUUUUUUAUUUAGUAAAAAUCCUGCAUAUAGCUUGACGGCUAUACUAUUUGUAAAAAAAUAAAAAUAAUAAAAAGAGGACCCACCUAGCGCUUAGCGCCCAACUAGCGAUUCGGCACCACAUGUCAAACAAGUAUAGUUGGGCAACUAUACUUUUUAAGCAUAUGAUAUUUAAAAGGCGUAUAGCCGCUCAGCCAUACUAUUUAUAAAAAUUUAUUUUAAAAAAACUACAACAGUAAAGCCGGUCGGCUAUACUGUUUUUAAUUUUUAAAUUCCAUGUACAGCCGCUUGGCUAUACUAAAGGAACCAACCAGUGAUUUGGAGCCACAUGUCAAACACAUAUAGCCAAGCGGCUAUAUUAUUUUUUUACUAAAAAAUCGUAGUAUAGCUGAGCAGUUGUGCUCUUUAAGCAUAUUAUAUUUAAAAGGAGUAUCGCCUCGCAACUAUACUGUUUAUUUUUAAAAAUUAUAAAUAAAGGAUCCUUCUAUUUACAUUAGUUUAUACUUUUUGUAGAUAUUAAUUUGCUAGUUUUGGUAUAUAUACUUUAUAGAUUUAAAUUUUUUUUAGUAUAUAUUAAUUUUAUUCAAUACUAUUUAAAUGUAUAGUACGCGAAUUUUUUGUGUAUUAUUAAAACUUUUGUAAAAAACCAAGUGUAUUAAACAUGAAAAAUACGUACGUUAGUGUACAAUAUGAGUAUUAAACAUGAAAAUGCUAAAUUCUUUAUAUGGGUAAUAAAUCUGGAAAAGUGAAAACUUAAAAGGGGACAAUAAAGACUUGGGUAUUGACCUAGUAGUAAUAGAUAAUGCUCUAAACUAUCGAUAAACAAAAUUUGGGAAAAACAAUUUUAAAAAAAGAUCACAUGAUCUAUGCAAAGAGUAUCGCCCAACAGCUAUACUAUUUAUUAAAAAAAUUGAUAAUUAAAAAAAAAAAAAGACCUAGUAAAGCCACUCGGCUAUACCAUUUGUUUUAUUUUAAAAAAAACCAGCCUAGGAGCCAGCAGCCAACUAACAUGUGGGAGUCACGUGUCAAGCCGUAUAGCUGCGCGGCUAUACGAUUUAUUUAAAAAACCGCAGUACAGCCGCAUGGCUAUAUGCUCUAAGCAUAUUAUAUUUAAAAGGCAUAUCGCCGCCUGGCUAUACUAUUUGUUUAAAAAAAAUUAUUAAAAAAAAUACCCGUCUAUUUGCAUUAGUUUAUAUUUUAUAGAUAUUAAUUAUUUAAAUAAAAAAAAAAAAAGAAGAACCCUUCUAUUUGCUAGUUUCGAUAUAUAUACUCUUUAAAUAUAUUAUAUUUAAAAACUAUAGCCACGAGGCUAUACUAUUUAUUUUCAAAAAAAUUAAAAAAGGCCCAAGUAUAGCCGCGCGGCUUAAUCUUUAAAUUAUUUGAAAAACAUAUAGCCGCUCGGUUAUACUAUUUAUUUAAAAAUUCAAAAGGGCCAAAGUAUAGCCGCUAUACUAUUUAUUUACAAAAAUUAGAAAAGGACCAAGUAUAGCCGCGCGGCUAUACUAUUUUCUUUAAAUAUAUUAUAUUUGACAAGUAUAGCCUCGCGGCUAUACUAUUUAUUUACAGAAACUAUUUGUUUAAAAAAACCCCAAGUAUAGCCGCGCGGCGAUACUAUUGUUUAUAUAAAAAAUUAAAUAACAAAACCUCACAGUAUAGAUUGCAUCUUUCUUCUUCCAUGGCAUUGGCCUAGAACAUCAAACCCACUAUUUCCUUGUCCCCCUCAAGUAAGAAGUGAUCUUAACCUCUCAUAUUCUUUCAUAGUUAGUAAAAUAUGGAACGGUAAAAAUAUAAAAUAAAAUACGGAUGUGUUUUAUUUGUCAAAAUUUUGACAAGUUACAAAUGAAAAGUUUGGUCAUUAUAUAAUAUUGAAAUAUAUAUUAUUUUUAUUCAAUAAUAUGUCAAAAUUAUGUGUAUAAUACGUUAAUUUUGUUUGUAUUUAUGAAAAUUUUGUAAUAAAACACGUGUAUCAAACAUGAAAAACACAAACACACGUGUAUAGUUUGUUUGCUUUUUAAAAAAUGUGUAUUUUACAGAGUCUUUAAGGCGUGUACGAAAAAUGGAAGUAUUAUGAAAAAAGACGUACAUACGUGUAUAAUACGAGUAUUAAAAGGGAAAACGCAAAAUUCUUUAUACGGGUAAUAACUCUGGAAAAGGAAAAAGAUCAAAAAGGGACAAUAGAGACUCGGGUAAUGGCCUAAUAGUAAUGGAUAAUAUUCUAAACUACUCUUAUCGAUAAACAAAAAUCAGGGAAAACAUUUUUUUUAUUUUUUAUUUUAAGGAUUUUUAGCCGUUUUACCCCUUGAAUUAUGGCCCUUGUAGAAAUUAACCCUCUAAACUAAAAAAUCAACCAAUUUAGUCUCUAAACAAAAAAAAAUAUAGCCAAUUUCAUCCAUACCGUUAGAUUUUUUCACAUUUCAUCCACAGUUCUGCAUAUCACGUAAGGCGUACGUGGAACUAAAGUAUAGGGCAAUUUCGACCUUCAAGAUGUGGAUCCAAGUUGGACCUACCACCAGCCUCCUCCCUUAAAGCAUUAUUUUAUGAAAUGAGUUCUAUUUUUUGGACUAAUAUAUAUAGUCCCUUUCUAUUGACUCGAGCCAACUUUAGGGAACAACAUAACCUACAAAAGAUGAAACGAGAAACAAGUCAAGUUCAAAUAAAGUAUGUAAUUGCAUAGAAAUUCAUAAAACCAAAUAUUCAUGGAUGCAUGAUAUAUAUUGGUAGUGUGUACAUGUCGGGUUUCUACCGUCUAUCCCUCCUAGGGACGAAGCCACACUGGGACCAGUGUGGUCCUAGGCCCCCACUCAAGUUUUUUGUUAUUUUAAAAGUAAUAUACUGUCAUGUAUUUCUAGAUGUAUAUUAUUUCAAAUACUUUGCGUUUCGAUAUGCACCCACAAGUGUUGUGGCAAACCUAUUAAGGCACAACGAGGUGCUUCAAAUUGCUCAUUUGCUCAGCUGGUGGUCGUGCACUCCACGUGUACAGAUGACCUUAUUUUUAUUUUGAGUAUUUAAGUAAAUGUCUUUGUCCUUGUCCUUUCAUUUAUUUUUAUAUUACUCCAUUUACUUAAGUUUACAAUGUAAAUAAGGAAGUACCCCCUAUUUGGAUUCAAAUAAAAAUACUAGAAAAUCAAAUUCCCACCAAAUCAAAAUAUGAAAAAUCGGUUUUAGUGCAAAGUACGAUUUAGGCUAAAAAUGAUGGCUCAUUAAGUCAAUAUAUACUUCAUACUAAUCCCAUAAAAUUAAGUUUUCUUAUUUGAUGUGUAAGGAAUGAAAGCCGGCAAAAAUUAUCUUGAGAAAAUGAUUAUUCCGUAAAAUCAUUUUUCAUACUUAGUCAAUAUUUUUACAUAAAACAUUUUUUCAUGUAUGAUAUGAAUGCAUAAAGGGACCUAAAGUUUUUUUUUUUUAGUUUGUGAAAUUUUAUUUCUUUUCUUUCUAUUGGGUUUAAUGGGGGAAAAAGCUUUAAAGAUAUUUGCUAAAUCGCUACUUUUGUCUAUAUAUAUAUAUAUACUAUUUUUUGUAUGUAUUGUGAGUUCAAAUUUUUGAUUCUUUAUAAUUUGUAAGAGACCCCCACACACAUGAAAUCCUGACUUCACCACUUAUCCCUCCCAUACCAUUUGAGUUGGCUAUAUAUAGCUAGUUAAUGAUGUUCAUGUCACUUUGAUUAUCAAUUUCUAGUAGUUAUUCCAACUUGUAGAAAUUUGAAAAAUAUAUUUAUAAUUUUUAAGUUAUUCUUCAAGAGUUAUACUUGCAAAACAAAAUCAUCUAAACUCGAAGUUGUUUGAUCAUUUAAUAUAUGCAACAACAAAAAAACAGAUUUUGUUAAAAAAUUAAAACAAAAAUGUGGACAAUCAAAUCGCUAAAAUUUUUUGAAUUCAACUGAUUUUUUCUGUGAAUAAUCCAAGAAAGAAAAUGUCAAACCUGAACGAUUCUGAUAAUUAGUUUAUAAUCUAGAAAUAAGAUGCCCUUAGACUAGACAUCAUGGUUACUAUAGAAAGCCUCAACCUAUAUAAAUAUACAUAUAUAUUAUAUAUAUAUAUACUAAAAAAUAAAAUAAAAUAAAAUAAAAAGGUGACGAAGGCAGGCUAGACUGAUGGUACGUAGGACUAGUAGUAAUGAUAUUGGGAACAAGGUUGCAGUGGAGGCGGCAAGGAGGUAGCGGUUGGGUGAUAAUGGUGUUCCUGGUGCUGGUGGUUGUGAUUUGGGAUUCUUUUUGUUUUUAAAAAAAAUGUUUUUAUUUUAUAUAAGUGAUAUUUUACUUUAAACUAAUCUAAAUUACGGGAAGAGGGAUUUGAACUCUGGUGCAAAGUGGGGAGCACAUCCGCUCUGCCCAACUUGGUUGAAGGUUGCUAGUUUGUUAAGAAAACAUAUAGGUCUAACAUAUCCCAAGCAUAAUAACUCUCGUGAAUUCUUAACGGCGUAACAUCCUCCAGGAAACGGAACGGUAGUGAGGCUCCCCGACAGGAGCUGAACGGUAUUUCAAUAAGAGAUGAACAUUAGCCAAAUACGCCCAAACACAAGCCCAUGUCUGCGUUUUGUCGUUGUUAUGUGUUGCAAUUUUUUUUUUUUUUUUAUAGUUGUAAUAAGUGCAUCAAUUCUUUUUGAGUUUCUUACGUGGUUUUAAUAUCUAAUUUUAGAUUUUAUUUGUGACAGUUUAAAGGUUGUAGUUGCAGUUAUAGUUUUGUGCGCUAAGAUCUCUGUGUAGUUGUCUCUAGGCUUGUGGCUUUUAUUCGAAAUUUCUUUGGUCAUGUAUGGUUAUGAGUGGAGAUACACAUUGUGCACUUGUUGAUACUGGUGGAUUCCUCCAUAUUUGGACUAACCCUUUUGUGGUUACAGUACUUCCAUAUUUGUAUUAACCUUAUGUGGCUAUUUGUAUUGGCCCUUGCAAAUGACAAUCUUGAUGCCUAAAUUAUGAAUGCAAUAUAUCACAUUUUUCUAAAUAUUUUUAUUUAAAAAAACCUUGAAAUAAUAAAGACAUUUAUUUUAGGAGUUUCAAUAUUCUAAUAUCUGUAUAAAUUAAUCCAAAUUAUUUUUCUCCACUAGAACAAUCAAUUGGAGAAUGGCUCAAUAAUUAAAAAAAAAUAAUUUCAACAAUGUAUAUCAAAUUGACAUGUUUUUAAUCAAACAUUAUGAUUUUGUUUGGUUCAUGAAAAUUUGAGCUUAUAAAUGAGAAAUUAUAUUUCGUGAAUCCAAACAUGGGAAAUAGUUCACGACACAUGCGAAAAUAACGGUGAAAAUGGAACCUUACACCGCCCUUGAAUUUCAUUUUCGGGUUAAUGACUUAAAUGGUCCCUCAACUAUCGCUCCAGUAUCAUUUUGGUCUGUCAACUAAAAUUUUCAAUUCAAACGUCCUUAAACUUUUUAUUUUGUACCAAAAUCGUUAUUCCGUCAAAGUCUGUGUAUUAUUCCGUUAAAUCGAGGGACAAAACCGUAUUUUUAGGUGAGUAUCCUAUUCUAAAACGACCAAGCCACUGUAGUAUCGCAUUCCCUUCCAUUUCUGUUAGAAGCUCCACUAAAACCCCCAAAUUAGAACCCUAGGUUUGCAAUGUCGGAGAUUUCAACGUCAGAGAUUUUAACGACAUCAAGUGGGACGAGUCGGUACUGCGCCUGUGGGACGAAGAUAAUUCUUCGGACUUCAUGGACAGAUUUGAACCUAGGAAGAAGGUUCGAUGCUUGUGAUAAAAAUUAGGUAAGUUAUUAUUUGGGUUGCAAAAGUUGUUCUUUUCCAUUUGUAAUUGCUUGAUGAGGUCUGAAAUUGGGUAAGAUUUGAUUUGCCAGAAUAGCAGAAGAGGUGUGCAUUAUUUCGAAUGGGUGGAUAAUGAAACUUGUCCAAGAGGAAAACAAGUGGUCCCUGGUUUGCUUAGAAGACUUAGAGCAAUGGAGGAGGAAGGUAGAGCAAAGGAAGAACAAUUCAGAGCUGUGGAAGCAAAAAAGAAAGAACUGUAGCAGAAAUUGAAAGAAAUGGUUCUCAGGAAAAAAAGGUUUUGGAAUGGGGUCAUGGGCAAAGACAAUUGAUAAUGUGGGUUUCCUUGAUUUUGUCUUGGGAUUUGUUUAUAACAUUUCUGAUGAUUGGGAAGUUGUAAUUGUUAUGGGGUUUGUUCCUUUUGAAUGUAAUGGUUCUAAAAUGUGCAUUACUGUUUUGAAAUGUGCAUUAGUGUUCUGAAAUGUUCUUGAAUUGAGGUUAUUUGAAUAUCUAGGAGAUGCCAUUCCAUUGAGUACAACAAAGUAAAAGCCAUUCCAUUGUUGACCACACAGGCAAUUUACAAAAUAAACAUCCAUAUAAACAUUCAAAUUUCAAUUACAGAGUUUGAUCUCAUGAAACUAAAAACCAGUUAGACCAAUUACAGAAUUCCAAUUACAAAAUGCACCUGCCUAGCAAAGUACAUAAGCCAAAACAGACAACCAAUUACACAGUUUGAGCUGUUCUAGCUCAAAACCAAUUACACAAAGUACACAAAAUCCUCCUGCCCAAAAAAGUACCUAACCUAAAAUAGCCAAGCAAUUACAGAGUUUUAGCCCUUCAAACUCAAAACCAAUUACACAGUCAAAAGUCAAAAUCAGUCCUUUUUGUCAGAAAAUCCCUCUGGCCAGAAAAUUACAUAUCCCAAAAUACACAAAAUAGGACAACUUUAGCAAUAAUUUCCCCUAUAUUGAGGCCAUGUUAUUAUCAUAGGAAAUGUUGUCCAAAGCUGGUCCUCCUUGUCCCUUUCCUCUUGCCACCUAAACAAUGUAGUAAUGUCAGGUGUAUAACAGUUGAAAAAUUGGCAAUUAGUGAAAUGAGUAAGAAAUGAACCAAAUGACAAAAACCUACAGUUGAUCGUGAAGAUGGUAAGCCUCUUCCUCCACUUAUGCCUCUUCCUCUAAUUGCACUUAGCUUUAAAGAUGGUAAACCUCUUCCUAAGCCAAUAUGUAAAGAUGGUAAGACUCAUUGUCCAUUACCUCUUGUCACCUGGAAAAGUUACUGAUCUUUAUUGUUUUUCAAUGACAUAAGCAAUAAAAAAUUGAAAAAAAAUGAGAAAAUAAAGCUUACACAUUCUUGUGAAUUUGGGUAAACAGGGGCUUGAGCAAUAUUGCCUAUUCCUCUACUUAUGCCUCUGCCUCAUUCUCCAUUACCUCUUGCCAUCUUAAAAAAAUUAAAGAUUUCAGCUUCCUAAUGACUUUUGCAAUUUAAAACCACAAGAACAACUAAAGCUUACACUUUGUAGAGAAUUAAGGUCAGCAGUAGUUUGAGCAACAUUUCCUCUUCCUCUACUUAUGCCUCUCCCUCUACUUAUGCCUCUCCCUCUUACUGUGUUAGAAGAAGAACCUUACUCCAUUUGGGUUGAAGAUGCAUGAACCGGCAAAUGUAUAACAAAAUUAUUAAUGUAAGUAUGCCAUAACAUAGAACUAAACAAGGUGUCUAACAGUCAUACCUGUUGGGUUUCAUUGUUUUGUCUGUCACAUGUUGCUCUAUUAUGUCCUUUUUGACUGCAUCCAAGACAUCUUAUUUGAAUGAAAACCCUUCUAAGCUUGGCUGGUGGGGCAAUAUAAUUUGAAGGCAUAGGGUUUGGUGGGAUGGGGGCUGGUAUUUCAACCUCACCAGGCUCCUUCGUCCUAACUCUUUUAGGCCUACCCGGUUGUUGCUUAUAAAGUGGAGGUUUAAUUGGAGGAAGGCCACAUUUACUCCAUUGAUCCAUUGAAGGGAUUGGGUGAAUCAUUGGUUCAUAAGCCUUUAUAUAAGUCUCCAGCUUAUAACAAUCAUCCACAUAAGCAAUUGGGUUUUCACAUCUUUGAAAUAUUGCUGAGAUUGCAUGGGUACAUGGUAUUCCACAUAAAUUCCACCUCCUACAAGAGCAUGUCUUUGCUCUAAGGUCUACAACAAAUUCUCCACCAUAAAUAUGACUCACUUGAUACAAUUUCUCACCAGCCAAUCUAGGAAUGCAUUGUGAUGAACCUAGCUUGUUCUUCUCAAUUAUCUUGAAGAUCCUAGGCCCAACAGAGUAUCUCCAAUUUUGACAUGCAGACCUCCUACUAGCCAUCCUAAGCAUCACAUACACCCUUAUCCUUUCCAAGCAACUCAAAAUUGUCUUAUCCCUUGCAUCUAGUGUGGCUGCAUUGAAACUUUCACAUAGAUUAUUCAACAAAAGAUCACAUUUAAAAUGUGAUUCGAAAUAAGAUAUGCUCCAAUUUUUUGCAGGUCUCUUCUUCAACCACUUCCAUGCUUCCUCAUCCUUAUUUUUCAUCUUCUCCAUUUCUGCCUCCCACCAAGGCACAGUUGUAGCUCUUGCUGCAACCCAUAAUAUAUGUUUCAGAGCAAGACCAAUAUGUGAUGCCCUAAAGUUACUGUGCAGGUGUCUCACACACAUCCUGUGCUCUGCAGUUGGAAAUACUCUCUCAAUGACAGGUACAAGUCCCUUUUGUUUGUCACUAAUCACUACCCAAGCUUUUCCAUUUGUAAUCCCUAAAAUCUUCAAUAAGAAGAUUGAAAAACCAAAUUCAAGAGUCUUUACUCUCAAUAUCAACCACUGCAUAAGCUACUGGGAAAUAACCAUUAUUCCCAUCCACCCCAACAGCCGUCAAGAUUUGUCCAGGAUAAGGCCCUUUCAAAUGGCAGCCAUCAAAACCAAUAACAGGUCUGCAACCUUCUAAAAAUCCCUUCUUACAGGCAGCCAAUCACACAUAUAUCAUUUGAAACACUGUUUCACCCUUCACAAUCUGAGUUUUAAUCUUCACUGUACUACCCUUGUUUGCAGUUUUCAAUUCUUUUGUAUAAUCCCACAAUCUAGCAUAUUGUUCUUUGAAAGUACCUUCAUUUAAAUCUCUAGCUAGCCUCUUUGCCCUAUAGACUUGAAGUUUGGUGACAUUUAUUUUGUAAUCUUCCAACACAUCUUGUUGAAAUGAUUUCAGAUCGAAGUCUGAGUUGCGCUUCAUCUUGUUUGCAUAUCUGUGACAAAGCCAUUUUGAUGUAGUAUGCCUAAGCUUGUCCACUCUUCCACACUGAUGUUCUAGGCUCAAAGUUUUUAUAGCAAAUGUCCCUUCCUUUAUAUUAAUCUUUGAUCCAUAUACCUGGAAAGAACACCCUUUCACACAUUUAGCCUGAACUCGUAUGUUGUCGUUUUUUUUUCAAUUUCACUUCCCUACCCUCUAUAAUUGCAAGCUCUUUGAUAGCCUAUGUCAGUAGUUUUUUAUUUGCAAACUUCGUUCCCAAUAUAAACUCAGGAUUUUUCAAAUCCACAUCUCUUCUAUAUUGCUUAAACUUUGGCAGUUUUAUCUUUUUUCUACCAUUACCCUCAGAAUCAGUCUCAAUGCCACUGUCAAAUUCUGACGUGUCAGCACCAUCUGAUGACACCUCUCCUGGAGCACCAUGACUAGUCCUCUCACCUGCUAUAUUCUCUCCCACAGUUGGCCUAUCCUCUGCCUCAUUUUCACUGAACUCAUAAUCACUGUCUUUAAUUUCUGAAUCUGCAUCCUCAUCUUCAUUUGGCAAUUCUGCCCCUUCAUUAUCAAUAGUGAAAUGUGCCCCUAUAUCUUCAUUUGGUAAUUCUGCCCUUGCAUCUUCAUUUGGUACCUCUUUGACAGCAUUUUCAUUUGCCACUUUUGUCCCAACAUUCUCAAAAGUCUCCUCAUCUUCAACUUCAAUAUAAUCCACCUCGUUCACUUGGUAAUUCUGAGUCAAAUCCCCAUCACAAUUCUCUGCAUUUGCAUCAUACUCAUAGUCUUCAAUCUUACUAUAGUAUAACACAAUAACCUUAUUGGAUGAUAUUUGACCAAUCAUUUCAACCACUGUAGCAUCUGAUGUAACAAGCUCCAGCCCACCCUCAGGAUUUUUACACAUAAUUUCCAAAUGUUGCUCAACUUGAGAAAUGUCAACCUCAUACCCAAGACCUCUCCCAAUUUUCAGUAAAUCUAACAAGGACAGAAAAUCCUCUAUAAUAUCGUCCAAAUAACAGACCUUACCCUUCUUAUAAACCCCAUUUUCAAACCAGCCCCCAUGAUGUAAUUCUAGAGUGCACAUUCCAUUGUUAGCUGCAAAAUUGAAACAACAAUAUGUUAUUCUAAAGUCAUAGUUUUGUUGUUAAUGCUAACGACAACAAGGGCAACAAUUACUGAGUUGGGUGUGAACCAGACAACCAAGGGACCACAGUCGUUUAAAAAAAACACCAUAUUCAACAUACAGGAACCACAACCAAGGGACCACAGACAUAAAGCUUACACUCUACAGUAAAUGUAGCAAAAGCCAAAUCCACAUCCAUAUACAAGAAAACGAUUCCUUUACCUUUACUUUAAACAUAAAACAACCAAAAGCCAAACACAAACACAGAAAAAGGAAUCUUUAUAAAGAAACCAUAGUUCCAGACAAGGACAACUUAUCCAUUUCCAAACAAAAACAACAUAAAAUGCAUUAUAGAAGCCCUUACCGUAUUUGGGAGUCUUUCCACCCGAACGGAAUUCGUACUCCAUUAUCAGCAACUAGUGAAUUUCCCAAAAUCUCUAAAAUCCCCAAAAUCAAACCCUAACCCAAACUCCCAAAUUCGAACUCCAAAACUAACACUGAAAUUACACACUAACUUCACCAAUUCAAUGACUCACACACUACUACAGCAUCGACCAAUUCAGCAACUCGCAUUAGAAUCCCUUUCACUCGAUGGUAAUCUCGGGUAAUGAGAGGGCUUCUCAAAAAGUUGAGGUAUUUUGGAGGGAUUUUGGUUCUGAACGAUAGGGCUUCUCAAAAAGUCGUAUAUACCCUUCAAAACUCAGUCACGUGGCCAUCGCAUGAUCGAAAGUGAUAGACUCUAUCACGGAAGGACCAACUUGAUACAAAAUAAAAAGUUUAAGGACGUUUGAAUUGAAAAUUUUAGUUGAUGGACCAAAAUGAUACUGGAGCGAUAGUUGGAGGACCAUUUAGGUUAUUAGUGGGUCAAAAAGAGGAGAAAAUGUGAUUUAACCCAAUUUUGAAACCAAAACAAUUAAGUUACAUCGCGCCACCGCCACGCCGUUUGGUAAAGAGGACACAUCGGUCUUUUCACAAGAAUGCCACAAUUUCAAUUUCAAGCUCCCUCCUCAGUCCUCCUUCCACCCUCAACGCCCAUCCUUCUCUCCGAAAACCCCAAAAUCCCAAUUCAAUGGAGCAGCAGAAGCGCAUGGUGAGCAAGUGCCCGGAGAACGAAGAGCUCGCAGCGUACAUGCUACGCAAGUGGCAGGAAAUGGCCGAGCAAAAGCCUAAAGGCAUCUCCGAGAACAUCGAAAUGACUCUUUCUAAGGCUUACUCCAAUGUCUGCAACUCCAAGAACCCUAUUAAAACCCUUAAAGAGUUUUCCCAUAUCAAGUGAGUUUUAUAAGCUCUGUUUUGAUUUCUCAAGAAAGUUUGCAUUUAUAUUUAAUCAGGGUUUAAUUUUGGUCAUUCUUGGAAUGGAAGAUUGUCAAUUGUGAGGUUUAUAAUCUUAACCAAUUAAAGAAUUUUUAUUUAGUUUUAUGGACAAUUUAUGAUGCUGAAGUUAUAAUCUUGGUUUUAGUGGUUUUGAUCAUAUAUUUUGUUUAAUUUUGUUCACUCUGCCAAGGUAUAGUGAUUGAAGUUGAACUGUAAUUUUUUUUUUCACAGGAGCUUAUGUACUUUUGUGGAAUAAGAUAUCCUUGAGAUUAUGUAACUUCAGCUUAUUGUUAAUUUCUUGAUUUUAAAAAAUAUUUUAUUGAGAGUUUAUUGUUGAUAUGCCAAACAAGUCUUACCCAAGAAUUUUUUUGUUUUGUUUUGGUUACAGCAGUAUAAUCAAUGUGAAGUUUCCUCUGUUUGGCUGUGGAAAAAUUGUGGUUAAGACAAAAUUUCAUUCUUUUCUCUUACCCAGGGAUGGAUCCAGGAUUUUAAAAUUGACAGGGCUGGACUUACAUUAGGAACUAAUAUUUUUUUUCCAAAGUGAAAAAUUGUGGAAAUUUCAGUGAAGUCUAGUUUAUUUCUUUGAAAUUAUACGUUCCUAAAAAAAGUUCAAACAAUAUGAUGAAUUUCAUUUAAAAGCAGAAAUUAUAUACUCUAAAAACUAACUAUACCUAUUCUAUGCAUUUUACAUAACACUAUAAAAUCUUAGGUCCAUUUUGUAAUAUUCUUCGCGUCCAGGUUUUAGUUUUCUUAAUUACUUAAAAAUAGAAGUGACAGUGGGGAAAUGAAUGAAAAAGGGGGUAGAAUGGAUGAGAGGAGGGUGGGAAGAGCAAGAAAUUAAGGGACCUUUAAAAAAUAGAAACGUUUGCAUUGUUUGCAAGACGGCUAAUGUCACUGCAGCAAAUUUAGAAAAUGUGUUUAAUUUAUUUUAAGAUAAAAUUUUUGGCCAUAUUUUUUUUACAUGUAUAUUAGCAAGUUGGCAUUGCCUUGCUCUUGGAGAAAACUUUUCGGACAAAAAAUAAAGCAUGAUUAUUAUUAGUAUGUAAAACAGAGUAGAUAUGUGUAUGCGAUGAUAAUGUACUCCAUUUUUCCUGUCAACAAUAAUUUUGAAUUUCUCUGGGUGUAAGAAACUGCAAUAGAAAUAGAGAUUUCUACUGCAUUUACAAAAAUUUAGAAUGGGCUAUAGCCCGUACAUCCUUGCAUUUCUGUCUCCGUGCUUAUUCAUACCUUGUAGGGAGCUGAAAUAAUAAGAAUGGAAUGAGAAAAUUGAAUCUAAUUCAUAUCAUUUUCAGGAAGAGGUCUUCACAUUGGAAACUCAAAAAAUGAUAUCGAGUUAUUAUUACUUGUCUAGAAGAAUAAAAAAUGUCUUGAUUAUUUUGGAAGCUGUUUAGGGGUUUGCAAUUUCAUGAUUUAUUUUAUUGGAAUGACAUGCACCAUUCAUAUGUUGGUGCAGGGGUGUGGGGAAGUGGAUUCUGCGGCUUAUGCAAGGGUUUUUUGAGACCGGUUCAAGCAGUUCUGAACCAGAAGACUUAACAAAAAAGGGUACUUUUAAUAAUUCAUUAGCUUUACAUUCUCUGUACUUGAUUUAAUGUUAAAUUGAUUCGUUUUGCUGUCAAAUAUGCAUGUGUUUUAGGUAAGAGAAACAAAGGAAGCAGGCGCUAUCUUCCACAAAAGAAUUCUGUGGCAUAUGCAUUAUUGAUCACACUUUACAGGUAAACUGGAAUGUUAUUUAACUAAGCAAGCACUCACUCACAGCUUUAAUUGAAUGUGCUUUAUCAAAUUUUUGGAAGUUGGAGUUAAUGAUAAGCUUUUCAGGGGAACUGAAAAUGGGAAUGAAUUUAUGCGUAAACAGGAGCUUAUUGAUGCAGCUGAAGCAAGUGGACUUUCUCGUGUGCCAAUUAUGUAUGUUGUGAUUCAUUAUAUCAGUUCCGCAAAUUUCUGUCAUUUGUGUUUAAUUGUGAUGUUCUGAGACCUGGUUUUUUCUUAGGCCAGAGAAGGGAAAGGGAAAACUUGGACACUUUGCGAGUUCUGCAAAGGAAUGGUAUAGUGGAUGGUCCUGCAUGACAACAUUGAUAACCAAGGGACUGGCUGUGAAAUCAAGUUGCCCCGCAAAGUAUGGCUUUUUUCUUCUUCUUCAUUUAUAUUUAUUUGGUUUUACUUUAUGCUAACAAGGAACUAUUUAAGUAUCUUAUAUUGUUUUUCUUCCUCAAAACUUGUAAAUUUGAAUGGCAAAAUCUCUAGCCUUAUGCACUUUUUACAAUUUUACGUGGAAAUGUUUCGAUUGUUUCAGGAGUAAUAAAUAAAUCAAAGUGUCUUUAUGAAAGUUGAAUUGCUUACAAAAUCAUUCCCCAUUAAGAAAAUACAGUAGGAAAGGUAUACUUUGAUGUGAAUGAUGAUUCACAAGUAGACUAUGAUGUGGAAUUUAUUAGAAUCAUUGAUGAGUUGUAGUACUUAAUUCUUGCCAUUUAAUAGAAGAAUGUCUUGUCCAUUGGCACAUGGGCAAAUAUUUUCUUUUUAGGUAAAUAACAUUUGAUAAGUGGCUUUAGCUAAUAUAUGAAUGCCAGCUCUGGAACCUUGUUUGUGAUAUGGUUAGUUUCAAUAUGAGUUUGUACUUGUCUGUACCAAAUUCUGCGAAAUCAAGUAUUACAUCAAGCAGUUCCUGGAAGUUGUCAAGUUUCACUUUGAUUGCAUUUGCACAUUAACAGAUGUGUAAUGCAUGCCGACACUGUAGGUACAUGCUUACUGAAGAAGGUAAGGAAGCUGCACGUGAAUGUCUCAUGAGGUCUGGUUUGGCAGAGCCUAUAGAACAAUCUGCUAAUGCCAAAGGGCCUUCUGUUCUGAAUGUGGACAAUAUUUCACAUCAGGGACUUGCUCAUCCGGGCUCAGCCACAGAGGUGACAUUGUUGCCCACUAAUCUAAGUAGGCAGGAGAAACCGUUUGAUAUUCCACGGGAAUACCUUGACAAGGUACAUAUCUAGCUAGCUUUUAAUGUUUAUCUUGAAUUGUGGACUGGGAACAAUAAUCAGUUGAUUUUUAUAUUAUUUUCUGAACACACUCCUUUCCAAGGUUAAGCAUAUUAAUUAAAGUGUGUGGUCUUAGUUGCUCAGUUCAGCUGAUACCAACCCUUUAAUAUGAGUUUUCUUUCUCCCUCAAUAUCCAGUCAUGCCAUGGGCUGUGGUUCGCACUUGAUUAUAAAUUGAUAUUGAUAUUGGAUUUGAAAGAGGAGAUUUUGUUCUGGUCAUCUACAUCCUGGAUGGAGUUUUAUUUUUACGUUGUUUGCCUAUCUUUCAGAUUGUCAAUCAAAUGAAUAUUUUGUUGCAGAAAAACAAAGUUAAUAAGACACACCCCUCUCCCUCCCCCCCCCGAUGUUCUUGUGUAUUUGUUCUUAGUGGAUGCCUUUUAUUUCUAUAUUUCUAUAUGUUCAUCUUUUAACCAUCUAAUUUCAUAGACAUCUUUGUGGGAAUAUUUUCAGUUGAAUUACGAAUAAACAUAAACAACUUAUUUCUAGGGGUGGGAAUAAUAUUAAUGAGACCGAAAAUUGUCUGCCUGACUCGACCUACCCGAGUUGGCUUCCUUUAUCUUUGUUAACAGGGUUCAGGGCUGGGGUUCCAUAACCAUUUUUGUGAAAUUGUGGAAGUCGACCCUAUUUUUUUAUUUCUCAAAAAAGGUUUUUCUAUGUGUUGUCAUCUUAUUUGAUGUCUCUAGACUUGCUGCGGAACCGAAGCCAACCAAAUAUGGUUUUCACCUGAGCCAACCAACCUAGGGGCCCCAAACAUUGCUCAUCCACAUCUGAGGGGUUUCCACCUGAGCCAACCAACCUAGGGGCCCCAGACAUUGCUCAUCCACAUCUGAGGGGUUUCCACCUAAUGCUUAGGAAAAUAAAAGGAUAGGAUUAGGGUUAAGGGUAUAGUAAGAACAUUGGUGAGUUGGUUAAGCAAAAUGUCACUCUACCAGAAACAAGAGUCAAUAGGUUCAAACAGUAGAAUUGAUUGACAUAUAAACCCAUCAUUUUAGGUAAUAGUUGAUCUCAAAAGCUUAAUCAUCCAUGUAGAAACAAGCCCAAUGAUGUAUUUCAAGCUCAAUAACCUCAACUUAAUAAAACAGGCACAUUAUUGAGGCCCUGUUCUGUAAGUUUUUGUUUCUGGUUUCCAGUUUUUAUAUUUUAUAUUCUCAUAUUUAUAUUUACAUUUUAAAAAAAUUUAUUUAAAACUCUGUUUUGUAAAAGAGAUAGUGAAGAAAAGCAUGGAAGAAAGGAGAUAGAUGAGAAAUGAGAGAGGUCAUGACAAAACGAAGAAGUGUACAUAAUUCUAUAUAUUUCUCCCCUCUCCUUCACAUCUUUCGCAUCCAUCAUCUCUCUUCUCACUUUUCUUCACUUCUCCUUCCCAAUUUUUGUUUAAAACUUAAAAAACAAUAACAAAUAGAAAAUGUUACAGAAUGAGCCCUGAAGUUUUGUUUUAAAUUUAUCUUUUUGGGGAAAUAUCAUGUCCGGUUUCUAUUCAACUUCAUAACCAAGUAUUUUUGAGACGAUAUCCAUAAGCUUCAGUUGAUAUCUCUCUUGCUUUUCCUUUCAUUUAAAUUUUUUUCAUUGAGCGUGAACUAUAUAGAAAUACAUGAAAUGUUACAUUGUUUUGCUUCUUGUGCACCUGGUCAUAGCACUUUGAAGUGCAUGCAUGUUAUAAUUAUUUGCUCUUUUCUAGGUCAAUAUUUUGUCUUGAUUCAUUUUCUCUUUUCUAUAGUUUAUGCCCAUGGGGUAUUCUAAGGAACAGAUUGUUCAGGCUUUUACUGAAGUUUCAGAAAGUUCCCUUGGCAAGGAAAUGUCUUCACUAUGGCCAUCCGUUCUGUGUCGUCUUCGCGAAGAAGAAGUUUAUGGUUUGCAUUUGAAGUCUCAGACUUUAAGGAAAGAUCUUUGUGCAGAACCAAUCACUUACACGGUUGCAGAUGGUAAGCUUUCUCUGUAAAGAUGCUAAGUCAUAGUGAGAUGCUCCAAUUCUCCAAAACCAUCUAAACCCCCUUUCUUAUAAAGCUCAUUAUAAUUGCUCAGGUCAUAGAGAUUGUGUAAUGAGUGAGAAUAGGCUGACCACCUCUUCUUGCGAUGGUGGACAUGUGGCGAAGAUUAAUUCUGACGAGCCAGUAUCAAAGUCUUUUACGUUCAGAGCUUGUUCAUCCUCUGUAUGUGAUGUGUCAAUUCGGUUUAAAUACGAUGAUAACACUAUUCCAGGGGCAUAUCUUGCAUAUUUGACUGAUACAUAUGUCAUGUACCAAGUACUGCAUAAUGGGGAUAGAAUCAUGGAAUUUGAACCAUCUACCCCCAUUUUUUUUCCAGCCUUUGAAGCUGAAAGAGGAGUCAUUAAGUAAAACGAAUAAGUUGUGAAAAUAAGUAACCAUUCACUUACAUAGAUGAAACAGAUAUAUUUACUAAAAUUUGAUAGACAAUUAUUUUGUUAAAAUAUAAUAUAAAACAUUUGAAAAUGACUCUUGGGGAAAAUUUGUACAGAGAAAAUUGAUGGUUUGGCUUUUCCUUUUCUUGUUAACAAAAAUGUGAUGUUCUUCUCAGUUUAAAGUACACCAGAUCUUAUUUUCCAAAUGUUAUAAUAAAUAGUGCAUUAAAAAAAAAAAAAACUAAGGUUAAUUUUAUUUGACUGCUUUCUUUUUGUUUGUGUUUUCUUUUUUUCAUAGAAUAUUUUAGUGAGGCUACCUCAGUGCUUCUGCCAAAAUCUGCCUAUAGUGCAGAACCUCAAAUUUACAUGAGGCUUAGAUUCGUCGGGUAAUUGUUUUUAAAUAUUGUGGCUUUCGUUGAAUGGAUUUAGCUCUGAAAAUAUCAUGUCAAAUUGAACGCAUUAAAAUUGUGUUUAUAUGAGACUUUUACUACAAAUAAUACUUUAGGGGGCAGAUGGUUGUAGACAUUUUUUCUUACAAUCAAAUUCAUCUUUUCCAGUAUACUGUUAUAUGUUGCUCAUUGACUUGUUGGCUUUCCUAGAGUCAUCCUGUGCCAAAGCCUACUUCGGAAAAUUAUGAAGCAAGUUCGAGUGUUUUAUCCAUACCACCUCUAAGCUUUGGGGAGAGAUUUGAGGAUGCAUAUGAAGUAAUCUUGGUAUUGGAUGAUCGAGAACAAUUUGCUACUCAGGGGUCAGUAACUUAUGAUUUUUACAUCUGCCAUACUUUUUUAAAUGAUGAAGCUAGUUAAAGAUAGUCGUUAUUCUGUCUUGACACCGAAACAGCUUUGUGGUUAUGCCAAUAAUUAUCUGGGAAAUUCUCUAUGAAUCCUAUUGUUUGCUCAAUAGGCUUUGUCCCCAAACUCCCCAUUUGACCCCUUACAAAACUGGAAAAAAAUAGCCUGACCCCCCAACCCGACAGCAAGCUCAUCCCCACCUUUGGUGGCUCCUCACUUUGACUCUGGCUAGUCCCAGACAGGACUCAGCAGUUGCCACUCCCCUCCUUUCUGUUUCUCUUAUUCUCACUAUCCCCUACUGCAUUGGUUGCUAGGGUGGCUGGCGACCUUGCCGCCUUCAGAUCUGAAAUCGGUGGCAAGGUUGAAAGAGAGAGGAGGGGGAGUGGCGGCUGGCUAUUCGCCGUCAUCAGAGGGAGGAGCUGCGGCUGCUGUUGGUUUUGGGGCUCUUUUGAUUUUUAUGAUUUUUUGUUUUUAGUUUUAUACAAAGAAUUGGUAAUAUGACAAUUAUUACUACAAUUUUUUUUUUUUUUUUUCCAUGUCCUUGAGAAUGCAGUGUAGGACUAGUUUGUUAUACAUUGAGCUUUUGCUGGUGUUUUUAACUACUGUGAUUAAUUGUAUAUGCAUUGUGAUUUUAGAUCGCGGUCUAGGAGAAUUAUUGAGAAUGUUCGUUCUCAAUUCAAAAUCAAAAUAGAGGUGAGUUCUUGUAGUCUUUUAUAUGUUAGUUCUUCUAGUGGUUUACAUUGAACAUUAACUAGAAUUUGUACUGUUGUAUAUCAUUUGUCUGUAUUGGUUUCACAUAUCAAUGGCAGUUUGUGGUGCUUUCUUUUAUUACCUUUUUGUUUGUUUGUAUAGUGUUUGGCAUAUUUUGCUUCUUCAUGAUUGAGUAGGCUUGAACUUUUAAAUAAAAUGAGGAAACCUUUGUUGUAUCCCUAUUAUUUUACGGGUUAAAUAAUUUUUUUAAAUGUACUGGUUCUGUGGAUUUUGUUCUUCUCUUGUAGAUUAUAUACCUGUAGAGAACUGUCAAUAAUAUUAUUGCCUCUGAGUUAUUUACAGGCAUUUGUCGUUCUUAUGCUUGAAACCUUUUGGUUUGGGGACUACCUGCAUCUAUGCUACCCUGGGGUUAGACUUUAGAGUAUGUUGUUUUAGAAACGUGUGAGUCUAGCAAUUGGGGUACUUUGGUCUCUUCCACUAUCCUCUACUGAGCAAGAAUCCACCUUGGGAUUUCAGUUUCCUCUAUGUAGCACUUUACUCAAUGUCUCUUCAUAUUGUUCUGUUGCAAUGCAUGAUGUGAUAGUGAUAGACUUGAGAACAUUUGCUUCCCAUCUUAUAGUCCAUUAUACAUAUUGGUUUUACUUUUUGCUAAAUAAUUCAAUUGCAUUAAUUCCGAGCUCAAGUUGGGGUUUUUUUGGCUGAUAUUCAUAAAAUUCAGCUGGGAUUUUAAGAACUCUUUUUAAAGUAUUUGGCUCCAAGAACAUUUUCACUCUUCGGUUCAUUAUGUUUUGGGUUUGUUGUAGUCUUCUUUAAGUAUGGUUGCUGCUUUGAAUCUCAAAUUGUUGUGAUUAUUGACCUAAAUGACAUCAUACGUAGAAGUCUAGAAUAAUGUGGUGAGUUUUCUAAUUGUUACUUUACAUUGUAAUUAAUUUUGGCUUACUAGCUUGAGAGGUACUUGUCCAAAUUGUUGCUUUAAUAUCUUCUCCAUUUACUGCAAACUAUCUGCAAACUAUAAUUAACGAACUGACUCUUCUACAGGUUAGGAGGUUACCAGUUGGAGAUGGAAUCUGGAUAGCUCGCCAUAAGCAUCUUGAGAGCGAAUAUGUACUUGAUUUUAUUGUUGAGAGGAAGAAUGUCGAUGACUUACGCAGUUCAAUUAGAGACAACCGUUACAGGGAUCAGAAAUUGAGACUCUUGGUAUUGAUUCGUAUUGGAAAGACUAUAUGUUUUAUUUGUAUCAGUUAUACGAAGUUUGCUAUUAUAUCUUUCAUCUGUUGUUUGUAUGCUUAUUAUUUGACAGUUUUAUUGUGAAAACUUGGCGUUUCUCCUGCUUUACCUUUACCUUUACCUUUUAAUAUCAAUCUGCCUGUAGUGCAUUUUGUUGCUAAAUAUUAAAUUACUAAUUUUACAUGUUAUACUAUGAAAUGAAGAAUAUCAGAAUAAAAGACUGAAAUCUUUUCUUGCGAAGAAGACGGAAAAGUGAAAACAUUUUGUUAUUGGUGAUUGCUCUUAUUCUUUUCUCCCUUCAUGUAUGGAUAUUAUUAUAUUCAACGUGACAUGAUUAUCCCUUGUUGGGGAUUUUUGUAACAUUUUUGUUUGCUCCUGUCAUAAGUUAAGUAUAUGCAACCCAAGAAUGAAGAAUUGAUAAACCUAACCAUAUAUCUUCGAUAGAUGUACUUAGGCCAGCCAUUUGGUGUCUGAAAUUUAAGGCCAGAUGUACUUGCAGAAUUCGUUGUUUGCAUCUAAUUUAGUUUUUUAGGGAAUCAGCCAUAUAUGUCUUUAUACAUGUACUCGGGCAAGCAAUUUGGUGCCUGAAAGGUUUAGGCCAGAUCCACUUGCCUAUUCUUGGUACCCAUCUAUGUUACUUUUAUUUUCCCAGUCUUUGUAGAUGAUGUUGUUUGGUAGGUGUUGAAAAUAAUCGUAUGUUUUCUUUUCUUGUUUAAAGUAAAUGGAUUAAAAGGUUUUAUGCAUAUUGAUAGCAUCAUAUUGGGUAUGAAGAAAAAAAGUGAAAUGAUGGGAAGCAUUCCUAGUUUAAAGAAAACGCAUGAGAUAGAGUUUUGAGCAAGAACUAUUGAAAAGUAGUAUUUUCUGGGGCAAUGUUUGUUAUGACCUCCCAUGCUGGGUUCAUGUCUUACUGGAGCAUCAGUUUCCUUUUUAACAUGAAUUUAUUGCUGCAAACUGGGAUUACUAUUUAGUUUAGCUUUGCUUAUGAAUGCUAAAUUUGCUGAUUGGUUUAGUUACUUGGUAGGGUACAUUAAUUGAGAUUGAAUUUAUCUGUUUUGCAGACUUUGUUGCAAUGCAUUGAUGCCUUAUAUCACGUUAUGUUAAUACACUUAAAGAAAAUCAUGCUUUUAAUGUUUGAAUAUUCUGGAAUUUAUAGGGUUUUUCAUGUGCUUGAAUGAGAAUAAAGUAUCAUCCUGUGCGAGGAUGGCAUGAUUCACUCCAUAGCUUUUGUUUGAAUCAUUAUAACUGAUUGAGAGAUGCAUUCAUUACAUUCUUCUUUAUGUGCAAUAUAAUGAAAAAGAACAAUUGUUGAUUUGUGUUUCUCUGUUGUUGGGUUGCUUCUGCCUACUCAUGUUAGGCUCUUUUGUCUCAUGUCUACUAAAGAAAUUUAUUUCUUCAAGUGAGCCUUUAAAUGCAUUUGAUGUUCUGGUUGCCUGAGAAUUUUGGAUUUACUGUUAAAAUAUAUCACUUUGCACAUUAUUCUGACAUGUUUGGUCCUUCAAUUGCAUAUUGUUAGAGGUGCGGGCUGAAGAAACUGAUAUAUCUUGUGGAAGGUGAUCCAAAUACUUCAGAAGCAGCAGAAAGCAUUAAAACAGCGUAAGCAUUUCUGUGAAUAUUCUUUAAAGCUACAUUUACUACUACUUACCAUAAACAAUUUUAAAUCAAAUCAUCCUGGUUAAACUAGGAAAUGAACCUUGCAAUAUGUAUAUCAGUCAUAAGUAUUUUCAGUGAUGAUUUUUUCCUAACCAUCUGUUUCAGUACAACCUGCAUCAGUGUAGUAAUAGUUUGCUUUUAAGACCAUAAGUCAUCCAGAGUUUGGUACUGUUCAAGGGCACACAUCUCUUAUAACAGUCCCUUUCCAUCCAAACAAAACCACUUUGCUAUACUUUUGGAACCCUAAUUUCCAACCUUUAGGCAUCAAAUAGCCUUCAAAAAGAAUAUUCAACAUAAAACCUUGCUCACUGCCCUAUGUGGUGCAAGUAAGAUCACCUUUGCCCCUUGGCAGAUAUUCCAUGCUCUGUAAGCUUGUGUAAGGGUGCUGUAACAAUUUAGUUAUUCAAUAGGUUUUAGAUGUGAAACUUUUAUAAGAAAGUGUCAUAUAUUUGCACCUUCUUUGUAGAUGUUAGUUUUAAACAUCAUUUGACAUCCUAAGAUCCUUUCGUUUCCAGUUUCAAUUUGCCUUUCAAGUUUUUUAAGAUUACCAUCCAUGAUGUUGCACAUCUCAAAUUCCUUUGGGUGAUAACGGAAAAUAAAUAAUAGAAUAAUCCUAAUACUGAUGUCCUAACGAUUUGCGAAGAGUGAUUAUUAUUAUUAUUAUUUGAAUCCAUCUUCAACAGUUAUAAAUCUCAUAUUGUGCAGCUGUUUCACAACUGAGAUUUUGGAGGGAUUUGAUGUUCAGAGAACUAUUGGCUUGGCUGAUACAUUGAAGAAGUAUGUCUAUCUUACUCAAGCAAUAACUCAGUAUUACAAUUCAGAAUUCUCUGAGGAACAAUGUAUACGUGCUGGGGUUUGUCCUCCUUUUGAUGAAUUUGUUAAAAGGUGCCAAGACCUGGAUAAAAUGACAGUCAGUGACGUUUUUGCCACUCAGCUCAUGCAGGUAUGUAAUGUUUUUGAGAGAAAGGAUUACCAUCCCUCAUUUGACAAGCAGUCUUGGGUCUACUAUUGGUAUGUAACAAACUAUGUUCCAUUAAAAAAAGAAUUAUGGAUAAAAUUAAUUUCUAUGGGUCAUGCAUUGUUUUUUUUCUCCUUUUGGAUAUAUGUGUAUAUAUAUGGAUUUAUAGAACCUAGUAAAUUAAAAGGUGCAUUUCUAUGAAGGUAAGUGAAAAAAUUUCCCCUUCUGCAUGUCCUUUUUAGCAUAAAAACUCCAUUUAACAUAGUACGUGAAUGGCAUUUUGGAUGAAAAAUUGGGUAAAUGGUUCCUGAUCUCUUUUGAAACAGUAUAUAUGACAUAGCUGAGUUAUUGCUUAAUCUUGAGAACUAGGAUAGUGAGAAAAUGGUGAACAAACUUUACACACUUCUUCAAUCAUGUAUGCAGGUCCCCCAGGUAACUGAGGACGUUGCCAUAGCUGUUCUGGAUUUGUACCCAACGCUUUUAUCUCUUGCCCGUGCCUACUCUCUACUUGUAAGUCCUUCCCUUGGGUUGGAAUUUUAAAUGUGUUAGGCAAUAUCUGUUUUAACCAACUGUGGGUGCCCCACCCUUGGGGAAUGUGAAAAAAUCAACCCUAAUGUCUUGGACAUCCAACAUGGUCACUGAUCUAUAGAUAAACAUGAAAACAAGAAAAGAAGAAAUUUCUAGGUAUUAUAAUUUUCCAUUUUACCUUCAUUAAUUUUCUAUUUUUAAGAUUUCUUUAAACUUUAGUUUUUAAAAAAAAGAGUCAACACUGCCUAUGCCAUGGUCACAGGGAAGGGAGGAAAAAUAUAAUAUUUUCAUUUUUUUAAAACUAAAUGAAAAGGAAAAAAAUAUGGGAUUUUUGAAAUUUGGGGAGUGAUUAAAGGCGGGUGCAAAUAGGGUCAACUGUUUUUUAUUGUUCUAUCUUGUUGUGCCACAGAGUGAUUCAAAAGCAUUGGUUAUAUUGCAUAAAAUGUAAGCGAAAUAACUAUAUUUGAUGAGUCUUCAAACGAAGAUACUCUCUGAAAGUGGUUAAAGAUAUAGGGUUUGUUUGAAGAAUUCUGAGAUCUCAUACAAAAUUAUUCAGUCCAUCAUGUUUUGUGUAGUGUUUGAAAUUAUAUGUUGGUAUUGUAUGGUUAAGAUUAUCCCAAUCUUUUCAUUUGGAAUCAUAAUUGUCAUAUGGAUGGAUAAAAUGUUUGACUUUCUAGGGGUGAGAGUUGCAAGUAGCCAUUAGAUGCAACGCAGGAGCUGUUAUAUUCUUUUUUUGUUUAUUGUUUAUUGUUUAUUGUUUUUUUAAGUGUGCUGCUAUGCCUUUUUAUGUGUUACAAGUGGGAUGUUAAAACAGGAAAAGUAAAAUAUUUUUCACACAUGCGCAAUGUCCUGGGAUGCAUGACUCAUGAGAUUCUAUUGAUGUUGGAAUCUAUUGUUGAUUUUUCUUUUCUCCUUAUUGUUGAAUAGAAAAUCUUGAAAUGUUCCUUGAGACCUGUUUGGGUAUGUCACCAUUCUUAUAUAACAAUGAUUUAAUGAUAUAAUGGCAUUGAUCUAUUUACCUAUACAAUCUUCUUUUUAAAAUUUUAUUUUUUAAAAACUUGUUAAAAUAAUUUAUGCUGUAUAAUGGGUGGUGAAAUGAGCCGAGCCGUUUUUGGCACUUUGGUUGUACUCAAGUUUAAUCAUAUGUUAUUGACUAGGAGGGUGAUGUCCGUGCACAAGAAGAGAUGCUUAGAACCCAGAGUAACAAUGCCGUCAAUGUGGGUGCUAGUAAGAAUAUAUUUCACUUGGUUUGGGGCAACUGAUUGUUUCGUAUCUCCUAUUUCAAUUUUUUGUUAAUUUGUUAAUUUUUUAAUGGAAGAGUGCUCUUGUAAGCUACCAAUCUUUCAAUGUAAAUAACAUGUCCAGUUCAUUGUUAUAAAAAAUAGCUUGCUGUACAACGUUUCUGAACUGAAUGUCGUUUGACUUCAAUUGCACUCUUAGGAAAGGCACAAUCUUCUGCUUGUUCUGCACAAUCUGUGCAAUCUUGUAUAUUCAACUAUGGUGGGUGAGUUGCAUUUUGGCUCUAUAGUAUAGAACGGGUUGGGUUUUAGAUUUAAAUUUUUCCAAGCAAAAAAUAUAAAGAAAGUGUAUCAGUCCCGCUCGCCUAAGGACCUAAAAAUGAGGACUUUGGAGGAACUCUUUAAUAAAAGCCAUUGGAUAUAAUGUAAGGGCACAUGUUAUUAGUAGUUUACACCCUCACCCAUACUCCUUGUUUUACCAAAAACAACCCUUUUGAGUCCUAAUCUACAAACCCAUACUCCUUGUUUUACCAAAAACAACCCUUUUGAGUCCUAAUCUACAAAAUAAUAAGGGUAAUAAUAGUAAAUAAAAAUGAAAACCUAGGGAUACAAGUUGACCCCUGUCUUCCUCCUCAGUCAUCUUUUUCCCCCUCCUCCCUUUUCGCCAUUGUUCUAUCUGAACAAAGGUACACAAGAAAGCAUUAUUCUUGUAGGACCAAGGCUUAUAAAAGUUUCUCGCUAGGCAAUUCCCUUUGCCUGUCAACUAAAAGGCACACACGAGAAAUAAAUAUCAGAAGAAGUUGAAGUGUUUUUAUUAGGGUGGAGAGAAGAAUCGUCUCUUGAUUCUCACAUGUUUUCCUUUCUGUGUGUUUUUUUAGUGGAAAUAGGAAUUAAAGCUUCAAUUUUUUUUUUAAAAUUUAUCAUAAGCUAGUUAUGAUAUUCCAAAUUCGUAAGCUUUGGGAAAAAUGGGACAAUACGCAAAAUAGAUGUGAAGGAAGAUGAUGAUAACUUAAUCUCAGAGCCGGAAGAAUGGCAUCCUCAUCUUGCAAGUCCCAUAUUUCACUCUUCAGUAUGUUAUCACACUCAUCAUAAUUUCUUUUACCAUGCAACAAAACCCCAAGUGAAUUUGCAGCUAAGGGAAGACCCUUACACCUUCUAAUAAUUUCGCUACUGAUUUCUUCCGGAAUUGGAUGAAGGGAAAAUUAGGUGUAGGGAUUUCUAUCUAGAAGCUAUAAGAGAAUAAAUUAUUUAGCCCAUGCGUAUCAAAUAUGAAAUCAAAUAAAGGCGGAAGCAAGAAAAAGCUAGAGAUUCAUGCAAGUUUCAACCUAGGUCCCAAUCUUUGUAGGUUUAUGAAAGUUUGCACCUUUGACACUAAUAUCACAUAUUAGAGAGAAUGUCGAAAGUGAGGUUAUCUUUGGAGCGUAUCUUGAAUCCCAAAAUGGUAUUCAAGUAGAGGGAGUUGUCCCUUAGUUGUUGAUUCUCCACCUUGUUCUCCAAUAGGCACAAUAUGAUUAUGCCUCCCCAAAGUAUCUUCACUGAGGUAGAAUGAGAAUGAGACAAUAAGGAACCAAGAGAAGAAGAGGUGCUAGCGUUUCUUCUCUAUGGGGUGGCCAAGGUAGUGAUUGGGAGGGAGGUUUGAUGUUUCCUCUCUUACUAAAUGGCCAACUUGAAAACCUGAAGAAGGUGUUGUGCUAUGACUAUAAUUAUAUAGAGACAUAUUGUCACACAUGUGCCCCUAAAGAGAACACAUGUGUUGCACCCCCAUCUCUUGGCCUUUUUGGGCUUCUUUGGUCUACCACAUUAAUCUUAUAAUGUGUCACACUUUGCCUAAUUCUAUAAGGUCCAUUUUUCUUUAAUGUUUAAGUCAUAUAGAACCAAAACUAAAGUUUCAUAACUUUAAUUAAUUCAUUAAAUUAAUCUAAUUAGUUUAAUUGAUUGAAUGCCUUAAUAAAUUAAAUCACUAACUUGUCUAACAAGCAUUGGUUCUAGUCAACCUUGUGUUGACCGCGUCAAGUCUCGGGUCAAUGGUUUGACCUUUGACUUAGACCAAGCCGCAAAAUCAUUUAUUCUCUUUUCAAUUCUCGAUCCAUACCUUUUCCGUGUGUGAUUUUAUAAAUUCUAAUUAACAAAGCCGUGGGUAAGAAUGAUUACUUCUAAACUAAAUGUCAAUUGUAUACCUUUAUACAAUUCUCCCUAUUGGCGAAGGCUAAUUGUGAUUAGUCCUUCAUGUUUUCAUUGCGGCAAAGAUGGACAUUGGAAGAGGAACUGCCAGGCUUAUCACUUUGCUGUUUAACUCUAAACAAUUGUUUAUACAUUACUUGAGUUUGAUAACAAUAUUUGAUCUAUUGUAGCUGAUGUUGCUCUAGAGAUUGGGAACAAGUAGGAUGCUCAUGAAGGAUGAUCGUGCUGAGAUUUGGAUCAUUUAUCAUGUUUAUUUUGUUCACCUCAUGGAGGUCUUAAUAGUACUUAUGAACUUAUUUAGUAUAUUUGGUAAUGUAUAAAGUACUUAUUUACUAUCUUCAUGUUUUAGAAUAUAGUCGUAUAGUUUGUAUGAUAAAACCACUUGGUUGCUUAUAUAUAUAUAUAUAUAUAUAUAUAUGACUAUUCGUAUUAUGGUAAUAUGAUGUUUGACCUCUUUAUGUUUUAUGAGAUAAAUGUGUGGUAGUUUUACUCAUAAGUGUCAAACAAGUAAUUCUAAGUUGUGAUAAUGCAAAUUAGUCCUCAGACCUAAGACAUCACAGUUGUAUUGUGGACGAGUCAUUUAUCUUUGAGAACACUAUACAAUCACAUUAAAAGAUAUGACUUAAAGGUGCUCAUCGGGAUAUCCGGCAAGUUCACAGAGGCAUGUGAAUGUACAAUAAGGAAUCUCUACUCUUAGUAAAAAGGGAGAAUACUCUAGAGAUACGAUUCGUUGAAUCUUUGGCCAAAAUAUAGGAUGAGAAUUGAAACAAGAAUGUUUGCAAUCAGAUCCAAGUGAAUCAUAUAACCUGGAAAUGUCACAUUAGGGAUUUGGCACGAGUUAACCUUAUCACAAUAAUGUGACAUAAAGUAUUGUUUUAGACAAGGGCUGAAUUGCAUUGCAAUCACAAACUAACUAGGUUCUCCAAUGAAUUCUAUUUAGCUUGGGUAGCCAUGACAUAUUCCUCAGUGUCAACCAUAGUUUGUGAAAGUCCUUAAGGCAUAAUUACAAUUAGCCUUCACCAAUAGCGAAGAAUUGUAUGGAGAAAUAUAAUUCGUAAUUGAUUUAGAAGAAGUCGGACUUACCCACUGCCUAGCUAAUCAGAACCUAUAAGAACGUACAUCGAAAAGGAUUGGAUUAAGAAUUAGACGAGAAAAAGGGAUUUUGUGGCCUGGUCAAAGUCAAAGUCAAAGUCAAAGGUCAAUCGUUGACCCAACACUUGACAGGUCAAGAAUGGUUGACUGGUACCAAUACUUGUGAGACAAGUUAAUGACUUAAUUAAUUAUGUCAUUAAACAAAUUAAACAAAUUAAAAUGGUUUAAUUUAAUCAAUUAAAGUUAUUGAGCAUUAAUUGGAUCCCACAUAACUUAAGGAAUAAAGAAUUGGAGCAUAGGACUUUAGACACAUGUGACGCAUUGAAGCAUAAAUGUGUAGGACCAAGAAGGCCCAAAAUUAGGCCACCAUAGGAGACAUGCAAUUUUUUAUUUUAUUUUAAAGAAAAGAGAAGGUAAUCAACUAACAUUGUCAAGGUUAAAACGUAAAACUACCAUUUACCUCUUGAUUGCUUACAGAUAGAAGUAACUCAUCUAUAUAUUGAAAUUACAUGUUUCUAAUUAGAUGAGCUUGCUUUUGUAAUGCGGAACCUGUCCUCAACUUUUCUUGUAUCUGCGUUCACGAACUGCAAAAUGAAAGAAAUUUAGAGAACAUCAAGGUCUGCCGAAGUUCAAGCUAAGCUAAGUGUUUCUGAUGAACACGAACUAAGUAUAAUAUGUAUAUGAAAAAAUUCUCUCCAUAUAUAUGUUCUGUAUUAUGAAAAUCAAAGGUCAUAUACUGUCAUACUGACCUCUAAUUUCAUCUCCUUCUUUGUGGCAUAUCCUCUGAGAUAACCAAAUUGGGAAAUCCUCGAUAAGCUCCAAGGAUUAUUUACCUGAACGAUCAAAAUGCAAUUCCAUGUAAAGAACAAUGAAAGAACUACUUUUUUUUCUGUUUCAUUUUUGUCUGAAAAAGAGGGAUGCAACAUCUCAGGAGCUUCGCUUAAGUGCAUGUGUACGUAUAUAGUUGUAGAGAGAGAUACUUACACCAGUUGGAAACUUGUCCAAGGUAAAGCCAGCCAUACCAAUUACUGCAUGCACUGGGGCACUGUAGUUGCUAUGAUCGUAUGUGUCGAUCCCAUUUUCAUCUUUAACAGGCAAUCCCUUGCAUUGACUCCUAUAAACCGUGCAGGUUCGCUCGUAGUUAUGGACAUGACCAAAUAGGACCAAAUCAACCUAGUUCAAUUUUCCAAAGCAAUGUUAGAAAGAAACAAGAAAACACCAAUUUGACACAUAACGAAUCCAAGAGCUAUUAUUUUUUUUUUUUUGGAAGAGAAACUCUUCUAUUUUCUCCACGUCGAAAUAAGUAAAAGACACAGAGAAGAUGAACAAUGAAAAAAAAAACAGAAAAAAUAAUCAAACUAGCUAGCGAGGGAUGUUAAUUACUUUGCUUUGAACCAGUAAUGGUUCCACUUCAAAAACAAAUUUUGGAUCAACACUGAAGAGUCCAUCUGCGGAGGUAUACAUGGGUCUAUGCCUGCAACAUUUGAAGAAGUCACAAGCAUUUAAUACAACAUAAAAAGAUGGGGUGGAAAUCAUGGGCUUAUUUAAUAGCUAGAAUCAAAUUGAAAUUAUUAUAAUCUUGUACAUAAUAAUCGGAUUAACAUAAUUUAAACUGUAAAUUGUGUAUAAUUUACCAUAGUCCACUUCUUAAUCACUGCAAUGUAGAAUGAAACAGAAGCACACAAACACACAAAAAUAACGGUUACAAAUACUACAAAAACCUGAAGGUAUUUCAGUUACACUUACCCCAUAAAAAUCAACCAAGGAGUUUUGGAUCGAUCAACAGAGGCCAUGUCCCUUCUCAUCCAUUGAUACUGUAUAGUGUAUCCAUCGCAUAGAGUAACAAAGCGAAAAACAUCAAAUAAGCUGAGAAUACCAUAUGCUAGAUUGGAUAAAUACAAGGCACUACAGAAGUGAUUAAUUAUCUUUACCUGCUCAGAGUUUUGGGACCAGUCAUGCUCUGUAGAUAUCACCGUGAUGUGAACACUUGCUUGUUCUAUGGAAUACCAUGGCUUAUCCUUUGCCGGGGUUGGCAUCGGAAAGUAGGUCUCAUAAGGAACACCAGAUUCUCCACCUGAAUCUGGGGUUAUGUAAACUGAUCCAGUGUCUAUAUAGUCCCUGAAAAAUGCAUGGUCAAGCAUAUUGUUGAUGCAUGCAUAGAUUUGGAUAAACAUCAUUAGGGAUGGAAAACACAAUCACACACAAGUACACGAUUUUGAAUGGUUCACCCAUAAUUAGGUUACAUCCACUGUGGAGCUUCGAAUAUGUAUUUGACUACGAGAGAGCUUUUACAUUGUACAGUUGAGAGGAAUAAAGCCUUAGUAAAAGAAGAGAGCCUUAGAGUGGGAGAGGCAAAGCCGGCCUUCUCUGCUUGCUGGUUGCCUCUUGCUUAUGUACGCCUUACAAGUAGGCAAGUCAUCAUGAUUUUUGGGAUUUAGGUAUAUGGCUCCCCUUGAUUUGGGAUUUUAGGCAUGGAGGAGGUAUGGAGAAGGCAUAUGAGAGGGCAUGGGACUUCCUUAAUUGGUGGGAUUUCAUUGUGGGGUUUAGGUGAGGUCAACUUGGUGUCAACAUAUGUCUUAAGGAAAAUCUUCUGAAAGUUUAGUGUGUUAUGUGGUUAGCCGCCUGCUGGUUCAUUUAUAGAGUUGAUUCUUUAUUCAAAUGUAUAUGGCCUAGAUUAAGCUUUACAACAUAACAUGUGAGAUGUCUAGUAAGAGAACAUUACCCUUCUUCAAUAUGCAUUGCCACUAUGGUAGUAAAGAGCAUACCUCUCAUGGUUUCCAAUAGCUGUCAUGUAAGAAACUCGAGAAGCUACGGGACUUAUUUGGUGCAGGAAAAAAUCCCAUUCAACUAAAAAUCCAGUGGCGUAGCUAAUGUCUCCAAUGUGGAAGAUAGAGUCUACAUGCCCUGAAUUUAUUUCUUCAGCCAUGGCUUGAAUUACUGAGAGGGAUCCUGGCUAUUCAUACCACACAAGUAUUAUUUAGGUGUGGAUGAAUGAUGAGCAUAUAGUUAUUGCAUUGCAGUACUAAAUGUAUCAUAUAUACCUGAAUGUAAUGCUCUGUCGAACCAUCACGAGGAGCCUUUCCCAUGUCACCAAAUGCGAGAAAUUUGAGCUCAUCAGAUCCUCCUGCUGGGGGAGUCCGGAAUUGGAUUUCAUUGCUCCAACCAACUGAAUCACUGCAAUUUAUUUUCCGUUCCCACAUACAUAAGGUCACUUUGUGUUCAAGAAUUGGUAAGAAAGAUGAAAAGGCUCUUUAUAACUAAUGCAAAAAAUACACUUUUAGCACUUCCAUCUUGCACCACAUCUCAUUGAAAUUUUGGAAUGGUGUUUUCUGUUCCUUUUUCUUUUUUCAAAUAUUUGUUUUGUGGUGGAAAUUAGAUAUAGGGGGUUUAUACAUACCUUCCAUAUCUAUAAGAGAAAUUAGAUAAAGGCUUAAGUCCUGUCAUUACUGCUGUAUGAAUGAAGCCUGGGUCAUGCCAUCCGAAGUCCUUGGCUGGACUUGGUAGAACUGAACCUACAAUUUACAAAAGAGGUACCAAAAAAAAAAAAAACUAGAGAUCAAGGAGACCUUCAACGUUAAAACCAUAUCAUAGGGUAAUAAGCUAGUGUAACUUUUAGAAUUUGUAUUUUGCAUGAUCACAUUGUUGAUCACAUCUUUUAUAGAGGUAUCGAGAUAUAUAUUAAUGAGAAACGUAUAUAUGGAUAUAGGAUGUUGAGGAACUGACUUUGCAUGUCAUCUUGUGAAAAUGUAGUAACUUGUGACGUCUGUUUUUUUCCGUCACCAUAUUGUACUUGCUGAGGUUUCUGAUCACCACUGACCCAUGUUAAUCGUAUCUGCACCCAUAAUUCAUGGUCCAUUGUGUUAGAACUAUGAUCUCACAAGUUGAUAGAACCAUCUCAGCGAUAUUUUUUUUAUGGGAAAAAUAUACGAAAACAGACAUUUCAAUCAACUUGCUUCAAUUUGUUAAUUAAAUUAAGCUGUUCUUAAAGCUCAAAACCACUUUGCAGCCUUCAUAAGUGACUUCACGCUAAACUUAAUUAGUUCAAGACGAGAAUCACAUAAAAGGGAAAAUUUUAUUUUUCAAUUUUUCAUAUUGUGUUGCGAGACUAUGAAUAUACAUAAGUUAUUGCUAUGUCAAAAUUAAUAGUGAAAAUAAUAUAGAGUGUUACCGAUGUUCCCGUCGAAUCUGUGCUCGAUAGAUGUCCAUAUAAUGGCUUAUUUGGAGUGGCAAAUCUCACAGGGCUUGACCUUUUCAAAAUGCAAGGGGCCUCGAAUCCACCAGAAAACAACACAAAUUCAAUGUCCGUUCUGAUGUUAACAACAUGAAAUGAUAAUGCACCACCACAAGUGGACACCAAGCAUCGACCAUUCCGAUACUUUUUGCAUUCCUUCUUCUUGCAACUCAGAUAGUCAGGAUCAUUGCUCAUGUAUGCUGCCUGCAGCAAUUUCAAAAAAUGUCAACGUACUACAUAUUAUAUAUUACAGGUCAGUCUAUUUUGUUGUUAUUCUUAUCAAUGUGAGAUAGAGGGACUCGGAACCUCUUCCGACCUUUAAGAAAAAAAUCACUAAAUUAAGAGUUAGUUGAUUCUUGUUUUAAUUAUAUUGAUAUUGUUCACGUACUUUCUAAUCAGGUUAUUUAGGGCUUGUUUGAGAAUCACUUUAAAGUGGUUGUAAGUGAUUUUAUGAAGAAGAUAGUGGCGGCGCCAGGAUUUCACAUUAGAGGGGACCCUUCACAAAAUUUUUAAAAAUAAUUUGAAGAGAGGAGUGUUAAAUGCUAACUACUUAAUAAGUUAAUUUGACACUAACCACACGUUUUGGCCUACUUCAUAAUAUCAGUUGAUAUAAAUUAAUAAUAUUAUAUACAUUCUUUACAAUCAUAAUUGUAAUGAAUUUCUUAUUUAUUUUUAGAAACAUGAAUUUCAUAUUUUUAAUAAUUUGUCUACACUAUUAAAGACUGAACUUAUAAUAAUUUAUAUUCCAACAUAGAGAAGAAUAAAAAAAAGUUCAUAAAUCCCAACACUAAGGUACCCAACUCAAUGAACUCAUACAUGAAAAAAGGACGGAAAAAAAAAUAUAAAGCUUAAGUUAAAUAAAAGAAAAAAGAAAGAAAUGUUGUAAAUUUAGAGUUUUUAGUGCAAAUAUCAUAAAUUAAUUAAAAAAGUUUAAGGAAGAUAAGUAGAUAAGAGGUCAAGAAGUUUUAUGGUUAAUUUAUAGACAAUGAGAACCUAAUAUGUUGUUUAUUUUAGAAUAAAUAUCCUACAACUAAUCUAAUGUAUAGUAGUUACAUAAAAUUGGAAAAAAUGGAGUGGGGGCCUGGGACCACACUGGUCCCUUAAUGGCUCUGCCACUGUGCACAUAGCAGGCGCUUCUCCUUAGAAUCGUUUAAAAACACAUAUUAAGAAGCACGAGAGGUACUUCUCCCCAUACUUGAUUUUGUCUCUCCCAAAAUCACUUUAAAAUUAAAGAGACAAUUAUACUAAAAAGGAUAACAAUAUCUAACUAUGGUGAAAUCUAAACAUACGUAUAUAUUUUUGUUAAAGCCAACUAAUAUUUUCCCAAGACUCUCACCCUACAUGCACAAUGUUUUGUUUAUCAAGUUGCUGAGAAAAUCACCACCAUCUAACAAACAAAUAUAAUGAGGAAAACACAAUCCAAACAGUUGUAUUGAAAAUGGACACAGAACUUAUCCAACUAACUCAUGCUCAUCCACAUGUUUGGUUCAUCAUUAUCCGCUCAACAAAAUAUACGGGAAAUUGAUAUGGAUAUUAAAAUCAAAUGGAAUAAACUGUUAGGCCCAUAGGAUUAUGCUUUGUCAAACGUCAAAGCAAGUGCUUCGUUGGCUUUGUACGUAAAUGUUUAUGGUUUUCUUAACGCCACAUUGUUAGUAACGUCGUACAUUAAAGACAACAUGGGCUGCCCCAUGCCCAGCCACUUUUUCCAACUAUGUGGCUCUUAAAUUUUUUUAUUUUUGAUAUAUUUUUUUUCUCUUUAGCUUUUAUUCAUUACAAUUUAAAAACUUCUGUUACUACCGAAGAGCAAUUCUUUUGUGACCUAACUAUUAAUUAGGACUACACUACACUCUUGAAACCUAAUAUAUAUCAUGAGUUCUGAUCUCUUGGACCACAGGAGUCCAAGAGAUUGUGGUCACCCACCGUUGGAUAUUAAUCCAAUGGUUCAAAAAAGUUUCUUCAAAGAAGUGCAAGAGUGAGUGAACUGAAUUUACAUCCAACGGUGAGUGACCACAAAUUUCUUGGACCCCUGUAGUCCAAGAGAUCAGGACUGUAUAUAUCAUUACUGUUAUAGGAAUAGGAAUAUGAUCACUGGUAUAACUCGUCCAUUUGUAGAAUCUAGAACUUUUUUUUAUGCUGGGUUUUCGCUAAUACGGGUUUCGCAUGCCAAAAAUAAUUGAAAAAAAGAAAAGUUGGACAGAGAAGUUGACGAUGAACUUCUAAAACGAAUCCGAUAUCGCCAUAAAAGGAGGAGAGUGAGUGGUGUGUAUCAGUCGGGUGCCAAUUUCACAUUAUUUGGCAUCGAUAUCUACCAAAUCAAAGCUGAUAUUCACAUUAAUUCAUUACCAUAUAUCUAACUUUUCUGUUUUUUUUUUUCUUUAUAUAAAAAAAGGACCACAUGCAAAGAGAAAAAAAAGAUAUAUAUUUGUUUCUUUCUUUAAAAAGAAAAAGAAAAAAAAGGACAUGAGUAAUAUGAAAACGAUAAUUUUGUUUACCUUAACAGGAUAAUGGCAGAGAAGAGGAAGUUUGCUGAGAUCGCCAGUCUGUGCAUAGAGAAUCCCAUUUAAAGGACAGCUUGAGACACUGCAUAUCAUGUGAUAGCCAAAAAUAUAUAACAAAUUGAAAUAAUAUGAAGGAAAAAAAAAAAAGCAUGAAUAAAUUCGUAGAUAAUUAACGUGUACAAUUAUAUAUAUUGAAUUCAUACUCAGAAUGAGAAGGUGAAAUCAUGGCGACCCAAUCGUCUUUGGAAGGAUUGAGGACACCACUAACAUUGACACUCAAGAACUCUUCAUCUCCAAGGCCAGAAGAAGUUGAGUUAAUACUAAUUUGCAGAUAAGGGCUCGGAUGAGGACACUCAGCCAGAAAUCUUCUAUUCACAACCCUAAACUCAGAUAUUGCUGUGUAGUUAAGGUGUUGAACUUUGGAGUUGAAAACUAAAGGGUGCAAGGAUGACGACGACGAUGAAAAAGAAGCAAACGAAGAACCCAGAAAAAAGAUGAACACAAGGAAUGACAAGUUGAGAACAACACAAUAAGUGCUUGAGGAUCCCAUUUGAAAAUCAAAGUGGAAUUUUGUGAUUAUUUUCUAAGGCAAGAAACAAGGUUUAUAUAUAGAGAGAUGGUUCUUCUUCUUGCCUUGGUGGUCAUGGCGCUGUCCUUCUGAUUAUCUUCCUUAUUUAUUAGUUUCCCAUUUGAGUACGCAUGAGUUCAAUUUGGAAACUGGCUUCAUAUCAGAAUUUAGGGUAUGACAAGAACGUGGCUUUUUGUUUCCAUUGUAGAUAUCUUUUGAACAGAGAAAGACAGGUCAUAGGUGUGUACAUGGGCGAACAUUACGUUUUAAAACUGUUGUUUCUUCACGCAACGUUGUUUGGUUAUGUUGAUACCACGCAGGUGCGGCUGGGCCGGUAACAACCAAUUGCGGCUUUAAUUUUGUUUGUUUUUUCGGUUGGUCUCUCUUUUUUGUGCGAAAGCACAACGCUAUUUUCAAUCUACCCAUAUUAUACAUGUGCAUAUUUAUUAGGGGUGGAAUUUGGACCCCAAAAACCCACCACUUGACACAGUUGGUUUUGUUUGGGAACGGAUCCGCUGUCUCCAAUUUGGUUUCCCCUUCAUGUCUAUUCUCUAGUUAUUUGACAUGUGUCAUAUAACUUAACAGAGAGUUAACUCUGUUAACUUCCUUUUAUUUUUGACAUUAAAAAAAAUAAAAAACUCAACAAAUACCAAGUAAAGGAGCGUACGCAUCCCAACAGUAACCCUAGGCCAUUGCCUUCAAGGGCCAAAGUCAAUGCCCCUUCGAUCCCAUAGAGCAAGUGCGAGUUGAUCGUGAGGUGCCUUUGGCUGUUUCUACGUGGACAUGAAUCUUGGUUGUGGAGAGCUUCUUGUUGUUAAAGAUGUCCAAAUUUUCUAUUUGUUUUCUACUGUUUUGUGAGUUAUCUUUGGGUUUUGGAGUUUGCUUCUGUUCUUUCAGACUGUCGAUUCCUUCUCGGUUUUAUUUCAUUUUGGUUUCGGAGUGUCCCUUUAGUUCUGGCUUGUUAUUUGUUUUGGGUUUUGGUUGAUUUGUUUCUUUGGAUUUCAAUUUCAUUUGAUUUUGUGAACUGAGAGGUUGAAUAGGAGUUAUCUCCUCCAAAUCGAUUUCUUGUUUUUUUUUUUUUCUUUUUUUGCUCAGAAUCCUCCAAAUUGAUUUCAACACUCACGUAUCUUCCCUUUGUUUUCUCAUAAAUCAAACAAUCUCUUCAUCGUUCUAGCAUUUGUGUGACGUAAAAGAUGAGUGGGUUUCAUUUUGUGAUUCAGAUGUCUUCUUCUUAGGGAUUGUGAUUCCUCAUGUCUCAUAUCUCUUCCAUUUUGUGAUGUAUUGGUUUUAAGUUCACUGCACUUUCAUCUCGGGCAUUUUUUAUAUAAUUUUUAAAGGAUUUUUCUUAAUGAUAAAAUAAAACAAGUUAACAAAGUUAAUUUUCUGUUAAGUUAUAUGACAUGCUUCGAAUAAUUAGAGAAGGGACACAAAGGGGACACCAAAUUGGAGACAGCGGAUUCGUUCCCGUUUUGUCUAGGGUUGGGUAUAGGUUGGGUUGGUUCAAUUUUGGUCCCAAUCCGAUAUAUAGCGGUUUAUGAUUUUUUAAACUCAGACUCGCAUAUUAUUAGGCCAACUCAACCCAACUCGACCCUCUAAUGAUCGGAUUGGACGAUUCAAUUGAGUUGACCUGCAAUUGUAGUUAUUUUUUGGACUGAACCGAGGUGGCGUUGUAAAAACGGUAUUGGAGAUCUGAAUUGAAACCAUCAAUAACCGCAACCAAAAUAUAUAUACAGUCCCCUUUUAUUAAGGGAUCCCUCAAAUAAUUUAGGCUCCCCUAUGAAUUUUGUUUCAACGAUCCAAACCAUCUAUUUUUUCAAUCUACAUUCAUAGAUCAUCCUUACAAAAAAUUAGACAAAUCGGAAACCGUUUCGACAUCCAAUUGUGUCCUACAAAAUCAAUAAAUAUGGUGCUUCAAGAAAGUACUAAAAUUUCAAUAACUCAAUUGAGUGGUCAAAUGAUAUCGGAUUCAAGUGAUUUUUUUGUAAAGAUGAUCUUUAGAUGAAUAUCUAAAAAAUAAACGGUUUGGAUUAGUGAAAUACAAUUAAUGCGGAGUGGGCCCUAUAAGGAUGUCCCUCAAAUAAGUUUAUUUAAGGGAUAUCUCAAUAGAAACUCUAUGUAUAUAUAUACAUAGAGAGCUUCCCUUAGGAUACCCUAUAAAUUUUUUUUCAACAAUCCAAACCGUCUAUUUUUCAAGUCUUCAUUCAUAUUCCUUGCAAAAAAUCAGAAAAAUUAAAAAUCAUUAAGGCAUCUAAUCGCAAGCAACAAAAUAGACGAAUGCUUCAAGAAAAUACUAAAAUAACAAUCAUCUAAUUGACCGAUCAAAUAGUUUCAGAUUCAAGUGAUUUUUCGAGAGAUGAUAUUUGAGGGAAUAUCUAAAACUUAGACGGUUUGGAUCAUUGAAAACAAUGUGUAAUGGGCCCUACAAGGGUGUCCCUCAAAUAAGCUUAUUUCAAGGAUCCCUUAAUAUAAGCUCACUAUAUAUAUAUGGGCUGUUCAUCUUACAAAAAAAAACAUAAAAUAUAUGUACUGUUUGUUAGUGGUAUGCCCUUAAAGCCAACUAAGUAUAUGAUAAUUAAUGUUAAGGACAUCUUUUGUAAUAACUUAAUGGGAAAGACCAGUUGUUUUCAACUAUGAUAUUUGAUAUAUUAUCAUAACAGUAAAACAACUGUAGUCCUAGGAAGAUAUAAGUGAACAUGAGAACUAUGUAAUGAGAUUGUAUACAUCGAGACUUAUCAUGAUCUCUAAUUCUAAAUAUGUUCCUGGUCAUAGGAGUAUUAAUUGGGUGUUGAUAUUCUGCUAAGACCAGUACACAUAGUAUCUGAUCUUAAUGUAAAGAAUGACGAGGUCUCAAGUCAUUGAGUGUGGCGACACCAAGAUAUGUGUGUAGGUGCUUGUAAGAGAACAAGUACACUGAAUGCAAUCAAAUACAUGAGUUCUAUAAUGAAAGUCUUUACUCACAUGUCAAACUAUAACUCAUAGAUUGCAAUGGUGCAAACUAAUUCUUUGACCUAAGACAUCAUAGAUGUCUUGUGGCUAUGUUGUUUGUCUUUGAGGGCACUAUACAUUUGUGUUGUGGAAGACAUGACGUAAAGGUGUUUAUCAGGACUCUAAAUAAAGCCUGGGAAACAAAUAAUUAUACAAUAAAGGAUCUCUACUCUCAGCAAGAAUAUGAUUGAUCAAAUUUCUGCGCAGAGUAGUGGAUUUUUGAAAGAAGAAGUCUUUAAAUCUUACCAGGAUAAUCAUAUAAAGGAAUAAUUCACAUUAGGAUAUUCGACAUUAGAUUGUAUUAUCUAAUAAUCUGAAUAAGAAGUAUUGUAUAAGAGAAUGAUUCAAUUGCAUAGUCAUUCCAAUUUGAAUAAGUUCUUCCCUACACCCUAUUUAGCUCGGAUAACCAUGACAUGCUACUAGGCGUUAACCAUGAUUUUUGGAAGUCCUGAAAGGUUCAAUCAUAAUUGACCUUCACUAAGGAAGAAUUAAAUAGUGAAAUUUAAUUCACAAGUCAACUUAGAGAAGUUGAGUCUACCUUGCUGAAAGGAACCUACGGAUUGCUCACUGAAUGAGAUCAGAGGAACAAAUGAAGAGAAAAGCAACUAGGAGUCAAAAGUCAAAGUCAAAGUUAACAUGAUUGACUGAGUCAAAUAGUAAGACUAUAAGUGUAACUUAAUGGUUAAAUUAUAAUUCAUAAUUAAAAGUUAAUUAUGAAAUUAACUUUGACAUAAAGAAUUGGGUUUUAAAUAUAAUUUAAAAGAAGAAUGACAAAAUACCCAAAAGCCAAUUGGGCCAUUGGAUAAGUGUUGUAUGACAACACAAAUCCAAAAGACCCAAGUGAGGCCCAUCUUCCCAUUUGGCCGAAUUUUGGGGAGAGAAAUUCUCUCUCUCCCUUUGUAUGCUUUUUCCUAUAAAAGCCAAACUUGACUCAAAACCUAGUUAGGGUUUUUGGCAUUUCAACUUGGAGUUCUUGAUGUGUAGGAGAGACAUCCUCCCUCUCAUCUUUCUUAGCCAAAAAUGGGACCAACUAAGAGGUAAUCUAGCAUCUAAGGCCUCUUGGUUGAUCUUCUUUCUAUAUCUUGUCCAUUUUGGUGUGGUGAGGUAGAGGGCUUCUACUUUGGAGCCUCUUGGUUAAAGAGUCUACAUUCUAAGAGGAGAUUGAAGGCCUUUCCAACAAGGUGAUCAUUCUUGGUUCUCCAAGAAAGUCUACAGGGGUAAAAGCUUAACCUUUCUUCUCUUUUCUAUUUUGUGCUCAAAGAGACUAGAUCAUAAGAUACUUGGGUUAAAAUGAAAAAGGCUUAGCUCAACUAGAAUAAGCAUAAUCCAUUCGCCAUUAUGAAUGUUUAUGUGUCAUAUGUUGUGGCUAAAUUCAUUCCAAGAUUCAUAAGAUGCAAAAUGUUUCCUUCACCAUUGGAUUAGAUGACUUUAGCUCCUCUCUCCCUUAGCUUCAAGUCUCUCUAUUGACCAUCAUAAUCGCCACUACCCAAAUCGACUACUCUCCCUCUCAUUCCGACCAACAAAGUAUUCUCCCAUUCUCUCACAAUUUUGUCAUGAUUUCGUGAAUUUGUGGUCUUGAUUUCUCUCAACUAUCUCACUCUUCGUUCUAGAUGAUGACGCCUAUAAAUGGCAUCAGACCAAAAUGAGCCUAUAAAUGGGCUAAAAGCAGCCCAAGAAAAUUUAUAUACCGUUAAACUUAGACUUAAAAAAGGCCAAUCAUAUGGAUGUGGUAGGCCAAUUAUUGAACCUUACUAGCCAACUACUUGCGAUAUUAUCGAUUGUUGGCAAACCAACGCCGACUUUUCGGCGUCGUUACCUUUUCAUAUUAGGGUUUUGACAAAAGUAAUGUAAUCCUAUAAGUGAAAAAUUCAUAUUAGGGUUUUGAAAAAAGUAUCCAUACCCUGAUAAUAAGAAUUACGAGCACUGUAAUAGAUAAGGAAUCAAUUGCCCGACAAUUCCAACUUGAAUAGGUUUUUCAUCUUUUCUGAUUAGCUUGGGUAGCCAUGAUAUGUUGUUUUGUGGAAGUCUUGUAAGGUUCCAUAAUAAUUUUCCUUCGCUAAUAGGAAGAAUUAAAUGUUGGGGAUUAAUUCAUAAUCAACUCAGAGAAGUUGAGACAACCCACUGACUCGCUAAAAAGAACCUACGGAUCUGCAUAUCGAAAAAUGUAGUUUUAGGAAUAAAUGAAGAAGAAGGAGAAACUUGGAAAACAAAUGAAGGAGAUAAGACGUUGAAAGUCAACAGUCAAAGUCAACAUGUUUGACCAAAAUAGUUGACUAAGUCAAACUAUUUUAACUAAGGAUAUGACUUAAUGGUUAAGUCACAAAUUAUAAUUAAAAAUGUUAAUUGUGAAGUUAGUUUGAUAGUUGGACUCGAUUUGGGCUUUAAAGGUAUUUUGGGUCAAAGAGCAAAAUAUCCCAAUGACCCAUUGGGCCUAGGAAUAUGUGUUGUAUGACAAUACAAGUUAAAUGAGCCCAAAAGGAGCCCAAACACCACCUUGGCUGAAAUUCUUCAUCUUGGACUUGUUUGGUACGUCGGACUGUACUGACUAAUUUCUGUCGGAUAAUAUUAAUCCAUUCCGGAGAGUGCUGACUGUUUAUCCAUAAUAUUAUAAGGUGUUUGGUGCUGUUCCGGAUAAAUAGUCUGACUAAGUUAUAUUGUGUUGGUUCUGUUCCGGAUAACAUUGGAUCGACCUAUUUUUUAACAAAAAUUCUUUGACAAUUUAAGUGGAAAUAUAGACAAUAUUAUUUACAUAUAUAUAAUUAAGAAAAAAAAAAAAGAGAAUAUAUUGAAGCCCAACAAAAGCAGUCAAGAAGAGAAUCAACAGCCAGUAGUAGCAAUAUAGAAAAAACCAGAAAACAAACCAACAAAUCACCAAAAGUAGAAAAAAAAAAUUACAGCAAAAAAAAAAAAAAAAAAAAACAUAGCCUCAUUGUUCUAAUCGCUAACUUGAGAUGAUAAUUUGAUUAUUAAGUUGGAUACUUGGAGAAGAGGAAAUACAUAAAGAAAAAAAACUCAAGAAAAACUCAGCAGCAUUUAUUGAGUUGGAUACAUGGCCGCAUGAUGAUUAUUUGAUUAUUGAGUUGGGUACAAGGCCGCAUGAUGAUUAUUUGAUUAUUUGAUUAUUGAGUUGGAUACACAGCUGCAUGUAUUGUUCCAAUACAGUAAGAAAAAGAAAAGUCAAAAAGGAAAAACUCAUAACCUAAUUUCUACAAAGAUUUAAUACAAGAGUAAAUAUAUAAAGAAGGAGAAGAUGAAGAAAGAAGAAGAGAGAAGAAGCAUAUUGGGGGGAGAGAGAGAGAUAUAUAUAUAUAUAUAUAUAUAGAUACCUAGAGAAUAGUGAAGAGAAUAACCUUAGAGAAGAUAGCAGAGAAGAACCUUAGGGAGAAGUAGAUGAAAAUAGCGUCGUCGAAUUUUUCACGUGAACGUGUGUGUUCUUUUUCCCUACCUGUAUAAUUAAGCGUAUAUUAUCUAAACCAAGGUGUGUAAGUUUUAUUAGUUAGUCAGGUAAGGAAAGUAUUAAAAGCCCAACCCGUAUAAAAUAGUUAGGUAAUUAUAUAAUAUAAGUUGACACCAAACACCUGACAUGGACUAUUUACUCAUAUCCAGAGUCUAAUACGGUGUACCAAACAAGCCCCUUAUGUGUUGGCUUUAUAAGCCAUACUUAGGCUAUUCUCAAGUUAGGGUCUAAGCCUCCUAAGAAAUUGGGUUGUGGUGUUGAGAAGAAGGAGAAAUCUUAUCCUCCAUCUUAGCUAAAAUCGGUCCACCAAGAGGGAGUCUAGCACCUCUAACUUGUUGGUUGAUAUCUUCUUCAUCUCUCUUUACAUGUGGUGUGCUGAAAUAGAGGCCAUGUCCUUUGGUGCCUUUAUUGAAGAAUCUCUACAAGUUCAAGGAAGAAAGAAGGCCUUGCACGAGGUGUUCAAACUUGGUUUAACCAAGAUGAGCUUCAAGGGUAUUUUCUCAUCCUUCUUCCUGUUUAGUUUUGUGUAUAAAGAGAUUAGGCCUCAAAGAUACAUGGGUAAAAUUUGAAUAGACUUAGCCCAACGAGUUUUAAGUAAAUUACUUAUGCUUUUGAAUAGAUGAUUUAUAUGUUUUGUUGCUAAAAUUCAAUUGAAAGUUUUAAGAUACAUGUUUCCUUUUGGAACCACAACGUUUACAUGCCAAGAUUUUAUGCAUUAAAUAGUUUCCCAAUUAUAACCAAAACAACUCCUUUUUACAACAAACUACAUAUUUUGGUCACUAAGACAACAAAUACAUGGUUUAAACUACUUUUCUAAGCAGCGAAUUUUUUAACCAAAUUGAAAACCACAUUCACAACAAUUAAAAUACAGAUGAUCAACAACAUGUCUUUUAUUCCUUUUAGCAUAUUCACAAUAUAUGCAACUUGUAGCUGAGUAGAUUUAAACUAAUGAGUCAUUUGAUUGAUUGUCUUCCCUCCAUUACGAGUGUCUCUUGCUAUGGUAUCUUCCCUCACUUGUGUGUUCCCCCGUCUAAACCUCUUAAUGUCAACAUCAUCGCACCAUACAAAACUUUUGCAUUCAACACCUUCCUGCAUGAUACAAACACUUGGCAUAACCACAUCAUCCAUAUUAGCUUAUAUAUAUAUUUCAAAACCAAACCUCACAUAAGCUACUUAUUGUGUGUAGUUGAGCUCAUCCCCUUAUAUUUCUUGUACUUAAUGUUGACGUGAGUCUCCUAAUUAAUCAAGAAGAUUUACUUCCUUGAUUAAUUAAGGGAUUUACUUUCCUAUUUUUUAUAUAAGUGAUAAAUCAUUGUACAAUUAGGAGAUACUUUCCUAAUUCUUUACUAUAUUUAAUUCCUUGUAAAACCUUCAUAUGUAAACUCCUAUAUAUACCUCCUUAUGGAGAAUAAUAAAGAACAACCCAAAGUAUUCAAACCAUAUUCAUAUUUUAGCAUGGUAUUAGAGUCAGGUUCUCUUGUGGCCUGUGCUUGCGUUGUUCUUGAAAUUUAAGUGUUCUCUUCCCAUCCUCUUCAAGGGGGGAGGGGGAGUGAAAAUGAUAUGUUUACUGACAUGUCCCCAUUAUCUUAACGUAUUCCCAUGAAGAUACUGCAUAUUUCUUUACUCUGACGACCCCUUCUCUUCAAGGGGAGAGGGGGAGUGAAGAGACGUUGUUUUGUCUCUAAACCCUUAUCUCAAAUUUCCCAUAUUCAAAUCCAAAACCCUAAAUCAAAUUCCUCAUAAUUUUUUUCCCCAAAUCCAAAUCCCUCAAAUCUAAAGUCCUCAAAUCCUCUUAUCCAAAUUCCUGAACACAUACCAUCAAAUCUUAUACACAUACCUCUUAAAUCCAAUUCCUACAUCAAAUUCAUACAUCAAAUUUCUCACAUCACCUUCCUCACCUUCUCAUAUCACAUCUUACUUCUGCUGCGAUGUCAAGAACCCAUACGAUUCUCCAUCUUAUUGCAGACUCAUAGAAGCAUGCGGUCAACCCAGACUCCUUCUUCUAUCACCACCACCAAAGGUUCUACUCUUCAUACGUCCUCCAAGAUCAGAUAUUGCAUAUGAUGUGAGUGUGGAAGAGUAUUUCAUGACUCACUUACCAAGUUGGGCAUUCGUGACAUAUAUGCACCAACUUGAGGAGGAGUGUUGACGUGAGUCUCCUAAUUAAUCAAGGAUAUUUACUUCUUUGAUUAAUUAAGGGAUUUACUUUCCUAUUUUUUAUAUAAGUGAUAAAUCAUUGUACAAUUAGGAGAUACUUUCCUAAUUCUUUACUAUAUCUAAUUCCUUGUAAAACCUUCAUAUGUAAACUCCUAUAUAUAUAUAUAUCUCCUUAUGGAGAAUAAUAAAGAACAACCCAAAGUAUUCAAACCAUAUUCAUAUUUUAGCACUUAACAAUUGUUAGUAGAUUGUUUCUCUUUCUCGCUUACUCCCCUAGUUGUUCCCUUGAUGGUUUUGUGGGUUAACAAAUACUUUGUGUUAUUUACAUUAUUUUGGCUUUUAGCUUGUUCACCACAACUGUCUUUGUGUUUAUUUCUAUAUAUAUGGAGCAAAAUUUUAAUUUGCGAGUUUCUAUCCAUGAGCCUACCCCUGCCCACUCCCCUCUUGUGGGCGUUUACAAAGCUAAGCUCAUGUAAAGAUCUAAGUGUUUUAUCCUUGUGCAACAAAAAAUUGCAGCUACAGAUCUAACUUGAGUGAGAAAAAGAAAAAGGAGAAGGAAAGAAAGAAAAGUGGGGGAGAAGGAAAAACGAAAGAGGAGAGAAAAAAAAGUAGGAGAGAUAAAGUUGGGCUUGGGGAUUAGGUAUUGGGUUUGGGAAUUUGGUAUUGGGCUUGGGAAUUUGGUAUUGGGCUAGGGAGUUAGGUUUGGACUUCAAAAUUUAGAAAAUAAAAUAAAAGAAAUAUUAUAGUCGGUCCGGUUCAAUUCGAAUAAGUUUUUUAAGAUGAAAAUGAAUCUGAAAUCAGACCAAACCGGUUUGAUUCAGUUUUUUGAACAGAAGUCAAUCUUUUGUUCAAUACGGUUUUUCUUGGCUUGGUUCAACCCGGUUAAUCAGUUUUUCGGUUUCGAUCCUUGCCCUUUUGAUGAGGUAAAGGUAUUCGUUUGAUCUUUUGAUUAGGGCUAAACAAUUUCCUAAACAAUUCCAAAGAUAACUGGUAGUAAUAUAAUUAUCAAGAGGUAUCAAUUGCAAUAUAAACUCUGUAUCAUUAGUCAGCUGUAAAAACUUAUUCCAAAGAAGGUCUAGAUCUUUACCUAAGAGAAGAAAACAGUCCAAAAAUCAUGAAAACCAAACGUAAAUUUUGUGGGCCCUUCUGUAUUUGUUUUUAACGCACCCUCCAAUGGAUUGCAUAGUCUAACUGAAACUUAGAGGGAUAAUGCAGUCUUGGUACCACGUAGUAAUCUAGGAAAGUUGUUUUUAAUUUGCAUUGGCUGGCCAAAAGGUCAAUUUUCUGACCCUCUCAUUGUUAAGACCGACGGCACCUUUUAAGACACUCACAACCCUUAUUGAGCUUUCUCUUUCACUGAUACCACCUAGAGGCUUAGAUCUUGAAAGCAUCCAACUAAUCAAGUGUUAUUGAUUUCUUCUUGGUUUGUUUUUGGUGAGCUAAUUUGACUCACUCACUCUGUGUAUACUUCUUAUGGCUUUGAUUUUUUUGGGCCAGAUAUGGCUGUGAUUCCAAUAAGAAAAAUACAAAAUUUGAAAGCAUAGAUAUAAACCGAGAUAAGAACAAAUUUGGCAAGAAUUUUUGAUACACACUAUGGUUAGUGUAGGAAAUUACAGAUCGUGCAUCAACGAGGACUGCUAGCAGCGAAACUCGAAUACUUACACACAGUGCAAGGACCUUACCAACUGAACCAACCCUCAUUGAUGUCCUUUUAAGCCCUUAACAUUGAAUCAUAACCCUAAAUUCUAAAAUAUAUAACAUUGUUUUAAUCACGUAUAAACAUUAUUAAAAUAUAAAAUAUAUACGUAAAAUCCUAUUGGAUUCUCUCAAGAUGCUAUUUCGUAACCUAGAAAAGUUAGGAACCCAAUUUAAUAAUAAUUUGAUUGAAAUUUUAUUUUGUAUUCACCCAAUGACUAUUGUACUAUGCUGAUCCAGAAUCAGAUAUAAUAUACCCAAAAAAAAAUGGCAUUAAAAAAGAGAGGCAGUGAGAGUCUAGUUUGACUUCCCUAUGCUGGGCAUGCAGCAUGUAAAUGCAAACAAAUAAUUCAGAGACAACAAUACAAAGGAAUUGGAAUUGUUCUGCCGAGCCCGAAUUAUAAAUAGUAAGUGCCGAGAAAGAAAGAAACUGACAGAUGCUUCAAGUUGUCGACUUAUAUUUGGAGCAACCCAUGCAAGUGCUGGCUGACUCAUAACUCAUUAUCAUCCCACACCCACAUAUAUAUGUGUAUAUCCAUGGAAUAAUGGUUGUAAAUAUAUUUGGAAUAAAUGGUAAAAUAUAAUGUUUUCAAUAGUUGCCACAUCUGAGGAGCAAUAUUUGAGCGUGAGAGUUUUUUCUUUAAAUAAAUAAAACAUUAUUUUAUUCAAUAAUUAUGGUACAUGAAAUUUAAACUCGGAACUUGCUCUAGGUGUCAAUACUAGUUCUUUACAAAAAAAAGUGGUGUGAAUCUACCAGAGUUUGCACUCCAUAGCUGACGAUAUUUGGCAACUGAUGGGAAAUUCUCUCAAAUAUCAAACUCACAUUUAGAGAGAAUCGAAUAUUAGCGCGUUUUGUUCUUCAUAUUGGAACUUCACUAACUUGGUUUGAGGAAUCCCCAUAUUUUAUAGUUGAUCUCUUAUUUGAGGAUUGUAACUUGUAAUUUUUUCGGGUAUGUUCUGAUGGGGACAGGGGGCACUCUACUGGAGGUAAGGCUCCUGCUCCCGCUUUGCAGUUGAGCGGGUACGGUUAUUCAGUUACCCCGACGAUCGAGUCCAAUGGUGUAGAGACACUCACCUAAUUCCGGACGACAUAGCCUGAUUUUUGUACUUGUUACUCCUCUUUAUCAAAUAAAAUACUAUCGUUAUUCUCUUAAAAAAAGAAAAAGAAAGAAUUGAACAUGGUAGCAGAUCUUUUAACAAAGAAGGGUCAUUAAUUUAUAAUCAUUUAUGUAAUUGGUUUAGAAGUUUUCCUUUGGAUAUUAUCAAACAAAAUACAAGAGUUAUUAUAAUGGGAACACAUUAAAAGUUAGAACCCAAACCCUUCUUAUAUGUGGAUGUACAAAUAUAUAGUAUAUAUUUUGUUAAACAUUAGGUCAUCUAUGAGCUCUCUUGAUGUAGGGCUAGCGUUAUGCAUAGGAAUCACCUUCUAAUAUGCCUUGCUUUUAUAAGAAUGAAUAAUAAUAAUAAUAAAAAGUAACCAUUGGUGAAUUACUGUGAUAGAGUUUAGCAGUGACAGGAAUAUAAUACAAAUCCAUAAAGCAAGUUAAUUGUAUUUCUAAACAGUGAAAAGAUUAAGGAAAUGUGAUGUGUUGCAAUUUUUGUUAGAUACAAAGGGAUGGAACCCUCAAUUAGGGGUUAUCAUUAGGCCCGCAAGCCCGUGGGCCGAUGAGGGCUCGUCCUGCGGAUCGAGAAAAAGCCCAGCCCUUACCCGUUAUAGGCCAUUACCCGACCCGGCCUAUUGUUGAGUGGGCUAGGCUGGGCUUGGGCUUAGGUGUUUAAAGCCCGGCCUAGCCCAUAGGCUUGGCCUGUUUGAGCCCAAGAAAGCCCGGCCUAGCCCAUAAGCUUGGCCCGUUUGAGCCCAAGAAAGCCCGGCUCUGCCCGCCCAUAAAAGGUUGGCCCACGGGCUCACAUAUAUAUAUAUAAAUAAAUUUAUAUAAAAAAAUUCAAGUUAAAUGAAAGAUGGAGAAAAUCAUGAUCUAUUAUCAUUGUAAGAACUAAAAACAAAAAGAAGUAUGGGAUAAAAUAUGAGUUUAUUAAUAUGGCGGUUGUAUAACUAUAUCUUUAUAUUUAUGGGAAAAAAAAAAAAAGAACUAUGAAGUUAUGAACAAAGAAAAAAAUGGAGACGACAAAUGUAAAAUAGAGGGCUAGGUAAAAAAAGAACUAUAUAUUUAGCCAACUCUUAUUUUGUUUUUCUUCUUCUUUUUAUAUUUCAUAAAAUAGAGAGAGAGAGAGAGAGAGAGAGAGAGAGAGAGAGAGAGAAUGUUUAUCCUUUUUAUUCAAUUUUGUUAAACGGCCUUAAAAUCCACAUGUUUAGGUUGCAUUAAUUUAUCCUGCUUUAUGUUCUAACUUCUUUCUUUAAUAUAUUAGUGCCAAGGUGAAAAAUCAAUAUGAAUUCUUAUAAGGAUGCGAUUUUCUACAGCUACUGCGAUAAAUUUUCCUGCUAUGAUCCUCAAGAAGAACUAGCUCACAUGAUUAAACGUCACAAGCACGCACCUGAGGUGUAGGGGCUGAGGGCACCAGACAAUCGUAAGAGAUGCAGAUUAUGUGUGCACAAGAAUGGGUAUGACCAUGCAAAGGUCGUCACUGAUCAAAGUGCUUUGGACAAACAUAUGGACAAGGUCCAUCCAAUGUGGGAGGACUUGUACCCACAGUGCCAUAAAAAAAAUUGUCACAAAGUAUUUUUGAAUAACGAGGAGUAUGAGGCCCACAAAUAGGGGUCAUCAUUAGGCCCGCGAGCUCAUGGGAAGAUGGGGGCUCGACCUUUUGUUGAGUGGGCCGGGCUUGGGUUUAGGUGUCUAAAGCCUGGCCUGGCCCAGCCAGCCCAUAAAGCCCGGCCCAAGGGCUCACAUACAUAUAAAUAAAUAUAUAAAAAAAAACCCAAGUUAAAUGAAAGAUGGAGAAAAUCAUUAUCUAUUGUCAUUGUAAGAAAAAAAAAAAAACUAUGGGAUAAAAUAUGAGUUUAUUAAUAUGAUGGUUGUAUAACAAAGAAAAAAAUGGAGACAUAAACAUAUAGACAAAUGUAAAUAGAGAACUAUGAAAAAAAAUGGAAACAUAGAAACACACCAAAAACAUAGAAAAAAUAAAUAAAGAAUUGACAAAAAAAAUCCAUAUAAAAAAAAAAGACAAAAUAAAGUAAGCCCAUUUAGGCUCGCCCUGAUGACUUUUUCAACCCCGGCUCAUGGGAUGGGCUUGGGCUUUGAAUUUUCUAAAAAAAUCAGGCCUGACCCUGCCCGUUAUUCUCACUCCUCUUUGUAGCCCGGCAUAGCCCAACCCAAACCCAUUAAAUUUGGGUCGGGCUAGCCCGACCCGAGGCCUACCCUCAACCUAUUCUAAUCAAUUACCACUAAAUGGAGCUAUAUUUUAUAUAUUUAUUAAAUUUAAUUGUACUACUCCAACCACUUUUCAAACCAUCAACAUGUGUAGAAUUCUCAUGACGCAUCAAUAUACUCUCAAACAUACUAGGUGCAAUGAUGUGGUAUAUCACUAAUUAAUGCUGAUUAGCUAGUUUAAAGUAGGGUUUAAUUUCAUAUCACAUUAAUUCGUUUUUUCAUUUUUAAUACAUGUAAUAUUGGGAAGGGGAGAAUCGAACGUACGGAAAUAAAUAAUUUUAACCACUUAAACUACAAAUUCUUUUGUCACAUCCGUUAUUUAUACCAAAGAAAAGUUUAUUGAGGGAAUGUGCUAGGCCCUAGGGUAAAAAAAGGGAAAUACACAAGGAAUGGGGCCAUAUGAUAUUCUCCCACCCAAGACUCCGCACCAAAAGUUAAAUGUUCUAUCCACUUUUGGCUUUUCCUAUAAUUUCCUUGUCUCUUUGUCUUAAUGUUAGAAGAAAGUACCAAGUGGAUGGUCUAUGCCUUUGAAAGAAUCCAAAUACAAGUUUUGGAAGCACUAGCAAGGCUCUCCCUUGCAAUUCCCUCUAUUACCCACUAAGCAACAAGGAAGGUUGUUGUUUUGUUUUGUUAGGACAUGUUUGGAAGGGCAUUGUGUUGGAGAAUAGUACCAAAACCUGGCCAGCUCUUAUUCCCAUCCACCUCACAUGUUGACAAAAAUGAACUGAGAGAGAGAGAGAGGGAAACAAAGCAACAAAGCAAACAAUUAAGAUAGGGAGAAAAUCUAGAGAGAGAGAGAGAGGGAGGGCUGGCUCUGUAUUUCACUAAUUCCAUAUUCCUCUGAACACACUCAAAGGACACACAAAACAAAGCAAUGACGACAAAAGCAGCCUCUUGUAUUGUCGCCAACGCAGCCAUGGAAAAGUCCUUCAAAACAAGACCUUUAUUACUAUUUCAGUCACUUUGCAACAAAACUUCACAUCACAUGAAACCCUUUGGAGUUCUGGACUCGCUUUGAUGGAGUAGGAGGUCGAGCCAACCAAUUAAGGAAACUUCCGCAGGAACUUUGCUGGGUUUUCUGUCCAGUGAGGAAUUUCAAUUUCGUUUGAACUUGGUCAGUUAUUUUUCGGAGGAACUAGUAACUUUCUCAGGUAAUUCUUUGCCUCUGUGUCAUUAUUUUGAUUCCUCGGUUUUGAUGUGUGCUUGGAAAUUAGUACAAAAUCCCAGUUGCUCAUUUGUUGUGAUGUUGUUAAAGAGGUAGAUUGUUUUGUUUAUCUUUUGCUUUCUUUUGUGUGGCAUGAUUUUUCUUUAGGCUCUCUUUGGUUGGUGGAAAAGUAGACAUUUGAACUUGUUAAUUCCCAAAAUUUUUUAUUGCUGAGCUAUAAUGAAUUGGCUCCAUGUGUCUCAGCUAUAAUGAAUUUGUUAGUUUUGUUAACAAUGGAAUCAUUUGCAAGAACAAGAAUCAAAUAUUGUAUUUUUAAUCUUCUGCUCUUUUGCUCUGUUUCUCAGAAACCACAAGGUCAGUUGACCCAAUUCACAUCAAAUUUACUGGGAUCCCUGGGUAAUUUUGAUUGUGUGUUCUCUGAUCUUCUUGCCUGUUUCUUGACCUUGCUAUUUAUGCGUUAUUAGAUACCAAAAUAAGGUCUGUCUGGAUGUGGAGAAAUUUCAGUUGAAAUCGAAGCUCUUCAUAUUUGGGAAACCAAACCGGUAGAAAAUAAUAUUAAAAAAAGCAGACUUAAUUAAAUUUUUUUUUUCUCGGCUGCUUCCCUUCCGGUCUAAUUCUUUCUGUUUUGAAACAGUUCUGGCAAUCUGAUCUUCAGCGUCCCCUAAUUGUUUUUAUUGUUAAUUGAAAGAAUGGCGCAAGAGGACGGGUCCCCAGUAACUUCAUCACCCCUGCAGUUCUUUCCCUGGCUAUCUCCUGGGAUGGGAUCUCCAUACCCAACAUGGCUCAGGGAGCUAAAAUCUGAAGAGAGAGGUUUAUAUCUGAUCCAGCUUCUUUAUUCUUGUGCUAACCAUGUCGCUUCUGGUAGCAUUGAGAAUGCAAAUAUUUGGCUUGACCAUAUUUCUCAGCUAGCCUCUCCUGAUGGAGAUACAAUGCAGCGAAUAGCUGCUUAUUUCAAUGAGGCACUUGCAGACCGGAUGCUUAAAGCUUGGCCUGGUCUGUAUAAAGCCCUUAACUCAACGAAAAUAACAUCAGUCUCAGAAGAAAUUCUCGUUAAAAGGCUCUUCUGUGAUCUAUGUCCUUUCUUGAAGGUUGCGUACGUGGUUACAAAUCAGGCCAUAGUGGAAGCAAUGGAAGGAGAAAAGAUGGUUCAUAUUAUUGAUCUUCAUUCAUGUGAGCCUGCCCAAUGGAUUUAUCUGAUUCAGACAUUAAAUGCUCGACCUGAAGGCCCGCCUCAUUUGAGAAUUACGGGCAUUCACGAACAGAAAGAGGUAUUAGACCAAAUGUUCCAUCGCUUGACUGAAGAAGCAGGAAAUCUGAACAUCCCGUUUCAGUUCAAUCCUAUAGUUAGCAAGUUAGAGAACCUUGAUAUCGAAAGUUUGCGUGUCAAGACUGGAGAGGCUCUUGCAGUCUGCUCUGUAUUGCAGCUACAUUCUCUCUUGGCAGCUGAUGAUGAUCUUAGGAGAAAAUCACCAUUAGCAUCUAAGAACCUGCAGAAAGUCUUGCAUAUGAAUAAACUCACUUUAGGAGAGUGGCUGGAGAAAGAUCCAAUCAGUGCAUAUAACCUAAGUCCUGAUUCUGCAUUGUCCCCACUAUCAGGUGGUUCACCAAAGAUGGGGAGUUUUUUAACUUCUCUUUGGGGCCUUUCACCAAAGCUAAUGGUGAUCACCGAGCAAGAAUCAAACCACAAUGGCCAUACAUUAAUGGACAGGAUCAUGGAAGCAUUGAACUUUUAUGGAGCUCUUUUUGAUUGCUUGGAGUCUACAGUACCGAGAUCACCAAUGGAGCGACAAAAGGUUGAGAAGAUGCUUUUCGGAGAGGAAAUAAAAAACAUCAUAGCAUGUGAGGGAACCGAGAGAACAGAGAGGCAUGAGAAGCUUGAGAAGUGGAUUUUAAGGCUUGAGUUGGCUGGGUUUGGCAGGGUCCCUUUAAGCUACCACGGAAUGUUACAGGCUAGGAGGCAGUUGCAGGGCUAUGAAGGGUUUAAGAUUAAAGAAGAAAAUGGAUGUUUAGUUAUUUGUUGGCAUGACAGGCCGCUUUUUUCAAUAUCGGCCUGGAGGUUUAGGAGAUACGAGUGAUGUUGGUGGUCCAUGUGGGGAUUGAGUGCUUGUGUUUUUGGUUUUUUCUUUCUUAAUUUUCCUUUUCUUGUUUGUGUAAAGGAUUUUAUGCAUUUCUUCCUCUGCAACUGCAUAGUAUCUUCCUCAGAAGCUUGGGAGAAUUAUUCUCUGUUCUAAAACUUUAGUUAGUUGUUAAUUUGUAUCCUAUUUUAGUUUUCUUCCCACAUAAACGCUGAUGUUUCUGCCAUAUUUGGGUUUGAACCCUGUUCUACAGAUUCUUCAAAGUUAAACAUGACAUUACACUUCAAAGUUAUUUUCUGAUAUCGAAUUGCAUUCAUUACUGGUCUCAGUUGCAUGUGAGACGGCAGGACCUUUUUUCCUUUCCAGUAGUGUGCAGUGCUCGAAGUUUACAUCAGUUUGGUUGCUUAGACAACUGGUGGUAAGAAGAGAAACAGUACUUUUAAGUAGCCGAAUAUCACACUCAAUGCUAUGCAAGUUAUGCUAAAUCAACAGAGAAUAGACUGAUGUAAUCUUGGAAGGCAACGCAACUAAUAAAGAAAAAGCAACAAAUGUGGCAUGAUAUUAUCAGUAACAAAAAACCUAUUUGUACCACUUUUACUGACCACAUCUCUCGCCCACAUGAUGUGAUGCAAGUAGCAUUAACCUUUUCAGUAGUGCAACAGACACAUUGUAUUCGACGGCAGCAUCUCCAGUUUUUGCACUCAAGGAAACUGUCUUCACCAAUGCAUAGCCCCUUGCAUACCGGAAACCCCAGUACCUCCAACGAUUGGCAUCUCUCGGGUCCGUUGAAAAAAUGGAUUCCUACCUAGAAUGCCAAGGGCACCGCCAUAAUGCACACAGUCUAAGAAAGCAAAGUUCAAGGCCAUAAGCAGCGCAGAGCUGUGUUGAGAAGGAAAAGUAUAUAUGCCUUGAGCUGUACCCACAAGCUUUGAACUUGUUGAAUUAUAAGUCUCUAGCUGAUUAGAAUGAGUGAAAUAAGCUAUGAGCUUAAUUGGGUAUUCACUUUAGUUUUAUCAUUGACAAGUGUGAAGCUAAGAUUGUAAGGCAUACAAUGCCAUGUCUAAUGAUCCUAGUAGAUAGCUAGAUGUAUGGCUGAGAUCAUUUUGUGAUGUAAGGGGUCCAGCUAAGAGUGCUAACGGUAAUAUGCCUUGCUCUAUGCGUGUGAGGUGGUCAUGAUAUGAAGAAGUAAAAUUCCCCUGCUGUAUUCUGCAGAGCAGUGAGAGAACAUUUCAUUCUGCUCGUCACUUUCGUUUCUUUCUCUUUCUUUCUUCAUCAUCUUUCUCAUAUAUGCGUUAAGACUCCAUAGAAACCAGAAUCAUACAAGAAACACUAAUAUGGCCUUAGAGCCAAGUUCGAUCACUUGAAAGUUCUUAAGACUCUGAAAUCGAGGUAUAUCGAAGCUCACUCAAGAUUUGUUGAAGGUUGCUGGAGCUCGAUUUUGACCUGAAACAACUUGUUUUUGGUUUAUCUGAGCUCAUAAAUGGCUGGAUCUCGAAGUUCAGAAGUGAGAACUCCGAUCUUCUUCGGUGAGAACUAUGAAUUAUGGAGAAUCAUAAUGGUAACCAUAUUCAAAUCAUAUGGUUUAUGGAAUCUGGUGGAAAAGGGAAUUACGAUUCUUGAUUUGGAGAAGAAAAAAGAAAGCUGGGGAAGCUUUAGAAGAUGAGGUUGAUGAGAAAAUGGCUGCAAUCUUCAUGAAAGAUGCAAAAGCUCUGGGUAUCAUACACAAACGCAGUUUCCAAUCAAAUCUUCCUUCGUAUCGACAACGUAGACUCAGCUAAAAUGGCAUGGGAUCUGUUGUAUGGAGAAUAUCAUGGUGGUGACCAAGUUAGAUCAGUAAAACUUCAAAAUCUCAUACAUGAAUUUGAAUACACUAGAAUGCGUGAUAAUGAGCCUCUAUCUGAUUAUCUUACACAAUUGAAUGAGUUGAUUAAUAUGAUGAAAACAGUUGGUGAGAUUCUUUCAAAUGAGAGACUUGUUCAAAAGGUUUUGAUUAGUCUCAGUAAAGCAUAUGAUCCUAUAUGUCUUGAGAUUGAAAACACAAAGAGCCUAGAGACUGUAGAAUUGCAGGAAGUGAUUGCUAUUUUGAAAAGCCAAGAACAAUACGGCUGAGAAAGCAUUUGCCUUAUUCUCUGUGAGUCCAAAAGGGCAGAACAAAGGUGGUGCCUAAGAAGCAUGGAUACGCCAAUUUAGUGGCGUAUCCCGUAUCGGAUACUCGUUUGGAUACGAUACGCUUCGGAUACGGUCCGAUACGCAUUGGAUACGUAUCGCAGUCAACAGAUACGUUAGUUGACUAACGGAUACGAGUAUCCAACAUUCCAGACACGAGUAUCUGACUUUUCGGAUACGAACCUCCGGCUGAAGUUUGCCGUUGAGGGGCUGUUGAGGAGCCCCUGGGAGCUGCGUGUGAAGAGGUAGGGGAAAGAAGAAGAAGAAGAUGUCAGACUAGAGGGGGAGAGAGAGGGAAAGAAGAAGAAGAUGUUAGACUAACAUAAUUGUUAUUAUCUCAAGUGAUGACGUCGUUUGCUAAAACAAGAUUUGUAAUAUAUAUUUUCUUUUUCAUAGAUCUGUUUAUGGUUUUGGGUCUUAAGCAAUGGCAUCAAAAUGGGCUUUGGGUAAUGAUAUAUUUGGGUGAAAAAAGCUAUUCAUGCCUAAAAAUAUACAGAAUCAGAAAAGAAAGCCCAAAAUGCUACACUAUAUUUAUAAUUUAUUUAAAAUAUAUUUUAGGUUAUAUAUAUUUUUAAUAACCGUAUCCAUGUGUAUUCUAAUUUUUGGAAAUUUACCGUAUUCCCGUGUCAUGUCGUAUCGUAUCGCCGUAUCUGUAUUCGUGUCCGUGCGUGGUGCUCAAUAUGGUUCAUCCAAUUGGAAUCCUAAGGGUAAACAAUGGGAAUCAAAACCCAAGUUUCAAUAGAAUAGCUUUGCACAAAACUUGAACUCGUCACAGUCAAUGAGUCAAGAAGUUAUAAAACUAGUGUAAAGUGUGUUCCAAGUUUCAUUUUGGUGAGUGCAGAUAUAAGGGGAAGCCUAAGUGCUAUAACUGUGAUAGAUUUGGUCACAAGGCUUGAGAAUGUACUUCAAGUAAGAUAGUGCAAAAGGUAAACUGUGCUAGCCAAAUAGAGGUGACAGGGAACCUAUUCUAUGCAAAUAGUGCAAUAACUGAGGCAAAGAUAAAUGAAGAGUGGUACAUUGACAGUGGUUGUAACAAUCACAUGGCUGGAAAUGUGGAGGUCCUUGUUGAUAUAAGGACAAAUGUUGCAGAAAAGGUUCAAAUGCCAAUAGGUGCACUUGUGGAUGUAGCUGGUAUGAGUUCACUCGUUAUGGACACAAAUAGAGGCAGAAAAUUCAUCAGAGAAGUGAUGUAUCUUCUAGGUUUGAAUUAUGGGCGGUAUAUUACCUUUAUUACUAUCAUGCUUUUAUUUAUAUGAUAUGUAUGGUAAAAUUUGUCAUUCUAGUUCUAUUCUAGAAGAUAUAACAUAACCAAAACCUAUUGUCCUUCUUGAAUCAUAAAUAAUAUAACACACUAGUUACGUAGUUAUUUAUAAGGGUAUAUUAGUGAUUUACCCAUUGAAUUUGUACCUAACUUUCGAUUUGCCCCUAUUCUUUUUUCUAGAAAAUUAAGGAUAUGAACUUUUUUUUUUGGGGGGCCAAUUUCCCCCCUACCAUCUAAAUCUACAACAUUUCAUCCAAUUUGCCGUUAAAUAUAAGGGCAAAAUGGUCAUUUUGUAUGUGAAAAAAUAAAUAAAUAAUGAAAAAUAAAAUAAAAAACAGAUUAUUGAAAUAAACUCUCUUUCUCUCUAUGGUAAACUCAUCCCCUAAAUCACCGCCCUCUUUACUUCUCUGCAAUUCCGACACCGCAUACUACUUGGGCCAUUGUAUGACCUUUAAGCAACCAAUCCCAUUUGAGGCCUUAAUGAUUCAAAAACACUCUUGUGUAUUUUGGAACCAACACUUUCUCAAAACCAUCAGGCAAACCCAGAUCCCAUUUCAAAGGAUACAGAGAUUGGAGUGGUAAAGUUCUACUUUUUGUCAUCAUAAGCACUAUACAAAGCCUCUCCACAGUAUCACUCUCAUGGGUUUGGUGUAUACUCUAUUCUCGAGGGAUGGGUCUAGGUCUAGAGGCAAGGGCUGGGGGAUACGUCUCGGCUGGGGAGAGAACAAAAAGAAUAGGAGAAGNNNNNNNNNNNNNNNNNNNNNNNNNNNNNNNNNNNNNNNNNNNNNNNNNNNNNNNNNNNNNNNNNNNNNNNNNNNNNNNNNNNNNNNNNNNNNNNNNNNNAAAAAAAAAGUUAAUAUCCUUAAUUUUCUUUAAAAAAAGGAUAGGGGUAAAUCGAAAAAUAGGUAUAAGUUUUUGGGGAUAAAUCACUAGUAUACCCUUAUUUAUAAUUUGUCCAAAGAGAGAGAGAGAGAGCGCUUUAGUUGAGGGAUCUCUCAAAUAAGCUUAAUUGAGGGACACCAUUGUAGGGCCCACCAUGCAUUUUAUGUCAAUGAUUUGAACUGUCUAAUUUCUAGAUAUUCCAUCAAAAAUCAUCUCUGCAAAAAAUCACUUGAAUCCUAAAUCAUUUGACCACUCAAUUCGAUGGUUCUUAUUAUAUAUAAGGAAAUCCCAUUAUAUAUAUAUAUAUAUAUAUAUAAGGAAACACAUACACAUAUAUAUCCCGAUCUCUUGGACUACAGGGGUCCAAGAGAUUUGUGGUCACUCAUCGUUGGAUGUAAAUUCAACGGUUUACUCACUCUUGCACUCCUUUUAGGAAACUUUUUUGAACCAUUGGAUGUUACAUCCAACGGUAGGUGACCAUAGUCUCUUGGACCCCUGUGGUCCAAGAGAUCGGGGCUGUAUAUAUGUAUAUAUGGGGUGUUCUUCAAUAAGUAGGGAUAUUAAAUAAGGAAAUGCUGAAUUUUAGGGAAGUGUUUUCAUAGACUUCCAUUUAUGAUAGUGGCAUCUACUGUAAAUUCCUUAAAAAUUAUGGACAUACUAAUUGUAUGUGGUAUAUGGCUCCAACCAAAUCUCCUGGUCGUGAUGGGAUGCCUUCUUUAUUCUACAAAAAGAUUGGGAUGUUGUGGGGAGUGAUGUUUGCCAACUGUGUCUGAAUGUUCUAAAUGGUAGUGAUAGUUUUCUGGGGUUUAACUAUACGCUGAUUGCUCUCAUUCCUAAGAUUGCUUCACAGACACAAGUUACUGAAUUCUGUCCUAUUGAUCUCUGUAAUGUGCUCUAUAAGAUUAUCUCCAAGACAGUUGCCAACAGAUUGAAGAAGGGCUUGCCCCAUGUGAUCUCAGAGUUUCAUAGUGCUCUUAUUCCUGAUCGUAUGAUAUUGGAUAAUGUGCUAGCAGCAUUUGAAACUAUUCAUUAUUUGAAGCGGCUGGGAAAAGCAGGACGGGGAAAGCUUAUGUUGAAACUGGAUAUAGCAAAAGCUUAUGAUCGUGUUGAAUGGACCUUUCUAAACCGCAUGACGCAUACUAUGGAAUUUCCUGCUCGUUUUGUCAAUUUUAUUAUGGGACGUAUUACCACAGCUUCUUACUCAGUGUUACUUCAAGGGCGACCUUUUGGUAAGCUUAUCCUAUCCAAGGGUUUGUGCCAAAGGGAUCCAAUUUCACCCUACUUAUUUCUUAUCGUGGCUGAGGGAUUCUCUGCCAUUCUCCACCAAGCUGAGUUCAAUUUUAAGAUUAGGGGAGUCUCAAUUGCUGCUUCGACACCUUCUCUAAAUCAUUUAUUUUUUGUGGAUUAUAGUUUGUUGUUUUGUGAUUCAGAGCCUACUCAAGUUGAUAAGUUAAAGCGUAUAUUCUGCAUCUAUGAGGAUGCUUUCGGGUCAACAGAUUAAUCUGGAGAAAUCAGCCAUGUGUUAGUCCUUCUACGUCGCCGGCAGCACUGGCCCAAAGUCAAGCUAUAUUGGGUGUUCCUAUUGUCCCCGAAAAAUAUUUGGGACUCCCUACCAUUGCAGGAAAGAACAAAAAAAUCUGAUUUAUCGUACUCUUAAAGAUCACAUAUGGAAGAAGAUUACAGGUUGGGAAGGUCGAUUACUUUUGAAAGCUGGAAAGGAAGUGUUAGUUAAGGCAGUUUACGAAGCCAUGCCUAUUUAUUCUAUGAGCAUAUUCAGCUUACCGGUUGCCAUUUGCAAUGAGAUUGAAAGUAUUAUUGCUCUCUUUUGGUGGUCUAAAUGCACUGAGAGAGGAAUUUAUUGGAAAAAUUGGAAAGCUUUGUGUCGUCAUAAGUCGGAGGGCGGUUUGAGCUUCCGUAAGUUUGUCAGUUUUAAUAAAGCUCUAUGGGCAAAACAAGGAUGGCGCUUGCUUGAAUCUCCUAAUUCACUUGUAGCUCGUAUGCUGAAAGCAAGGUAUUUCCCUACUUCUAAUUUCUUGAAUGCCCAAGCUGGUUCGGCUCCUUCAUAUACUUGGCAAUCUAAUUUGUGGGAUAGAGAGCUUCCACAGGUGGUUUACGAUGGAGAAUUGGUGAUGGCCAAUUGGUACAAAUAUAUGGUGAUGUUUGCGUUCCUCACAGCCGCAAUUUUACUGUUCAAACCGUUCCUCAUAUCCCCCAAUAUCCAUCAUAAGAGAAUAAAUUUCAAUAUCCAUUUCUUCUAGCUACAACAAGGAGGUAGCGAAUUCCAGAAGAGUACCACAAUUCGGUGAAUCUGAUUUUAUUUCGGGUUAAAGAUUCAUGUGAAUUCAAUCCCACAUCAAUGUGAAUACAGAGUGUAAAAUCUUCUCUGCUUAGGCUGUACUGGAAAUACAUAUUCUCUUCAUAUCCUACAAAACCCAUCAUAACAGAAAAGAAAUUACAAUUCUUCUAGCCAGAUGAUUGUAGUAUCCCUGGCCUAAGUACAAUACAUGACUGUAUAGGAAAGAAAAAAAUAAUAAAUAACUAGCCUCUCCGCAUGAGCUUCCGUACCUGCGAGAGGUUUUUUUUUUUUAAAAAAAAAAAAAUUUUAUUUUAGAAUUAAAAAAUAUAAUGGGUAGUUGUGUUUCAUAAAAAUAGGAUUCAUUAUCUGAUUUUUCUUUUAAUUUUAAUUUUUUUUAAAAUAUGAAAAGUGUGAAGUUACCAUAUUAUCUUCAUUUAAUUAAUAAUUACAAUUCUUAAUGUUUGCAUUAACCAAGGGCAUUUUUUGGUAUUUUGAAUGUUUUACCAUUCUAUGCCCUUUACUUUAUAUAUAUAGAUCAAACAGGCUCCAUGACAGGACCCAUCCCGAAUUCCUCGAAACUCGAGACGAAUCCUGUGGAAAUUCCCGACAUCACCCCGAUGUCGGGCCUACUUCUAAACUAUAUCUUUUUUCCCAAAAAGGAAUAAGGGCAAAAUUUCGGCAAAGUCUCUCCUGUAAAUUGAACACUCACCAAAAUUCAACCUGUACAAAAUUCACAAUUUAUAUCCCAACAGGCAGCACGAGCAUGAAAAAUAGUCAAAAAUCCAUACCUUGAUUGCCAGAAUUGGUGGCCGGAGAACAAAGAACGAGCCGUCGAAAUUUCUGUCAAAACCAGCGCGAUUCCGGAGGAAUUCCGACGACUGGAGCAGCUGAAGAUAGCUGGGACCGACCGGGGUAGGGACAGGAGGCGGUCGCGGUUCGUUCUUGGUCGAUCCCGUGGUCGGCCGUGAGUUGUGGCGGCGUUAAUGGAGGAUGGAGGGUGUCGAGUGGAGGAAAAUCGCAAGGGAGGGGGGCUGCGCACGGGGGAAGAGAGAGAAGGAGAGAGAGAGAGAGAGAGAGAGAGAGAGAGAGAGAGAGAGAGAGAGAGAGAGAGAGAGAGAGAGAGAGAGAGAGAGAGAGAGAGAGAGAGAGAAAUUUCUUUUUUUAUAAAAAAAAAUCCCCUUUCAAAAUAAUUACGAUUGUGCCACUGAGUUUCUUUUGAUUGUAACUUCCUCAUUACAACUCCAAAUCGAGCCCACUACGUAUCUACGAACUCAUCUCGUCGAGCUCUACGCAGCGGUACAGCUGAAAUUCUCAAAUUUCUUGCCGGUCAAAAAGUCAACUUUAAACCCAAUAAAAUAUUCUAGGAGUAAAAUGGUCUUUUAUCUACAUAAAUUAAUAAUUACCAAUUUAUUUAGGACCGGGUCGUUACAAUCUACCCCCCUUAUAAAAAUUUCAUCGUCGAAAUUUCAUACUUGUCACUCGAAGGUGUAAGAGUACUGGGCCCGCAUCUACUACCCGGGUUUUCCAGUUUCAUCCUUCACAACCAUGUUUGCAGCCAAGCCAAUAGCUCUAUCUAAAUAAACAUAGGAAGAGAAGUCUCCUUCUCCUACUAAGAAUAUCCUUUAAUAGCUGCUGUAAUGCUUAAACUUAUUCUGGAAGCUAAAUACUUCCAUUCGUGAUUUGAUUUCCCUCUGGCCCUCCCAUUGAGAAGAGUCCGAGUUCUUUGACUUAUUGAUAUUUUCCUUCUUUCUUUAGAAUUGACAAACGACUUUGCCAACAUGAUUCUUUGAGAGGAAUAUAAAAAAGGAUCAUUUUUACCGAAUUGUAAUCAUCCUCUAGAUAGCGAUCUCCGCUACCCUCAUUUAUUUAAAUUCACCCCAUCUUCUAACCUUAACUUACUACGAUCCAACCAAACCAUUUCCUGAAAACGCACCCUGAAAUCCUCUUACAAACUUAAUUUUCGAUCUCAAACCAAACAAACCUGGUAGAUCCAUAAUAAGACCAUUCCAAGAUCACAUGAAUUUCCUUGAGGUCUUGUCGACUCACUAGCUAACACUCAUUACCCCAAAAAUCAUUACUUCCUAAUUGAGUUAACUACCAACCGUACUUAACUCAAACAGCAUUAACAACUCACUUAUUUCCAUGUAAUUUAUCCAAAGGGGUUUCUCUAAUAUUUUUCUCCCUUAUUUCCCUUUGUAAAAUAAGUUGACUUUUGAAAGUUCCCGACUAUCUUUAUAUCACCUCAUCAGAUUCAAUACUUUUAGCUUUUCACACUCACUUUCUUAGUUCUCUUCAAUAUGCUUUAACAUUGCCCCUAAAAGCAAUAACAUCCGAGCAGCCAGAACCUUACAAUAAUUCAUCCUAUUUCGUAAUGAACUUCUCUUGGAACUUAAGUCCACUCUUACCGACUACUUGUCAGUGUACAACCAUGUUCCUUCAUAAAAUCUAUACCCUCCAACACCCUUUUAUACUAUCCACUACCACAGAAGUUCAGUAGUAAGUAAGCAUAAAGAUCUCCACUUACUACUAUCCUCCCACUCUCCAUAUUCCUCUUAAAGUUCCCUUGCAAUUCUAAACAUAAAGUUCAUUGUGUUUUCCAUGGUUACAAAUUUACGAAGCAUCUAAAAUACCAUUUGUGACGUCCAUAGCGUCGCAAAUGUGCCAUUCUGGGAUGGAACCCAUCAUGAUGCCAAAAUUUAAGGAUGCGCACAAGGUGCGGGGUUCACAGAAAAUUGAACCUAGAGCUCGGAUACCAAACUGACAGGACCCGCCCAACCCAAGACGAAUCCUGUGGAAAUUUCCGACAUCAUCCCGAUGUUGGGCCCACUUCUAAAACUAUAUCCUUUUUUCCAAAAAGGAAUAAGGGCACGAGACUUUCUACCGAAAUUUCGGCAGAGUCUCCCCUGUAAAUUGAACACUCCCCGAAGGGAAGGGGGCUAGAGGAAAAUUGCAAGGGAGGGGGGCUGAGCGCGGGGGAAGAGAGAGAGAGAGAGAGAGAGAGAAAUUUCUGUUUCUAUAAAAAAAUCCCCUUUCAAAAUAAUUACGAUUGUGCCACUGAGUUUCUUUUGAUCGUAACUUCCUCGUUACAACUCCAAAUCGAGCCCACUACGUGUCUACGAACUCAUCUAGUCGAGCUCUACACAACGGUAUAGCUGAAAUUCUCAAAUUCCUUCCAGGUCAAAAAGUCAACUUUAAACCUAAUAAAAUAUUCUAAGAGUAAAAUGGUCUUUUAUCUACAUAAAAUAAUAAUUACCAAUUUAUUUAGGACCGGGUCGUUACACUCCAGGGCUAAUGUAAGAACAAAUUUCAUUAGUGUGACACAUAAACAUUGGACUCAACAAUGGCAUCUCCUGUACUAGCAUCAAACCAAACAGUAUGAUCUAAGACAUAACCGGGAUCCAACCUAAACUGCCCCUUGCCGCCAACAAUACAUUGUUCAGAACUAGAUUCCUCCCAAGAAACGCUAAUGUUACUCCCCUUGUAUUUGCCUUGCUAAAAAACAAGUGUCAUGAUGACAAUAAGUAAUGCAAUAUCAUGAGUAAAACCCUUGUGCUCUUCCAAUGGUCUUGGAUUUGGGGUCUUGCUCUUCAGCGCAGUGUAUUAUCAAUCAUCAUAGUACUGCCAAAUCUGGCACUUGAGCUUUUUGGCGGCCUGAUAAUUCUAACAUAGGUGGGGUUUUUGCCACUAUAGGAUGUCAUGGAAGAAAAAGUAGAGGUCAUGCCCUAAGUGCAAUACAUGAAUGUAUAAUUAGAAAGAUAAAUAACAAUAAUAACAACACCAACAAUAAAAAGCCGGUCCUUAGGCUAGCACCAGCCAAAGUUUACUGGAAGUGUGACACAAAAACAUUGUACUCAACAAUGGCGUCUCCUGUAGGAUUAAACCUAACUGUAUGGGCUAAGGCAUAGCCACGGGCAAACCUAAAUAGGCCCGUUCCUCCGAUGAUCGGCAUCUCUCUCACAUCGUUUAGAACUGAAUUCCGCCCAAGGAUGCUAAUGGUACUUCCCUUGUACUUUCCUUCCACAAACGCAAAAUUCAUAACCACAAGCAGUGCAAACUCAUGAUCACGUUGUGCAGCCACUAAGUACAGCCCUUGUGCCCUUCCAACGAUCUUUGAGGUAGGUUCUUGCUUUUCAGUCAGCGCAUCAUCAAUCAUCAUGGUGGCACCAAAGGUAGUAAUGGUACUGUUUAGUGGCCCAGCAAUUCUAACGGCACUAGGGUUUUUGCCACUAAGGAUGUCAUGGAAGAAAAAGUGGAGGUGGCUCUUUUUUUCGGUUUGCUGGGAUUUGAUGAUUUUCCUAACCUCAAUUCCAUCCAUGGAAUAGAAAAUGGUAAAGUAGAGGGUGAAGAGAGUGAAAUACUGAAAUGAAGACAUUUAGUCUCUCUAGGGUAUCUGUGUUCGUUGUUCUGUGUGUGUAUUGUGUUGGCGUGACUUGUGGAUAUUGACUUACUUUCCUUACACACCAAGAAUUCUUAUUAUAAUUGUAAUUGAUUUACUUUAAUUCCUGAUUUCCUACUGUAAAUAGAUUUAGGAAUUUAUUAUUUACUUGCCCAUUCAGGUUUCGUUGUAUUAUAAAUAUGACCUCAUACAAGGAGAAGAAUACACAAAAUUCCCACAAACAAAUAUUCUCUCAUAAUUUUCAUAUUUUAGCAUGGUAUUAGAGCGGCAAUCUUGGAAUUGUUGACUCUAGUUUCAAACCCCCGCAGCUGCUAUGGGGGUUGAUUUUUUCAACCCUCAUGGAGGUAGCACCACCAACCAUCGUUGAGUUGAGUGCCCAGAUGGCUCCGCUCCUACCGAUGUAGAUCUUUUGACGACCCCGACUCCUAAGACGACCCCGACCCCAACUCCGAUGAUGACCCCAACCCCGAAUUUGUCUCUGAUUCAGACUCCGAUCCUGAUUUCGACUCCAACUCCAGCCUCGACUCAGGCUCAGAUUCCAAUCCAAAUUCCUACUCAACCUAUAUCCUAUGCAUCUUCCGUUGCACAGAUUAUGACUUCUAGACUAACGACCUCGACACAUAGACCAGAUUGCGCAUAUUGUGGUGAUCCGAGACACACUUGUGAGACUUGUUUUAAAUCCCAUGGCUACCCCAAUUGGUGGGCUACUCUUAUAGAUCGAGGACAAUGCAAUAUGACCAGUAAUGGUACUGGUUAUGGAUUCCAUACUUCUGAUAAGAUUGAUUCCAGGAGUUGGAUAAUUGAUUCCGGUGCAACUGAUCAUAUGACGUUUGAUCCUGAUGAUUUUCUGAAUACCACACAACCUCGACGAACCUGUAUUGCAAAUGCCAAUGGUGUUACUUAUCCUGUGAUAGGGGCUGGCACUGUUGCACUCUCAUCCUCUCUCACACUGUCUAAUACUUUACUUGUUCCAUCUUUAUCCACUAAAUUAUUAUCAGUUAGUCAGCUUACUGAACAAUUGAAUUUUUGUGUACUCAUUUACCCGAAUUUUUGUUUGCUUCAGGAUAUUCACACUAAGGAGAUUCUUGGUCGUGGUACUAAGAGAGGGGGGCUAUAUUAUGUCGAUGACUUCAGUCCCGACGUGGCUAACAGUGUGACACAUCCCUUUGCUAGCAAACAAAGGCAAAUCUGGUUGUGGCACCGUCGAUUGGGACAUCCGUCUUUUAGUUAUAUGAAGCAUCUUAUACCAUAUUUAUUCUCAGGUUUCAAGGACUCCGACUUCACAUGUGAUACUUGUAUUUUGGCCAAGAGUCACCGUGUGUCCUACCCAUUGAGUACGAACAAGUGUACUACUCCAUUUACGUUAAUUCACUAUGAUGUCUGGGGACUUUCUCCUAUCACUGCCCUUUUGGUGUUCGAUGGUUUGUCACAUUCAUUGAUGAUUGUACACGGAUGACAUGGCUUUAUUUGCUGAAGAAUAAAAACGAAGUGUUUUCCUAUUUUCAGUCCUUCCACAAACAGAUGAAAACUCAGUUUAAUGCUCAAAUCCAGAUUAUUCGCUUAGACAAUGGUGGAGAAUUUGUCAAUCAUGACUUUCAGACUUACUUCCAACAACAUGGAAUUAUUCAUGAGACGACUUGUCCUCAGACAUCGCAACAAAAUGGUGUUGCUGAACGAAAGAAUCGACAUCUUCUUGAAACCGCCCGAGCACUUCUGAUUAGUGCUCAUGUUCCUCGUCAUCACUGAGAUGAUGCUAUUGUCACCACAAUUCAUCUGAUUAACCGCAUGUCUUCUGGUGUAUUGACCUUUAAAACUCCCUUACAGGUGCUUGCACAACACAGACCUCUGCCUUCUGUUUUGGUACUCACACCCUGAAUCUUUGGAUGUGUGGCUUUCGUUCAUCUCCACAAAAAUCAACGUAGCAAACUUGAUCCAUGUGCACUUCGUUGUGUUUUUGUGGGUUAUGCCACUCAUCAGAAAGGCUACCGCUGUUAUCACCCUCAUACCCAAUGAACCUAUGUCACUUUGGAUGUGACCUUUCUGGAAUCUGAGCUGUUCUUCCAUGACCCAUCAUCCAAUUAUAUGCUUCAGGGGGAGAUACAAAGUGAAGAGCAUAAUUGGAGCAACUUGGAAAACAAAGAAAUUCUCCUCUGUACAGAAAUGAUUGAUCAUCUCGAGUCUGGAGCACGAAAUUACUCUCUGUCGAAAAGCGACCAAUCACCCAUUCAUAGCGAUCAAUUGCCUGACCCACCUGAUCCAUGCGAAGAUAUUUCUAAUCCGAGUUUCACACCUAUAGACAAUACAUAACAACAAGAUGAAGACCUCCUCUAACUCAACAGUACCAACAGACCAAUCUCCUGAGAAUAUCCUUGAGGUAACUACUCCUACUAGACUUUUGCAUUUAGAUGAUAAAACUAUUGGAUAUCAAUUACUUUUCAAGCAAAAUCGUAGGAAGCCACCAAACCGUUAUUCACCUGAUAUUGGCAAGACAUCCAAGUAUCCAAUUGCAAAUCAUGUAUCCACUGAGAAGUUGUCUGAACCACUCAAGGCUUUUGUGCAUCAGUUGUCUGCUAUCCAUAUUCCAACCAAAUUCUCUGAAGCAUUGAAAGAUCCUAAGUGGGUCCAAGCUAUAAAAGAGGAGAUGAAAGCUCUUGAGAAAAAUCAGACUUGGACAUUGGAGACUAUACCUUGAGGAAAACAGACUAUCGGAUGUAGAUGGAUGUUUACUAUAAAACACAAUGCAGAUGGUUCUAUCGAGCGAUACAAGGCAAGACUUGUGGCAAAAGGGUACACACAGACCUAUGGUAUAGACUAUGAAGAAACCUUUGCUCCAGUUGCAAAGUUAAACACCGUCAGAGUCUUAUUGUCCCUUGCAGUUAAUUUGGAUUGGCCACUACACCAGUUUGAUGUAAAGAAUGCUUUUCUACAUGGUGAACUCACGGAGGAGGUGUACAUGGACAUUCCUCCUGGAUAUAAUAUUACUAAGACUGGAACAGUUUGCAGGUUACGAAAAGCAUUGUAUGGAUUGAAACAGUCACCACGUGCAUGGUUUGGACGGUUCACCAUGGCAAUGAAGAACAAUGGUUUCAAAAAGUGCAACUGAGAUCAUACUAUGUUCUUGAAACAUUGAAAAGGGAAGGUAACAGUAUUAAUAAUCUAUGUUGAUGAUAUGAUUAUUACUGGGAAUGAUAAACAGGAAAUAUCACAGCUACAAGACUAUCUGGCUACGGAGUUUGAGAUGAAGGAUCUAGAUGGACUCAAGAAUUUCUUGGGAAUCAAGGUGGCUCGAUCGCAGCAAGGCAUAUUUCUCUCUCAAAGGCAAUAUGUCUUAGAUUUGUUGACAGACACAGGAAUGCUAGAUUGUAAACCUGCGGACACUCGUAUUGUUCAGAAUCAUCAUCUUGGAGAAUAUCCAGAACAAGUUCCAACUAACAAAGAAAGAUACCAAAGGUUAGUGGGAAGAUUGAUCUAUUUGUCACAUACACGACCAGACAUUGCUUAUGCGGUGAGCGUUGUCAGUCAAUUUAUGCACUCUCCAAGUGAAGACCACAUGAAUGCAGUUCUUUGGAUACUUAGAUAUUUGAAGUCUGCACUUGGAAAAGGAUUUAUGUUCUCAAAACAUGGUCAUCUAAAUAUUGAUGGUUAUUCAGAUGCAGAUUGGGCAGGUAAUGUAACAGAUAGAAAUCCACAUCGGGUUACUUCACAUUCGUGGGAGGUAAUCUGGUGACAUGGAGAAGCAAGAAACAGAAUGUAGUAGCUUUAUCUAGUGCAGAAGCCGAGUUCAUAAGCAUGACUAAAGGGAUUUGUGAACUUCUUUGGUUAAGAAAGUUGCUUACUGGACUUGGGUAUAAACCUACAUCCACAAUGAAUCUCUUUUGUGACAACAAGGCUGCUAUAGCCAUUGCACAGAAUCCGGUUCAGCAUGAUCGUACUAAACAUGUUGAGGUGGAUCGACACUUCAUCAAACAGAAGCUUGAGGCUAAAGUGUUUCAGUUUCUUUUUGUGAAAUCCGAGGAUCAAUUGGCGGAUAUUUUGACAAAGGCGAUUUCCAGUAAAGCAUUCCACAAUUCACUAGAUCAGUUGGGCAUUGGCGACAUCUAUGCACCAACGUGAGGGGGGAGUGUUGGCGUGACUUGUGGAUAUUGACUUACUUUCCUUACACACCAAGAAUUCCUAUUAUAAUUGUAAUUGAUUUACUUUAAUUCUUGAUUACCUAUUGUAAAUAGAUUUAUGAAUUUAUUAUUUACUUGCCCAUUCAGGUUUCGUUGUAUUAUAAAUAUGACCUCCUACAAGGAGAAGAAUAGACAUAAAAUUCCCACAAACAAAUAUUCUCUCAUAGUUUUCAUAUUUUAGCAUAUUGGUGGUCUUAAAGAUUUUUCAGGCCAUUCUAAAGGAGUUCGGGCAAGGGAAAAAGUGGUAAAUAUAAAAGCAGAUGUUACCUUUACUCUUAAGUGUGAGCUGGUUGAUGCAUUUUCAAGCAAUUAACUGCAUUGUGUAGGCCUUCUUGGACAUUUUGUGAGAAAUUUAAUAUUAUAUUUAAUAUUAAUUUUCUAUUUGAAUGGAAAUUAAUAAAAUCCAUUGGGUUAAAGACAUCUUCACAUGGGGGGUGACAACUCUUCAAACCAAGGGAUGCAUUGUUUGGGGUGACAACUCUUCAGACCAAGGAACGCAUUGUUUGCAUUUUCAGAUUGAGAUACCUUUUUAGAAAGGGUAUUUCAUCAUCUAUAAAUAGAGCAAUCCUCCUGCAGUUUUAUUCAUUCAAUUAAUUCUCUAGAUACAUACUUUCAUAUAUAGAGAGCAUUAGAGUUUGCAUAAAGAGAGUUUCCUGCAUAAUUUUGGUUCACAGUUCCUUGUGAAUUGCAGUGCUUCUUUCAUAAGGAGGGGAGUCGUUGUAUCUUGGGAGGCGAACGCUAGUGAACCAUAAGCACCAGUGUGGGGCGUAAUUCGUCUUAAGGUCAGAGUGUCCAACACUUGCCUCGACUCAAUUAAGGUCCUUUUAAUUACAUACUACUGUUGUAAAAAUUUGUUUUGCUUGUAGUGUUUAUUUGUUUAUUUUAUAGCAAUUUAGCACUAUUAUUUCCUACACAUUUUCUAUUCGAGAGAUGGCUAGCUAGCUAGUGGGAAUGAGGGGUGUUGGGCUAAGAGCUAGUGUUGGCCUUUUUUGCUUUUCUUUUUUGAAUACGUGAAAGGCCUUUGCUUUUCAACAACACGAAAGCUUUCGUCCUCUUCAAGUAAGGGAUGAGAGUAACCAAUGUCAAACUUGGAAUGUGCAUCUGCCUUUUAGAUUUAGUCUUCUAUUGGAACACAUGAGUAAACACUUGCAUGCUCCACAUUAAUUGUUCUGAGGUGUUGGUUCAUCACACUACAGCAAAAAGAUAUUAUAUAUUAAGCUAGAAUGUAUCAAACAGAAACGAAAGUUCGAAAAAUAAGUUUUGGACAGAGACGAUAAGCUUGGUGUUUUGAUACAUAAGGUUACAUAUUGAUGGUCCCAACUGCAACAAUGAUAACAAUAACUGACUGCCCUCCAGAUUCCUUCAAUUUGUUUUGGUAGUUUAGGGGAUUUCAUUUAAUAUUACUGCAUCUAUUGUUGAAGAAUGUAAAGUCUUACAUCGGAAACUUGACAAAAUAAAAUAUCAUAUAUAAUGAAUAGUUUCACUACUAAUAGCAUUGAAGCCUUUUGUAAUAAGACUCCACACCUAUUAAGCAUUGGAAUAGAAAUAUCACUUUCUUUCUUUUCUGUUGAAUUCAUUUAAUUUCAAAGAAACAUGCAUUAUAGGCACGAACAGAGCCACCUUCAGGCCUGAGGUGGCCCAGGCCCCUCCAUUGUUUUCUAAGUUUCCACCAAUCAAGGCAAUGUAUUGUAAAAUAUUAAUUUUUUGAUUUCCUAAGGAAUUCUUUACAUUUGCAUGUCUUUAGUUUGAAAGUUGAGAGGUUAUUCCGUCUUUUUUGAAAAAGCUUUGGCUUUUUCCAAAAGUGAAAUUUUUUUUAUAGGUAAAAUCUAAAUUUACUAAAUAUUAUUAAUAGGAUCUUGCAUGUUCGAAGUUAAUGGCCCCCCAAUAAAUUCAUUUUCGGUAAUAAUGUGAAGUUAUAUUGGCUUUUCUUUGCUUAUUUUUCAUAUCUUUCUCUUUUGGACCUUAGUAGAUAUUGAUUUCUCUUUAGUAUAAAAAUUAAAAAGACUUGAUAAAAAUAAUUAAAAUGGCUACAGAGCUUAACGUACUUCAAAAUAAGUUUGAAUUUUUUUUUUUUCAGUAUAACUAUUACGAAUUAGUUUUUAACUUGUACCAUAAUAUACUCUUUUUUUUUUUCUGCAAACUAUAUGUUAUUUUCUUCUUGCUCUAGAUGUUUGGCACAUGUUAAUUUUUUGGCCCAUCCGAAGUUUGACUCCUAGCUCCUUCCCUGAUUAUAAGGAACAAAGCAUACCAUGAGAUGGGAAAAAGAAUCCCUCAGAGCCUGUGUUUGAUUGUAGGGGAUGUGAUUUUCCUUGUGGUUAAAAGAUUCAUAGCCAUUAAAUUCCACAUCAUUUUGAAUAGAGAGUCGAAAGUUUUCUCUGUUUAGGCAGUACUGAGACAUAAAAAUCCAUGUACUCCUCAUGUCCCCUGAUAUCCAUCAUAAGAGAAAAUAAAUUUCAAUAUCCAUUUCUUCUAGCCACAGGAUUGAGGUAGCCAAUUCCAGAAGGCCGCCAUGAAUCCGAUUUUAUUUCUGGCUAAAUGAUUCAUAUGAAUUGAAUUCCACAUCAAUGUGAAUACAGACUGAAAAAUCUUCUCUGCUUAGGCAGUACUGGAACAUAACAGAAACCCCAUCAUAACAGAAAAGAAAAUUGCAGUGUCCAAUUCUUCUAGCUAGAUGAUUGUUGUAUCCAUGGCCUAAGUACAAUACAUGACUCUAAUAGGAAACAUUAAAAAUAAAAAAUAAGAAGAAAUUUCAUGAUUGUGACACAUAAACAUUGUACUCAACAGUGGCAUCUCCUGUAUUAGCAUCAAACCAAACAGUAUGAGCUAAGACAUAACCGCGAGCGAACCUGAACUGCCCCGUGCCGCCAACAAUCGGCAUCUCUCUCACAUCGUUGAGAACUGGAUUCCUCCCAAGAAUGCUAAUUGUACUCCCCUUGUACUUGCCGUCCUCAAAAACAAGAGUCAUGACCAUAAGUAAUGCAAUAUCAUUUUGUGCAGCCAUGGAGUAAAAUCCUUGUGCUCUUCCAAUGAUCUUCGAUUUGGGGUCUUGCUCUUCAGUCAGUGCAUUAUCAAUCAUCAUAGUACUGCCAAAUCCGGCACUCGAGCCGUUAGGGGGCCCGAUAAUUCUAACAGAGGUGGGGUUUUUGCCACUAAGGAUAUCAUGGAAGAAAAAGUGGAGAUGGCUCACGUUUUCCGUUUUAUCGGAUCUGCCAAAUUGCCUAAUUAGAACUCCAUCAGUGGAAUGGAAAAGGGUAGAGCAGAAGACGAAGAGAGAGCAAUAGAGAAAUAAUGAAGACAUAUUAGUGUCUCCAGCGUUUCACAGUGUGUUUAUGAUAGUGGUAGAUUUGUGGUCAUUUUAAAAGAUUGGGCAAGGGAGCAAGGGGUAAAAUCUAGAUGUUGUUAACAUUACUCCAAAGUCCUUAAAUAAUGGUUGCUCUGGUGGUUGGAUUUUCAAGCAACCACUGCUUUCUGUUGUUCUAAGAAUAAUGGUUUCAGCUUACAUUCUUUUAAAGCAAGGAUGAUUGAAACCAAUGCUUGGGAAACAAAUUUCUCUUGCAAUUUGCAUUUGCGCUUUAGUCUAUUAUAACGUCAGCCGACCAAAAAGAAAGCUACCAUAUGUCGUACGCAACAUGAAACUUUGAAAUGUAAUUUCAUGACAGACAUGAGUUUGGUGGUUUGUUAAGGUUAUGUGAGCCUUAAGUUAUGUCACUUAUAGGAUGACGACAACGGAAACAAUUAAUGAUAACAACAAUUUACUUUUUCCUUUAUCCAAAAUUAUACUUCAAGUUCGGACAAAAGUCAGAAUUUUUAAAUUGUCCCAUCACUGACAUGACCAUCGCCGCCUUCACCCCCGCCACCACCAUUAACAGAUUUACCAACUACCACUACAUGUUGACUGAGGAGUGGAAAUAGGGAUUCUUUGAGUUCUUUGGCUUGGUAUGAAGUUCCAAACUUGUCCUUGAUUGAAGGUCCAAGAAGUAUGUGCCUGUCUAGAAUUCACAUCAAAUCACCACAAAAUCUUAUAUUCUUAUUCCAACAAAGUCUCAUAAAAAAUUGUAACACAAAAUUUUUCUAGUUCAUCCCAUCAAACACCCAUUAAACAAACAAAAGCAUAGAAGUUUUUUAGUUUCAUGAAUUUACAUUCACAUCCAUAAUUUCUGAUAUUGCGCUACUUCUUGUCUUCAAAGUUCAAAACAAAAGGUUGUACGAAGGGAAUGUAAAGGUGGGAGCUGAAUCGGUUUUCAGUUCUAACAGUAAGUGUUAUAGGCUAUUUGUGUUUGACCACCAAAUUUAGUAGCCAUCAUGUUAAUUUGUGACACAUCUUGUUCUCCUGUUGUCAUUUGAGUUACAACUUAUCCUCUAUAUAAUUUUACAAUUCUGGAAAGGAAAAUUUUGGCUCUUUAUUUGGGUCAAUUGUUGUUCAGUCAAAAAUGAUUUUAUUUGGUUUAACUACUAUUGACACUUUAUUUCACCAGAACAGUAAAACCUCUUUUUUAUUUUAUUUUUUAUUUUCCUACUAAAAUGCAAACUUGUAGAUAUUGUUUCUUUUCAUUUAACACAAAAAAUUUCAUAGAAAUUCUCGGUUACUAAGAGCCCAUUUGGUAUCCUAUUUGGAUCCAUUUUUUCAAACUCAAAAAUAACCAUAAUUCAUGUUUGGUAAAGCCCAAUCUUAAAAACAAAAAAAAUGAGGUUUUACGGUUAUUUUUUUUCGCUCUCUUGUCUCUCUCUGCUUCACACCUACUGGUCUCCCUAAUCUCUCUCUCUCUCCUCCCUCUUUAUUGUUUUUUUUGUUUUUUGUUUUUGUUAAUUUCAAUUUGGGAAUAUAGGGUCAUUUUUUAUUUUCUAAUUUUAAUUCGAAUUUUUUUUAUUUUAAAAAUAGUUUGGAGUUCAAUAACAAGUUUUUAGAUCUUAAAAUCAAUAUUUAAAAACUCAUGUUUUUUUUUAAAUAUCAUGAUUUUUUCUAAAUUUUUUAGUAGUGCUAUUAAAAAAGAAAAGAAAAAAGGAAACAAUCUAAACUCAAGUGAUGCAACAUAUGACUUCCAAUACCAUUUACAAUAUAUUUUUCUUUGGCUUUUCAGUUUGUAGUAAUAAAUUUGAAGUAGUUUGUUGCUCAUUGUUUAAGUUAAAUUGAGCAUUGAUAUCUGCUUCGGACCUCAAGCGUCUGGAAAAAGUCUCCUAAGGAAGGAAGCAUUUUCCUCGCUUAGCCCAAAAAAGAAGAAGAAAAAAAAAAAGACAGAACAUUUUCCUCGAUUACAUUUGAUAAAUACUUUCCAUUUAACAUUCUGUCACAAUUUUCUGGUUAUCAUGCAUAUCCUUCUGCAUUUCAAAUUAUGGUGGAUUGGGCUACCAGCCUAUUAUGGAUCUGCUCUGCAGGUAUGGUAGGAAGAGCCUCUAACUGAGAGAGAUCAAAAUCUAGGAUAUGUUGGAAGAUGCACAACCUCAACUAUCUUCAAAGAUUUGAGCAAACCUAAUUUAUUUUAUAAUUUAUUUACAAUUGAUUUGGGACAUUUCAUUUGAUAUUCUAGGAGAGUUGUCAAAUGGCUGAGGAUUGGAAAUAUACAAAGAUAUAUGUUAAACAAAAUAUAUGCUACCAUCAGUAUAAAGAGCCAAAAAUGAAAAAGAAAGGAAAAACGAAAAUCUUCUUACAUCAUAGCUCGAAACCAUUGGUUCCCUUCAAUUGUUGUUGUUGCUGCACCACUAAAAUCGAAGGAUUGCUGUCGAAAUCUGAUGAAACAAGCAGGUCCCCGAUGACCCCUAAUUCAGGGAACUCACUCCACUCUGAGAAACCUAAUGUCUGAGGGGAAUCCAAGCCAUUCCUCCUCCCAACUAUGAUAAGCUCAAACUCAUUCAUUAUAGACCGAAGGAUUCGAGUUGUUUGAACUGCAUCUUUCGCCGUCUCUUCGAUGUAUUUAACAUGCGCAUUGGCCACACUUUUCUGCUUAAAUUCCUUCAACACCUCAUUAUCGAGAACUUUUUCCCAAUCAUUCAUAGUUUUACCAUCCUCAGCAUCUAAUCGUACCACAGUGAGGCUAAAGCUCCCGGGGUCUUUGGUCACCCGUUUUGCAAUUGUCAAGGCCUCCCUAUCGUCACGACCACCUAAGAAGACCAUGGCAAUGCGAUACAACGAUGACGAAUGUCUCAAAUGACCACGAUGGACAAUAAUUCCAAUGGAGCAAGGGGCCCUUUCUAGGACACUACUAUUUAGUGCCCUCCUAGUAUUGUCAUCAGACUCUAUGCCGCCAUCAAAAGUGAAUUUUCGAUGAAAUGGGAGUAAGAUAAUGGAUGUAAGUUUGUCAAGAGCGAGUGUGUGUGGAAAAUGAUAGAGAGAAUAUGAUGAUGGGGAGAAUAUGUUUUUGUGGAAAAUGAUGGAGAGAAUAUGAUGAUGGGGAGAAUAUGUUUUCUCAUUGUGUUUUUGGUUACAGGAUUACACACGUAUAUAUGUAUAAGCUAGGGACCACCACCUUGACUUUAACCCCUAAUUAUAGGAAAACUAUAAUUACAAGCAACCACCACCUUGACUUUAACCCCUAAUUAUAGAAGAACUAUAAUUACAAGCAACAAGAUCAAAUCCCCUAAAUUAAGGAAAUCCCAUAAAUCAAGGAAAUCCCCUAAAUCAAUCACAGCUAGCAGCCACCAAGCUAUACUUCCAAUACUCCCCCUCAAGCUGGAUCAAGGGGAUUAAUUGAUCCAAGCUUGGAGAGCAAGCGUUGAAACUGAGUGGAAGCAAGAGACUUGGUGAAAACAUCAGCAAGUUGAUCAUGGCUCCGAGUGAAUGUGGUUUGAAUUACCUUGGACUGAACCUGUUCACGAACAUAGUGACAGUCAACUUCAAUGUGUUUGGUCCGUUCAUGGAACACGGGAUUGGAGGCAAUAUGCAUAGCUGCCUGAUUGUCACAAAAAAGAGACAUAGGUUUGUUGCUCAAAAAACCCAAGUCUGAGAUAAGGCUCUUGAGCCAAAUGAGUUCACAUGCAGUGGAAGCCAUUGCUCUAUACUCAGCUUCGGCACUUGAGCGAGCAAUUACAUUUUGCUUUUUUGCUCUUCCAUGUCACGAUGUUUCCUCCAACAAAUGUGCAGUAGCCUGUAGUGGAUUUUCUAUCAAUAGCAUUCCCUGCCCAGUCAGCAUCGGUGUAUGCCAUGAUUUGAGUAUGACCAUUGUUUUUCAUGAUAAUUCCACGACCAAUGGAGCCCUUGAGGUAUCUUAGAAUUCUUUUAACAACAUUUAAAUGAGCCUCAGUGGGUGCAUGCAUGAAUUGACUUACAAGACUGACGGCGUAAGUUAUAUCCGGUCUAGUAAUGGUGAGAUAUAUAAGCUUACCCACCAGUCUUUGGUAGUAACUUAUAUCGCUGAGAGGCUCUCCUUCCAAGUCCAACUUCAAUUUGCUAUCAAGAGGUGUACGGGCCGGUUUGCAAUCUAUCAUCUUCACUUCUUGAAGCAAGUCAAUCACAUACUUCCGUUGACUUAAAAACAGUCCCUUGGAAGAAGUAGCCAUUUCAAUCCCAAGGAAGUAUUUUAACACUCCUAAGUCUUUAAUGGCAAAUUUCUGAUGAAGAGAAUGCUUAAGAGUGUUAAUCUCAUCAAUAUAUGAUGAUAUCAUCAACAUAGAUUAGAACAACUAAUUUGCCAACUGAUCCAGUUCGAACAAACAAGGAUGAAUCAGCAUGACUUCUCUUGAAACCAAACUUUUCAAGUACAGAGCUCAGCUUGGCAUACCAGGCCCGUGGAGAUUGUUUCAAUCCAUAAAUGGAUUUGUGAAGCUUGCAAACCAUACUUGAAUUCUGUGCUUGUGGAUGACCAGGAGGUAAUUGCAUGUAAACUUCCUCUUCAAGAUCUCCAUGCAAAAAAGCAUUUUUUACAUCCAUUUGGUACAACGGCCACUCAUGAUUAACUGCAACAGAUAACAAAACCCUCACUGUACUCAUCUUAGCCACAGGAGCAAAUGUCUCCUUAUAAUCAACUCCAAAUGUUUGAGUAAAACCGCGAGCCACCAACCUUGCCUUGUGUCUUUCAAUGGAACCAUCAGAAUUAAAUUUGGUUUUGUAGAUCCACCUACUGCCUACCACCUUCUUUCCCUUUGGAAGCUGGACUACACUCCAGGUUUUAUUUUCAUCCAAAGCCUUGAGUUCUUCUUCCAUGGCUAGCCUCCAAACAUCUUGAAGAUUGGCUUCUUGAAAAUUCCUUGGUUCACUUUCAUUUGACAAUUUACUGAGAAAAGCUGCAUGGGAGUGAGAGACUUUGGAGUAAUUUACAAACUUGUGAAUUGGGUACCUGACAUUGAACUUGUGAAUUGGGUACCUGACAUUGAACGUUACAUAAUCUUGUAGCCUUGAUGGUGGAUGUCUAUCUCGAGUUGGAUAGGUUCAGCUCCACUCUCUUCUAUAGAUGAUGUGUCAUUGUCAUGAGGAACAACUUGUGCUUCAGAGGCUUCAGUUUCAUCUCCUUCAGAGGCUUCAGUUUCAUCUCCAAUAAUCACGUUGUCAAUAUUGGUUGCAUGAGAGUCACUGUUGUGAGGUACUGAAUGAACACAAUCACUUGUUUCGGCUGGAUUUGGUAAUGGAAAGAAAUCCAGUAAGUGCUCCCCCUGACGAUUUUGAUCUGAUGGUUUGUUGAAAUACGGUUUGAUCUCAUCAAACCUUACAUCUCUUGAGACAAAUAGCUUCCUGGAACAUGGAUUGUAACAUUUGUAACCUUUUUGAGUGGAGGAGUAACCCAUGAAAACACACUUAAUUGCCUUGGGAUCUAGCUUGUCUCGGUGAUGGGAUUGGAUAUGAGCAUAACAAGUACAUCCAAAAAUUCUCAGAUGGGACAGGUUAAUUUUUUUGUUUUGCAUGACCUCAUAUGGUGAUUUUGAAUCCAGAACCCGACUAGGCAGUCUGUUGAUGAGGUAGGUAGCUGCAAGAACUCCUUGAGACCAAAACCUCUUAGGCACAUUCAUUUGUAACAUUAGAGCCCUGGUUUUCUCAAGUAGAUCCCUAUUCUUCCUUUCGGCAAUUCCAUUUUGCUGAGGAGUACCUACACAACUUGUUUGAUGUAUAAUGCCAUGUGUGCUCAAAUAGUUAGUCAUAUUUUUGGAUGUAUAUUCAGUGCCAUUAUCAGACCUUAGUAUGUGAAUUUGAGACGAAAAAUGGUUCAUGACAAGAUUAUGAAAAUUCUUGAAAGCAUCCAUGACUUCACUUUUGAAUUUUAUGAGGUACAACCAAGUGACUCUUGAAAAAUCAUCAACAAAGGUAACGUAGUACCUAUAACCAUCAAAAGACUCUAGAGGUGUAGGUCCCCAAACAUCGGAGUGCACCAUCUCAAAAAGUUUGCUAGCUCUAGAUAUGGAAGAAUUAAAUGGAAGUCUAGUAAAUUUUGACAAAUGACAGAUUUCACAUACAAGUGAGGAUUUGCAUAAUCUAGGGAACAAAGUAGACAAAACAAAUUCUGAGGGAUGUGCUAGACGUUGGUGCCACAACUGAUGUUCUAGAUUUGAACUGACUUGGAACCCUUUUGGAACAUUAAGGUUCUUUGAAAAAUAGUACAGCCCAUUUAGGUAGUGACCUUCACCAAUCAGCUUCUUGGUGGCUAGAUCCUGAAAAACAACAUUGUGAGGGGAGAAAAUAGCACGACAGUUGAGAGAAUUUGUAAUCCUUCCUACGGACAGCAAUUGAAAAGGAAAGGAUGGAACAUAUAAUGCUGUGGACUCAACAUUAUUUGAAAUUAGUUUAACUUUCCCUCUACCUAGAACGGGUACACCUCUACCAUUUGCUAUAGAAACUAGUGAUGGUGUAGUGUAGCUUUCAAAAUUGUAUAGCUUUGAAUAUUGAUUUGUCAUGUGAUCAGUGGCACCUGAGUCUAUAAUCCAAAAAUCAUGAGAAUGACUAACAUUUAGAGCAGUUGAAAGAGCACAUAUAAUACCUGGAACAUCUCCUUGAGGUACACGAUUAGACUCAGCUAAGAGUCCUGCAAACUGCCCAAGGAGAGCAGUUUGAUUUCCAGCAGUCAAUACUUCGCCUGUGCUUCCUUUUUUGGUUUGAAGAUAGGCAGAGAAUUCAUUUAUCAAGUUAGCCGGAUUGGCUGUGAAGUUUGUCAGCCCAUCAAUUGAUGUAGCAGCAGCAGUAGCAUGGUUUUUGUUUGUAUGUGAUCUGGUUUGUGAGCCCUUGUAGUCUCUUGAAGGCUUGUUCUCAAACUUUGGCUUCAACUCAGGGUGUAAUAUCCAGCAUCGAUCUAUUAGAUGUCCAAUAUUAUUGCAGUGUAAGCACUUCAGAUCUGGCCUUUUUCCCUUGUACACUCUAUCUCCAGAUGACUUGUGGUUUGUCACAAACGCUCUAGCCUCAGACACACUAGAUUUGAUGUCAACAUUCAUGACUUUCCUACGUACUUCUUCUCGCUGGAUAGUAGUGCAAACACUUGCAAAUGAUGGAAGUUCGGGGUUCAUGAGAAUAUGGCUUCUAAGAUCUUCAUAUUCAGACCCCAAACUUGCAAGCAAAUGGAAAAUUUUGUCUUCCUCAGACCUCUUUAACAGUAUGGCAGCAUCGAUAGUAUGUGGUCGAUACAUAUUUAGUUCGUUCCACAUAUUUUUCAAGCAACCGAGAUGAUGAACAAAGGAUUUAUCACCUUGUUGGAGACUUGCAAGAUUCCUCUUAAGUUGGAACACUCGAGCUGCAUUGUUUUGAUUGCCAUACAUAUCUUUGACUGCCUUCCAAAGAGAAAGAGAGGAUUCUGAAAAACUGAAGAUUUCAGACAGCUUAGGAUCCAUGGAGUUAAGGAGCCACGACAUGACCAGUUGGUCUUUGCACAGCCAUGCUUCAUACUCCGGAGACAAAUCUUCAGGUGCCUCAAUGGUUCCAUUAACAAAUCCGAGUUUGGAUCUUCCUCCAAGGGCAAGAGUUACUGCUCUAGACCAUGGAAGAUAGUUAAACUCAUUUAACAACACAGAGCACAGUCGCUGGUUUGGGUUGACUUCAACUUCUGGAAAACUAGAAGGAGGUACUGUGAAGCUUUUAGCUUCAGAGCCAAAAGGAUUAUCUUCUGCCAUUAUUGAAUAGAAUGUACAGAAGAAAGAAAGGUAAAAAUGGAGACAGGCCGGUUAAGGUUCCUGCUCUGAUACCAUGUGGAAAAUGAUAGAGAGAAUAUGAUGAUGGGGAGAAUAUGUUUUUGUGGAAAAUGAUGGAGAGAAUAUGAUGAUGGGGAGAAUAUGUUUUCUCAUUGUGUUUUUGGUUACAGGAUUACACACGUAUAUAUGUGUUGAACGGAAAAUUUUCACAAAAAAAACAAUUAGCCAAGAGUUUGACUUGGUUUAGAAUUGAAUUUGUUUUGUCCCUGCAAUCUUAUCAAGAAAAACAUUUAAAAAUAAAAUAGAUGUAUUUCAGUGGUUUUGAAACAACAAGAGAUAAGUAUCUCAGUUGAGAAGUGGUCAUCAGCUGGAAUUAAAACUCAUCAUAAGAUAGCCUCUAUAAGAGGCAUGACACGAGAGGAGAACAGGAGGAGAAAAAAAAAAGAAAGGCAGAGAAGAUAACAGCAGGAGAACAGAAAAAAAAAGCAGAAAGGAGAACAGUCAUAGCAAGAAGAAAAAAUUAACAAGCAGACUUGAGAAAGGAAAGAGCCAUUUCAAGGUAAAAAGAUUAGUUUCAUGGCACAAUUUUCUGAUUUUUUUUUGCUCAAGAUUUCAGGUUCCAUUCAACUCAAGGGUCCCUGGCCAUGAUGAUUGAAAUCAUCAUAACCAAGGUUAAGAAUUUCUCCGAGGCUUGGCUCCGCUCAAAUAACUCCAGCAGUGUUUUCAAGUUUGCCUUCCACGAUGAUUUCAAUCAUCAUGUUUUAUGGCAUACUCUAGUCCAUCAUGCACCACCAAGUAAGCUCUUCCAUGAGCAAAGGGUUUGCUGCCUGCAAGCCAACGAAAAAAGCCAACAAACAGCCAUGGAAGAAUAGCCAAUGACGUGGGGGUCAUUAUGAAAUCAAAAGCUGAGGGGAAGGCAGCCAUGAGGUUGCAAAGAAAAAAAAGGAGAGUGCACGGCAGUGUUGAAGAAAAAAAAAGGGCAGAGUCGUGAGGCUGUGGAAGAAAAAAAUAGCUUCUGAAACAAGGACAUGGACAAUGGUACAGCAACAGCAAACACAAAAAAAAAAAAGAGCUGGCAAGGCAUGUACCACAAGUUCUCUCUUGGGUUUCUGAAGCAAAAUGACAGGUGGUUUCCUCCACCAAACUCCAAAGCCUUCAAGCUGGCAGCACAGUCUCUGCAUACAAAAGAGAAGACAAGAGGUCAGAGGCAUGGAAACAGACAAAAGAAAAAAAAUAAGAGGAUGAUGCAUGGGGAUGCUACCACGUGGAGGACAAAACAAGAGAAUGAAUUCUCUCUAAUUGGCAGCAGAGGUCAAGCAAAGUCUAUGGUUUGAUAAAAAGAGUUCUUUGCCUUAGUUUACUGUGGUGCGAAUGUAUCUAUUUAAAAAAGAGACGCAUAAUCCUAUUCGGAAAAGGGCCUGUUCUUCUUGUGCUUUUUGUGUUUAGUUGCAAAGAGACAAAACAAAAGGAAGGCAGCCAGAAGAAAAAAAUUUAAAAAGGGGGCUGUGUCGCACAGCCCCUCCCUCUCUUGAAUGAUUCUCUUGGUCUACUUUGACUGAAAAUUGAGUAAAGGAAAAGAGAUUGGCAAUAGGGAAAUGAUUGCAACAGUAGACAAAAAGAAAAGAAAAAUAGGUAACCUAGAUUUGUCUUUGGUUUCUGAAGCAAGAAGACAAAUUGCUCUCAAAGCUCUCAAUGUGGCCCACGGCAAGGCACCUCCUUAAUCUUGCAUAUCCAAAGAGAGAAGUCAGCCGCAUGGAAACAAAAAAAACUGAAAUAGAAGAAGAGAAAGAAAAGGAAGAUUAUGGGUUUGGGGGUUACCGUGUGAAAUCUUAGAAGGAAAGAAACAAUUUGUUGCUUCUUUUGAUGAUGCAGCAGAUGUCUUGGGGAAGUCUACGGGCUGGUCUGGAAAAGCAAAUAUAUCAGAAGCUAUCGCUUUGUUUGCUGGUUCCUUCAAGUUGUGGUGCACAUAUACCUUUUUAAAAGAAAUCCUUGUGGACUAAUCCUACUCGGAAAAGGUUCUUCUUGUGCUUCUUGUCUUCAAAUCCAACAAAGAAUGAUAUGACUUAUCCAUACUUCACUGGAUGAUCCAGCAAUUCCAAAUCAACAAGGAGUUUAAUCCAUACUUCACUUGGACAAGGAUUUUUAUCCUUUGGGUGUCUUAAUCAAAUUGAAAGACACCUGUUAAUGGCACCAAUACGUAAGGGAUCCAGCUAGAGCAAAGCAAGGCCUUUCGUUUACUAUGUUUUGCUGAAUGUAAACAGAAGAAAAGAAAGAAUAAAAGUGUGUGGAGGGGAACCCACCACUUGUGAAUUCAAAAGGAAGAGGACUUCUUCCUCUUGAUAGCAAACAGAGAAAAGAAAAAAAAAUUAACGAAGGCAUUCGCUCAAAUACCCAGUCAUGGUACCGACUGCUUUUGUCCUCCAAUGACAACAAGACAAGUUAAUUGUCUUUUAAAUGAAAGCUGCAUACAUAUCUGCAGUAGAAAAAAAUUAUAUCUGCUGUUUACACAUCAACAGAAAAAAGCCUGCGAAGGUGAGCCCCUCCACGUGAAAGCUAAAGAAAAAAAUCAGCCAUGCUGAAAAAGCAAAACAAAAUGAAGAGUUAAGUGUGCUGGUGAACCCACCACUUGCGAAUUCAAAGGAAGAGGACUUCUUCCUCUUUGAGUUGCAGCAGAGGAAGGAAGAAAAAGAAGUCUUGGACUUCACGGACUUGCAUGUCCAAAGUGAAUCCAAGAUUAUGAAAGAGGGAUGGGCUGCAACUCUACAUGCAGCAAAACAAGGAAUUUGAAUUAUGAGUCCAAAUUCUAUUGCAUGAAGCUUAUGAUAAAAAAUGGUGUCGCUGUGGGGCUGGCGAUGUACAACACAUUGCGCAAGACCAAUUCAAGAUGGCUGGGUCUCUCUACGAUGCCUUCAAGCAUCCAAAUGCCAAGCGAGUUUGUCAUGAUGAUUGCAAUCAUCAUGUGGCUUUGCUGCUCAAAUGCUCCCAUCCCAGGAUGUCUUUAGCAAUACAUGGCAACAACAACGAAAGGACAAUAAACUGUGGUUGAGCAAGUUGGUUUUCAUUUGAUAAUCUGAGUAAGUAAACUUGCUGAAGAUACCAGUGGCUGCACAUGCAAGAGUUUAGCGACGAAGAAAGCAUAAAAGCUCAAGGCAAACCAGAAGCGCCUCACGCUUUGCUUACAAGUCCACUUAAAAAGGACCAAUGAUUUGCUCCAGGUUUCAUCCUCAACUAUCAUUGUGCAAGUCCUACUUGGACCAAGACUCAUGAAGUCUUUCAAGUCCCUCACGUCACUUUUGGUGACUGCAACAAAUGAAAAACAAAGUGCCCAGGCACUUGUGCUCCUUUGCAUUCCAAGGGACGAAGGGUUGGUUUCACUACUUGUAACACCAAGCUAAGCAAGUGUACAAAAGUGUCAACAAAGGUUCACGAGAACUGAUAGUUAGAAGGCUCAAUAAAAUGCUUAUGGCAUUCAGGUAUAUUUGUCCCAGUGCUCAAAUGCAAGAUGGCUACCAAACAUACUCACAAAAUCCCAACAAGAAAUAUGGGAAUCAAUCACUGUGGCAAAGAAGCUACGUCAAGCGACUCAACCAUGCUACGACCGUGACUCUAAUCUAAAUAAAUGAUUGGUCAUGUUUCGAGCUUCAAGCUCACUCUCAAAAGUUACCGAAUGGGCAUCAAUAUGGAUUAACGGGUUUGUCAAUCACAAGAGCCCAUUAAUCUCAAGUCCUCCAAAUCAUGUAUGGAUACAAAUGCAUGUGCCAAUGAUCAAAUUAAAUUAGUGGGUUCAUCAAAAUUACCCAUUAGUUUUCUUUGAUAUUGACAAUAAAAAAAUGGUACAAAACCAUUCCAUUAUUUCUCAUGGGUCAUCUACCCGUGCAAAUUCCAAUGAGAUUAAUUUCAAAUCUCUCAAACACAAAUUUUCAAUUAGUGGGCUACACUUACCCAUUAAUUUCUAAUUCUUCUCAUGGGUCAUCUACCCAUGCAAAUUCCAAUGAGAUUAAUUUCAAAUCUCUCAAACACAAAUUUUCAAUUAGUGGGCUACACUUACCCAUUAAUUUCUAAUUCUUCUCAUGGGUCAUCUUCCCAUGAAAAUUCAAAUGAGAUUAAAUUCAAAUUUCUCAAACACAAAUUCUCAAUUAGUGGGCCACACUUACCCAUUAAUUUCCAAAUUCCGAACUACGUUGGUUUGAUCCCUUUGAAAGGGUACGUAGGCAAUCUAGAGAUUCGAUCUAGAUGCAACCAUCCCAAAUGCAAUCCCAUAUCGAAUCCCUGGUUUAUUCAGCUAAAUUCACUCAAACACUUCUCAAUACAAUUCAAAUCAAAUUUCCCUCGCAAUGAGUCAUUUAUUCAUUGCGAUUCCUUGAACUACGAGUGGCUUGAUUCCCGCAAGGGAUACGUAGGCAUCCUGAGGUUGGACUUGGGAGCAGUUGCAAAAUCAAACACACACGUUCUGUUUCUUUAUGAUGGAAUCAAAGGGUGUUCCCUUGAAGCAAGGGAUUGUAAUUAAGAGACUUGCGUCUCGAAUGGGUCGAACCUAAAAAUAAUAAAACCCCGUUAUUUAAUUAGUGGUGGUGAAAUUAUAUUAGGAGGAUCACAUUUUCCUUCAACAAUAUGUAUAAGCUAGGGACCACCACCUUGACUUUAACCCCUAAUUAUAGGAAAACUAUAAUUACAAGCAACCACCACCUUGACUUUAACCCCUAAUUAUAGAAGAACUAUAAUUACAAGCAACAAGAUCAAAUCCCCUAAAUUAAGGAAAUCCCAUAAAUCAAGGAAAUCCCCUAAAUCAAUCACAGCUAGCAGCCACCAAGCUAUACUUCCAAUAGUGUGCAUAUAUCCUCAUGCAUUAUGUUGGAUGGUGAGAUUGCUGUAAAUAUGUUUGCUGAUACAGCGCCUUGAUUGUUGAGUUGAUACUGGUUGAAGGGGCCGAUGACUUUUUCGCUAAAGUGAACGUUAAAUGUAACCUUUUCAUGAAUGUGGUGGGCAAUGAAAACAGGGGAGGCUCUGCCAACAAGCUCAAUAAGGUGAAGGGCAUUGACAGAAAUUGGACUCCCUCCAGUUGGACAUGAAACAUCAAGAAGGUUGAUGACAGGAGCAACAUCGUAUUGUGAGUGAAUACAUGCAAGUAUUCGGAGCUCAGCAUUCGGUUUCAUAUCGAUGAUGUUCCUUUUCUGGUAGCCUGCAUAUUUCCUCGAAGGAUCAUACAAGUAGUUAACCAUGCUAGGCACCAGUAUUGCUAUAAUCAGAACACUAACGAGCAGCACCGCGAAAGUUUGAUCAUCAAUAGUCUACAAGUGGGGGGUGGAGGAAAGGAAAACAAAGAUUAGUUAUAUAUGUUUUCCAUGCGCAUCGUAAUUCGAAUGUGUCUGAAUGUUUGUGCUUGUACCAGAUAGAACAAGGGAAAAGAAUAAUAUUUUUAAGGCUUAAUUAACUUGUUACCUUAUAGUCAUGGAAUAAGGAGUAUGAUGCCAACUCAACUACGCCCUUGGAGCUCAUUACGAAACCAAUUGCAAGAGCAUCAUUGAAGGGCAUCUUGCAAAUCAAAGAUGGUACAAAACUGGCCAUUACUUUGGACAAAAAAGUUACCACCAGAAGGACAAUGUCCAGCGUUAACAAUUUACGAUCAUCUCCGAUGGACGAAAGGUCAGCCUUCAUUGCGCAUAUAGUCACAAAUAGUGGCGUGAAAACUCCAGAGAAAAACCAAUCAAACUUUUUCACUAUAGCAGCGCCUAAUGGUGGUCCAUCUGGAACUGCCAAACCCAAAAUGAAAGGACCUAAAAGCACAGUUUGGUCAAACAUAUCAGAAAGAACGCCAGACAACAGAACCAUUAGAAAGAUGGCAUAUAUGUACACAUCCUUAACAGGCCUGCCUGCUGGUGUAUGUUUCACAAUCCAAAACAGGGCAGGACGAAUGAUGAACACUACCGCAAGAAUAUAGGCAAUAAGUGAGAAAAUGUCCCCGUAAAUUUUGUAUAUUGGUUGUCCGGUUCCCAUGGAAACUCUGAUAAAGCUAGCAGUACUUGUUGCAAUCACAUUGAUCAUGUCACUGACCAGGCCGGAAGAUAGUCCCAACCGGCCUAGUUCCGAAUUUAGGAGUUUGAGGUCCUGAAGAAGGCUAGAAACAACUGCAAAUGAAGUCAGAGAAUGCGUCGCUGCCACAAAAAAAACCUUGUCAUCUUCUUCUUCCUUGAAGACAUAUGCGCAAGCAAAGGCGGUUAACAAGCCACAUAUUAUGGGCACUACAAGUGACAAAAUACCAAUUGUUAAAGCUUUGUGUCCUGUUUUCUUUAUCAUGCCUACAUCCAUUUUCACCCCUGUUAGAAACAUGAAAAAAGCGUAACCAAACACCGAUGCCGUGCCAAUCGCAUCUUGACUGAGGAGUGGAAACAAGGAUUCUUUGCCAGACUUGUCUUUGAUUGAAGGUCCAAGCAGUAUGCCAGUCUAGAAUUCAAAUAACACCUCUUGUUAUUUCCAUCAAACACAUAACAAAGAAAGAAAAUUCCCACAAAAGCUUUGCAGUUUCAUAACUUUAUACUACUUGGUUAUGAAUUAAAUCCACAUCCAGAUAAAUGGGAUCAUUUUAUAUUUCACUAUCAUGUGAUCAAAUAAAAGAAUAAACAAUUAAGAAACUUUAACAGGACAGAAGUAUUAGAGAUGGAACAUACAACAAUUUGUGAGAUGACCUUUGGGAGCUUGAAAGGUUUGAAGAAAAGGUGAUGGUGACUUGGGUGAUGACAAAAAUAACAACAAUCUGGAGCUCCAAAAGAGGCACUAAAUGACUGGCACGAACUAGCGGCACCGGAGAUUUAAAGACAUCAUCCCAGUUGCCACCAAAUUCCAUAUUGGGUGGUGAGCUGAAGCAAACAUUGAAGAAAGUUUCAUUGACCUUGUGCAGUGCGAUGACAUCUUCCUCCAAAGUUGAAAUAUUUUUGUUGGCCAUCAUUACAUAUAAUUAACUAAAAGUUUUUUGCAGAAGAUAAUUCAAAGGCAUGCACAUAAGGGACAUGGGAAAGAAAGAAAGCAAGGUUGUAUGAGGGCAAUAUGCGUGCAGAAAUGUAAAGGGAGAUAAAAAGAUGUUACAGUUCUAACAGCAUUGGUUUAUGACAAAGCACUCGAACUAUGUCAUACACACUUUCACCACCUACUUUACUAGCAACCGCGUUAAUUAAUCACACUCAUCUAACCACAUUAACAAUGGAACUCAUCUUUGCUGGAUGAUUUUCCAUUUGUUACAUCCAUACCACUUAUUAUUAUUUUAAGUUUACAAGUGUAAUUGAUAUGAAGAUGUGUAAUACCAUAUUUUUAUACCACAUUGUGUAUCACUUGUCUAAUAGAGCAGGAGCCCACCAAUACAAUGGAACCCACCUCUAUUAGAGAUGUGGUACAAUAGUUAGUAAAAUAUAAGGCAUUUUCCAAUUCAAUUCCUCCUAAUCCAAUUCCGAAUUAGUAAACAUGCCAUAAGAGCAACUCCACCGUUGCGCCCGGGCUGGGGCAAGGGGAGGCUCAAGACGAAAAAUGGAAUUCCACUAGGUCACUUUUGCCCGGGCUGGGUGUGGGGCCCACAAGCCUAGGCUGGCCCUCAGGCAAAACCAGCCUUUGCACAAGCUUGGGUUUGCUGACAUCAGAAACCCAAAAAAAAAUAAAAAAUUUAAAAAUCUAUAAAAAAAUUUAAAAACAUACUAAAAUUUUCAGAAUUUUUUUUAAAUAAAUACUUAGUCAUAUUUUUCACUUCCCACACCAAAACAACAUACAAAUUCUUCUCCAGUGCUCUAAGAGAAUAAGAGAGGCAUGAGGUGAAAGGUUUAUAUGGGUGGGUUGUUGGAGUCCAGAUCUUCUGUCCUUUUUUUCCUAUACAACCCUGUCCCCUAUCUAAUUCUUUGACACCUCUCUAUUCACUUAACUCUUUAUUUUUAUUUUUAAUCAAACUUAACUCUUAAUACACAGCUUCAGCUUUUAAUAAAUUAAGCAUAAAAAAUUUGAAAAUUAAACAAAUAGAAAAAACCAACAUCCACCAAUGUAAACUCCCACCCACCCAAGGACGGACCCACAGUGGGGUUAAUGGGGUCAAAUGACCUUAUGGACUCCAUGAAAGCAAAGUAGAAGGUCCCUUUGAAUUGGUGUGUGACCCCAUGAAUGGCUGAAGGAGGAGUUGCAGAUACUGAGGAAGAAGAAGAGGAAAUCUGUUUUUUUUUUUUAAAAAAAAAAAAAAAAUAGGCAGGCCAAAACGGCAUCGUUUUGGCCCAGCUUCUAAUUUUUUUUAAAAAAUAGGCAGGCCAAAACGGCGUCGUUUUGGACCAGUCCAGCUAUUUUUUUUAAAAAUGCGCUGGCCAAAACAGCGUCCUUUUGGACCAGCAGCUCAUUUUGUCCAGGUUUAAAAAAAAAAAAAAAAGAACAAUUGUAUAAUCUACACAGACCCUCCUUCCGAGUUUUCAACUCCAAAACCUCCAUUUUCUAAACCCUCAAACCUAAAUCCCAAAUCUCCACCCCCAACAAACCUUUAACUCUCUUCCCCACUAAGUGUUUAAGCCCCAACUCCUCCAUUGCCGCCGUUGCCAGUAGCUCCGUAGCUUUCAAUGUUAUUUUAAUCUUUAAAAACAAAUUGAACUUUUACACUAUAACCUUGCGACAUAAAAUUCCUGGGUCCGUCCCUGCACCUACCCAGCACCGUCAGCCAACCCACCUCGCCGGCGGUGGCACAUUCUCCACCUUGCCGGCAGCGAUACCUUCUUCACCUCGUUGGCGACAAUACCUCCACCUCGUCAGCGAUAACACCGUCUCCACCUAGAUGGCGAGAACACCGCCUCCUCCUACCUCUCUUUCUCUUUCGUUCUUGAAGAUAAUCUCAUAACUGGAUCUAAUUCAGCGAAGCUCAUCAUUCAAUCCCUUACAAGUGAAGUGAUGGAUCUAUAACAGGUAUUUUGCAUACAAAAAUCUCAAACAAAACCACCCCAAAAGAAUACAGAUUUUGCACAAAGGGAUGGAUGCCUCUUGUCUGUUGGGCCCAAUGCUCAUCCAGAUUGAACACUUUCUUCAAGAAAUGGAAAAACAGAUAGAGGGAGAGAAGAGACUUUGAGGAGGAGCGAGGUGGAGAUGGUACUGCCGUCGGCGAAGUGGGAUGGCUGAUGGUGUUGGGUGCCGUCGGUUUGGAUGGGGACGGGGACGUUGGUGGUUUCUGGUGUUGGUUUGUUUUUGUUUAGUUUUCAUUAAAAAAAAAAAAAAUUUCCUCGGCAAAGUUAUGAAGAAUGUGUCAAAUUUCAAGUGUCCCCUCACUUUUCUUUUCCUUGUGCAUUAAGAAGGUAUCUCGCAGAAAUUCAUUAAUAUAAAACUGGUAGCAAAAAUAUCCUUAAAAUCCAAGUUAAUUAUUUGAAAAUUCCUUCGCAAGUUUCAGAGGAAAUUGGGUUGGUGGAGAAGUGUGUUGUUACUGCCUGCCUUUUGUUUCCCAGCAUAUUUUGAUAUUCAUAGUGAAAUUUUAUAUAUAUAUAUAUAUAUAUAUAUAUAUAUAUAUAUAUAUAUACUCUAAGUCUGCAGCUCAUCCAAUCCAAGUGGCAGGUUUAGGUUUUCUGAGUUGUAAGUUUUCAGUCAGUUCUAUUCCUACUUCUAGUUCUUUCAGUUUACCUGUCCUUCUCUCUCUUGGUGUCUGAACAGUAAGACCCGUUCCAAACAGUAAGUCCCAGGGAGGCCUGAGCGGUUGUGGCAUUAGUAGGAGGGCGAGAGAUUUACUAGGUAUCCUGUUUAAUUAGAAGUCAGCCUUAGAAGUUUAUGUUUACUUUCUUCCUUAGAACUCCAACCCCAGAACCUUGAGAAACAUGAGUAGCUUAUUCAGAACCAACUCUUAUAAUUCUAGCAGCUCUAGAGUCAGUAUUGGCAAAGUCCUAGAGAUAGUUAAUGAAGAACAACUAGAAUAUAAGUCUAAUAAUGAACUAGAUUUUCGAGAUUGGAAUAUACCUAAGGUCCCUAGUCAAAAUAUUUAUAAGAAAAAAUAGUCGCUCUCUAGUUUCAAUACAACCACCCAUGUAAAAACAGUUGAACAAAUCUAUGCUUUAAGUCAAGAACAUGAGACUUGUCAAUUACUUAAUCUUGAGUCAAUUAGAAAACAUAAAAAUGAUGGAAACAAUUUUCUUCACAUUGGUCUAGUCCAAGUUGCAGUUAAGCCGUUAACUAGAUUAGGAUUAAAAGCUUCAAUCCUUCUCUACUUACGUGAUGCCAGGUUCACUAAUUUCAGCGACAGUACGCUAGGAAUUAUUGAAUCCAGCCUUGCUAAUGGUCCUAUUCAUUUUGAUUGUUACCCUGAUUUUACAGUAAGCCUGAGUGAUCCCAAUAUAUUAAAAACCCUAACAUUAAAUAUAAAAACUGAUGACUAUGAUCUCCUGCCCAGCACACAACCUUUAGCUUUAGUUUACAUAAUCUAUUACAAAGUCACAUGUACUAAUAUGAAUUUCCAAGCCCUGAGUAAAAGUCCAAAAAACCAAACUUUGUUAAUCCAAAGUCAUACACCUGAUGCUACUGUUCGAGUCCCUCAUUCAAUUAAAUGGUCAGAUGUAUCCCUUCCAGUAGAUUGGACCUUAACCGCUGAGAGUCAACCAGUUCCAAUCCAGCGUAGUUUAAACAAUUUAGACUAUAUCCAAUAAUAUCUUGAUGGCACUGUCAAAAUUAAUUUUAGUCAUCAACCUCCACAAAAGUCAACAGUCCAGUUACAGCAGUUACCCAUACCAAGUCAAUCCCAAAGACAUGUUCCUGCUAGACAUUCCUUUGCUGCCUCUUCCUCUACUCCAGAACGAGACCUAGAGUUAGAAAAAGCAUUGAUUGACUUAAAACUAGAAUCCUUAAGAAAAACUUCCCAAGUCACUCAUCCCGUUUAUAGAAAAAACUCCUGUCUCAGAAGACAAUAAGUCUGAGUCCUCCGAGUCACCCACUCAAUCUGAUUUCAUAGUCAAAAACUCCCCAGUUGACAACCAAUUAAGAACUCUAAAUAAAUUUUUUUUAAUUAACUGGAAAAGAUUAGAAAAUCAUUUACAUGCUCCUGAGAAUCAAAUUAGGCAAAAUAAUUAUCACACAGUCAUCCCUGACAGAGUCAAAAGACAACAAAUUUUUAAUGAUUGGAAAGAUUAUAUGCGAUCUGCUAAAAUUGAAAUUUUUUAUCUUGAUUACGUAGAAAGCUGACAUAUGCCCAAUGAGUUAAAAACUUUAACCCAAGAAAAAUGGGAAAAGAUGGAUCACACUGAGAUUCUCGCUAGUCACCCCCUGUUGAAACAAUCAUUAUUAACCAUAACAAAACAAAACUAGUAGCAACCCUUUCAAAGUCCCUGAUCUGGAAAAUAAGAUGUUAGUCGAGGAAAAAAAUUAUACCAACCAAAGUCUAGUUGUCGUAGGGAAACAAUUAGAUAAGAUAGAAACAAAAAUCUAUACGUUACUCCCCAAUGAAGUCAAAACUAAAAAUGAGAAACCUUUAGUUACAUUCCAAGGUUUAAAGUCAAGUCCAACUUUCAAAACAAAAGAAACAAUGACAAAAAUUGAAAAAAUGUUAGAAGAAUUAACACCAGUCAAAAGAAAAGACAAGGAAAAGAUUGAAACUAGUAUUAGAGUUCUAGGAUUCUUCCAGUUACCCCUUACUUCAGAUAAAUCCUCUGAAUCUGAGUCAGCCUCCAGCAUGGAAACAGAAAUUAGUAAUAUUUCAAAAAUUGAAAAUGCAUUUAGAAGUCUUGAGUUAGAAAAUAAUCCAAAAGUAAAGCGAUUAACAAACAGAGUCAGCCCCACUAGUCUCACAAAAAAUUGGUAUCCAAGGCCAACACAUCUGGAUAUUCAAUAUGAAGAAAGAAAUUCACAAAUCAAUUUUCAGUUUCCUUUGAUAAAUUAUACGAAUGGAACAUUGAUGGUCUCUCUGAGCAAGAAAUCUUAAAUAAACUUCAACAUAUGUCCAUGGUUGCCAAUAGUUAUAUCACCAAUCACAGUUUCAGGCAAUCUAAAAUUGUGCCUUUAUUAGAAACUGGUUUCACUGGAACUCUUCGUUCCUGGUGGGAUAAACAUUUAACUAAUGAGUCUAAACAACAAAUAAUUCAUGCAGUCAAACUCAAUGAAGAUGGUCUCCCUAUUUUUGAUGAACAAAUAGGUCAAGGCAUAGAAGAUGGAGUCAACACUUUAUUAUAUACAAUAGUUGAACAUUUCAUUGGAACACCUACUAAUACUACUACUAGAAUACACGAUCAACUUAGUAACCUAUGAUGCCCUAAAUUGUCUGAUUUUAGAUGGUAUAAAGAUGUGUUUAUUUCCCGAGUUAUGUUGAGAGAUGAUAGUAAUCAGUCAUUUUGGAAAGAAAAAUUUGUUAAUGGUCUUCCUAAUUUAUUUGCCCAUAAGAUUCGCACGACACUUAGUAAUGAACAAGGUCAUAUCGAUUGGGAUAGUUUAACACAUGGUAAUAUCAUUAGCACAAUUAAUCAAGUUGGUAUGAGAAUGUGUGUUGAUAUGAAAAUCGGUAAACAAAUCCAGUCAGAAAGAAAUUCUGCUAAUUAUGAGUUAGGAAAUUUUUGUGAACAAUACGGGCUAAUAUCAGCUCCCCCGUCUAGAAAGGAUAAGUCUAGUCAUCACAAACAACAGUUUAGUAAGAGUCGCCAUUAUUCUUGUCAAAAACAGUCAUUCCAACAUAAUAAUGACAAUAAUGAAUUUUAUAGUAAAAAGAAAUUUUCCCCUAAGAAAAAUUGGAAAAAGAGUCACGGAAAAGAUAAGAAUAGUCGCUUUAAGAAAAGUAAAAUGUUAUAAAUGUGAAAAGUUUGGUCACUACGCUAAUAAUUGCAAAAUAAAAGACACAAUCAAACCAUUGAAAAUCACAGACGAAGAAAAAGACAAACUAAUUAAAGUCCUUGAGCUUAGAAGUUCCGAGUCUAGUGAACAUGAUACCAUCGACAGUAAUACUGAGACUCCUGAAUUUGAUUACUCAGAUUCUCAAUCCAGCUCUCCCAAAAUACAAUUUGGUUGCCAAGACAAUUGUUGUAAGUCUUAGUCAGUUAAUGUCCUCACUAAACAAGAAGAACAAGAAGAGUUAUUAAUUGAUUUAAUUAGCAAAGUAAAAAAUUUUGAGUUAAAAUCCGAAUAUCUGAAAAAGUUAAGAAAGGUCAUCAGUCAAAAAGAACCAAGACAGUCUACCUCUCAAAAGAUAAGUUUGAACACAACUUUAGAAAAAUUUAAUAAAAAGAAGGAAGUUACGCUACAAGAUUUGCAAUCAGAAGUAAAGAUAGUCAAGAAGGAAAUUUUAGAACUUAGGCAAAUAAGUCAAAAGUUACAGGUUGAAAAUUAUGAGAUAAAACAAAAUUUGAGUCACCUCCUGGAAAAAGAUGAUGCAUCCAAAGGUUUGCCUGAGAGUCCAACAAAUUCAGAGGACAAGUCCCAUGAACCUCCUAACCAAGAAUAAUCAACUGUCAAUUUAAUUAAACAAGUCAUAUAUAUAUAUAUAUAUUUUCUUUAAAGUUGAUAAAUCAAGAAAAUGUGCUACAAAAACUUGGGCAUGGCAUGCAUAUAUGCUUGAGCUGGAUGUUCAGGGAAAUAUUUAGGUUUAGCUUUUAAAUAUUCUAAAACCAUCUUUUAGAAAAGUGUAGUAGGAUCGCCUUUGCUUGAAGAAAUAUUUGACAUACUUGAGUUGGGUUAGUAUUAUCAAUAAGGAGAAUACGUCAAGUAUCCCCUCACUUUUAUUUUCCUUGUUAUAGAGGGCUAGUAUUUAUACCAGCCUUCCUCGUUAGUUAAGGUUAAGGAGGUAUAUACUCUCGCUUAUCAUUCUUUAUUAUUGAGUGGUAAUUUAUUAAUAAAUUUGGUAACUCAUAUCCUUAAAAUCCAUGUUAAUUAUUUGAAAAUUCCUUCACAUGUGUUAAUGUGCAUUAGGAAAUAUUGACCAAUACGGUGUGGCAGCCCAAAUUCAAUCCAUAUUAUCGUACAUUAGAGUAGUUCCGAGUAUUGGAUCUUCAAAAUGCAAAAAGAAAUCCUUGAAUUUUUUUUUUUUUGGUAAAAAGAUUCCUUGAAAUUGGGUUGGUAGAGAGAGAGAUGUGUGUUGUUACGUGCUACCUAGGUUUGCUUUUAAAUAUUCUAAAACCAUCUUUGUAAACAUGGCAUCACCUUCUCUUGAAGUAAUGCUCGUUAUACAUCUUCUCCUUGUCUCUUUUUAUAUAUAGCUAACACAAACUCAUCCUUAACCUCUUCUACAUAGCGAAUGUGACAUACUCAUUCACUUCCUCUGAGUUCUCAGUUCAUAUAUUGUCCCUUUUGUGGUUAUAAUUAAUUAUAUCAUUCAAGCUUCUCGCAACAGUUCACCAGUGUUUGCUAAAACAUUGCAUUGGAGAGCUAGGUAAGUCUUGAAAUAGUUGUUUGCCUUCACACUUUAGCACAACACAAGUGGUUCGCUUGACACUUUACUGGAAAACUUAUGUAUUUUUGGGGAUUAAGAGCCUGUUUACUUUCUUUGGUUCCAUGUCUAUAAGUUUCCUUGCUUUUCUUCUUCUAAACCUACUUAGCUUUAUUUUGUCCUAUUUCUGUAUUAUUUAUCAUUUCACAGCACAAAUAUAUAUCUUUGUUUCAUCUUUAUAUUUCUGGCUUUAUGUCUGCAGUCUUGCAAUAAUGAGCAUUCAGAUUGCGGAUAGUGCUGUAAAUUGCUGCUAACUCGAGGUUGGUUUUCCUUAGAAAAUUUUAAUUUUCUUUAUCGACUACCUCUUGGCACACACUCACACCUUCAUUAAUUUAAGUUUCUUCUUCUUCAUUGUUUUUUUACUGUGAUGGAAUCUUUUAGAGUAAACAUACAUUAGUUUAUGUAUUAAAAACAAGAAAACAAAUGAAAAACCAAAGAAUGUAGUUGUUUAGCAAAAUUACUUAACCAAGAGUAUUUGAAGGGUUUUUAAUAAUGUUUCUGUGGUCUCUUCCUUUAUAUAUAUAAAGAUUUCAUUUUAUGUUACUACACCCAAUUUAUAUUAGAUUGCUUUCUUAAGUUAGGAAAGUAUUGAAGUUAGCUCAAGGGGUGAGAGAAUGCAAGGUAAUGACAAAGAAUUAGGAUACGUGUAGGUUCAAUACCUUCUAAAUAGCUAGAACAAGAAAUAGUGAUAAAAAAGAAACGGUGUUUUUCUAGAAUUUUGAAUACUUCACCCAAAAAAAUGUGUUGAUUUUAUGUUAGUAUAUAUCCGCGUUUUUUCAAUUUCAACAAGUUAUGCCAUUUUUUGAUAUGGUUACACAUAGGGUCCACUUAAAUGUCAAUGUGGCACAAAUAGGGACCAUUUUUUUUUAAAAUUAAAUGAAGUAGAAUAAAAUAUUAAUAAAACAUGUGAAAUUCAAUUUAAGAUUAAGAAAAGAUUCUUAAACGAAAAACAAAAUAUUAAAAAACUAACAAACACUUAUGGUCUGCUUGAUAAUGAUUUCAGUUUUUUGUUUUUAUUACUUUUCACUUUUCAAUUUUUAAAAACUAAAACUACAAAACUUGUUUGGUAACCAAUUUUAGUUUUAAAAAUGAAAUUGAAAAUUGUUUAAAAGUUGUUUGAUAACUUAUUUCAGUUUUAUUUGGAACUUAAAAAUGAAAUUUUUUUGGGGUCAAAUUGUGAAUAUGAGAUCAUAUAUAAUGAAAGUCCAUGUUCCAAUAUGAUCCUAGUCGGGAGGUCCCAAAUAAGAAGUUUGGUAACUUAAGUGCAAUGCAUGUGUCGUGAUGUUAAUUGGUAAAAGAGAAAGAAGCACCAAAAAAAUAAAAAUAAAAUAAAACUAAAACGAAACACUAAAAACUAUCAUUAUCUCUCUUAUUGAAUUACCGGUAAAUUAGAGCGAAAAUUAGUCAAGUGAGCAACGUCUUCAAGGACAAAGCACUGGUCAUGAGCUUGUUGUCGAUUUGAACUUUGUGAUCAGAUUUGCCUGCUUUCCAGUGAACCAAAUGGAACUAUGAGGGAGUAAUUGGAUUUGAAAUCGGAUAUCGGUGGUUUUAAAACGAUGGACUUGACUGGAAUAUGAGUGGGGUAGUAUUUGUCACAAAAAGAGGUGUCGUUUUAAUUUUAUAAAUACUCACAAGUGCACAAAUCAAAUGUAAUAUAGAUGUGUAAGAAUGAGAUCGUACCCACAAGGAUUGCAUGAAAAAAAUAGAGAACUAACCCAAAUAAAUUAAGGGAGAUUCACUAUUAUACCCACUAUAGGGCCCAAAUUAUAAAAAUACUAUAUAUAAAAAUGGACUUUAGAAACACACCCAAAGCCCAUUUACAACAUAACAAAGAGGCUUUUAACUUUUUAUAAAUUACAAAACUGUCAUCUAUUUUUAAAACAAGCCAAACCCCAAAAGCUCCUAAAAAACCCCAAAACACUCAAUAGGGCAUCAAAGUAAUUUAAUAAUCAAAAUUUUAUUAAAGAGAGCAAGCUGUUAUUUUUUGGGGUUUUUUUUGUUUAUAGAAAUUAAAUGGUGAAGGGUUUAUUUAUAUUUUUUAUGCUAAGAUUGGGUGUAUGACUAAAUAUCUCUUAAAUUAAUUCAAUUACUCACCUAGUACCUUCCGAGGUUGAUUUGUUGGUUUUUUUUUUCAUAAAAAAAAAUAUAAAAAAAUAUACAGAAAUUCUAAGGCAUUAGAAUCCACACCACUAUUCCAUAAAAUUCUAAUUAUUUACCUAUCAAUUUCCAAUUUCCAUGGAGUAGCGAUCUAGAAAUCAAUCUACUACUUUCUCAUGAUAUAUCAAUUAAGCAUGCAAUUUAAUAAAUCUUUUGUAAAUUCCCUUUCCUUUUUUGGUAGAACUUCUAAGCAUCACAUGUAAAUAAAGGUAUUUAACUACAAAGGAUCAAAGUUUCCUAAGCAUACCCUAGGUGAAAAAGGUUUUUUGAAUGACAAGAGAUCAAAGAAAUUUGUAUAGUAAAUAUAAAACCAAAGACAUAUUAAUAAAUCAACCCAAUUUUAACUACCACAAAUACAUGAUAGAAGUGGUGAAAAUAAAGCAAAUCUAUUAAUCACGUGAAGCCAACAUUAUUAACAUCAAAGAAUAUAAUUUAUAAAUUAAAAGAUAAAAACAGGAAAUUAAUUUUAUAAUGGUAUUUCACCAUUAACAUAAUUUAACUAGAAUAAAUAAAAAAAUAAACUACAUAAUAAGAGAUAAAAACUAAAGUAAAGAAAAAUUAAAGUAGAGAGAAAAAGGAGAAAAAGUGUAUCAUAAACCCCUUCGUUCCUUGCCUCUCGGCUCCUCAAGAUUCUCUCCAAUUCUUCUACAUUUUCUAUCCUGUUUCUGCUCUCCUGUUUGUUGUCCAAUUUCAAUUUUCUUCCACUUUGGGUUUGGAUUUGGAUGCAUCACACGGGUUGCUCUCCAUCCUUUUUCUUUGUCUUCGGGCUUUGGACGUAGUCAAUAUCCACCUUAUCUUCUAUCUUCUUCUUGCAACACAUUCUUUAUUCCUCCUCAUUUGCUAUUGGUGGUAGACUCUCAAUAUCUAAAAAGAACCGCACACUAAACACAAAAACCAAGACUGUAAACAAUCAAUACAAAUAAUCUAAAAGAUUAAAAUAAAAUAAAAUAAAACAGUAAUAAAUAUAAAUUUAAGGAUAAAACUUAUAUUAAUUUUGUGCUCAUCAUGUUGGAACUAGGAUGCUCGGUUCGGUAACCGAACCUAGGGGCACAAACCAACCACUGAACCGAUGGUGGUCCAAAUUCUACAAUCGGUUUGCCGACUGUCGUUCGAAGUCAACCACUGUCUGUGCGGUAGCAUCCAAGAGAGAGAGAGAGAGAGAGAGAGAGAGAGAGCAGAUAUGUGCGUCAGCUGCAUCAAAUGAAGAAGAGAUGGUGUGCGAUGGCUGCGAAGAGAGGACAAGAAGGAUGGCCUCGAAUUGAAGAGGAGUGCGGCCGCAGCUGCGAAGAGAGGAGAAAUGGGGAAGAAGAAUAUAGGAGAGAGAAAAUGAGGUGGAGAAGAAGAUAAGAUACAAAAGGAGAAGGAGAAGAAAAUACGGAGGGAAUAAAGUGGUGGGACUGUUUGGGAAUGAUUUUGGAGGACUAAAAGCACUUUAUAUGACCACGUUUGGUAGAAAAUGUUAGAAGUGCUUUUAGGUCGUGAAAGCGCUUUCUAGAGAAGCAUCUACUAUGUAUUUCUUCAGGAAGCACUCCCAAGUAAUUUCCCAAGAAGAUUUUUGCAUUUCUUAUGAAAAUUUCAACAUCUUUAUAAUGAAAGCGCUUUUGUAAGAAACUCUUAUGAUCAAAAGUGCUUCCUAGAGAAGAAGUCCCAAACAAGUGGUAGAAGCCCUCCUCUCCAACAAGCAGGUUAAGGGUUUGAGUCCCUUUUGGAGCAUAAUUUGAAAUAUUCUUCACAACUGAUAGAGUUCAAUUUGUUGGCCGAAACAAAAAAUUAAGUGAAAAGUCAUGAACCAAAUGGUUUGGUUUGGUGGGUUUGGCGAUCUAUAGAUCUAAAAUUCUAACCCUAUGUGAGAUGGGAUAUGGGGGUGACGACUACAGUGAGAUAUAGGGUGAGGGGCCGCGGUUGGAAGUUAGAUUGGGGGAAGGGGUGAGCUGUCUCUUAGGGGCUUUAGGUUGCUUCGCAUGUGCCUUGUUGUACACUCACAUACCUGUAUGGAUUAAUCGCGAACCCGAUAAUAGGGUCCCUAAGAUUUAAGGACUAGGUCAGUAUUAUUUCGACUAAUAUUCUUGUUUGAAAUAUAAGUAAAGCUUCAGCAGAAGAACUAUUGAUUGAUCACGUAUAGUAAAUUCACCCUCUAUGCGUACUUUUCCUAGUGUCUCUACGUAAAUGACUAAAGAACAAUCAUCCUCCUAAUUAACCAAACAUAAGAUGCCCCAGUUUUUGUUUUAUGGAUUAUCAUUACUCAAUUAACAAUCCUAUGGCUAUGAACUAUAUUGACUAUGAAGAUAAAAGAGCAAGGUCUCAUAAAUCUACUUAACUUUUACUUUCUCUCUAUUUCAUAUUCAUUGGCCUAUUGUUUAAGCAUAUAAUUGUUGAUAGGAAUAUUUCUAGCCAUAAUGACCUUGCCAUUAAUUUAAUUUAAUUACUAAGUAAAUAUAUAUAGGUAAUAUCCAUAAAAGAUUACAUAAAAUUAUUAGGUUUUAUGGGAUAUUUCCCACACAACAUAUAGUGGAACAAUAUUAUAGGUGGCCCUUUGAGCUAGGCUGAACUCAUUUUUUAAGCUAGUUUAAGCUCAAAUUUAGCCCGAGUUAAUAUAGUAUAACAUGCCCUAAGAAUGCAUAUCCCUAAAAGAUUGGUCGUUCAUGUGAGGAAAGAAAAUCAAUGAACAUUUUAAAGUACACCAAUAUAAUAAUUGGAACAUCUUUCCAUUUAAUUAUAAGAUUAUAAACAUUUAGGACCAAACUUUAAUGAAACAAACGCAAGGUAUCUUAUAAAAAGAUGUGAGCUCCUAAUGAGAUUUGUUAGCUCGGCACACCAAAUCAUAAGCUUGGGUCAUUUUAACAAGGGGAGAAUUGCACUUAGACUCCCCGACGUUUGGUAUAAUUACAGUCAGAUCUCACAUGUUUUAUAUAUUACGAUCACACCCCUUGUGUUAGUUAACUUUGACAUAAACUGGUAGUUGACUGGAUUUUAACAAAUGAAAUGUCUGUUCUAACCUUUCUACAUAAAUAUCAACAAAAUACCUUAAAAUCAAUUUUAAAAUAAACAAAAAGGUUAAAGCUUAAAAAUUAAAAUUAAAAACUCCCAAAACUUGAGUCUUACCUGACCCCUCCGCAUCCCCCACCUAGUAACCACCCCAUACCAUGCCACCCCCUCAUACUUACCGGUGACAUGUCUUCUCUCUCUCUCUCUCUCUCUCUCUCUCUCUGUGCACAUAUUAGUGUCCCACUCCCUCUCUAAUAUGAGAGGAUGACUGAUAUCUCCAUAGCAGGAGCUGUAAUGGUUGGGUGUCUUGAGAAAUUUUUUGGUGAGGAAGGAGGAAGAGUGUUUAUAGAUUAUGAGUUACAAUUGCUAUGAGAUUUGUUUGGUUGGGUUUUUGAUUGGUUUACCUUUGACUUUUUCAUAAUUAAAAUUGUAGGUGUUGAACCGGUUGCAUUUUUUGUUUGAGAUUUUGUUGGUCUCUAACGGCUUUAUAUCAAAGGCAACAAAAAAUGGAAGAAAUUGUUGAAGAACCAGUGCCACUAAUUGGGAGACAACUCAACUAUCUAAUUUACUAUGAUUCCAACAUAGAAAGUCUAAAAGAUGCUCUUAAAAAGCUUGACGACAAGAAAAAUGAUGUGCAAAGAUCUGUGGAUGCUGCAAAAAGGAAUGGUGCAACCAUCAAAGAUCAAGUUCAGAGCUGGCUGGAGGAUGUAAGCAAAACAUUUCGUGAAGCACAAGAACUUGAAACUAGAGUCAACAUGCAAAGGCGGUGUUUGUAUGGAUUGUGCCCAAGUUUGAAAUUGCGGUAUUCUCUGAGUAGGAAAGCGAAGAAGAUUGCUCAGGCAGUGUUUAUACUUGAUCUCAAACUAGAUGGAGGACUGAGUAAUAAUGUUGCCAAUCCUGCACCUUUGGAAAAGCUAGGGUCAAUAAUCUCUGGAGAUGGUUUUAAGAGUUUUGAAUCCAGAAAAGCAGUCAUGAAUGAUGUGCUUAUAGCUUUGAGGAAUGAAAAGUCAAGAAUAAUUGGGGUAUGCGGGAUGGGAGGUGUGGGUAAAACCACAAUGGUGAGAGAAAUCAGAGAAAUCAUCAACAGAUUAGAAGGAACGAAUAGGCUGUUUGAUAAGGUUGUGUUGGCAACUAUAUCUGCAACUGUAAACAUUACGAGAAUUCAAACUGAAAUUGCAGACUCACUGGAUAUGGAAUUCGUCAAGGAAAGUGAAUCUAUAAGAGCACAAAGGCUACAUGAGACAAUCAAGUACAGUAAUAGAAUCUUAAUUAUAUUAGAUGAUGUAUGGUCAGAGCUUAAAUUAGAGGAUGUAGGAAUCCCUUUUGGUGUUUAUGAAAGGUGCAAAAUUUUGUUGACAUCUCAAAAUGAAGAAGUUUGUAAAAUAAUGGGGUGUAAAGAUGACAUUUUUAGAGUCCAAGCCUUAAAUAAAGAAGAAGCAUGGGAGCUUUUCAGGGCGACUGUAGGUGAAUCCUUGGACAAUAAUCCUGAUUUGUCUCAUGCUGCAAAGUUGAUUGUUGAUGAAUGCAAAGGUUUACCCAUUGCUAUCAUAACUGUUGGGAAAGCUCUUCUAUCAAGUAACGGCAAGCAUGAAUGGACUACUGCCUUGGAAGAACUAAAAAACUCUACCUCAGUAAAUAUCCCUGGAAUGGAACCCAAGGUUUAUUCUUGCAUAAAAUUGAGUUAUGAUAAAUUGGAGAGUGAUGAAGUCAAGUCAUGCUUUUUACUUUGUUGCUUAUUUCCUGAAGAUUAUGAUGUUCCAAUUGAGUAUUUGGUGAGGUAUGGGUCGGGUCGAGCAACUUUCAGAAACACCAACACAAUCGAAGAUGUAAGAAACAAAGUGCAUUAUUUCAUUGGACAACUAAAAAGAAGGUAUUUGUUGCUGGAUAGUGAAAAGGAAGAAUGUAUCAAAAUGCACGACAUAGUUCGUGAUGUUGCUAUAUCAAUUGCCUCAAAAGAUCCUCACAGAUUUAUGGUAAGAUCAUUUGAUGCUGAAGGUGGAGGUAGAGGAUGGCCAGGAGUACAAAAAGUUACAAACCAAGAACAUUGCAAUGCAAUUUCGUUCCUCGAUGUUACGUUAGAUGAAGAUAUUUCUGAUGGUUUGGAGUGCCCAAAACUUGAGCUUCUACAAUUGAAAAAUUCCUCCUGUAGUUUUGAAUAUUCCAACCACUUUAAAAGGUUGAGAGAACUUAAGGUUUUAGCUGUCUUGGGAAUGGAUAUGUCAGGUUACUUGGCCUCGAAAAGAUCACUACCGCUUGGAGAACCCAAGUACCUUCAUACCUUGUGUCUAGAGGAUUGCGAAUUGGGAGACAUAUCCCAUGUUAUUGGAGAAUUGGAGAAUUUGGAGAUCCUCAGCUUUGCUCGCUCUCAAAUCAAGAAGUUGCCUAAAGAAAUAGGACUUCUUCAUCAGUUAAGGAUGCUGGAUGCAACAGACUGUAAAGCACUUGAAGAAAUUCCUCAUGGUGUCUUAUCCAACUUGAGGAGAUUAGAAGAGUUGUACAUGGCAGAAAGCUUUCUCUAUUGGGAGCCAGCAACAGGAAGCAAGGAUGAAACCAACAUGGCAAGCCUUGAUGAGGUGAUGUCUCUUUAUGAUCAUUUAAAUGUCUUAGCCAUAAAAAUCCAUGAUGUUCAGAUGUUGAGGAAUGUUGAGUUUUUUUUAAAAAGCCAGCCUAUAAGAUUUCAUGUGUCAAUCAAUAUUAGUUGGUCAUACCUAAAAAAGAGUUUCAAGAACCGAAUGCCUGGUUAUCUGUUCGAAAAUAGUUUGAUGCUUCGUGGUGAUGUAAAGGAACAUUUGGAGAUUGGAGCAGUUAGAUACUUCUUGAAGCAAUCUGAAAACUUAAGCCUACACCACACAUACAAUUUAAAGUAUGUCAUCGAGGAGUUAGAUGAUCAAGGGGACUUUCAACACUUGAAAGUGUUAUUAAUCAUGAAUGAUUUUGACAUAGAGUAUCUUAUGAAUGGAAUAUAUUGGCCUCGCCGUCGUCAACCUGCCUUCCCCAUCUUAGAGUCGGUUACCUUCAAGAAUGUUCACAAACUAAAAGUUAUGUGUCGUGGCAAACUGCCAGACAAGCACUCCUUCAUGAACCUAAGGUCCAUUGCAAUUGACAGUUGUCAUAAGUUAAAAUAUGUAUUUUCACUAUCCGUAGCACAAAACUUGGUACAACUCCAAAGCUUAACGGUUAAAAUCUGUGCUGAAGUGGAAGAGAUCAUAUCAAAGGAGAGAAUGGAAGAUGAUAAUGCAUCUCGCAUAUUCCCAGGAUUAACUAUUUUGAAACUUUCUUUUCUACAAAUUCUUCAUCGUUUCUACAUGGGAAACCAACAGGACUCCACCAAUGAGGUAUGUCUAUACACCUUUAAUGCUUGAAUGGUAUAUACUUGUUACUCUUUGGAAUAUGCUGCUUUUGUUUUGCUUGAUACUGUCGUUCUAGGUCUCGAAGUUGAUUUGGGUUGACCUUAAUCAUUUUUGGUCUGUUGGAAAUUUUAGAUGCGUUUCAAAUUUUUGCAACUAUUUUAUAGAUAUUCAAGAAAAAAAUUAUCUCUGAAAAAAGUCACUUGAAUCGGAUAUCAUUUUACCGCACAAUUAAAAUAUUGUGAUUUUAUUGGUAAUCUUGAGUGGUGGGUAAAAUGUUUACUGGUAAAUAGUAAUUGAGGGAAAUAGUGGGUAGGAAAAGGAUUUCUCAAAAUUUAUGACAGAGGAUGUGGGAAUAUAAUUAAGGCAAUUUGCAAAUAAGACAAAUGGUGGAAGUUCAUUACUUAUGUAUUUCUUUCUUUUUGGCUCAUGUGUAAGUUCAUUAUUUAUGUAGAAUUAAUUAAUGUACAGAUUAUAAAGCCUAAUGAUGAAAGUGUGAACAAGACGAAAGAGACUAGGAAUGACCAACAACAUGAUCAAGUUGCUGGGUCGACCUCAUCUGAAUCGGAAGAAGCACAAGUGGGAGCAAGUUGUAAUGCACUAUUUCCUUCAAAUUGCGUUUCAUGGUUACCAAAACUAGAGCAACUAGUGUUGGAGGUUUUGAGAAGCGAGGUAGUCAAUGUGGUAUUUGAUUUAGCAGGGCAUGACUCAGCUUUUUCUCAAUUACAGACAUUUCGAGUGUGGCAAUUAAGAGAGGUUGAGCAUUUGUGGAAGAACGUUCAACCUAGAUUCCAAGGUUUUCAAAAUAUAAGAUCUUUGAUAAUUAAAUAUUGUUACAGUCUAAAAUAUCUAUGCCCCUAUGAAAUUUACAAGAUCCUUGUGAAUCUCCAAGAAGUUGGAAUAGAAGCAUGUUCGGAUAUGGAAACUAUAGUACUGGCAGCAGCUUCCACAAAGGACAAUAUCAAUGAAGAAGGGAAAGAGACAGGUGGCAGUGGCGCGAUGAAUUUGUUUCCCAAACUACUCAAUAGCUUCUGUCUAGAGAAGUUGUCAAGCCUCGAGAGAUUUUGCCCUGAUGCCUAUUCUUUUGCGUGGUCCUCCUCCACAAGAACUAUGAAGGUGUCAAAGUGUCCCAAAUUAAAGACAUUGGGUUUUGCACCAGUAAGCAAAAAUCUGCCUGCAGUAGUUGCCGAGAAUUUGAGUGAUGAUCAUGUAAGAGGUAGAGAAGAAUCAGGUGGUGCAUCAUCAUCAUCAUCAUCAACUAGAUCUGGAUGUGCCCCACUAGUCUGCUUACAAAGUCGUCCAUCUACUCGCAACUUUACUCAAAUAUUGCCCCGCCCUGUAAAUAGAGAGGUGCGUCAUUAUUCUAAACUAUGCAGUAUAAUUAGUCUUAAGUACAGAUGUCAUUGAAAUUUUUUUUUUUUUUUUUAAAAGCAAAGUUAAAUGGGCUUGGCCCAAACACGGGCCAUGACAAUUGUAAACACUUGUUAAUUUUCAUUUGGUAAUUGAUCACCAUUAAAUAUUAAUAUAGAAUGUGAUAAUAUACAAUAAUUAAACUGAUUAGUUAAACAAUAAACAAUAUUGGUAACUUCUUUUUAUAUGAAUACUUACCAAACUUGCUUAGUUAAACAAGAAACAAUCCAUUUUUCUUUUUUAAACAACAUUCUUGAUUUCUAGAAUGUGAUAAUAUCCCAUAUAUGUUUAUGAUUGAAACACUAACAAAUUAAUAUACAAUUACUUUUCUACCAUUUUUCCAGGUAACGCCCACAAAUCUUCAAACCUCAAGUGCUACCCACAAUCUAGAAGAUCUCCUUGUACACAAGUGCGAUUUAUUGGAAGUGAUAUUUUUGGUUCAGGAAACCCCUUCUACUCAAGCAUUUGAUAAGCUGAGGGAGUUGAAGUUGUCGCAUUUACCAAUGCUGAGCCACAUAUGGGAAAAGGGUUUACAAGUUAGCUCAGGCUUUGGAAACUUGAGAUUACUAGAUGUACGGGGCUGUCACAAUUUGAGAUACUUGUUUUCACCACACAUAGCCAAACUUCUUACUUGCCUGAAGACAAUAAAUGUUUACCAUUGUAGUGCAAUGGAGAAAAUUGCUGGAGAGGCAGAUGGAGAAGGAGAAAGUGUUGAGGAUGAAUUGACAUUUCCGAACGUGAAAUAUAUCAAACUUGUGGAUUUACCCAAACUUGAAUCUUUCUGCUCUCAAGUUUAUACUUUGAAGUGGCCAGCUUUGGAGAAAGUCGAAGUUGAUGAGUGUCCAAAAUUAAAAGCCUUUGCUCCUGAGCCUAUAAAUGUAUAAGCAGCUGGCAUGUGUAUAUGAAGCGUCCACAUGGAAAGAAAAGAAGGUAUGUUUUCAAUUCAACCAAGCACUUACCAUGAUCGGUCACUGUAAAAUUAGUAGAAGAUAUAUAUAGCUUAAUAUAUUUUUAUGAAUUGGUGUUGCUUUUAAUUUUUCUUUGCCUUAUCUUUCUUAUGUCAUUAGUCCAUCUCCGCGUGUUUAAGCUAUAUAUGGCUCGUUAAAAUUCUUCUAAGGAUGAUAUCAUUUUUUGAAGUAAUACUUAUUAACCAUUAAUAUUUUUCCAUUACAUGCAUAUUUUCUAUUUUAAUCAUAGAUAAUAAUUUUUUAUUCUUUAUUUUGCAUAAUCUUUGAGAAGAAUAUCAUCAGAAGCCAAGAAGCUAGGGACAAGACUACAUGAUAUGUUGCGGUGCACAUCUACAAGAUACCAUGAUAUACCAAUUUCGUUUUUAUCAGACACCGUCGUCUUCAUCACUGAUUAUGCAUGUUCCAUGUUAAUGUUCUUCAAAUCCUGCCAUUGCAUCAAAACAUCACAUAAUUUAGCUAUUAUAUUUGCUCUUUAGUUGUAUUGAUUAAAAUGGAUAUAUUUGGAGCUUCCUUUCAUGUGUAAUUAUUGGAUAUUUGGCUCAACUGCUGGCAUUUGAAUCAUUGUAUAUUAUUGUUUGAUUUGGACCAAGUGGAUUUAUAAACCAAAGUUCUUAAUAGAAAGAUCCGUGUAAUAUACAUGAUUGAAUAAUUGGGCCUUCAUUUUCAUGUAAUAGGGUUUAUUUAGGCUUUUGGAUUGCUUUAAGGUUUCAAUUUAUGUUCGGUUGUGGAAAUUUAUCUAAUAAAGUUUUUCAUUGAUAAAAAUAAAUUAAAAAUUAAAAAUUAAACUUAAUUACAAUCAACGCUACCCCACCUUAAUAUUUUGUAAACAAAUGUUUUAAUCCUUCAUUUUUUUUGUAAGCACGUUUUUGGAGUAGAAGUGCAGGGGCCAGCCUUGAGAAUUUUUAGUCCCAAGGAGAUGUUGAAAAUAGACCAUUUGUAUAUAAUACUUCACACGAGAAAAUUCGUUUGAUUUUAUUCACGCGUGUAUAGAAUAUUUAAAAAAAUAUACCUUUUAUAACUAUGAAAAAAAAAGUUUGGACUUCAAACAAAAAUAUCAUUUAGUUUUUAUACACAAGAAAUAAUUGAGGACAAAAAAAUAAUGGUUGCAGACAAAAAAAAAAAAAAAAUCAAAGACUGAAGAAAAUAUUAGGGGUGGCAUUUUAAACCGAAAAACCGCAAAAACCAACCAAUAUUUUACCGCAAUAAAACCGCAAUCGCGGUAAACCGAACCGCAAUCGCGGUAUUAAGAACCGAACCGCAUUUACGGUUGCGGUUGCGGUAUUUGAUUUUCAAAAUUUGCGGUUACCGCAAACCGCAAAGUAUAGCCGCACGGCUAUAUUCUAUGAAUAAUUAAGUAAAAUUGUAAACCCUUCUCUUCUCUUGAAUUGGUGGAAAGGGAACCAAACAAGAUAUCCUAUUCUUUCACAAGUUCCCAAGGAUAUCUUUGCAAUUCCAAGUUCUACGGUUGCUAGUGAAAAUGCUUUUAGCCUAGGCAAGAGGAUUGUGGAUCCUUUUAGAAGCUCUUUGCAUCCUAAAAUGGUAGAGGCAUUAGUGUGUACUAGUGAUUGGCUUAGAGCGGACGAAUUUUCCUUUUACAAGGAACCAACAGAUGAUGAGGUUGAAUUCUACAAGGAAAUGGAAGAUAUGACAACUUGUAAGUAAUUAGUUUAUUUAUGCUAAUGUUAUUUAUGCUUCUUCUUAUAAUAAAAUGUACUAAACUAUGUUGUUUUAUUUGUAGAUAGCAUUGGUGCUCAAACAACACAAAGGGGUUCUUCAAAUCCACUCACCACUAACACUUGAGUUUGUAACAUUGGUGUAUUGCAUUUUUCCUUUUAGUUUGUAACUUUAAUUAACUGUGAAUUGGAAUUUUCUUUUUGGUUGUAACUUUAAUUCAUUUUGCUUUUGGUUUGUAAAUUUAAAGGAUUUGGAAUUGGAAUGCUUGAGAAGUUUAACUUUAAUUGGAAUGUUUGGAAUUGUAACUUUAAUUUUCUUAGGUUGUGAAUGCUUGAGAAUUGGAAUCGAUUGUGAAUUUAUAUAUGCUUGAGAAAUUGAGGUUGUGUAUUUAUUUAUUUAGGUUGUAAAUUUAUAUUUUUGUGAAUGCUUGAGAAUUUGCGGUUUUAAACCGCAAAUUUGCGGUAACCGACCGCAUUUUUGCGGUUUACCGCAAUGCGGUAAACCGCAAAACGCGGUCGGUUUGCGGUUUCAAAAAUCACCAAACCGCAAAUAGUCGGUCGGUUUGCGGUUUGAGUAAAAAUUCGCGGUUACCGAACCGCAACCACCCCUAGAAAAUAUAACCCUGCACUCGCACGCCAAUACUGCUGGAGGAAAGUUACACUAAAGUUAGCUACGCCCACGCUUACAAAACUAUGAUCAGAUUUAAAAAAAUAAUAAUUGGGCCAUCUCAUGGGUCGCGGCCCAGGGCGGUCUCACUCCUACCUUGGCUAAGGGCUUUGUUACGCUUCCGUUACAAAGCUAAACAACUGAUAUAAAUCAGUUCUGCAUUGUAAUAGCUUUCAUAAUUGAAAUCCAGUAGAAGUAAAUACAAAACCGAUUCUCUUUCUUUCUCUCCAGUCUUCUUCUUUCUUAGUUCACAGCUUUAUUUUUCUACAACGGUUAUCAUAAAUGUGUUUCAUAAAGUUCUAUUCCUCUAGAAAAGAUCCAUCGAUAUUGAUGAAACAACAAUACUGACAUUAUGCAUAUAAAAUGAACUAGUGAACCUACGUGACAUUAAUUUACUGUAGAAUUUUACCUUUUCUUUCUACUUUUUUUUCAAUCACUUAACAUAUUUUAAAAGUUAAAAUCUCCUGCCAUUGGGGUCUAGCUCAGUGAAAAAAGGCAUCGAUUUGCAAACUAGAGGUUUCAGAUUCGAUUCCCCAUAUUAUCAUAAUUGUGUGUCAUUCCUUAGGAAGAAGGAGGGGGAGAGAGGAAUAUUAUAUUAGGUUGUCUUAAGAUUGCCUACAAGGCCGUACCUGAGAUUUUGAGGGCCCUAUGCGAAACUUAAAUUGGGGCCUCGCAUAAUCUAAUACGAAAAUACUAUAAAAAUUUGCCAUAACUUAAUGUCAUAAACAAUUUUUUUUUUAUAACUAAAAUUCACCAUCAAUAAAUAUGCAAUGACAAUCAGAAAUCAAAUUCAUAAAAAUUUAAAUAUUUUCAUCAAUUGUAGCAUGUGAUUCUCUAACAAUGAAUCUAUCAAGAACUCCUCUUUGAGAUUGAGUCAAUUCCUCGAUUUUUCUUUUUCUAAGCCGUUUUGUAUAUCCAGAAACGUAUUUUCUAGUAUGUGGCAUGUUUAGAUUACAAAGAAAAAUUUCAAAACCCUAUAACCUGGAAGAAAACCCCAACAAGAAAUAGAUAAAUAUUUCUACAAACUAUAUUCUCAUACAACCAAUCAUCAACAUGAUAAUAAUUUAAUAAAAUAAGUCAUGUAAUAUAUAGAAUAGAUUGAAAUUUAGAUACAUACCUGAAUUUGAAUUGAGAUUUGAAUAUGACUAUUCGAUUUUGAGUGGUCUAUGAAUUCAAGAAUUAAGGUUUUCUCUUUUUGGUGUUCAAAUUCCUGAAAUUGAAAGAAUAACAAAAAUUGUUAAAGGAUUGAAAAAAGAACCAAAGAAAAAUUGAUGAACAAUGAUUAUUACUAAACAGAAAAUCAGAGUUUAAGAGAAAGAAGAAGCCAUGAAGCUUUUUUCGUGGUGUUUUGAAUGAAGAAAGUACUUUUCUUGGAAGAGAAAACCUUUUUUAUUUUAUUUUUAAGAAGGGGGAUAUAUCAUAUAUAUUCCUCCUUUGGUGUGGUUAAGUUAAGCUUCCAUGUUGCCUGUUUGUUAAAGGCUUUAUGUUAUUUUAUUUUAUUUAAAUUUUAUAAUUAUGUAAAGUUUGAAUGCAAAAAUAAUAUCACAAAAGGCUAGGCAGUCGAACGACAUCAAGGAGCAUUGAACUCGGGCCCUUUUGCCAAAGAGAGAUGCGCUCCAUCCAACCCUCCUGAACACGCUGUUGUGCAAAUAUCCAGACGCUAUACUAUAUAUACGAUUCAUAUAAUAUUAAUAUAUAUAUAUAUAAUAUAAAUAAUUUUUUUUUUUGGGGCCCUUAAGAAUCGGGGGCCCUGUGCGGUGGCGCCACUUGCACCACCCCAGGGCUGCCCCUGAUUGCCUACGUGAAUCCAACAUCCAAUAAUUUUGCAAUGUGGGUAAGAUGGUUGUGGCUAGGGAGUCCAUAUUUUCUAAGCUUUGGGCCGACGCCACAAAGUUUGAAACCACUGUGAAGCUGGUCUACUACAAAGAAUAUUUGAUUUUAAAACAACUGUGCAUGUUAAACUUUUGUGUACUUUUGCAGUAAACUAUGUUUAUAAUUUCUAAACUCAUAUAACAUUCAAUUUGAAUUAAGAAAUCAUCUUGUAUAGGCAUAACAAGUACUUGUUUUCUACAUUAAUAGAUUGAACAGGAGGUGACAUAAUGCAAAGUCAAAAGCAUCUUGCUGGUUAACCUGUGAGUGUUGCCUAGCAGUUGCUGCUCACGAUCCAACGGCCUAUGAUUCAAAAUGAAUUCCAGGUACUUUGUGCAUUGAAAGCUCUUUGAGUUAAAGGUGAUUGCCAUUUAGGGGUGGGCAUCGAGAUCGGAAAACCGGAACAUCAAGCUGCACUAGAUGGAAAAAACUAGAAAAAAAAUCAUGUUGACUAAAAAGUCAACAAAUCGACAUCGAACCGAAUCGAACUGGUUCAAACCAGUUUCAAUGUCAGUUUCACACCUUGCAAAACCGGAUCGGACAGGACCAAAUAGGCUGCGUAUUUAUUUUUUUAAUUUUUUAAAGUCCAAUGCUAAAUUUCUAAUCCCAUAACUAAUAUUUCCCCAAGCCCAAAUUCAAAGCACCUUUUCUAGGCUUAAUCAUCUCUCUUUGUAUGAAAUUGGAUUAUUUAGGAAUUUGUAAGCCCAAAAAAUAUCAAUUUUGUUGGAAUUUGUAGAAAAAAAUAAAUUCUGGUAUGAAACUAGAAAAAUUGGAAACUGCUUCGAAAUCGGUUUAAACCAGACCGACUGGUUUCAUAAAUUUUUUUCACCAAAAUCAGACUGAACCACACUAGUUAAAUAGUCCCGGUUCCAGUGUGAGGUAAAAAUCGGACCAGACUGUACCCACCCCACACACACAAACAUUACACUACCACAGUGUCAUGAAGGUUCGAAUAUGAAACCACUAGUCUGCGAGUCAAAACCCUUUUCUACUGAACUGGACCCGUUAGCAAAAAACUAAAGUAUUUAUAAAAAAAAAAAAUAUGUAAGUACAUUUAUAAUAUUAGUAUUAUAUGCAAAUUUACUAGAUAACAUAUUGUCGAUUGACUUGAGUCAAUCUCUUUUUUUUUUUGGCCAAGCAAUAUAAAUAUCAUUGCUAUAUGUCGAAAGGCUUGAUUACAAUAGUCACAAAGGCAAUCAAUCACUUGAUCCCAUAUUCAAACCCAAACAAGGACCCAAUACUAAUUUCAAUGGGGUACAAAAGAUAAUCACGGCUAUGGUACACCCCCUGUUAAUGGGGUACAAAAAAUAAGCACGAAUACUCCCCCAAUCAUAACCCUAAGGAAUCAAAUCUAUUAGCAAACCAAUGUCACAUGAAUUUACUCUAGCGACUUUUUCACGAAAAAUUGAAAAAGGGCUUAAGACACAGGUUGAGUCACAUCUCAUUUAGCCGUUGCAAUUACACCAUCACAAUUGGUUUUUAUUUUUAUUUUUUCAAACCAUCACAAUUGCUGCCAUAUUAUAACCAUGGAAUAAUGUAUCAAAAUUUACUCUUUAUUUUUAUUUAAUAUCUAAAAUCACAAUUAUGGAAAGGAAAAAAGUGUUUAUUUGGGUAAAAUUGUUGUUUGGUUGAAAAUUAUAAUUUUUGUUUUUUUACCCUCAAAAUAGAACGGCAAAAAGUCAUUUCUAAUCCUUGUAGUUUGCCGGUUUUACCACUUGAGUACUUAUAGUUUCAAUUUUUACAAUUUUAUCCUUAUAGUUUUCAAUUUUGUCAAUUUAAACAUUGUAAUUUUCAAGUCAAAGCAAUUCAAUAGCACAUUUCAAUUUCUAUCAUAAUUCUUCUCAAUUAUGUUAAGUUAUGAUCACGUGUCACUCACAUAGAGGGGUAUUUUGGUCAACUCGAGCCAAAUUCCUCCAAAAUUCCUUCCAAUUUGCCCAAAUUUCAACCUAGAGAAGUAAAUUUGUUUGACACUAAGGCCCAAAAUCGCGCUAAAGUGAUGGGAAGAGCUCAAGGUUGUGUUUUAUUGUUAGAUGGCUCAAGUGAACCUCAAUGUGAGGGGCACAUAAAGAAAUUUGGAAGAAUUUGAUAAAAAUUAAAAUGCGUCCUUGAUUGCUAAAAAUUGAAAUUACAAGGAUAAAAUUAACAAAAUUGAAAAUUUAGGGACCAAAAUAGUUCAAAUUGGGUAAUUUCAGUUUGUGACUUGCUGACCUUUUAUUUAUGGUUUUGUUUUGUUUUUGUUUUUUCUGAUUACCUGUGAGAAGCAAAUACAUGCACCAGCCUUUAUGUUUCUCCUUCCUCUAACACUGUAGAGAUUUGGUUUUUCGGUUUUUACAAGUUUUGGGCGAAUCAAAUGAAUAUAACAUCUUCUUCGUUUAUCUAACAUCAGUCUUUUUGUUUUCAGAAUAUUUUUAUGAGAUUGAUUAUGAAAGCUAAGAUUGCUUUGAUGGCCUUGGUGAAGGUCUCUUAGUUUGUGGUUGAAUUUAUUUAACAACUAUUAAAAUUUGAAGUUAACUUUCUGUGAACUCUAUGGUAACCCCUGUUGCACCGAUAUGCCAAAAUUUGGGGGUAUUUUGGGGGUAUGUAUAUAUAUCCGAUACAAUACCGAUGCAACACGGCAGCAAUGCAUAUCCGAUAUGCCACUUGGCGUAUCGUAGACUUUUUUGGCAUGUUGACUUUACGAUACGGCUUCAAGACUCCAUUGAUACGGUCACUAUUAUACGCUCUUGAUAUGGUUGCAAUACGUUAAGGGGUAAAUGCAAAAAUAUUUUGAACAUUUGUGGGUGAUUUUGAAAGUUAUUGAAUAUUUAGGGUUAAAAUGUAAACUUAAAACUUAAAAUUUUAAAAACCCUACCUCUGUUGAGAAGCUAGGUCAUUUGCGCGAUUCAGAUGGCAACCAAAAAAAGAAAGAAGAAGAAGUCAUCGCCAUCUCAGAUUCAUUUGGUUGGUUUUCUUACACAGGUCAAGGUUUCCUUCUUAUUCUUUUCAUAAGCUGCUAUGUUGUUAAUUAGAUAAUGGGUAUAUGGGUAAUAUAAUAUUAGGGUGGGGAUGGCUGUACAUAUUCUUUAAUAAGCUGCUGUGUGUUUUGUUUAAUUUGUGCUUUUUUAUGGAGAUUUGAAUUAAGUUAUGUGUUUUGUUAAUGUUUUGAAUUUAUUAUGGAUAAAAUAUCAAGUAAUUUAUUUAUAUUAUUUUAAUCGCCGUAUCAGUGUUGUGUCCAUAUCUAGUUUUGAAGAUUUACUAUAUCAGGGUAUUAAAUUGUAUCGUAUCGUCAUAACCGUAUCUAUAUCGGUGCAACAUAGCACAAUAUUAAUAUGUUGAAUGUGUAGUGUUUUGAAAAUUUACCUAAAUCUACAAUGAUUGUAACAAUGAAACACAUUCCUUUUCCUUUAUUUCUCUACUUUUUAAAAAAAGACAUUCUUUUUCUUAUAUUUUUAUACUUUAUUUUUUCUGCUAAAAUUUGUUUCUAGAACACCUGAACGUUCUUCGGCAUUUGCCCUGUUGUAAUUAUGGUUUUGAUUGUUUCCUUUUUUUUUUUUUUUGAUGAAAAAAAGGGGGCAAAAACCCCAGAAGACAACCUACACCAGCAAAUCAGUAGGAACAAGCCUAGAUCUAGUAAUUCCUAACAAAUCAUCAAUCAAACUAGGCCCAAUCCAAGCUGGAGCAUCAACAAAAAUAUAAAAACCCAGGUCUAAGUUAUAGCUCCAGGUCGCCAAGCAAUCAGCAACACUGUUUUUCUCUCUGUAAACGUGAUAAACACUGCAGCAGUUGAUCUUAUGCAUCAGCUCCCAGCAACUAGCAACUAAGGCAGCAAGAGGAUGAACAUCAAUAAGGCCCUGCUUCUGGAUCAACUGGACAGCAAGUGCUGAAUCCAUUUCAACAGAAAGGUUAUUAAUCUCUUUGUCCAUAGCAAGCUUCAACCCAAAAAAUAAUCCCCAUAUUUCUGCCUCAAGAAUUUGCCCCUUCCCCAAGUUCACAGCAAAGCCACUGAUCCAAUCUCCAGAGGAAUUUCUAAUAACACCUCCAGCACCAAUAUGACCAGAGCCAUUCCUCCUAGACCCAUCAACAUUUAACUUGAACUGGCCAGACAUAGGAGGUUCCCACUUUAGAUCAACCUGGACUUUAUGAUUAUGCUUACUCAAGACAUGAGAAGCCUUAAACCACUCAUGGACAGCACGAACAAUAAGCUGUUUAGGAUCAGAAGACACAUCUUCAUCCCCUUGAAAAACUUGGUGAUUUCUCCAUUUCCACACAUACCAACAAGUAAAGAUGAACACCAGACUCCAGGGGCUAUUACUACACCAAACUGCCUGGGAGAGAAGAUUAGUCUGAAACCAAGGCAGAAAAUCCAUUUGAAAGAAUGGCCCUGAUGACGAGGCAUUAAAACAGUAUUCCAUAUAUCUCUAGCCUUAUAGCAAUCACGAAGAAUAUGUAAUGUAGUUUCAAUAGGCCACUCACAAACACCACAAGAAGCAUCAAGAGUCAACUGUCUUCUAACUCUUUGCUCAUUAGAUAGAAUUUUACCUUGCGCAGUAAGCCAAGCAAAGAUCUUUAAUUUAGGAGGUAUCUUUAGUUUCCACAAAGAACUGAAACUAUAAUCAGGCCAUGAGGGACCCUUAAAGAACAUAUUGUAAGCGGUUUUAACAGAGAAGACUCCAUUGGCAGUUCCUUUCCAAAUCUGGCAAUCCUGCAAAUUACUAGCAAAACCCACAGGAUAAUUAACAACAUGUUGAACAAGAUCUUCCGUUAAAGCUCUUCGUAAUUUAUCCAGAUCCCACCACUCAUCUUUAAAAAAAUUGGAGACAGAGCAAUCUAUAUCCUCAAUAUGCAAGACCCCAUCAUGCUUCAACAAAGGCUCAUCAAUAAGCCAACUGUCUUUCCAAAAUUUAGUAGUAUCCCCCUUACCAACCCUCCAACCUAUACCUUGCCUUAACAACUCCACCCCAUACAUAACACCCUUCCAAGUGGUAGAGCAAUCCUGUCGAAACAUCAAGGAAGAAUCUAAGACAGAUUUCCCUUUAAGAUAUUUAGACUUAUAGAUCUUAGCCUAUAAGCCCUUGUCGUUUUUAUGUAAUCUCCACCCAACUUUAGCCAAAAGGGCUUUAUUCAUGGCAGUAGUUUUUUUAAAACCUAAACCCCCCUUGUGCUUAGGACGACAAGCUAAAUCCCAUUGACAGAGGUGGAUCUUAAGCUUUUUCUCACUGCCACCCCAAAAGAAGUUACGAUUUAAUUUGUCCAGCUCUUGCCCAACACUAACAGGCAACUUGGAGGUCUGCAUAGCAUAGAUUGGAACAGCAGAAGUGACAGCUUGUAUAAGAGUUGCUCUACCAGCCAGAGAAAGAAACUUUGACUUCCAAGAAGCAAGCCGCUUAUGCACUUUAUCAAUUAAACAGCCAUAGGUUAAUUUAGUAAUUCUAGAAUGCAACAUAGGCAUGCCCAGAUACUUACCAAGGUCCUCAGUAAGAGGGGAGCCACAAAUCAAACUUACCUCCUUAGCUGUCUCCUUCCUAGUAUUAGGAGAGCAGAAAACAACAGAUUUAUCAUAAUUCACUGUUUGCCCAGAAGCAUUGCAAAACCUCUCCAGACAACUCUUUAGCACCCUGGCUUGAGUAGAAUUAGCUUCAGCAAAGAGAACCAGAUCAUCUACAAAAAAUAAGUGAGAAACAGCUGGGCCAGAUUGAGAAGAUUUAACAGGUUUCCACACUCCUUUCUUAACAGAAUCCCCAAUAAGAUGAGAAAGUUUCUCAAUACACAUCACAAAGAGAUAAGGAGAUAAAGGGUCUCCUUGUCUAAUGCCAUUCUUAGGAAGAAACUGAUCAGUAAGCUCACCAUUCAUGCAGAUUUGAUACCUCACAGUAGAAAUACAACUCAAAAUCAAUUUAGUGAUAGAACCAGGUAACCCUAACUCCACCAACACAUGCUCAACAAACUUCCAAUUUAAUCUGUCGUAAGCUUUAGACAAAUCAAUUUUCCAGGCCAUAAAGCCUUUCUUUCCCUUAGACAGAUUAAAUUUAUGUAUCAACUCCUGAGCAAUAAGGAUGUUGUCUGUGAUUUGCCUACCAGGCACAAAACUUACCUGGUUAGGGCUAAUGAUAUGAGGCAGAAUAUGUCUUAAUCUAGCAACCAAAACUUUGGAAAUAACUUUAUAAAGGGUAGAGCAAAGGCUUAUGGGUCGAAAAUGCACCAUAGUCUGCGGGCUGUCAACUUUAGGGACCAAGGUGAUUAGAGUAUAGUUAAGCUUCUCUAGGAUUCGACACUCCUUAAAAGCAUUCACCACCAUUUGAAAAAUAUCAUCAGCACAUUGAUUCCACUGACUCUGAUAAAAGCAAGCAGGGAACCCAUCUACACCGGGGGCUUUAAGCCCACCAAUAUUAAAAAGACUAGUCUUAACCUCAGUCAUAUUAAUUGGUUGAACCAAACCAUGCAGAUCAACCACAUCAACAGGGGGGAAAAGGUUAGGGAGAUCAAUCACAUAGUCACCAAGAGAAGUAGUAGAAAAGAGCUUGGAAAAAUGAUCCACAGCCAAGAUUUUUAAACUGUUAGCCUCUUCAAUCCAACUACCAUUAGCAUUCUUCAACCUUUCAAUCUUAUUUCUUCUCCUUCUUAUGAUAGUAGUAGUGUGGAAGAACUUGGUGUUUCUAUCACCAUCUUGUAGCCAAGUAAUUCUCGAUUUUUGUUGCCAAAACACAGCUUCUUGCUGAAGAACAUUAUUAAAAUCAUCAAUCAAAGAGGUUUCUAAAUUACUAAGAAACCUAUUAGGCCCCUUGCAUAAAGCUCUCUGGAUACCAGCAAUUCGAGCCAACAACCAACUUUUUCUUUGGCGCAGCUGUCCAAAAACAUUGAUAUUCCAAUGUUUAAGACGCUCAAUUAAGGCAAAAGUCUUCUCCAUAGCUGUACCAUCAUCAGAACCCCAAGCUUCAGAAAUAAAAUCAUUAAACUUUUCGUGAUGAAGCCACAUCGCUUCAAAUCUAAAGGGCCUUAAGGCAGGGGAGGCUGAAAAACACGAAGUAAGACAGAUCUUAACAGGGUUAUGAUCCGACAUGGUUCUUGGUAGGUGUCUCACAGUGGCCUCAGCAAACAACCCCCUCCACUCCAAAUUACAUAUAGCUCGAUCAAGCCUUUCAAAGACUCUCUUAUUAUUCCAAGUAAAUUUAGGGCCCGAGAAACCCAAAUCAACCAUAGUAUUGCAAUCAAACCAGCUUCUAAAACCUUUCAAUCUACAAGCAGGAACUCCUCCUAGCUUAUCAUUCACAUUCAACAUUUCAUUAAAAUCACCAGCAAUUAACCAAGGCAAAUGUUGACAAUCAGCGAUAAAACUUAGAUACUCCCAUAGCUUUGCUCUUUUAAUACCACAAGGGCUAGCAUACACAGCUGUAAACAACCAAGGAGACUGGCUAGGCCAAGCCACAGAAGCAGAAAUAGAUUGGUUUGAAGUCCCCAAAAUAUCAACAUGAACUUUAGUGGCAUCCCAAAGCAACCAAAGACCACCAGAAAAACCAGUAGCAUCCACAAUUUCAAAAUUAGAAAAACCAAGGGAUUGAGCAAUAGAAGUAGCUUUACCACCGCUUAUACGAGGCUCACAUAUGAACAAGAUGUCCAUAUGAUGAGAAUGGAUCAAAUCCAUCAUAUUAGUCUUGAAUUUUGUGCUAGCAGCACCUCGAACAUUCCAGCAGACAAUAUUCAUAAAAGUAAGUAGAAAGGGAAGAGGACCCCAAGGGCUAAACCCUUUAUUAAAUACCAACAGUCAUACCUCCACCAUCGUUGAAGGUAUUGCCUGCCAAGUUCUCACCACAUAGAAUAGCUUGACCUUCCAAAAGAUCCAUUUUAUCAGCUUGACACAAGCUAUCAGAAACAUUAGAGUUCAACGUAUCCUUAUCACCCUCAGAAUCAGUGCUCCCCACACUACUAGCAGCUUUCUCACUUAUAUUAGGCGGUUGAUGACCAAAGAUGUAGACACCUUUCUCAUGGUGACUCUUUUGAUCAGUGACCCAACUAGUGAUUUGAUCAUUAACAGGGCUAGAACAAUCAACUUUCUUUCCCUGAACAACCAUCUUACCAAUACGAGUUACCUUUCCUGAAGACACUUUUGAAGGACCAUCACCUUUCCUGAAACUCAUAUCACCAGGGGCUUUCCCCUCAAAAGGCUUAUUGGAGAUAUCAUUCAAAGCACUUCUAAACACAGGCGUAGCAUUCUUGGUUUUAGUCCAUACUUUCUUGCCAUGCUCCACAUCAGGAAGAAAUGAGCUAUUAAAAUUGGACUUGUCUUGCUCAACAAACACAUCACUAGCCGCCUCAUCUCUCCAAAAUUGUCACUAAGGUUCCUAAGCGCAUCAAAACGUGAGCCCUUAACCUUUGCACCAAAACCCUUCCCACUAGAGGCUUUAAAAUCAAGCUUAGGUCGCUGCGAGAUUGAACAUUCAUCCAUGGACCUCUUAAACCAGAAUCAGCCAAAGGAUCAUUCACACUAACCCCAACAGCACUAGUUUUCAUUUUAUCUGAAUCAUCACCAAUUGUACUCUCAGUGUUCACAUCUGCAGGCACCUUAACUCUCAACUCACAAUUUUCUCGUUUAUACCCAUAUCUUCCACAAUGGUAACAAAUAUCAGGCAAACCUUCGUACUCAAUGUUGUACCAAUUUUGAUUGAUUUGUACAAAAGCCUCCAAGGGUUUAGUUAAAUCUAACUCCACACACAACCUAGCAAACUUACCACGAUUCUGGGCCGUGGUCAGCGAAUCAAUUUUUAAUAAUUUGCCCAGCAUAUUACCAAUCCGUUUCAAGGACCAAACGUCAAAGCACUCGAGUUGAAUAGCCGAAACCCUGAGCCAGGCUGCCAUACGGGUAAUAUGAGCAGUGGCUGGGCAAAAACCCGGUCUCCAUUUCUGCAUUACCAGAUAUUGUCCCGCUACGAUCCAAGGACCACUAGUCAGAACAAAGUUUAGAUCCUCUUCAAGAUCAAAUUUCACCACAUAGUAAUCAUUAACCAAAUCAAUCAACUUCCAUGCCCCUUUCAAACUCCAUUUCUGCUGUAAUCUAGCAUGAAUAUAAUUAUAGGUAUGAGAUUUACCUAACAAUUUGAUAAUCAGAGCAUUUCUCCAAGGCUUACAAAAGCGAUCCAUAGCCCGAUUAGAGAAUUGAAUACUUGGCCCACGUUCUCCAUGAGAAAUUAGAACAUCUUCUUCAUCAUUUAAAUCAUCAUAAUCAGCAUCAAGGGAACUGAUAUCAAUUCCCACAUUUUUCUCCAACCUGACCUUGUUCAUCAAUUUGUCACGAAAGCUUUCAGCUCCAAAAGUUGAAUUCGGCACAGGACCAUGUUCAGAUUCAGACAUCACAUGCUCCAUCAUAGAGGGAUUCGGCUGAUCAUCCAUAUUGCACACAGUGGCGCACUCAUCUCCAACCCGAACUCGCUUCAUUGAACGGUAGGUUUUAAGGAAAACCCCUGGCGAUCCUUCCUCCAUAAUCAAAGAGGGUGUACCCCAAGUAGAACCAGCAACAGAUGAUUAAGAACAAAACAUGGAAGCCACCGUGGCCUCCAGUACGACGGAGUCAAAAACGAAAUCGCAGAUCUGAAAAACUCAGAAAACUUGACCGCGCGUGGGGCGCGUACCAAAAAGGGUCUUUUGAUAAGCUAUUAUUAUCGUAUUUUUGAUUGUUUCCUUUAUAAACAUAAAGAUGGAGGGCAGUUUUGCUGAUGAGCUUUACUCAGGAAGUUUACGCUAUCAAAAGUACAAUUGGAUCCUACGUCCAAUGCGAACAGUGAACAAAGUAAUUUACAUGGUAUUUAAAUGGUUAAAAGUACUUUGUUUUUCCGUAAAUGCAUAGUGAUAGGCUCUGUUUGGGAUUGCUUUUUCUGGUCAAAAAUCUGCUUCACUUUAAAGUUAAGUAGUUUAAGGUGUUUGGUAAAAAUACAAAAUUCUGAUUAUUUUAAAAGAAGUGGCCUUUUAACAGCAGCUUUUAAAAGCAAGCUCUGGGUUGCUUUUCAAAGCUGCUUUCAAACUAAACAGAGAUGAACCUCUAAUGCAUUUUUUUAAUUCCCAAAAUACCAUCAUUCAUUUUUAAAAAUGACACCACAUCCACUUCCACAUCCAACUCCACCACAUUCGCUACCUUCACAACCACCGCCACUGCCACCACCACCACCACCACCACAUCCUUCUCCUGCUCAUCCUACACCACUAACACCACAACCACCACCUCCUCCAUCUCCAUCUCCUUCACCACCUUCACAGCCAACACCACAACCACCACCAUGCUGCCACUACCACCGCCACCACCACCUCCACAACUGCCAUCCCCACCACCACUACCACAACCACCAACUCCACCUUUAUUACCACCACCACCUCCACUGCAUCACCACUACCAUCACAUGAUUAGUACAUACCACUUUUAACAUAAUGUCUAUUUUAGUCAUUAUUCACAGUUACAACAAUUUUAUAUUAAAAUUUACCAAACGGUUUUGACACUGCUUUUUGUACUAACAGCACUUUAAAAAUAUUGUUUAUCAAAAAUGGAGCUGCUUUACUUUACAGCUAAUUAUUUUCAAAGCACAGCAGAACCAACUUUUUUUCAAAGUGACAACAAUCCCAAAUUGGGCCUUAACUGGUGAACCCACUUUGUUUUUAUAUUUUUUUUAUUGAAAAAAAAUUAUUUAUUAGAGCCUAAACAACAUGGGUAAAUGGGAUAAUUUUAUAAACAAAUAAACAAUUAAGAAAUUUUAACAAGAUAGAAGAGUAUUAGAGAUGGAACAUACACCAAUUUGUGAGAUGACGAAAAUAACAAAAAUCUGGAGCUCCAAAAUUAAUCACACUCAUCUAGCAACCGCGUUAAUUAAUGACACUCAUCUAACCAAAUUAACAAUGGAACUCAUCUUUGCUGGUACCACAUUGUGUACCACCUUUCUAAUAGAGGUGGAGCCCACCAAUACAAUAAAGCCUAUCUGUCACAUCUCGGAAUCGGCUCCGCCGUAGCACGAUAUUGUCCGCUUUGGACCCUCUUCUUUGCCCUCAUGGUUUUAUUUUCGGGAACUCACAAGCAACUUCCCAGUAGGUCAUCCAUCCUGGGAUUGCUCUAGCCACAACUCACUUAACUUUGGAGUUCACAUGACUCCGAAGCCAGUGAGCUCCCAAAAGGCCUUGUGCUAGAUAGAGGCGAGCAUGUACAUAUAAGACACAUCCCCUCUCCGUUGGUCGAUAUGGAAUGUUACCCUAUCUCUAUUAAAGAGGUGGCAUACAAUUUGGUAUGCCUAACAUUUUCCUAUUAAGAUAGAUAUACUAUUUAUGAAAGUAAACAAAAAAAAAACAAGAUAUCCACAUCAUCCCAUAGUUAGUAAAAUAUAGGGUAAACUGCCAAAUUGCCUCUUGAACUUGUACAUAACUAUCAAUUUGCCCCCUGACCUUUUUUUUUAGUAAAUUAAGGGCUCAAAUUAAAUUUUAUUCUCAAUGUUACCCCUGCCAUCUAAAUCAUCAAUAUUUCAUUCAAUUUGCCAUUAAGUAUGAGGGCAAAUUGGUCAUUUCAUAUGUUAAAAAUAAUUAAAUACUUUUAAAUAAAAUAAAAUGACAUAAAUAAUAUUUUAUAAACAAAGAAGUGGGACCCACCCACCCUACCCCCUUCACCUCCACCUCCCCUUCUGCCCCCUCUCUUUCUCUGUGACCCAAGACCUAUUCGUGCCUUCCCCAGCAUAUCCACCUUCGCUAGCACUUUGCACCCACCAACGCUGCAACCUAAGAUCCAUUGUUACAAUAUUCAUGGGUCUGUGUGAUGAGACCAGUCUCUACCCUAACUACAGCCCAGCCCAUGGGCCAGCCAACUUCACCAUUGCAAUAAGAACUCUCUAGAAUUCCCCAUCUAGAAGGAAUACCCCAGAAUACUGGGUAUAUCCGUUAGAUAGCUAGCAACGUGGCACUAUUCCUAUUCUUGUCCUUAUUUGAUAUCAUUUUGUAUUAAAGGACCAGAGGUCCCAGACUAUAGCAGACAAGAAUAUACAAAUUACUCAUUUACGCCCUUUUCAACUUCUGUCCUUUUCCUUUUACGUAUCCACCUUCUGUGUUCCAUCAUUCUGGUAUCAGAGCCCACCAUGGGUUCUGGGAAAGCUACCGAACACGAGCCGAGCUCGGCCACCAUCUCCAUGGACGUUCGCCAUGACCACCUAGAAACCCAACUCCAGGAUACCCAAGACACCAUCACCACCCUCCUUUCUACCCAAGAAGCUCACCAAACCUGCAUUUCCUCUCUCCGUAAGUCAGUCGGCAGCCUCACCACCGCCCAAACCAACCUUCAGUCCUCCAUCAAAAACCAGUUUGGUCAGCUGCAGCAAACCUUUUUCAACGAGCUCCGCCACCACCGCCCUCACCCACACCUCUCACCUUCCUUCAACACCCACCGCCAAGUCUCCACCUUUAGCUCCCCUUGACCACAUCAUCAAAAUCCACCCCCUUGUCUCCCCUUGUCUCCACUUUUACAAAGCAUGUCUCAUCUUCCACCAUUUCUCCCUCAUUUCCAAACUUCACCCGGCCAUACACACCCUCUCUUCCACAACGACGCUCUUCAUCUCCCUCCUUCUCCCCAUUAUCACCUUCCCCUUCGCAACCUGUUUUUCAUUCUCCUACUCCAUUUACCAUCGCACCGCACUCUGUUUUUCCCACCCACACUUCCCUUCUGCCCACCCCAAACUUUUCCCAUGGAUCUUUGAGGCCACUUAAAUUUGAUCUCGAACGCUUUUUCGAGGAUGACCCGCACGGAUGGAUCACUUCUGCGGAGCACUUCCUCACGUAUUAUGGGUGCCCGACGAAGAUAAAGUUACUGUCGCUGCUGUUCACCUCUCCGGCGACGCUUCUUUAUGGAUGCGUUCGUUCGAACAACGCUUUCCAAAAGAUUGGACCCUUUUUACCAGAUCCUUGCUUCAGCACUUUGGCUCGACAGAUAUUUGCGAUUUUGAAGCCUCCCUCUCUUCAGAGACGGACCCACAGUAGGGUCAAUGGGGUCAAACGACACCAUGGACUCCAUGGAAGCAAGGUAGAAGGUGGCUUUGAAAUAGGGUAUGACCCCAUGAGAGAGGGGAUUUGCAGACAAGAGGAAGAAGAAGAUGAACAGGGCUCUGUUCUGUUUGAAAGAAGCUGGUCAAAACGGCGUCGUUUUGGGCCAGCUUCUAAUUUUUUUUUUUAAAACAGACUGGCCAAAACGGCGUCGUUUUGGACCAGACACGCGAAUUUUUUUUUAAAACUCGCUGGCCAAAACGGCGUCGUUUUGGACCAGCGAAUUUUUUUUAAAAACCCUCUGGCCAAAACGCCGUCGUUUUGGACCAGCGAAUUUUUUUUUAAAAGACCUGGCCAAAACGACGUCGUUUUGGUCCAGGUGUUAUAAAAAAAAAAAAACACAGAUCAGUUUCCCUUCUUCUUCCUCCCGAAUUUUCAUUCCAAAACACCUAUUUUCUAAACCCUAAAACCUAAAUCCCCAAUCUCCACCCCCCACAAACCUUUAACCCUCUUCCCCACCAAGCCUUGAAGCCCCAAAAAAAAAAUUGAACUUUUACACUAUGACCCCACGACACAAAAUUCCUAGGUCCGUCCCUGCUCUCAUGUCCAGCAAAUUGGAUCUUUAGCUGACUAUCUUACCCUCUUUAACAAGCUCGCUUGCAGUGCCUCGGAAUGGUCUGAUACUCAGCCCAAAGGUGUUUUUAUCGGCGGCCUCCGAGAGGAGCUCCGCUUUGAUGUCCAAACUCUUCAGCCCAACACCCUGUCUGAAGCUAAACAUUUAUCUCAACUUUUCAAUUCUAAAUUACAGACCCGACGUACCUCUGCCUGAACCUUUUACCCCCGUACCUCUCCCAACCCCCAACCACACUCCCACAACUCUCCUUCACCUCUGCCACCUUUACCUUCACCCCAGCCCUUACCCCUUUCUUCCCGCCUCUUCUCGCUCCAAGGGCCUCUGUUUUACUUGCGAUGAGAAAUACAGACCCGGUCAUCGUUGUCUCAUGCCCAUGUUCGCUCUCAUUAAGGCCACCGUUCCGGAUGAUGACUCCUCAGUAUUUCAUGAUUGUCACCAGGAGUUGGCCCUUCCGGAGCAGGUGUCCGUGGAUCAUCCCACCGACUUUACAGUCUAUUCCAUCCAAGGCCCUGAUUAUCCCCACACAAUGCGUUUACAGGGAACCAUCAAUAAUGUUCCCAUCCACAUUUUCAUAGAUUUCGGAGCAACAUUCAAUUUCCUCAACCCAAGCCUUGCUACACGUUUAGGCUUACCACUUGAUCACUUUGCCCCCAAAACCCUGUACACAGCCACAUGGGAACAAUUACUCACGCAAGGCACCAUUCAAAACCUCUCUAUCCAGAUUCAAGAUUACACUCUUACUUCUAAUUUCAAGUUAUUACCCGUUGCUGGUUGUGAUCUACUAUUGGGCGCCGAAUGGCUCGAGACAUUGGGUCUUAUUGAAUGGGACUUUAAGAAUAAGAUUAUGCGUUUCCACAUUGGUGAGCACUCUUAUUGCUUGACAGGUAUCUACCGUUCUCCCACCACUGCAAUUGAUGCCAAGCUCAUGGCUCAAACUCUCUUGGCUGAACAAGAGGGCUUCUUGGCACAGCUUAUCCCGUGCUUACCAGACCAUGGAGACGCCAAAGCCACUGCACCACCUCCGGCUCUUCACCACCUUUUGGAUACCUUCUCUGACAUGUUCAACACCCCUGCCUCAUUACCGUCACCUCGCCAUAUUGACCACCUGUUAGUAUGAAAAUUGUAUUGUCAUUUCCUAUACUCUAGCAUAGGUUGGCAAUUAGUGUGUGAAUAUGUUUUACUGGAAGCUUUGGCGCAACACAUUCAUUCUGGAUCUUUGAAGCAUGACUUAACCGAUAUGAGAAACUGAUUUCAGGUAAAUCAUGACAUAAUCAUGCAUUCAUUAUAGGAUUCCUAGUUGGAGUUAUUUUUACUCAAGCACUUUUAUGUUAGCCCUACUUUUAAUAGGAUUAGAUUUUAUCUCUUGAAAUUGCUUUCCUAGUUGGACUCUAUUUUGAUUCAAGUUAAAAUCUUAUCUUUGUUUGGUCCAAUUAAUUUAUUUUAGGAGAUAUUGGUUCUCCCUAAAAUAGUGGCUAUUUGGCAUCAAUCACUCAGAGUCCAUAUGGGAUCAAAAUAUGAUAUUCAUGAUUGAAUAGAACUUGUGGUCUGCUGUUUGGCGUGAUUACUUAGAACCAUAUAGGAAGUUUGGCUCUGUCAUUCAGUAGGCAUCUAAAUCUUAUAUUGUUGAUGGGAAGUUUGCAUGGGCUGAUGAAUUGAGGUAGGAUUCUAUGAGAAUCAAAUAUGAUUAAUGGCAAGAGAUUGAGGACGUGGCUUUGUGCUCUUCUCUUGCAAAAAGGAGAUUGUGGUUUGUAUAAGGAUAUGACGUGCUUCUUUGUUUUUGCAACUUUCCCAUAUUUUGUUUGAGCAUCUAAAAUUCUUAAGAAAGCUAUUGUGCAUAUUUUUGAGAUAAAUCAUCAAGUGUUCCAUGUUUUGCUUGGUGAUUUAUCAAACACUUUAAUCAUUCAUAUUGCAUUCAUAUGCAUGUCGGUGACUCAUACGAUUGAGGGCACCAAGACCGUAGUGGCGGUUUUCCUCCGGCGAGCUUGAAGCAAUCGUGGCCAGUAUUGCGUUCAACAUAAGGAGUGUCGAAGAUCAUCCCGUGACAGAAGUUGAGUUACGAAGAAUCGGUAAAUAUUAUCUAGAAUGAGUCUAGGAUAAGUGUGUGAGUACUUCUUGUAAUCAUCGUUCUAUAGUGGAUUUGAGUUGGACUGAGAAGUCCCGUGGAUUUUCCCCAGAGGUGGGGUUUUACCACGUAAAAUAAUUCUCUACGUGUUCUUUUAUUUUAAGCUUUGCACAUCUCAGGACACAUCUCAGGAUUGAUAACUCAUAUCAAUCCUGCUUCAAAGGUUGAUCAGUAUUUAUUUCAAAAAUUCGAAUUAGCUUGUUUAACCUUCUCCAGGCAUAUAUAGAUAUCCUACAGGCAUUCUCACCACCGUAUUCCCUUACUUCUGGGUGCUGUCCCGGUCAACGUCCGGCCUUAUUGAUACUCGCAUCUCCAAAAAUUAGAGAUUGAAAGCCUCAUCCACAAAAUGCUUGCAGUGGGCAUCAUUCGACCAAGUGCAAGCCCUUACUCCUCACCAGUUUUUUUGAUUAAAAAAAAAGGAUGGCUUUUGGAGUCUAUGCGUCGAUUAUCGUGCCUUAAAUGAUGUCACCAUCAAAGACCGAUUUCCCAUACCUAUCAUAGAUGAACUCCUCGAUGAACUCCAAGGGGCCUCAGUCUUCUCCAAGCUUGAUCUUCGCUCCGGAUAUCAUAAAAUUCGUAUGCACACCGACGACAUUCACAAAACUGCAUUCCGCACCAUUCGGUUUGUCAAAUGCCCAUUCCACCUUUCAAUCCUUGAUGAAUGAUUUAUUUCGCCCUUACUUACGCCUUUUUGUUCUCGUCUUUUUUGGCGACAUAUUAAUCUAUAGUGAAUCCUUCCAAGAUCAUAUCACUCACUUACAAACUGUUUUUGAGAUUCUCAGAACUCAUCACCUCUUUGUGAAGAAAUCCAAGUGUGUUUUUGCCCAACCACAGAUCGAGUACCUUGGCCAUACCAUUUCCUGCCAAGGCAUUGCAGUGGAUCAAACAAAAAUUGAUUGCAUUCAAACAUGGUCCAAGCCGUCUUCCCCAAAGUCUCUGCACGGCUUUCUCAGACUCGCAGGCUACUAUCGUAAGUUCGUGAGGAACUUUGGUUUCAUUGCUCGCCCACUAACACAGCUACUCAAAAAAGACAAUUUUGUGUGGAACCAUGAAGCUGACGCUGCCUUUGCUGCCCUGAAAAAUGCAUUAUCUUCUACGCCUGUGCUUCAGCUGCCCGAUUUCUCCAAACAGUUUACAGUAGAAUGUUAAAAAUACCUGUAGGAUAUCUAUAUAUGCCUGGAGAAGGUUAGAUUGGGACUUGCCACUGACAGAUUCAAUCCAUAUGGGGUUCUAAACCAACACCACAGCACUUGGCCGAUUUUCGUAUUCCCAUAUAUUUUGCCGCCUUGGAAAUGCAUGAAAAAAGAAUACAGGAUGAUGACUGUUUUGAUAACUAAGGAUCUUGGCAGGUCAAUCUAUGUUUACUUAAGGCCGCUGGUUGAUGAACUGAAGGAUUUAUGGACAAACGGUGUGUGCACGUACAAUAAAUCAACUGGGAAUAUGUUUACUUUGCGGGCAGCAAUUAUGUGGAUUGUGAAUGAUUUUUCCGCAUAUGCAACGGUUGUUGGGUGGAGCACAAAGGGUUAUAUGGCAUGCCUUAUAUGCAAGGAAGAUGUAACUUCUGGUUGGUACGCUGAAAAAGUUUGUUGCCUUGGUCUUCGAAGGUAGUUGCCAUGGGACUACAAGUGGCGGGAAAAGGAUAAAAAGUUCGACGGGAACACAGAGCAUCACCUCUCACCUAGAGAAUGGUCCGGUGAUGAGAUCUUGGAACAACUGAACCGUUUGAAUUUUGCUCCAUUCGGGAAAACGGUUUGCCGGACCAGACCUUCUACACAUAUGAACUAGACGCAUAAGCCUAUGUUUUUUGAGCUCCCAUAUUGGUCGAAACUAAAAUUGAGACACAAUCUAGAUGUGAUACAUGUUGAGAAAAAUGUAUUUGACAUAUUGGUGGGCAUGAUUCUAGAUAUCGAGGGCAAGACAAAGGACACAAUCAAAGCUCGUCUUGAUUUGGAAGAAUGGGCAUAAAAAAGGGUUUAUGGAUGAAUAGGGACAGUGAUAAAACUAGAAGGGAUCUUGCAUUUUUUUCCAUGAAACCGAAUGGGAAAAAAGAGUUUCUAAUGUUUGUAUCAUUUGUAAAGUUUUUCGAUGGGUAUGCUUCUAAUAUCGCACGUUGCGUGAAUGUUGAGGGGGGUAAAUUUGUUGGACUUAAGAGCCAUGACUGCCAUGUGUUUAUGCAACGCCUACUUCCUGUGGGUAUUCGACGCCUACUGAACAAUUGUGAUGAGAUAAUGGCAUACUUAGAUGAGCAUGAAGAGAUGACGAGGCGAGAACAUCCAUUACAUUUGUAUGCCAAGAAACACCGUGAAUUGUUCACAAUGGUUUUUGGAUUAUGUAAGUUAUAAGUGUUUUGUAUUUGACUAAUAUAUAUUGUAGUAUUUAAUUUUGUCAAACUAGCAUGUGAAUGGUUUUGUAUAAUAUUAGGUGAAUAAGUUGAAAUCAUCGAAUUCCCCUACUUACAGUGCUGAGUUAUAUAACUUGGCUUUCGACCCGAUUCGCGCUGAAUUGUUCUCGGGUUGCUAUGUUAACACCGUCAAGUUUUUGGGGACUGCACAAGCUGACAAGUUGUGUACGCAAAACAGCGGUGUCCAUGUCCCGGGUGGAGGCGAAAGUACAAACAUUGAUUUCUCGGGCAAACUCACAACUAUCGUGCAAUUGCUUUACAAAGACCGAUACCAAGUCAUCAUGUUUAAGUGUCGAUGGUUUGAUACUAACCCAAAUAGGCAGGUAAGUGUUAAAAUUGACCAUGACUUACUAUCUGUGAACAUUAACAGACCUUGGUAUGAUGAUGACCCUUACAUUUUGGCAAACAUGGCAAAAUAGGUUGUGUAUCUAGAUGACCCUAAAGCCAGGAGCAGUUGGAAAGUUGUUCAACAGAUGGAUCAAAGGAACAUGUACGCUAUACUAGAACUAGACCCAAUUGACAACGACAUCGACAAUGUCGCUGACCAACGGUUAGAAUCUUCCAUAGACAAUGAUGCGGAAACACUUCGAGAUACAAAUGUUAUACAAGAACCGUUUCAGAUAGAAUGAGUGUCUUCAAUCGAAAUACCAAUUCAGUCAAUUACGAUUGACCUCGGUGAUCUUCCGCGAUAUGAUGUUGCAGUGGGUCCGAACAACGAAAGUGAUGUGGAAGAGGAUUGGGAGACCGAAACUGAUGAUAGCAACGAUAACAAAGGUUAUUAUGGUUUAGAUGAUAAAUAAUGCAAUUUAUUAGCGACUUCUCAUGUAAAACAUAGUAAAUGAUAUUUUUUGUAAUUUAAAUAUGUUAUCAUUUUAUAAAGUUAAAUAAUACUAUGUUCGGUGCACAAAUAAGAGUUCAAGUACUUUGGAUUUAUUUAUGUGGGAGAAAUGGUAAUUUUUCAUUGAUUUUUUAAAAUUUUGUAAAACAACCUACCACUAAUACAUCCUAAAUAAUAAUAUAAAAAAUAGUAAAUUUGGCUUUUAGGAUUCAAUAUGGAAAUAGUUUUUAAUUGGAUUGAAUUUGGAAAGGUAUCCAAAUGGUUGUAAUGGAUGUAGGAAUUAAUUUGGAAAUAUUUUUUUAAAUUUAACAAUAAAUUCAGAUUUAGGUAAUCGGUUUAUUUAAUAAAAUACCUACAUAAAUUUUAAUGUACUUAGGAUUAGGAUUUAGGUAUUAUAUGUCAUCCAAUAUACCUACCAUUUGAAUAAUAUACCUACUACAAAAUAUGUAUAGUUAAAUUAUUGUAAGUAAUUAUGGUUUAUAUGUAUAGCUAUAUAUACAUAUUAUUUAUGAAGGAACAUAUAUUAUAUGUAUUACGAGAAUGCAGUCCCGAUCUCUUGGAUCACAGGAGUCCAAGAGAUUGUGGUCACCCACCGUUGGAUAUUAAUCCAAUGGUUCAAAAAAGUUUUUUAAAAGGAGUGCAAGAGUGAGUAAACCGUUGAAUUUACAUCUAACGGUGAGUGACCACAAAUCUCUUGGACCCCUGAAGUCCAAGAGAUCAGGACUGUAUGAGAAUGUUUUCAUUUGUUGAGUCCAAGCAACCGAAUGUUUUCAUUCGUUGAGUCCAAGCAACGCCACAAUAAUGGAAAGGCAAUAUAUUAGGGAUUGUUUAGGAAAAAUCGUUGGAUAACAAAAUGGCCAGGGUCUUGUAAAUAAUUAAUAACAAAUGGGCAACUUUUAUCCGUCAUGGCAUCCAUUUUUAACGACACUAAAAAAAAUGUAGAUGAAUUUUUGUAUCGACUAUUAGAGUUACAAGGGCCGAUUGCAUAACGACACUAAAAAAAAAUUACGAUUGCAUAACGACACAAAAAAAAUUAUGUUACUUGCCAUUUGAAGGUGGUCAGGAUGCAAAACAAUGUAGAUUUCAUGCUACAAUUAUUUCAGAAUGCUUGUAGAUUGUUGAAAAAAAAAAAAAUUUAAACCUUGUGAGGCGCACUACAUAUUCGUCGUGCAAAGGUUUGGGCAACAAAUAAGAAACUAUACGUCGUGCAAGUUGCAAUAAUUAUGGCUAUUAAAUAAUUAAAAACGCCUCACCAAGCCCUAAACCCUAAACUUUUAGUUUUGCCGGAACUUAUUCGUCUAGCAAUAUCUCUUUGAGCGACGACGUGUGUCUUACGUCAUGCAAGUUUCAAUAAUUUUGGCGUAAAAAAUAUUACCUUACGCGACGCGUUAGUUUUGUCAUUGUGCAAAUUCUAUUUGAGCCACGAAAAUUGCUAAUUUUAGUACCUUGCGCGAUGCGUGUUUAUUUUUCGUCGCACAAGGGUGCGAAAAUUUGCCGCCCCACUUCUGAAAAAAAAAAAAAAUGGUGCUUGUUUUAAAAUGAACUGGGAUAUGUGCGAAUAUUGAGCUGCACGUAAAGUAGAUGAGACACAGUAUUUAACGAGGUUCGGCUAUGCCUACGUCCUCGGAGAGCAACAGCAGUAACUUUUCACUAUAUGAAAUAAUAGGGCUACAACUUUAGUGUUUACAAUAUGUAUGGCUCACUCAAUUUUCUCUCUUGGAGAAUUUCUCUCUUGCUCUCUUUCCUCUCAACUCACUCACCCUCAUUCUUCCUUCUCUUCCUCUUCUCUAUGUGUAAACUUCUCUUGAUGGAGGUAUCUAUUUAUAGGCAUAAGACAUUGGUUGUUCACCUCACAAUAUAAUUGGUAGACAACAUCAUUAAUAUUCUUCAAUCAACAACAUCAUUAAUAUUCUUCAAUCAACAACAUCAUUAAUAUUCUUCAAUCAAUUGGGUAGUGGUUUGGUUUGGUGGGUGUGUGGUUAGGUUUAGUGUGUGUUAGUUGGCUAUGUGGGCUUCACCUAUUCUUCUUUACUUAUUCUUCUUUACAACACUCCCCCUUGGAGACCACAUGUCCCUAGAUUGGUUGCCUCAUUAAAACCUUGCUUGGAGAAAAACCCAGUGAGGUAGAAAACUGAUGGAAUGAAGAAAAAAGAGUACAGCAAUCUGUAUAGCAUACUUCUGGAUGCUCCCCCUGAUUAAUAUCUCCCCCUGAUGUCUUCAUGACUAUCUUUUGGAGUGAGAAUCUUUCAGAGUGAGUGGAGGAUAUAGCCAUUAAUAAUUCUCGUAGUUGAGUAAGUAAAUAUAUUUCCAGUGAGCUAUCUCUAUGUAAAUCAUAGAAAUUUUCAGGGUCCGCGUUUCUAACAAAACUUGGGCUAUUUGUAAGUUCUCUUGAAAGAAUAUGCCCGUACAUGGUGUUAUGCGGAGAUAGCAUCAAAUAUACCUCACAUCAUUCCAAAAUGAUGGUGAUGGAGCUGAGCCCUAUCUGGAAAAUAUGAUGUCCGGUCCAAUAUACUUCCGAAAAAUCAUUAAAGUGUCCAACGGAUAAUACUCAUAAAAAUGCUUCAAUACUUUCUUAGUAUAAGCAAGAAUCUCGUUGGCAUAAUGCUCGAUCCUUAAGUCGAGACAAAUAUUUUGUGAAUUCUGCAGAAGCUUUAAUGUGUUGCAAUCACAUUAUAAUCAAUGUACUCACUGAGGUAAUUUAUGCAUAUUAAUAUUGAGUACAAAUUUUGUGCUUCAAGCACAUGUCCUUUAGGGACUUGCUUUAUGCAAUUGUCAAUCUUCUCAACGGAUUUUGUCUAAAAGGGAUUAAACUUUAUGACACAUUAUAUAGCUUUAACCCAGCUAUUUAUACAUCUUUAGGGAAUCGCUUCUGGCGAUAUGCUCCGUGCAUUUAAUAACCCCUAAAGAUAAUAUGUUGGUCUCCGUAAUUGUGUAAUAAGGGGGGGCACAAUUGAAUCUGUAAAUAUGGAGAAAACCCAACAUUCCUUGUUUCUGCUAGAAAACAGUGUGUCAUACAAAGUAGGUAUAUUCCCUUUUAUUCCGAACACCCAAGUAUAAAUUCAGUAUUAACAAAUUUUGGGGUUCGUAUUUUGGGUUUGUUCUUUCACGUUCAUUCUCAUUUAUAAUGGAAUUACCUCGUUCCAUUUUGGCCAAUGAUAUUGUCGACAUUUAAUAAUUGAACGUGGUUCCAAUCAACACGGCCCAUUGAUGAUUCGAGUAGCUACUCCAAAACUAAAAAUUGUCAUUCAUCAAUUCAUAAUCUCACAAUUCUCAUGUGCAUGCGCAUGCAUCAAUUAUAAGCAUUUCUUUUGCUUUUGGGUACCCAAGCCACUUCAUGGGGCUUUUAUUAUGUGAGAAUGUGGAUUAUAACCUCCAUUGGAGCGUUAUUUUACAUAGGGCGUGGAAAAUCUCCAUUUAGGGAGUUGGAACAUUUAGAACCCAUAUAUCUGUCAUGCUGCAGGCAUGCCACAGAUUAAUACAUACAUGUCAAUUAAUUUCUGGGACUUUAACCCAUAUUAUGGGACUUUAACCCAUAUAAUUUGCUACGCAUUAGGCGUGCAUAAUAUCAAUAUUGACAUGUCAAAGGAUUGUCCUUUCGGGACUUCAAUCCAUAUCAUUUGCUACGCAACAGGCGUGCACCCAUAUAUCUGUCAUGCUGCAGGCAUGCCACAGAUUAAUACAUACAUGUCAAUUAAUUUCUGGGACUUUAACCCAUAUUAUGGGACUUUAACCCAUGUAAUUUGCUACGCAUUAGGUGUGCAUAAUAUCAAUAUUGACAUGUCAAAGGAUUGUCCUUUCGGGACUCCAAUCCAUAUCAUUUGCUACGCAAUAGGCGUGCAUCAUAUUGAUCACUGCUAUACCCAUAUUCUGUUCUUAUGGGACUUUAAUCUGCGCAGUGUAUUAUCAAUGUAUCCAUCUUACAAUCUGUAAAAUUUGCAUUAAUAAUUCAUGGAUACAUACAAGCUAUUCUUUUGGAAUGGACUUAUCUUCAUAUUUGGUUACCUUUCAAGAUAAAAUAUCAAAUAAGUAUAUAAGCAAAAAAUAACACAAGUAUUGCUUACAUCCUUAGGUGGGAGAAACUUUUCUCAAGUAUCAUUCAAGCUCGUAUCGGCCCAGUAAAUAUAAUGUAGCGCUUGAUGAUCUAGUUAUUUCCUGUAAGAGCAAAAAUCACAACUCUUUUGCCUCUGUUAAAACAAAUAAACCUCAUAGUUAGGAUCACUUCAUGGAUUCAUUCUUCAGAUGUUCAUUCUAAAGAAAUAAAAUCUCUUAUGAACAAAGAGUUAUAAAAAGAAAAAAAAAUGCAAAAAUAAUGUGAUAUUGAUUGCAAGAGAAGGUAAGCAAUCAAGGAAGGAAGCUGGUGGGAGCAGACAACAAGCUCAGCAAUCAAGGAAGGAAGCUGGUGGGAGCAAACGACAAGCUCUCAUUUCUUCUAGUUUAGAAGAACUUCCGGAGAUUAGAGCAUAAGGUUGCCUUCACAGUUCCCUGAUGUGGCGGGAACGUGAUCAGGGAUAGUCUCGCUUCCUGAAUGGAUGAUCAGAGAUAGUCUUGCUUCUCGGGCAUAUUAAGUGCUCAAUCCUUAGGUGGGAGAAACUUUUCUCAAGUAUCAUUCAAGCUCGUAUCGGCCCAGUAAAUAUAAUGUAGCGCUUGAUGAUCUAGUUAUAUCCUGUAAGAGCAAAAAUCACAACUCUUUUGCCUCUGUUAAAACAAAUAAACCUCAUAGUUAGGAUCACUUCAUGGAUUCAUUCUUCAGAUGUUCAUUCUAAAGAAAUAAAAUCUCUUAUGAACAAAGAGUUAUAAAAAGAGAAAAAAUGCAAAAAUAAUGUGAUAUUGAUUGCAAGAGAAGGUAAGCAAUCAAGGAAGGAAGCUGGUGGGAGCAGACAACAAGCUCAGCAAUCAAGGAAGGAAGCUGGUGGGAGCAAACGACAAGCUCUCAUUUCUUCUAGUUUAGAAGAACUUCCGGAGAUUAGAGCAUAAGGUUGCCUUCACAGUUCCCUGAUGUGGCGGGAACGUGAUCAGGGAUAGUCUCGCUUCCUGAAUGGAUGAUCAGAGAUAGUCUUGCUUCUCGGGCAUAUUAAGUGCUCACUGAUAAGAAAAACAAGUAGAUAUCGCAUCACUAGGUAUGGAGAAAACUGGAUGUCUUCUGCACAGAAAAUUUCGUUAGUAACACAUUUAUACACAAAUACAAUGAAUAGGUAGAACCGGUGAAUUUCAAAUUAACCAUAAGAAAAUUGCGAGAUUCUCGGGGUACUUUUGAAAAAGUAGCUCCGUGAAAUCCGUAAAGCAAGAUCGGCUUUUGAUGAAAAUAAAACUUUGAAAACGCCGAAAGUGCCGACAAACUUUUAAUGGAGGCCACGUGAAGUUUUGGAAUCUGGGAAAGAAAAAGAUAAUAUGGGGAUCUGAGAUAAUAUUGGGAUCCUGGAAACUGUAGCCAUAUUUCCUCCUAUAGAUAUUGCCUUUGCAAAACUUGAUUGGAGCAACUGCGUUUCAACUUGCUCCUUUCCUGUUAUAAUAAUUGCGCACAUUCUUAAAAUUUGCACCUGUGGUUUUUACGUCUUUUCAAAAUGACAGUUUGGAACCUUGUGCCUUAUAGGUUCAAAUAACCACAUCGACUCUCCCAAAUUUCAUAUUUCAACGUAUGGGAGCCCGGAACUUUUGGCCUGGGCUAAACACAAACUCAGAAUUUAUUUGCCCUUUUCAAAAUGGACAUGAAAUAUGAAUUGAGUAAAAGCCACGCUAAUAUCUCAUAUAUUUGGGUUCAUGAGCUUCCGGCCCAGAUAUAACAAAAUAUGUGGGGAGCCUCAAUUCAUCAUUCUCUUAUGUCAAAGAGAUAUGUGGCGUACCACAAUUUGCAAUAAUACCUCAAGGGUUGUCCAUUUAAUUGUUGGAACUUCAGGUUCUCAACACUGUUAGAUUUUGAACUUCUGGCCAAAAUCACAUAUUCUCAUGGUAUGGACAUUCAAUCCCCUUAGAUUUUGAACUUCGGGCCAAAAUCACAUAUUCUCAUGGUAUGGAUAUUUUUACAAUUUUCUGUACAUAUUUCUGGACUUCAAGCCCUUACAUAAUUGUCCAUAUUUUGAGGAACUUCUGGCAUCUCAUUUAAUUGCUCAUCCAUGAGUUUAAGGAACUGCAGGUUCCAGUACAUUUGCCAGUACAAUUAUCAUCCAUGUGUACGGCAUUAUGAACCAAUACGGUACUGUUACAUCAUUAAGGAACCCCAGGUCCUUAUUUACAUGUCAGGGAUCAAGGACCCUCAAGUCCAAUUACAUGUUUAUAAAUAUAGUACCGGAGAGACUGCCAGCUCUCAUAUUAACAUCAUCAUCAAGGAUCUUCAAGUCCUGAUGUAAUUGUAUGAUGAGGAUCAAGGAACUUCUGGUCCUGAUCUGCAUACUGUAAAAAACUCAUCAUACAGCACAUUUAAUCCAUAAAAUAAAUUGCUGGUAAAUAAAUUACUGGUAUGGACGAUAAACCCGCACCACACUUUAAAUAAAUGUAAAUGUGCGGUAAAUUAAAUUCAUAAAGUAAAGGUGCUUGUAUGGGCAUUAAUUCUGCUCCAUACAUUUAAAUAAAAGUAAAGGCGUGGACGAUAAACCCGCACCACCCUUUUAAAUAAAUACUGUUGUAUGGGUAAUAAACCUACACCAUACAGUAAAUAAAAUAAAUGUGCGGUAAAGUAAAUUUCAUAAAUUAAAUUGCUUGCUGUAUGGACGUUAAUCCCACACCAUACUUUAAAUAAAAUUAAAUGUGCGGUAAAGUAAAUUGUGCUUGUAUGGGCACUAAUUCUGCUCCAUACAUUUAAAUAAAAGUAAAGGCGUGGACGAUAAACCCACACCACCCUUUUAAAUAAAUACUGUUGUAUGGGUAAUAAACCUACACCAUACAGUAAAUAUAAUAUAUUAUAUUACUUUAAGUAAAAGUAAAUUUGCGGUAAAGUAAAGGCAAUUAUUGGUGGGUUCUCAUCAACACCACGAUCAAAUAGUAUAACAGAUAAUAUUAUUAUCGUUUGUGGAAGGCAUCAUGCUUGUCUCUCAAAUCAAAUGCUUUCCACCUGUAAUCUGCACACAGUUGGUUUGCUCGUAUAUCUCUCUUGCAGACCACAGCUCCUCCACUACUUUUCUUCCUUACAUCAACAUAAGGGUUAGUAGUAUAGAUAAUAGUACAACACAAAAAUUAUACCUGAGAGCUUCUCGUGCUGAUAACGUGUUAUAAAAUGAACUGGGAUAUGUGCGAAUAUUGAGCUGCACGUAAAGUAGAUGAGACACAGUAUUUAACGAGGUUCGGCUAUGCCUAUGUCCUCGGAGAGCAACAGCAGUAACUUUUCACUAUAUGAAAUAAUAGGGCUACAACUUUAGUGUUUACAAUAUGUAUGGCUCACUCAAUUUUCUCUCUUGGAGAAUUUCUCUCUUGCUCUCUUUCCUCUCAACUCACUCACCCUCAUUCUUCCUUCUCUUCCUCUUCUCUAUGUGUAAACUUCUCUUGAUGGAGGUAUCUAUUUAUAGGCAUAAGACAUUGGUUGUUCACCUCACAAUAUAAUUGGUAGACAACAUCAUUAAUAUUCUUCAAUCAACAACAUCAUUAAUAUUCUUCAAUCAAUUGGGUAGUGGUUUGGUUUGGUGGGUGUGUGGUUAGGUUUAGUGGGUGUUAGUUGGCUAUGUGGGCUUCACCUAUUCUUCUUUACAACAGCGCUGUUUUUUUUAUUUUUCAAUUUUCCCCUCUCCGACCCUCUCUUCUCCUUCGAUUCCUCUCAUCCCUCUCUUGGAUCCCUCUCAGACCCUUUGUCCUUGGACCACUCUCAGACCCUCUCCCGUUGGACCCCUCCCAGACCCUCUCUAAUUCGACCCCUCUCAGAGCCUCUGUCCUUCGACCCCUCUCACACCCGACGGCCAAGCCAUUCCUGCAGACGACGGCCUAGCCCCCCAUACCCCUCGCAGACCUUAGAUCUCGCCACCGCUAGAGAGUAGAAGGUCAGCCUUCGAGCUUCGCGCCUGCGUCAACGGUCUCUCUCUCUCUCUCUGUGUGCAAACCCCCUCAGGUAAAAUUCCCGAAUUUUGUUUGUGCCAAUUUUUCAUUCAAUUAUUUUUCUAUAUGGUGGGUUUUUAACUUUAUGUAGUUUGGGUUGGAUUGAUGAAGAUCAGGGUUUACUGGCAGGUUUGAUUUUCAUGUGUUUGUUGAAUUAUUUGUUGAACUAUUUGGGUUUCCUGGAUCUACUAACUACUGCUUUGUGUAUGUUGAACUAUUUGUCCAAAAAUUGCCAUUUAUUUAUGUCUUGUAGUUCAAUCAUGUGUUUAGCAAAGCAAUAGGUUAUCAGAGCAGGGCAGCCUAUCAUUUUCUGUGAUUUGAGGGCUAUAUUGGUAAAUGGGUGAUGCCUCUCAUUUUCUGUUAUUUUCUUGUAGUCUCCAACUCUGUGUUUCCCUUGGCAGUUUGCUCUUCAUUGUGAAUUAUUCACAGGUUUGAGUGUUCUAGUGGUCACUCUGAGUUUUUCAGAGGUUCGAAUGUUCAUUUAUCCUUUUUGUUUUUUGUUUAAUUUAUGUAUGAGAGUAGUAGUAGGUAGUAGGGUUCCUUUUUGUUUUUCGGAAUCUUUGAUGUACAAGCAGACGUAUAUAUGCAAUUAGACCGUAGAAUUUUCCUAUGUAUUGAGAUUGGUUUUAAAUAAAGACGUAUGCAAUUAGGUGGUAUAUCUGUUUGGAUGCUUAGUCUGGCUUUAUUUUGAUUUUAUUUUUUGGUUCAUGGUUUUAUAUCUGUUGAAAUGUAAUAGUUUGUGUUUUCGAAAUCUCUAUCGCUUGUAUAAAAGUAAAAAAUAAUAAUUAAUAUUUACUUGUUUCUAUUCAAUCAUGUGUUGAAUCGUGCAGAUCUCGAACCUUAUUAGAAGUCGUAAUUUGAUGACGACUACACAGAGUUCGCUUCCCCCGGCUCAGACGUCAGCUGCCACUGCUCUAGCGCAGAUAGACCACUUGCUGGUUGGUCCCGGAGUCUCUCAUGCACCGGCAUCAUUAGCGUCAUUAGUGGUGCAACAUGUUAGGGCCAGGCGUCGUCACUGCCACGCUAGCACCACCGACACUACAUCGACAGACGUUACUGAUGCGUCGGGGUCACAGCCAGGUACAGAUUUCCUUCAACUCCAGCUGUUUUGGACAAAUAUUUUAUAGUUGAAUUUGUUAUUUAACGUUAAUGUAAUAUUUCUUUGCAGCCAAGAAGAAUACCCGGAGGCCGUGUCGGCAGUUGAAGACGACGUAGGUCACCCGGGUGACCAAUAGUCGUAUCAACAUCGGAUACGACGAGUGGCAUUGGGUUGCACUGACGGCGGAGUUGCAUAGCUCAUUGGCCCACGACUUUGGUCAUGUCGUUCGGACCUAUUGCCCGAUGUAAUGGAAGUCUUGGAAGGUCAUGCCUGCCGAGAUCCAGAUGGAGGUGCGCGGACAGUUGUCGGUAUUUAACCUACCUUUUAAUUCUUUUUCCUUCAAACUUUAUAUAUUUCUAUUACUUAAUGUAUGUAAUUAAUUAAUUGCAGACGAACUACAACUUAGAGGACCUCGAUGACGAGUCAGACUCUUUGCUGAGAGGUACAAGCAGUGGAAGAGCGACUUGCACCACCAUUUUCAGGCGUUUGAUGAUUCUCAGGUCGUUCUUCAGGAGGGUUGCCCGAAGGAGCUUGAGGGGCGGGAGGAUAGUUAGGCGUGGCUCUGCCCUCAUUUUCAGGCGCCCGAUUAUGUGGUAUUUUAAUAUUAAUUUCAAAAUUAUUACAUGUUUCUUACUCAUGUUUAUUUAAUUUUUUAUAUUUCAUUACAAUUUCAACUAAUACGUUUAUUUUUUUUAUAACAAAAUAAAGCCAAAGUCAAUAAGGGCAAUAGGAACAAGAAGACUCUUAUCCACCAUUUAGGUUUCAGGCCCUUCUGAUAUAGGAUGGAUACACGGCGGCAGAUAAUAAUAAAAUAGUUUAUAUUCAAUUCUUAAUAAUAUGUCAUAAUAUUAAUUUAUUUUUUCGUACUAACAUCAAUUCAGGGGGGGUCCAAAUUCCUGGAGAUCGACGUCUUUGGCGACAUAUAUGUUCGACCUGGGAAUGAGUUGGUCGAGUCCCUUCAUGUAAGUAUUCUUUAAUUUUAAUUAUUAUCUUACGCAUUCAAGUUUCAGGGUUAUUAUAUGAAUGUUUUAAUUUAUAUUUUAUGUUAUGUUAAAUAGACGACGAUGGUGGAGAGGAGCCAGUUGGUUCUUUAGGAGUCUGCCUCCCAACUUCCUCCCGAUACUCUGAUCGAGUCUGUGGAUCCUUCACAGGAUGCUGGAUUUCAGAUCUUGACGGAGACGUUGGAUCAGACUCUCGGGAGAAGGCCGGGGACAUAUUGUUGAGGGAUGGGGAAUGACCAGCGGAGGGAACCUAGACCCCGUUCAUCGUCGCAAUCAAACAGUCAAGUGACUGCUUUGAUAGCAAAGGUGGCCGAGCUUCAGGGUUAGAUGUUUGUGCUUUUGGAGUCCCUUGCGCGGUCCGACAUUCCAGUCCCGCAUUUUGAUCCCUCGUCGACCUCCGAGCCCGUCCAUCCCGAGUAUGCCCACCAGACCUCCGAGCCGCAUAUGCCUGACAACCAAGUAGAUUUUGGAACAUUAUUUGAUUAGUUUGUUAUUUUCAUAAUUAUAUUUUAAACAUUUCUCUUGUAGUAAUUCUCGUCAUUACAUUUUUUUUUUAUCACAAUUUCAUUUUAUUACAACAACAACAAAAAACCAAAUUUAUUUUUUUACAAAAUAAAAAAAACAUCAAAUUAAAUUUAAAUAAUAUAUAUUUUAAUUUUGCGUCGGGCAAAUUCACAUUUUACAAAAUAACAAAACAUAAAACUACAUUUUAAAUAAAUAUAUUUUAUUCUUGCAUGACGAAGAUAUUCAUCUCGCAAAAAUGAUAUGCGCAAUGACGACAAUUUCAUCGAGCAACAUAUUUUUUCGCGCAAAUGUUGGAGACACGAAUAAUGCAACGAAUUAAGAUCAUCACGCAAAUAGUUGCGACACGAACUGUGCAAUGAACAUUAAACGUCGCUCAAAGGUUUGUGAGACGAACAUGCUUUCGUUGCGCAAAGGUUUGUGAGACGAACAAUUGUGUCGUCCCCAAACCUUUUGUGCAAUGAAGGUUAACCGUCGCUCAGUUUUGCGCGACCAAUGCAAAAACUUGGUCGCACUCUUUCUUCAUGCUCUUUGCGCGACGAAUUUUCUGUCGCGCUGAAUUUUUUGCGACUAAAAGUAACUUUGCGCGACAAAAUUCUCUUCGUCGCCCAAAUCAUAAAAUGUAGUAGUGAUGAUUUUUUCAUCUCACAAUUGCAAUUUUCUUAUAGGAGAAUGUGAAAAUAUAAAUGAAGAGAGAGAAAAUAGAGUGGUGAAUUUAAUUCAAAUUAAUUUCAGUUUAUAAUAAUUAAAAAAAAACAAUUAGUUUAGAUUUAAUCUCAUCCAUUGAUAGUGGGUUAAUCUAAAGGUGUGAAAUUUGUGUCAAAACUUGGUGAAAAAUAUAGUGCCACGGAUCUGCCCGUAUAUAUAUAUAUAUAUAUAUUCUUUGAAGUUGAUAAAUCAAGGAAAUGUGCUAAAAAAACUUGGGCAUGGUAUGUGUAAUAACCCAAACCAAAAUAUCUAAAAAUUAGGAUUUCUUUAUUCCACCCAAAAGACGAUUUUGCCCUCGCAUAUUUUAAUGGGGAAAAAUUUGACUUUUUAAUCAAGAAAGAAUUUGGCAAUUCCGCUUGCUCCGUUGCGUAGAGCACGGCGAAAUGAGUCCGUAGACAUGGAGUAGACCCGAAUCGGAGUUGUAACAAAGAAAAUACGAUCAAAAUACCGUGAAGGGCAAAAUGGUAAUUUGAUCAAAAAGUCAGAUUUUUAUCCCUCUCCUUCUUCUCUCUCCUCAUUUCUCUCUCCUCUCUCUCUCUCCCCCCGUUUCGACCCAGCCUCGACCUCCGCUCACUUUCAUCGUCGCCACGGCCGCCACACUUGGAGCCGAUCUCCGCCGUUGGUACCAAACGAACCAGCACUCGACCUCCGUCAUUUCCUGACCCAUCGUCGCCGUUUCCGUGGGCGGAGCUCCCCGGAAUCUGCCAUGUUUGCCGGAUUUUUAGUUUGAACUUUGAGCUCUUCGUUCUCCUUCAAUUCUCCAACAAAUCGAUCGAGUAAGGUAUGGUUUCUCAGCUAUUUUUCGUGUUCUAGCUGAUGGAUGUUUGGGUCUCGAUCGAGUUUAGCUCUAGAGUGUUCGAUUUGCGACUUGAAAAUCGGUAGAAACUUUGGCCGCCGUGAUCGGCCGUUUCUGGUCACUUUUUGGGGUAUGUCCAAGAACAAAAGUGACUCCAAAUGGGGUGUUUUACCUAGGAUAGGAGUUUGGAGUCUUGGUUCCGAGAUUUUUCGGCCACCCGAAAUCGCUUUGGACACCUAAAUCUGCCCGCGCGUUCUGGGUCGUGUGGGCGAGGGUGGUGACGUAAUUCUGUGCAGUUUUGUGAUCCUCGUGUAGUCACGAGCGCAUAGGAUUUCACGGAUCUCGAUUCGGAGUCCGUUUGAGCCCCGAACGGAUUUUCCAUAUCGCGCGAUCCUUGGGUGCAGUGUCGUCCAAUCUUUGGAUCGCGCUGAAUUUUGGAUAUGUCGGUCUACGUGAUUUCAGGAUCAUGUAGGAUUCGACGGAUUGCGAAUCGGAGUCCCGGAUACUCCGAAAUCGCGAACCCUGGGGCUAGGGUUUGGAUUUUAAGCGAUAACGCGAUUUUGGCCAAUCCGACCGUCUGUUUCGGACCAAAUUUGCGAAACAUGGUUCCUUCUUUGUUAGGAAACUUCAGAGAAGCCCAGAUUGGCCAUCGGAGACCGUGGACCCGCGGGGUCCCGGAUCGGCCUGUCUGGUGGUUUAUCGCUUAGUGAGGCUUCGGGUCUCUUAAAGUCGUUCUAAGUGUCUGAAAAGCUAAUGUGGGCAUAGGAGUAACUUGAAAUGAGUGCACGUAUUUCUAGGAGCCGGGGGCAGGGUGUUUAAUUUAAAUUCUUUUUAUUCAGCAGUUUAUUAAUUUACUAUUCAUGGUUAAUCAGGCACCAGAGGUCCAAUUGACCCACAGGAGGGACCUUCGAAGGGUCCAGCUAGCUCGGACCAACAGUGAGUGGACUUUUCUUUCUUAAACGGUUUUAUGAUUAUAUUUUCUAUUUGAUUUUGAAUAAGUGUUAUAGCAUGAAUUUUAUUGUGAAAUAUCUUUAUUUUUAUAAAAUUUAGCCGAGCAAACAGAUUUGAGGUUCUUGAUACAGAAAUAGUAAUUUAGCUCACAUUUACCAGAAUACAGUGGAUUAUCAGAAUUUAUCAGAGAUAGUUAUUUUAGAACCACCGUGUACCCAUUAUCUUUGGUGAUUACUACAGUCGGACCGAUGUCUACGGACAUCCAGUCUGAUUUCAGUUACGUCAGUGCACUUGACUUUGCCUCACGAGUUUCGGGGACGCUCGGACCGUGAGUUCCAGGAUUUGCGGCUCGGCAGACUUGGUGUCCCAAGACCUGCCAGGAUUGCGGCUCGGCUGACUCUAUGUCCCCGAGACCUGCUAGGAUUGCGGAUCAGGCUGACUACGGUCCCCUGCAUCCUGCCAGAGCGGCUCGAGUCGACUUGGUGUCAUCGAGACCUGCCGGCGGAUUAGGCUGAUCAUAGUCCCCUGAUUUUGCCAGUUUGCGGCUCGGGUAGCCUGCGUGACGCCCGAGACCUGCCAGGGGAAUUGACGGAUAUGACAGGGGUACAAUUAGGUGGUAGUUUCAAAGGAUUUUAAGCUCUUUUAUACAGUUACGACUUUCAGUUGUUUUAUACCAGUUCUGUGAUAUUCAUGCAUUUCUAUCUUUAUAUAUUUGGUCAGUUAUGCGAAUAUAUUCAUCAGUAUAUUUAUUCAUGUUUAUUGAGUACUUUAUAUUGAAAUAUAGCUAAAUUAUCGAUGUAUAUCCCUAGUAUUUCAAAACGGGGGUUAUUAUGUUCUAAAUUGUUUUUAAGAACCUUAUUUUUGUCCACUCACAAUUUUAACCUUGUUUUUCGCCCCCAGGCCAUAGAAGUACGAAGGAAACCACUCGGGCCAUCUUCCCAGCUUCUGCCACACCACCAAAGUGUAGGAUUUCAUUGUAAAUUUCUUAAAAUUAUGUAAAUGUGUAGAAAUGCUCUGAUAUCUAAUUGAACAUGAAAAACUGGACUUGAGAUCUGUUGUUUGAGAUAGUCUGGCAGUUGGUGUGAUAUUUGAGCUUGUUUGACAGGUGGAAGAUUUUGGGAUUGGUCAAAUUACAGGGGAGACUCUGCCGAAUUUUUGGCAGAAGUCUAAGGGAAAUUUUAAAAGAAGUUGAAACGAGAAGGGUAAAAAGGUCAUUUGUGCCUGACAUUCGCCAGGUGUCGGACACGCACAGGAUUCGGCUCGGAUUCCAAAGCGGAAAUUGGGUCGGGUCCUGUCAGUAUGCAUAUAUACUUGAGCUGGAUAUUCAGGGAAAUAUUUAGGUAGAGCUUUUAAUUAUUCUAAAACCAUCCUUUUGAAAAGGGUAGCAGGAUCUCCUUUGCUUUAAGAAAUAUUUGACACUGAGUUGGUUAGUUUUCUGUCUAUAUAGAACCUAAAAGUGAUAUUUCCUUGUUAGAGUCAUCAAUGAGGAGAAUACGUCAAGUAGCCCCUCACUUUUAUUUUCCUUGUUAUAGAGGGGUAAUAUUUAUACCAGCCUUCCUCGUUAGUUAGGGUUAAGGAGGUAUACACUCUCGUUAUCAUUCUUUAUUGUUGAGCGGCAAUUCAUUAAUAAAUUUGGUAACUGUAUCCUUAUUAGUCCUGAUCUCUUGGACCACAGGGGUCCAAGAAAUUUGUGGUCACUAACCGUUGGAUGUAAAUUCAACGGUUCACUCACUCUUGUACUCAUUUUAAUAAACUUUUUUAAACCAUUAGAUUAAUAUCCAACGGUGGGUGACCACAAUCUCUUGGACUCCUGUGGUCCAAGAGAUCGGGACUGUAUCCUUAUUAGUCCUGAUCUCUUGGACCACAGGGGUCCAAGAAAUUUGUGGUCACUAACCGUUGGAUAUAAAUUCAACGGUUCACUCACUCUUGUACUCAUUUUAAUAAACUUUUUUAAACCAUUAGAUUAAUAUCCAAUGGUGGGUGACCACAAUCUCUUGGACUCCUGUGGUCCAAGAGAUCGGGACUGUAUCCACAUUAAUUAUUUGAAAAUUCAAUCACAUGUGUAAAUGUGUUUUAGGCCAGUUAAUCAAUAUAGUGUGGCAGCCCGAGUUCGAUUCAUAUUAAUAUACAAUAGAGGAUCUUCAAAAUGCAAAAAAAAAUCCUUGAAAUUUUUUAUUUUUGAUAAAAAGAUUCCUUGAAAUUGGGUUGGUAGGGAGGAAUGUGUGUUGUUACGUGCUACCUAGGUUUGCUUUUAAAUAUUCUAAAACCAUCUUUUUAAACAUGGCAUCACCUUCUCUUGAAGUAAUGCUCGUUAUACAUUUUCUCCUUGUCUCUUUUUAUAUAUAGCUAAAACAAACUCAUCAUUUAGCUCUUCUACAUAGCGAAUGUGACAUACUCAUUCACUUCCUCUGAGUUCUCAGUUCAUAUAUUGUCCCUUUUGUGGUUAUAAUUAAUUAAAUCAUUCAAAUUUCUCGCAACAGUUCACCAGUGUUUGCUAAAACAUUGCAUUGGAGAGCUAGGUAAGUCUUGAAAUAGUUGUUUGCCUUCACACUUUAGCACAACACAAGUGGUUCGCUUGAAGCUUUACUCGGAAAACUCAUGUUCGCGACCUUUGUAAUAUUCUUUAUGUAUUUUUGGGGAUUAAGAGCCUGUUUAUUUUCUUUGGUUCCAUCUCUAUAAGUUGUCUUGCUUUUCUUCUUCUAAACCUACUUAGCUUUAUUUUGUCCUAUUUCUGUAUUAUUUAUCCUCUCACAGCACAAACAUAUAUAUCUUUGUUUCAUCUUUAUAUUUCUGGCUUUUUGUCUGCAGUCUUGCAAGGUAGUUGUUGCAUGGCGUUAGUGAAAUAAUGAGCAUUCGGAUUGCGGAUAGUGCUGUAAAUUGCUGCUAUAACUCGAGGUUGGUUUUCCUUAUAAAAUUUUAAUUUUCUUUAUCGACUACCUCUUGGCACAUACUCACACCUUCAUAAUUUAAGUUUCUUCUUCUUCUUUGUUUUUUCACUGUGAUGGAACCUUUUAGAGUAAACAUACAUGAGUUUGUGUAUUAAAAAACAAGAAAACAAAUGAAAAACCAUGUGAAAUUCAGUUUAAGAUUAAGAAAAGAUUCUUAAACCAAAAUCAAAAUAUUUAAAAACUAACAAACAUUUAUGGUCCCCCUUGAUAAUGAUUUCAGGUUUUGUUUUUAUUAGUUUUCACUUUUCAAUUUUUAAAAACUAAAACUACAAAACUUGUUUGGUAACCAAUUUUAGUUUUAAAAAUGAAAUUGAAAAUUGUUUAAAAGUUGUCUGAUAACUUAUUUCAGUUUUAUUUGGAACUUGGAAAUUAAAUUUUUUUGAGGUCAAAUUGUGAAUAUGAGAUCAUAUAUAAUGAAAGUCCAUGUUCCAAAUAUGAUCCUAGUCGGGAGGUCCCAAAUACGAAGUUUGGUAACUUAAGUGCAAUGCAUGUGUGGUGAUGUUAAUUGGUAAAAGAGAAAGAAGCACAAAAAAAAAAGAAAAAAAAAAAGAACUAAAACUAAACACUAACAGCUAUCAUUAUCUCUCUUAUUGAAUUACAAUUAGUCAAGUGAGCAACGUCUUGGUCAUGAGCUUGUUGUCGAUUUGAACUUUGUGAUCAAAUUUGCCCGGUUUGUAGUGAACCGAAUGGAACUAUGCGGGAGUAAUUGGAUUUGAAACUCGGAUAUCGGAGGUUUUUAAAUGAUGGAUUCAACUGGAAUAUGAGUGGGGUAGUGUUUGUCACAAAAAGAGGUAUCAUUUUAAAUUUAUAAAUACUCACAAGUGCACAAUCGAAUGUAAUGUAGACAUGUAAGAACGAGAUCGUACCCCAAAGGUUUGCAUGAAAAAAAUAGAAAACUAACCCAAUCAAAUUAAUUCAAUUACUCACCUAGUUUCCAAGGUUGAUUUGUUUGUUUUUUAUUUUCCGUCCAAAAAAAUUAAAAAAUAUAGGGAAAUGAUAAUAAACCAAGGUAUUAGAAUCCACACCACUAUUCCAUAAAACUCUAAUUAUUUACCUAUCAAUUUCCCGAUAUCUUGGACCACAGGAGUCCAAGAGAUUGUGGUCACCCACCGUUGGAUGUUAAUCUAAUGGUUCAAAAAAAUUUCUUAAAAGGAGUGCAAGAGUGAGUGAACCGUUGAAUUUACAUCCAACGGUGAGUGACCACAAAUUUCUUGGACCCCUGUAGUCCAAAAGAUCAGGACUGUCAAUUUCCAUGGAGUAGCAAUGUAGAAACCAAUCUACUGUUUUCUCAAGAUAUAUCAAUUAAGCAUGCAAUUUAAUAAAUCUUUUGUAAAUCCCCUUCAUUGGUACAAAUUCUAAGCAUCACAUGUAAAUAAAAUUAUUUAACUACAAAGGAUCAAAGUUUCCUAAGCAUCCUAAGUGAAAAAAGUUAUUUGAAUGACAAGAGAUCAAAGAAAAUUGUAUAGUAGAACAAUAAAACCAAGGAUGUAUUAAUAAAUUAACCCAGUUCUUAACUACCACAAAUACACGAUAGAAGUGGUCAAAAUAAAGUUAAUCUGUUAAUCACGUGAAGCCAAAAUUAUUAACAUUGAAGAAUAUAAUUUGUAAAUUAAAAGAUAAAAACAAGAAAUUAAUUUUAUAAUGGUAUUUCAUCAUUAACAUAAUUUAACUAGACACAAAUAAAAAAAUAAACUACAUAAUAAGAGAUAAAAACUAAAAUAGAGAAAAAUUAAAGUAGAGAGAAAAAAAGGAGAAAAGCUUCGUCAUAAACCCCUUCGUUCCUUGCCACUCCACUCCUCAAGAUUCUCUCCAAUUCUAUUACAUUUGCUAUCCUCUUUAUUCUCUCCUGUUUGGUGCCCACUUUCUGCACUACUCUAUCUAUCCACACAUUUUCUAUAUCUCUGCACACACUCUAUUUAUAGCUAUAUAUCAACCCAAGCAUCACAUUCCUUCUUUGCAUUCUUUAAUUCCUUUUUGUCAGAAUGUGUGGCUGGCUGCACAAGGUGGCAGCACCUUCCUUCUUUCUUUCUAUUCAUUGGCAGCACAACAUUAUGGUAGUCCAAUUUCAAUUUCUCUUCCUCUUUGGCUUUGGCUUUGGAUGCAUCAGAUGGGUUGCUCUCCAUGUUUUUUCUUUGUCUCCGGGCUUUGGCCGCAGCCAAUCUCCUUCUUAUCUUCUAUCUUCUUUUUGCAACAUAUUCUUUAUUCCUCCUCAUUUGCUAUUGGUGGUAGACUCUUAAUAUCUAAAAAGAACCGCACAUUAAAUACAAAAACCAAGAUUGUAAACAAUCAAUACAAAUAAUCUAAUAGAUUCAAAUAAAAUAAAAGAAAACAGCAAUAAAUAUAAAUUUAAGGAUAAAACUUGUAUUAAUUUUGUGCUCAUCAUGUCGGAACUAGGGUGUUCAGUUUGGUAUACCACUGAAUCGACGGUGGUCGAAAUUCUACAAUCGGAACCACAACCAACGCCAUCAGUAAGCUCUUGCAUUUCUUAUGAAAAUUUCAACAUCUUUAUAAUAAAAGCGUUUUUGCGAGAAGCUCUUAUGAGUAGAAGUGUUUCCUAGAGAAGAAGUCCCAAACAAGUGGUAGAAGCGCUUCUUUCCAACAAGCAGGUUAAGGGAUUGAGUCCCCUUUGGUACAUAAUUUGAAACAUUCUUUACAACCGGUUCAGUUCGAUUUGUUGACCGAAACCAAAAAUUAAGUGAAAAAUCAUGAACCAACCAGUUUGGUUUGGUCAGUUUGGCGAUCUAUAGAUCUAAAAUUCUAACCCUGUGUGAGAUGGGAUAUGGGGGUGACGGCUACGAUGAGAUAGAGGGUGAGGGGCCACGGUUGGAAGUUAGAUUGGGGGAAGGGGUGUUUGGCAUGAUCGCCUAGUGGGAUGGGGGUGCCCCUUGAGGUGGGCAAUGUCCCUUUAGAAGAUAGAGACGGAAAAAAAAAAGGUUUUGUUUGUUUUUUUUAUAUUUUAUUUGUUUUUAAAAUAUUUUUUCUUAUUUUAAAAUUCUUCUUUAAAAAAAGAAGCAAGGGAGCCGACCCCCUGUUUGGCAUGCCUCACUAAGCCUCACUGGACUGGACUGGGUUAAAUAGUCCUUAAAACCUAUGUUUGGUAAGGGAAGGGAUUAAGUUAAAUGAGAUUAUAUAGUCCAAUGGGAAAAAAAACGUUGGACUCGCUUGUUUAAUAUAGCGAGCCCAAAACUGGGUUCGCAAAAUAGCGAGGAUGCUAUUUUGAACACACAGUCCGGCUGAAUACCACCUCUACCAUCAAACACACGAGCCCGAAACAUCAAACAUACCACCAUCACCACGAUGCCACAACCAUCAGACCACCACCAUCAAACACAUAACCAGCCACCACAUACCCAAUCGAACCAUCACCAUCACCCAAUUAGUCAAUCAAACCAUCAUCACCAGCCACCACAUACCCAGUUAAACCACCAGCACUACCCAAUCGAACCACCACAACCAUUAAUUAGUGGAACUAGAGAGAGAGAGAGAGAGAGAGAGAGAGAGAGAGAGAGAGAGAGAGGGUGAGUUGAUGGUUGAAUUGGGUAUGUCUAGUCAUCACAAAUGACAGUUUAGAAACUGGUUUCACCGGAACUCUUCGUUCCUGGUGGGAUAAACAUUUAACUAAUGAGUCUAAACAACAAAUAAUUCAUGCAGUCAAACUCAAUGAAAAUGGUCUCCCUAUUUUUGAUGAACAAAUAGGUCAAGGCAUAGAAGAUGGAGUCAACACUUUAUUAUAUACAAUAGUCGAACAUUUCAUUGGAACACCUAGUAAUACUACUACUAGAAUACACGAUCAACUUAGUAACCUACGAUGCCCUAAAUUGUCUGAUUUUAGAUGGUAUAAAGAUGUGUUUAUUUCUCGAGUUAUGUUGAGAGAUGAUAGUAAUCAGUCAUUUUGGAAAGAAAAAUUUGUUAAUGGUCUUCCUAAUUUAUUUGCCCAUAAGAUCGAUUCGCACGACACUUAGUAAUGAACAAGGUCAUAUCGAUUGGGAUAGUUUAACACAUGGUAAUAUCAUUAGCACAAUUAAUCAAGUUGGUAUGAGAAUGUGUGUUGAUAUGAAAAUCGGUAAACAAAUCUAGUCCGAAAGAAAUUCUGCUAAAUAUGAGUUAGGAAAUUUUUGUGAACAAUACGGGCUAAUAUCAGCUCCCCUGUCUAGAAAGGAUAAGUCUAGUCAUCACAAAUGACAGUUUAGUAAGAGUCACCACUAUUCUUGUCAAAAACAGUCAUUCAAGCAUAAUAAUGACAAUAAUGAAUUUUAUAGUAAAAAGAAAUUUUCCCCUAAGAAAAAUUGGAAAAAGAGUCACGGAAAAGAUAAGAAUAGUCGCUUUAAGAAAAGUACCAACAAAAGAAAAGUAAAAUGUUAUAAAUGUCAAAAGUUUGGUCACUACGCUAAUAAUUGCAAAAUAAAAGACACAAUCAAACAAUUGAAAAUCACGGACGAGGAAAAAGACAAACUAAUUAAAGUCCAGCUUAGAAGUUCCAAGUCUAGUGAACAUGAUACCAUAGACAGUAAUACUGAGACUCCUGAAUUUGAUUCCUCAGAUUCUCAAUCCAGCUCUCCCAAAAUACAAUUUGGUUGCCAAGACAAUUGUUGUAAGUCUAAGUCAGUUAAUGUCCUCACUAAACAAGAAGAACAAGAAGAGUUAUUAAUUGAUUUAAUUAGCAAAGUAGAAAAUCCUGAGUUAAAAUUCGAAUAUCUGAAAAAGUUAAGAAAGGUCAUCAAUCAAGAAGAAUCAAGACAGUCUACCUCUCAAAAGAUAAGUUUGAACACAACUUUAGAAAAAUUUCAUAAAAAGAAGGAAGUUAAGCUACAAGAUUUGCAAUCAGAAGUAAAGGUAGUCAAGAAGGAAAUUUUAGAACUUAGGCAAAUAAGUCAAAAGUUACAGGUUGAAAAUUAUAAAAUAAAACAAAAUUUGAGUCACCUCCUGGAAAAAGAUGAUGCAUCCAAAGGUUUGCCUGAGAGUCCAACAAAUUCAGAGGACAAGUCCCAUGAACCUCCUAACCAAGAAUCAACUGUCAAUUUAAUUAAACAAGUCAUAUAUAUAUAUAUAUAUAUAUAUAUAUAUUUAUUUUCUUUAAAGUUGAUAAAUCAAGAAAAUGUGCUACAAAAACUUGGGCAUGGCAUGCAAUAUGCUUGAGCUGGAUGUUCAGGGAAAUAUUUAGGUUUAGUUUUUAAAUAUUCUAAAACCAUCUUUUAGAAAAGUGUAGUAGGAUCGCCUUUGCUUGAAGAAAUAUUUGACAUACUUGAGUUGGGUUAGUAUUAUCAAUAAGGAGAAUACGUCAAGUAUCCCCUCACUUUUAUUUUCCUUGUUAUAGAGGGCUAGUAUUUAUACCAGCCUUCCUCGUUAGUUAAGGUUAAGGAGGUAUAUACUCUCGCUUAUCAUUCUUAAUUAUUGAGUGGUAAUUUAUUAAUAAAUUUGGUAACUCAUAUCCUUAAAAUCCAUGUUAAUUAUUUGAAAAUUCCUUCACAUGUGUUAAUGUGCAUUAGGAAAUAUUGACCAAUACGGUGUGGCAGCCCAAAUUCAAUCCAUAUUAUCGUACAUUAGAGUAGUUCCGAGUAUUGGAUCUUCAAAAUGCAAAAAGAAAUCCUUGAAAUUUUUUUUUUUUUGGUAAAAAGAUUCCUUGAAAUUGGGUUGGUAGAGAGAGAGAUGUGUGUUGUUACGUGCUACCUAGGUUUGCUUUUAAAUAUUCUAAAACCAUCUUUGUAAACAUGGUAUCACCUUCUCUUGAAGUAAUGCUCGUUAUACAUCUUCUCCUUGUCUCUUUUUAUAUAUAGCUAACACAAACUCAUCCUUUACCUCUUCUACAUAGCGAAUGUGACAUACUCAUUCACUUCCUCUGAGUUCUCAGUUCAUAUAUUGUCCCUUUUGUGGUUAUACUUAAUUAUAUCAUUCAAGCUUCUCGCAACAGUUCACCAGUGUUUGCUAAAACAUUGAAUUGGAGAGCUAGGUAAGUCUUGAAAUAGUUGUUUGCCUUCACACUUUAGCACAACACAAGUGGUUCGCUUGACACUUUACUGGAAAACUUAUGUAUUUUUGGGGAUUAAGAGCCGGUUUACUUUCUUUGGUUCCAUGUCUAUAAGUUUUCUUGCUUUUCUUCUUCUAAACCUACUUAGCUUUAUUUUGUCCUAUUUCUGUAUUAUUUAUCAUCUCACAGCACAAAUAUAUAUCUUUGUUUCAUCUUUAUAUUUCUGGCUUUAUGUCUGCAGUCUUGCAAUAAUGAGCAUUCAGAUUGCGGAUAGUGCUGUAAAUUGCUGCUAACUCGAGGUUGGUUUUCCUUAGAAAAUUUUAAUUUUCUUUAUUGACUACCUCUUGGCACACACUCACACCUUCAUUAAUUUAAGUUUCUUCUUCUUCAUUGUUUUUUUACUGUGAUGGAAUCUUUUAGAGUAAACAUACAUUAGUUUUAUGUAUUAAAAACAAGAAAACAAAUGAAAAACCAAAGAAUGUAGUUGUUUAACAAAAUUACUUAACCAAGAGUAUUUGAAGGGUUUUUAAUGUUUCUGUGGUCUCUUCCUUUUUAUAUAUAGAGAUUUCAUUUUAUGAUACUACACCCAAUUUAUAUUAGAUUGCUUUCUUAAGUUAGGAAACUAUUGAAGUUAGCUCAAGGGGUGAGAGAAUGCAAGGUAAUGACAAAGAAUUAGGAUACGCAUUUUCAAUUUCAACAAGUUAUGCCAUUUUUUGAUAUGGUUACACAUAGGGUCCACUUAAAUGUCAAUGUGGCACAAAUAGGGACCACUUUUUUUUUUUUUUUUAAUUAAAUGAAGUAGAAUAAAAUAUUAAUAAAACAUGUGAAAUUCAAUUUAAGAUUAAGAAAAGAUUCUUAAACGAAAAACAAAAUAUUAAAAAACUAACAAACACUUAUGGUCUGCUUGAUAAUGAUUUCAGUUUUUUGUUUUUAUUACUUAUCACUUUUCAAUUUUUAAAAACUAAAACUACAAAACUUGUUUGGUAACCAAUUUUAGUUUUAAAAAUGAAAUUGAAAAUUGUUUAAAAGUUGUUUGAUAACUUAUUUCAGUUUUAUUUGGAACUUGGAAAUGAAAUUUUUUUGGGGUCAAAUUGUGAAUAUGAGAUCAUAUAUAAUGAAAGUCCAUGUUCCAAUAUGAUCCUAGUCGGGAGGUCCCAAAUAAGAAGUUUGGUAACUUAAGUGCAAUGCAUGUGUCGUGAUGUUAAUUGGUAAAAGAGAAAGAAGCACCACCAAAAAAAUAAAAAAAAACUAAAACUAAACACUAAAAACUAUCAUUAUCUCUCUUAUUGAAUUACCGGUAAAUUAGAGAGAAAAUUAGUCAAGUGAGCAACGUCUUCGAGGACAAAGCACUGGUCAUGAGCCUGUUGUCGAUUUGAACUUUGUGAUCAAAUUUGCCUGCUUUCUAGUGAACCGAAUGGAACUAUGAGGGAGUAAUUGGAUUUGAAACUCGGAUAUCGAAGGUUUUAAAAUGAUGGACUUGACUGGAAUGUGAGUGGUGUAGUGUUUGUUACAAAAAGAGGUGUCGUUUUAAUUUUAUAAAUACUCACAAGUGCACAAAUCAAAUGUAAUAUAGAUGUGUAAGAAUGAGAUCGUACCGACAAGGAUUGCAUGAAAAAAAUAGAGAACUAACCCAAAUAAAUUAAGGGAGAUUCACUAUUAUACCCACUAUAGGACCCAAAUUAUAAAAAUACCCUAUAUGAAAUGGACUUUAGAAACACACUCAAAGCCCAUUUACAACAUAACAAAGAGGCUUUUAACUUUUUAUAAAUUACAAAACUGUCAUCUAUUUUUAAAACAAGCCAAACCCCAAAAGCUCAUAAAAAAUCCCAAAACACUCAAUAGGGCAUCAAAAUAAUUUAAUAAUAAAAAUUAUAUUAAAGAGAGCAAGCUGUUAUUUUUUGGGUUUUUUUUUUGUUUAUAGAAAUUAAAUGGUGAAGGGUUUAUUUAUAUUUUUUAUGCUAAGAUUGGGUAUAUGACUAAAUAUCUCUUAAAUUAAUUCAAUUACUCACCUAGUACCUUCCGAGGUUGAUUUGUUGGUUUUUUUUUUUCAUAAAAAAACAUAAAAAAAUAUACGGAAAUGAUAAUAAACUAAGGUAUUAGAAUCCACACCACUAUUCCAUAAAACUCUAAUUAUUUACCUAUCAAUUUCCAUGGAGUAGCGAUCUAGAAAUCAAUCUACUACUUUCUCAAGAUAUAUCAAUUAAGCAUGCAAUUUAAUAAAUCUUUUGUAAAUUCCCUUUCCUUUUUUGGUAGAAAUUCUAAGCAUCACAUGUAAAUAAAGGUAUUUAACUACAAAGGAUCAAAGUUUCCUAAGCAUACCCUAGGUGAAAAAGGUUUUUUGAAUGACAAGAGAUCAAAGAAAUUUUGUAUAGUAAAUAUAAAACCAAAGACGUACAUAUUAAUAAAUAGGGAAGAAAAAGAUGGGAGAGAGAAAAUGAGGAGGAUAAGAAGAAGAUAAGAUAGAAAAGGAGGAGAAGAAAGAUCGGCUAGAGAAGAAAAUAUGGAGAGGGAAUAAGAGAGGAUGCGGCAGCUUGACAAAGAGAUAGUGGCUAGAGAAAAUUAGGAGAGAAAGAAGUGUUAUGGGUUCACAGAAAAGUGGUGGGUCUGUUUGGGAGUGUUUUUGGGAGGGCUAAAGCGCUUUAUGACAAAUAGAAAGGCUUGUGAUAGCAUUUGGCAGAAAAUGUUAAAAGUGGUUCUAGGUCGUGGAAGUGUUUUCUGGAAUAAUAAAAGUGGUUUUCCAGGAAACUUUUGCAGGAAACUCUUGCAUUUCUUAUGAAAAUUUCAACAUCUUUAUAAUAAAAGUGCUUUUGCGAGAAGCUCUUAUAAGUAGAAGUGUUUCCUAGAGAAAAAGUCCCAAACAAGUGGUAGAAGCGCUUCUUUCCAACAAGCAGGUUAAGGGUUUGAGUCCCCUUUGGAACAUAAUUUGAAACAUUCUUUACAACCGGUUCAGUUUGAUUUGUUGACCGAAACCAAAAAUUAAGUGAAAAAUCAUGAACCAACCGGUUUGGUUUGGUCGGUUUGGCGAUCUAUAGAUCUAAAAUUCUAACCCCGUGUGAGAUGGGAUAUGGGGGUGACGGCUACGAUGAGAUAGAGGGUGAGGGGCCACGGUUGGAAGUUAGAUUGGGGGAAGGGGUGUUUGGCAUGAUCGCCUAGUGGGAUGGGGGUGCCCCUUGAGGUGGGCAAUGUCCCUUUAGAAGAUAGAGACGGAAAAAAAAAGGUUUUGUUUGUUUUUUUAUAUUUUAUUUGUUUUUAAAAUAUUUUUUCUUAUUUUAAAAUUCUUCUUUAAAAAAAGAAGCAAGGGAGCCGACCCUUGGGGGCUUUAGGUUGCUUUGCAUGUGCCUUGUUGUACACUCACAUACCUGUAUGGAUUAAUUGCGAACCCAAUAAUACACAACCUACUCAUAAGACAAAUAGGGUGCCUAAAAUUUAAGGACUAGUCUGUAUUAUUUCGACUUAAUAUUCUUGUUUGAAAUAUACAUAAAACUUCCACAAAAGAACUAUUGAUUGAUUGUAUUUAGUAAAUUCAUCCUCUAUCGAGCACAUGCAUACUUUUUCUGAUGUCUCUACAUGAAUGAUUAGAGAACAAUCAUCAUCCUAAUUAACUAAACAUAAGAUGCUCCAGUUUUUUUUUAUGGAUUAUCAAUAUUCAAUUAACAAUCCUUUGGCUAUGAAGAUAAGAGAGCAAGGUCUCAUGAAUCUAAUUAACUUUUUUACUUUCCCUCUAUUCAUAUUCAUUGGACUAUUGUUUAAGCUUAUAAUUGUUGAUAGGAAUAUUUCUAUCCAUAAUGAUCUUGCCAUUAAUUUAAUUUAAUUACUAAGUAAAUAUAGGUAAUAUCCAUAAAAGAUUACAUAAAAUGAUUAGGUUUUAUGGGAUAUUUCCUACAUUAUAUAUAGUGGAACAAUAUUAUAGGGGGGCCUUUGAGCUCGGCUGAACUCAUUUUUUAAGCAAGUUUAAGCUCAAAUUUAGCCCGAAUUAACAUAGUAUAAUAUGCCCUAAGAAUGCAUAUCCCUAAAAGAUUGGUCAUCGCUGUGAGGAAAGAAAAUCAAUGAACAUUUGAAUUACACCAAUAUAAUAAUUGGAACAUCAAAUCUAACGGUGUUAAUUCUAAUUCAGAAGUAAAAAAAAAAAAAACCAAAUAUUAAAAUUAAAAAUUAAAAAAAACCAAAUCAGGAAAAGACCCAAAUCCUAAGCUUAUGAAUCUCAAUUUGAAGCGUCAAAAAGAUCGGCAGUGGGAGGACUCAGACCCAAAACUUAAAAAUAAAAAUUUCAAACUCCCGAAACUUUAGUCUUACGCAACCCCUUCGCAUCCCCCACCCAGUAACCACCUCAGACCAUACCAACCCCUCGUACUCACUGGUGACAUGUCUUCUUCUCUGUCUCUCUCUGUCUCUCUCUCUCUAGAGUUGCAGAUAUCAAUGUCCCACUCCCUAGCUAAUAUGAGAGGAUGGCUGAUAUCUCUCCAUAGCAGGAUCGAAUCUAUAGUCCUCAAAUUUGGUAUCCCCUAUAUCCUUUCCCUAUUUGCUUGACACGUGUUCCAUUAUUUACCUCCAAAUCUAACGGUGUUAAGACUAAUUCAAAAGUAAAAAUAAAAACUUAAAAAAAAUAACAAGGAAAGGACCCAAAUCCUAAGCUUAUGAAUCUCAAUUUGAAGACCAAAAAGAUCGAAAGUGGGAGGAUUGAGACCACGUUUGUUUGGCAAACGUAUUUGUCAAAGUAGGAAUUGAGAAAGAGAAGUAAGAGAGAUAUAUAUACGGGGCGGUGGGUGUGGCUGUAAUGGUUAGGUGUCUUGAGAAAUUUUUUGGUGGGGAAGAAGGAAGAGUGCUUAUAGAUUAUGAGUUAGAAUUGCUAUGAGAUUUAUUCGGUUGGGAUUUUGAUUGGUUUACCUUUGACUUUUUCAUAAUUAAAAUUGUAGGUGUUGAACCGCUUGCAUUUUUCGUUUGAGAAUUUCCUUGGCACUAAUUGGGAGACAACUCAACUAUCUAACGAUAACAAAAAAUGGAAGAGUUGUGUAUUUCAAUUGCAUCUAAAAUGGUAGAAGAACCUGUGGCACUAAUUGGGAGACAACUCAACUAUCUGAUUUACUAUGAUUCCAACUUAGAAAGUCUAAAAGAUGCGCUUAAAAAGCUUGAUGACAAGAAAAAUGAUGUGCAAAGAUCUGUGGAUGCUGCAAAAAGGAAUGGUGCAACCAUCAAAUAUCAAGUUCAGAGCUGGUUGAAGGUUGUAAGCAAAGUAUUUGAUGAAGCGAAAGAACUUGAAACCAAAGUCAACAUGCAAAGGCGGUGUUUGUAUGGAUUGUGCCCAAGUUUGAAAUCGCGGUAUUCUCUGAGCAGGAAAGCCAAGAAGAUUGCUCAGCAUGUCCUUGAUCUCAAACUAGACGAAGGACUGAGUAAUAAUGUUGCCAAUCCUGCACCUCUGCAACAACUAGGGUCCAUAAUCUCUAGUGAAGGUUUUAAGGGUUUUGAAUCCAGAAAAGCAGUCAUGAAUGAUGUGCUUAGUGCUUUGAAGAAUGAAAAGACAAGAAUAAUUGGGAUUUGCGGGAUGGGAGGUGUGGGUAAAACCACAAUGCUGAGAGAAAUCAACAAGAGAUUAGAAGGAACAAGUCUAUUUGAUGAUGUUGUGAUGGCAACUGUCUCCGCAACUGUUAACAUUAGGACAAUUCAAGCUGAAAUUGCAGCGCCACUAGGUAUGAAAUUGGACGAGGGACCUGAAUCUAUAAGAGCACAAAGGCUAUAUGAGAGAAUCAAGGAUAAAAGAAUCCUAAUUAUAUUAGAUGAUGUAUGGACAGAGCUUAAUUUACAGGAUGUAGGAAUCCCUUUUGGUGUUGGACCUACAACUAAUCAAGUUCAUGAAGGGUGCAAAAUUUUGUUGACAUCUCGAAAUGAAGAAGUUUGUAAAGUAAUGGGGUGUAAAAAAGAUGACAUUUUUAGAGUCCAAGAAUUAAAUAAAGAAGAAUCAUGGGAGCUUUUCAGGGCGACUGUAGGUGAAUCCUUGGACAAUAAUCCUGAUUUGUCUCAUGUUGCAAAAUUGAUUGUUGAUGAAUGCAAAGGUUUACCCAUUGCUAUCAUAACUGUUGGGAAAGCGCUUCUACCAAGUAAUGGCAAGCAUGAAUGGAAUACUGUCUUGCAAGAACUGAAAAAUUCCCUCCCUGAAAACAUCCCUGGAAUGGAACCUGAGGUAUAUUCUUGCAUAAAAUUGAGUUAUGAUAAAUUGGAUAGUGAUGAAGUCAAGUCAUGCUUUUUACUUUGUUGCUUAUUUCCAGAAGAUUAUGAUGUUCCGAUUGAGUAUUUGGUGAGGUAUGGGUUGGGUCAAGCAAUUUUUAGAGACACUAACACAGUCGAAGAUGUAAGAAACAAAGUGCAUUCUUUCGUUGGACAACUAAAAAGAAGGUAUUUGUUGCUAGAUAGUCACAAGAAAGAAUGUAUCAAAAUGCAUGACGUAGUUCGUGAUGUUGCCACAUCAAUUGCCACAAAAUAUCCUCACAGAUAUAUUGUAAGAUCAUUUGAUGCUAUAGGUGGAGGUGGAGCAUGGCCAGGAGUACAAAAAGUUACAAACCAAGAACAUUGCAGUGCAAUUUCGUUAAUUGGUGCUAAAUUACAUGGAGAUAUUACUGAUGGUUUGGAGUGCCCAAAACUUGAGCUUUUACAACUGAAAAAUUCCUCCUGGAGUUCAGAGUUAUCCAACUACUUUAAAAGGUUGAGAGAACUCAAGGUUUUAGCUUUCAUGGAGAUGGAUAUGUCAUAUUACUUGGCCUCGAAAGGAUCUCUACCCCUUGGAGAUCCCAAGUACCUUCACACCUUGUGUCUAGAGAAUUGCAAAUUGGGAGACAUAUCUUAUGUUAUUGGAAGAUUGGAGAGUUUGGAGAUACUCAGCUUUGCUCACUCUGAAAUCAGUAAGUUGCCCAUAGAAAUCGGACAUCUUCAACGGUUAAGGAUGCUAGAUGCAACAGAUUGUACAGGACUUGAAGAAAUUCCUUAUGGUAUCUUAUCCAACUUAAGGAGAUUAGAAGAGUUGUACAUGGCAGAAAGCUUUCUUAAUUGGGGGCUAGCAACAGGAAGCAAGGAUGAAACGAGUAUGGCAAGCCUUAAUGAGGUGAUGUCUCUGUCUGAUCAUUUAAAUGUUGUAGCCAUAAAAAUCCCUGAUGUUCAGAUGUUGCGAAAUAAUGAGUUUCUUUUAAAAAGUGACCGUACAAGAUUUCAU